rnacentral:lncRNA from 1 species
UACAAAGAAGUUCUAAAAGACUACAAGAAAGAGUUUCCACUAAAGAAAAACAAUGAAACCAUUUCUACUAAAGACAAACAAUGAAACCACAGAUGCUUUGUGAAAUAUGUACCCGCACAAUCCAACAAACUUUAGAAAUUCACAAACACUACCUAGAAUUUUUGCUGACCAGCAAAAAAUUUAUGCAAUUUAAUUCUUAUUGUUAUUAUUAUUUUCAAUGUGAACAAAUAUGAUUGAAUUAUGAAGUAUUUGGCCAGAAGAGGAUCUUGCCUAAUUAUAGUCAUUAAACAACCAUUUAUACCAUAGCCUCUAGACUUUAAAAAGUUUAUAAAACUCAAGGGCUUCCACCCAAUUUCUAGAUAUCUCCAUAACAUUCUUCUGACUAUUAGAAAGCAAUUACCACUUUAAUUUUUCAUUUCAUGAGUGUUCAAUUCAGAAAAAGACCAGGAUCGAACUUGCGAUCAUGCAGUCGAAAAUCCACCUGUGCAUGAAACUAUUGCCUCACGAUUGCAAACUCAAGUUGGAGUCCAGUAACAACUCUAGGUUUGCUGAUGUGCUCCAUUUGAAAUAAAGGAACUAAAGAAUACUUUAUAAAGAUUAAUUACCUUCAUAUUUUAGGUUGGGGUUAAGGCAAAAUGUGAUAGAUUGAGAGGAAGAAAAUAUAUCUUGUUCAGGAAGCCAAUAUUUUGGAGUUCACCUUUCCAUUCGAGUCCACUCUGCUAUAGCAAAAUCAGAGUCACAACUAUGCCUCUUUAAGCUAUCCUUUAAUUGGAUGAAUUGCAGAUUUGGUUGCUGAGAAAGUGGAUAAGAAAGAAAAAUGCAUACUGUAGCUUGAGAUUAAGAGUUUGUUUUCUAAAAUGAGAGAAAGGGAAAGAGAAAAAAUGCAUAUUGUAGCUUGAGAUUAAGGGUUUGUUUUCUAAAAUGAGAGAAAGGGGAAGAGAAAUGUUCGACAACUUUGAGAUGACAAAUUUUUAGAUUUGGAAAAUUUGAGAUGAGUCUCAGGUUUUUUUUUUUUUUUUUUUGUCUUUGUCUUUGUUUUUUUUUUUUUUUUUUGUUUUUUUCCCAAAAACAACCUGUUAAUGUGGUUGUUGACAUAGAAGUGGGUGAGGGCAAAAUGGGCAUAGAAAAAAGAGUCAACACAAAGUGCACAAAACCCAUAUUAUUUUCCACAUUAAUGACUGAUUCUCAUAUUUCUUGUUCUUGGGAUUUGAAAACCAUAUUAUUUGCAAAUGGACCUCCCAAAGCACAGGUUUCCCUUAGUUUUAUGUCUCCAUCUACAUUUUACAUAUAAAUAGAUUAUUUUAUAAAAUUUGUUUUGUAGAUAUAUUAGUUAAUAAUUAUAUAAUUAAUGAUAUAGAAAACAUAUAAAAAUCAUAUUUAAAAAAGAUAAUUACAUAUUCCUCAACAAUCCAUCCCAAGAAUUCGAGGUUGAGUUGAAAACAUGUAGAGUCUUUGAUGUUAUUAUAAUCAUAUCCAACACAUAUGAUUAUUGUUUAUGAGAUAUUAUUAGAAAGUUUGUCUUAAAAUAAUUGAUUUAUUACCCACCUUUAGCAAAUGCCCAUUUUUGCGUCUUUCAAAAUUUUCAUUUUUUUUUUGUUUAAAAGAAGUAUUGUAAAGAAUGAUGAAAUAAGAAAUUUGUUGAGAAAGUGUGAGUAAAUAAUUUUACAUAAAAAGAGAUUUAAUACUUGAUAAAUAAAAUAAUAAAAUCAUGAUUUCUAGUUGUAUAGGGCCGGGUGGAUGGAGUGGCUAAGAUGUAAUUCUUGAAAUAGAGGAGACAACAUCAAUGUAUAAAAGUUUAACAGAGAAGGAAAGUGUGUUUGAAUGACUUUAUUUUCUUCAUUUAAAGUUUUGACGAUGAGUGUUUAUACAAGAUAAAUUUUCAAAUGAUAGGACUCCUAUUUACAUGGAGUUUGUGAUAUACUAUGAUUAUACAAAUUUAAAAUUCAAACAGAUUCAUGAGUUGAUAGGAGUCUGCUCAAUACGCCCCUUCAAAAUGGUGGGAGAUAGCACACCAAUCUUGACUCGAAGGGCCUAAACUCGUGCAGAAGAUGAGGGCUUUGUUAGAGCAUCGACAAGUUGAUCCGUGGUUGACAUAUGGGACACCUUGAGCUCACCUGAUUAAACCUUGUUUCAAACAAAAUGAAAAUCAAUCGCCGAUGUGUUUCAUGGAGAGUGAAACAUGGGAUUUGCACAAAGAUAUGUUGCACCCACGUUAUCACAAGAGAUAGGAGGUGGUGAUAAAUUUGAAACACUAAGUUUUGAGAGAAGAGAAUUAACCCAAAGAACCUUUGAGGCUGUAGAGGCCACGACGUGAUAUUUCGCUUCAGUGGAAGAGCGUGCUAUGAACUUUUGUUUCCUCGAUGACCAAUACACAAGAUUGUGACCAAGAAAAACAAUGGGAGCAUUGGUGGAGGAUCUGACAUAAGGAUUCCUUGCCCAUUCAACAUUCGAAUAUGCAUGUAGAUUGAUGGGCGAUUUCUUAUGCAAGAACAGACCAUGCACCAUUGUGCCGACUAAGUAUCUAAGCAAUCUUUUAACACAAGACCAAUGUGUUGAUGUUGGAUGGUGCAUAAAUUGAGAUAAUUUAUUCAUCAAGAAGGUGAUGUCAGGGCUAGUAAGAGAGAAGUAUUGAAGGCUUCCAACAAUUGACAUAUAUUUAGUGGGACCAGGAAAAGAGGUGUCAUCACACAGAUUUGGAACAUUGUUGAGGAACAUCAAUGAUUGAACUGGUUUGGUAGCCACCAUUUGUGUUUUCUUAAGAAGCUCUCGAAUGUACUUGAGAUAAAAAUAAUCCUUUGGAAGUAUGUAUCAUUUCAACACCAAGAAUAAAAGAUGAAGUCCUGAGAUCCUUAAUGGAGAAUUUGACUGCUAAUUGAGAGAUCACGCGAGCACGAAAAACAUUAUUGUUACUUGUUAAAAUAAGAUCAUCAAUAUAAAUAAGUAGGUAAACAAUGAGACCACUCUUUUUAAAAAUGAAGAGGGAUGUCUCGGUUUAGGAGUUGACGAAGGCUAUUGAGAGGAGAAAUUGGCAAAGUUCAUGAUACCAUGAUCGUGGAGCUUGUUUAAAGCCAUAAAAAGCCUUACAAAGUUGGCAAAUGUGAUGAUGUGUGUAUUCGUGAACCCAGGAGGUUGAAUCAUGUAAACAUCUUCAUGAAGUGUCCUAUGCUAGAAUGCAUUAUUAAUGUCCAAUUCAUGAGUUGAUAGGAGUCUGCUCAAUACAAUGUGGGAGUGUGAUUUCAAAAUUAGGGUAAUUUCGAAAUGGAUUUUGUAUUCACAAGUUGAAUUUCAAAAUUAUUUUGAAAUGGUCUUUUAACUUUAAGCAGUUGUGUUCAAAAGGUCAUAACUUCUUCGUUUCAAUUUUGAUUUACACAUUGUUUAAAACAUUGGACUCUUUACUUCCCGAGCUUCAAAACGAUAUAUAGUAUGCUCAAAAAUGACAUCAGGAUUGGUUCAAAUUUCAUCUUGAUAUUAGAGUACAUGUUGUGAUUAGAUUUUGAGUUCCAAAUUUCCAUGUAAACUUGAUUGCAUUUGCUUCAAACCUCCUUCAUUAUGGUUGCUUGCCCUCUAUCUCACUUUGCAACAUUUGUUACUAGUAUUUUAUGUCCAUGACUUACUCAUUUCAACCUUUCUUGGAUUCUUCAUGGUUCACAAAUUAUGGAUUCUUCAUGGUUCACAAAUUGAGUCUUUCAAUUAUGCAUGUUUAACUCCUAUUUCCUUGGUUGAUAAUGACUUUUACACUUAUCAUUUUCUUUUAUUCUUUAAACCUGAAUUUAGACUUACAAAAAAAAGUUAGAUCCAUAACUAGGGUCUUAGCAUCAAUUUGAGUUAAGUUGGAUGAUUUGAAAAUUUUAUAUUACAUAAAUCAUAUCAUACAUGUGCCAUUGGAGUGCACAUUUUGGCUCUAAUCAUGUUCCAACCCAUUGUUUUACUCUUGCAUGAAGUAUGUGGCCAUUGAUUUUAAUUUUAUUUGCGAUUAGGUUCAAAAUGGUGCUUUUGUGUUGCUCAUGUGUCAUCAGAAGAUCAACUAAUGGAUUCUCUAACAAAACUACUACAUCAUAGUCAUUUUUUUUUUUCUUAAGACCAAGAUUGAGAUCUCCAAUCGGAGCCAACUCCAUCUUGGGGGCAUGUUAGUGAAAGAUAAAAUUUAUCUUUAAUUUAAAUAUUAAUAUUUAUCAGUUAUUAGUUUUAAUUAGAGUAAAAGAUAGAGUUUAAAUUGGAGUAGGAGAUAAACUUGUGUUUGAACUAGAAUAGAAGAUAAAGUAUAAAGAUUUAUGUUUGAAUUAGAAUAAAAUAUAAAGUUUGAAUUAGAGUAGAAGAUAAACUUGUUCUUUAUUUGUAUAUAAAUAUUCAUCAAUUCUUGAGAAGAAGAUUAUUUCAUAGUUUUUCUAUCUUCUUUUUUCUUCAUACAUAUCUGCAAGAAAUUGAAGAUUUCAAGUAAAAUAUUUUCUGUUUUAAAUAGUGAAAAAAGCUAGAAAUUCACUUUGUUAUCUCUUGGGGUAAAUUGACAAGGUUUAACGUUAAGAAGGUGAAUUAUUUUUUCAGAAAAACUGAAGUAGCUAGGAUAUCUGGCCAGUUGUGAUCGAUAAAAAAGUUGUAAAAUCUCUCAUAUACUAAACAGGUUUUGGAUGUUGGUAUGGUAAAUCCAUCUGCAGUCAUUCGUCAUCUCAUCUAGUGAGAUGUUUGGGAGGUGGUGACCGCCGGAUUGGGUUUCAUUUGGUUAAAUCUGUCAGUGGGUUGGCUACUACCCGAGCCUCUUGCUUUGGGGGAGGUGGGUUCUAGAUAUAAUGUUCAAACCAUUUUAGUUAUCAUAUGCAUGACAUGUAAGCAUAAUCUCUUUAUCACUUCUUCAAUGGGAGUUCAUGGUUAGGAAUUGACUUCUUUUCUUCUGGGAUGCUUGGCAUGUAAUGGACAAAGUUACUUUUAUAUCGAUCGAAUUUCUAGUAUUAUAGUGAAGACUUACCCUUUUGACAUUUUAUAUCGAAUUAUAGAAGAUGAAAGGGACAUACAUGCAAUCGACUGACGCUUUAGUGAAUAUGCUGAAAAUAUGCUGAUGCUGUGGAGAUCGUAUGAGGACAGAGGAAAAAGAUAGAAAUGGAUAUAUAAUUAGACCUAGGUUUUUAUUAAAUGAGAUGGGGAACAUAGAGUGAGGGAAAAUCAAAAUUUUUGGCUGCAGUUCACAUUGGUGAUAUUUUGGAUUGACAAAGACUAACGACUUUUCUAUUUUUCUUUUCGGCCUGACUGGAUAGUUGGACAUGGACAAUACAGAAUCCACAGAAGGAUUGUUGGGACCGCUGAAAAUUAGCUAGAAGAAGCUGAGGAAGUAGUCUACGUAGUCAAAUACCAAACACAAAGAAAGAAAGAAAUGGAUAUCAUGGAUGCCUAGAGUUAUACUCCUAAUACCGUCACAGGUAUUUUUCUUUCCUCCUUUUUUUUUCUACGAUAAUUAGAGCAUUUCUCCUCCUCCUCCUCCUCCUCCCCCCACCCCACCACCAAAAAAUAAAAAAAUAAAUUAUUGCAAGUAACACUUCAAAUAUUAAUUUAUACAUUCUAAAGUAUAUAUUCAUGAAAUAACUUGAGUAUCAUACAUUAGUUCUCAAAAAAAAAAAAAAAAAAAAAAAAAAAUUACUGGAAGAGAAAAGUUUAAGAAAACAUAAAAAUAUUCAACUACUAUUUUAAAGAGAAAAUUUAAUUUUUACACUAUAAAUUUGAAGAGAACUUUUACAUGCAUCUUAUAUAAACUACCAUUUUUUGCUAAAAGGCUUAAAUUUGUCAAAAAUACCCCUUAGGUGCUUAACGUUCUGGUCAUAAUAUAAUUGGCAUCUUUUCUCAAACAUAAGGCCUGUGUGUGGGAACAAGAUUUAAUGUUAAUGAGCUUCGCCACCGACAUUUAGUUCCAGAAAUCAUUAUUUUAAUAGAGUGGGCUCAAUUUACAACUUUAAUUAAACUCUAACCAACUGCAUUGUGAAAUGAAUAUGUUUCUUUCGUGGUGAAUCCAAUGAGUUGGGAGUCAAACUUUGCUUCAUUGUGUAUAGAUGAAAUGUUAAGACUCCAUGUAACCUCAAACAUUUCCGCAAUNNNNNNNNNNNNNNNNNNNNNNNNNNNNNNNNNNNNNNNNNNNNNNNNNNNNNNNNNNNNNNNNNNNNNNNNNNNNNNNNNNNNNNNNNNNNNNNNNNNNUUCUUUCGUGGUGAAUCCAAUGAGUUGGAGUCAAACUUGCUUCAUUGUGUAUAGAUGAAAUGUUAAGACUCCAUGUAACUCAAACAUUUCCGCAAUGAGCGGGAGUUCUAAAUUUAAUAAUUGAAAUUGUCAGUGGAACCAGUGGACAAGAGUUGGUUUGUGGUUGACAAACUUAUCCGUUUGAUCUUUACUUGAACAGUUCCAGUGUGUGGAUGGGUACUGAUGAAGUGUGCGCAUUUAUUUUGAGAAGCCUGCUUGUUCGCAUAGAUUUUAACGACAUGAACAUUGUGGUAAGGUUAGAGAGUAAUGCGAAUGUAGGAGCUUAUAUUAGAAAUGACACAAACACGUAAAUAGAAGUAAUCUAUAUAUGAUAUUACUCAUGGACUACAAGCAAAGAAGUACAAUACAUGGAGUAAGUGAUGAAAUGAGCAUUCCUCACUACUACUGCUUGACUGAUGGAACAUGAUGCACGAGAUAGCAUAAGUAGUAGUAGGAAGCAGCUCUUAUUUGUGGCGUCGGUAUACAUCAUACUAGGUAGAUGGUUCAAUUGGCAUGGAUGGGUGGUGGAGCCUUGAAGUGCUUGUGAUGGGGAGCCCACGGCUUCUUCUCAGGAGUUGGUGGCUUCUUGUAUGGAGUUGAUGGAGGUGUUUCUACUGGAGGGUGGCCAGGGUAGUGACCCUGGGGUGGUGAAGGUUCUUUUGUCGGUGGUGGCCUCACUAUUAUUGGCGGUAGAGUUGGUGGCUUGGGCGUUGGCGGUGGUCUCACUACUCUUGGGGGUAGAGUUGGUGUCUUGUGUUUUGGUGGUGGAGGUGGCUUAACAGGAGUUGGUGGCUUGUAUUCUGGGGGUGGUUUCUCCACCGGAGGUGGCUUAUAAACUGGAGUUGGUGGCUUGUAUUCUGGGGGUGGCUUCUCCACUGGUGGUGGCCUGUAAACAGGGGUUGGUGGCUUAUAUUCUGGGGGAGGCUUCUCCACUGGAGGCGACUUAUAAACAGGGGUUGGUGGCUUGUAUUCCGGGGGUGGCUUCUCUACGGGAGGUGGCCUGUAAACAGGGGUUGGUGGCUUCUCCACCGGAGGUGGCUUAUAAACGGGGGUUGGUGGCUUGUAUUCUGGGGGUGGUUUCCCCAGUGGUGGAGACUUGUAAACAGGAAGAGGUGGUUUGUGCUCAUAUGGGGGUGGCUUGUGGUCAUUAGCAAGUGAGGGAGUGGUGAGGACCACCAAUCCAAGGAACAACACGAGUGAGCAAGCAGAAGACAUGUUUGGGCUCUGGUGAUGCACAAGUAGAAGAAAUGGGAACCAUUUAUAAUGCUUCGAGACCUUGGUUAGCACCAAAAUAUGUCAAAAUCUUGAUUACUUCAUUUCAUACAUAGAUUUAAAAUUAUUUCAAUCAACCAUGAUCCUUAAUUUUCUGGGUGGUCCAUAAAUGUAAUGGGGUCAAUUUGGGACCUAACAAGCUGAGAAGUUUGACAAUGCUGCAAGGCUUCAUCCGAAAGUCCGGGGAAGAAUAUUAGGAGUUACACUCCGUUUCCUUUUUUGGGUGCAUUUUUCUCCUUUAACAUUCUAUUCCCUUUUACAUUAGCAUUUGAUCUUAGCUCAUUUCAAGUACAAGUUUCUUGAACCCUAUACCAUUGUCAAAGUUGAGUAACCAUCUCUACUUUGCUCAAGAAACAUAAAAGACAAUGACAAUAAAGAAAAAGGAGAGAGACCAUACGUGACUUGGUUUAUAGGUGGCUUUGUGUUGACAUUUGAGUAUGGAAGCCGACAUGCAUCUUAGCUUCGAUUUUAAUUAAAUUUGUACAUUAGUGUCUGUGUCAUUCAUUUUGGUAUAAAAGGUCUCUUGAUUUCGUAAGUUUGGUAAGAACCGUUGAAAAUAGCAGUAGCAGCACAUGGUCCACUUUCUUUCACAAAAUAAUUUUAAAAGUUUAGAAGCAUAGGAGGUAACAUUAGUGGCCUUGUGGCUCAGCCACGAGUACUAUGUGGUGCUCGAGAAAUUGAGUUUAAUUUCCUUCCGAUAGUUCAUGAUAAGGUCCGUCACUGUCCUGAGACAGAUUGCGUUUUUUCUUUUUUCCUUUUUUAGUGUUUUAUUGACUAGCUAGGUGUGACUUUUCCUACUUUAAGGCACGAGGCAGAAAAGAAACUGGGAUUUAGUGCUUAAGAAGGCAAAUUUAAUUCGAUUUGGAUCUAAAAUUUGCCAGCAACAUGAGAUUUUCCAGCCUAUCGUUGCUCCACAUAUAGACAAGGCACUUGUAGAAGUGGCUUGUUUGUAGCCAUUCCCGAUAUUUGGACUCACUUGAUUCACCGGACACUUUGAUAAAAUUUAAUAUUUAUUAUUUAAUAAUUUAAAUUGAUUUAAAAUUAAAUUAUACCGAAGUUGUGAUUUAAAAAUUAUUAUUUAAUUCUUACUUUUAAAUAUGAAGAUUAUUUGAUAAAAAUAAUUUAAAAUUUAUUAUAAAUUAUCAAAUUAACAUAUUUAUCCUUAUAAAUUAUAAUUAAAACAGAAAAGGUCAAAUGAUUUGAGUAUCCAUAGAUGUGGUAAAAUAAUAAAAAAGAUUAUAAAAACAAUUAUGAUAAAUAAAGAUAAAAAGUAAAAUGAAUAUGUGAAUUUAAAGAAUAAAUUAAUUAUUUUUAUUUAUUACUUAAAAUUAUUUUUGACUUUAAAUUAUAUUAUUAAAUUAUUUUACCAAACAUACUUAAUUUAGUUAAUAAUUUAAAUUUAAUUUAAGUUAUUAAAUUGAUUCACCAAAUACCCACUUAAUCAAAGACUGAAGUAUACAUUAUUUGGCCAAAUGCAGCUAUUGAAAUUUAACUUUUUCCAAACUUAUUCAUUUUGUGGAAAUAUUUUUAGAAAUGAUUUUAAAAAUGCACUAUUCUGUGUGUUGAUUUUAUAUUUUGGCAUUAAUCCAACAUAGAAAACGGUUCUUAUUUUCGCUGUUAAAUAGGUACCAGAUCCUUAAUUAGUGCCGUGAAUCCGGCAGCUUCCAAUGAGUAAUUUGGACUUGGGUAUUGACAAUGUGUGGCCAUGCUUCUACUAUUUUAUUAUUCUUGAAACAUAUAUGAUAUAUUGGACUUUAUACAGGGAAAAAAAAAAAAAAAAGUCUUCACCAAAAAUGAUUCCUCCUAAAAAAUAGACUCCACAAACUAGGUUUAACAGGAAAAUGAUUCUAAUCUAGUAGUUUCCAGCCACAUGAGCAUUUACGUAACAAUAGUAUAGUUGAUAACGACUUUUAUUUUAUUUAUUUUUAAAUAGUUAAAGGGAUAAUUUUUGAGCUUAAAUUUUAUUUUUUUAUUUAGAAACAUUUUACUUUAUUUUUUAAUCAUAAUUCUAUUAUAUUAAUGUUUUAUUUUCUAUUUUUUAAUAUAUAAGGAGAUACUAAAUUUAUGUGAUUAUUUUUUAAAAAUUUAGUAUAUGAAAUUAAAUAAUUGGAUAUAUAUACAUAUAUCAUAUAAUGUUUUUUAAGUGUGAUUUUUGAACUUUUUAGUCAUUUUAUAAGUUUAAGCUUUUGAUUUUUUUUUUUAAACUUUGGUAUUUUUUAUUUUAUAUAAAACUAUUUUGAUUUAAUUUUAUUAAAAAAUAUUGGUAUUAUAAAUUAUUGUAUUAAUUAUUUUUUUAUAUUAUAAUGUAACUGGUAUAUACUAAAAAAUGUAUGCAAGUUCAAUUUAAGUUUCAAAUUAAAAAAUUUCAUUUAAAUAUUUAAUAACUUGUUCAUAAUAAAAAAUUAAACAACAUAAUACAAAUGAAAAGAAACAUAAAAGAAAAAGGAAAAAAUGGUCCUCUCUGUGUGUCACAUUACUAGGUCAUCCUCUUUUUCUAUGACCCUUACAAUAGAAUGGCAUAUUUGUCAAAUCUACUUAUGAAAGUUGGAAUGUUUCUACAUGUGUAGGGUCCAUUGGAACUAAUGGAGGAAAGGCUUAACGUCUAUGUAAAUCACAACGUUGCCUAGGUGGGCAUAGAUCUAGUUGUGUAACAUGAGAUGGUGUGAGAGUACAAUAUAUGCAUUGUAGUCUCUAUGGGAAGAGAGAUAGGUAAUGGUAGGGUGGUAGACGGUAGGGUGAUCUCUAAUAUAAUGACAUUUGAUGUGGUGGCUUCUAAGAGAGGAGAUAUAAGAGAUGGUAGAAUGACAUUUGGUGUAAUGGUCUCUAGUGCAAUGACAUGUGAUAUGGUGACCUAUAAAGAAGAGAUAUAGGUGAUGGUGAAGUGGUAUGUGGUGUAGUGACCUUUGAGAUAGAAAAUAGAGGUAAUGGUAGGUUGGCAGGUGGAGUGGUCUUUGGUGUAGUGACAUCAAUUAUAAAUGUCUCCAAGGGAGGAAAUAAAGGUGAUGGUAGGUAGUAAAUGUUGAGGUGGUCUUUGAUAUGUUAUGCUCUAAGAGAGAAGGUAUAGGUAAUGAUAAUAGGGAAUUUGACAUAGUGGUGUUGGAAAUAAAAAGUGAAAGUGACCGUAGAGGUGAAAGGGCAAGUGUAAAAGCCUCAAGUACGAAUGGAGUAAUUAAUGUGGAUGGUGCUAACAUAGUCUUAGGUGGAUACACAAAUAGUCAUAGUCAUCAACUAGCUUGCCCACCAUCUGUCUUUCUGCUAGUGAUAGGUUACAUCUUAAUAGUAAUGGCCAACAUAAGUGGUGUGGAUCCGAUUUUUUUACGUGUGUCCCCACUCAAUCGACAAGACUUAUUUUUUAUUAGUGAAAAAUUAAUUUUGGAAAAGUUGGAGUCACCACUUAUUUUAUUUUAUUUUAAAAAGGAAAGUAAAACAAGAAAGAGAACUCUAAAGAAGUGACUUCAUAGUUUUGGAAAAGUUAGUCUUAAAAAAUCCAAGUCUUGGUCCGGAGAUCAGGUUACUUAUUGGGAAGAUACCUCUAAGAGGUAAUACCCCUCUAAACCCUAAAGAAGUCUCUAAUGACUAAGUUGAGGAGAAUGUGGUAAUUAAUUAAUUGAUUGAGGGUACCUAGGUAGACUAAGGUGAUUUCAGAAUUAACAUACCAAGCUAGAAAGUCCAAUCAUGAUCAUAAAAGAGAGUCAAAGUAUGUACCUGAACUGCUUCUCAAACGCUAUCAUAAAACAUCAAAGUUAGUAUAGAAAUAUAACACAUAAUAUUUGUUUUAUCCAAGCAAAUAAAGCAUACAUCUAAGCACCCAAGAAUCACAUCAAGUAUGGAUAUAGUCAUCAAUAGCAUACGUGUCCAUAGAACUAUCGAAAGUAAAUGUGGAGGAGCGUAUCUGGACAACAUAGAUAACUUAUAAUGUGCUUCCACAAGACAUGGGGGUUAGAUAAAAGUUAUAAUAAUAAUUAGUAAAUGAAAGAAUUCUAGCAUGUUUGGUAUCUAAAUAACAUAGCAAAAAUGAACAAGAGUACACGAAAACAUCAAUUAUCACACGAGUCAUAUUGGCUAGUAUUUAAUCAAUAAACCAACAAUAAAUGACUAUAAACAUAUAAAAUGACAUAUUCAAAGAGACCCAAACAUAAAGAGCCUAGAACACAAGCUUACACUAAAUUUAGAAAACUAAAACAUGGAAUUUUAAAAGCAUAAAUUAGCAAACAAAUUGAUGGAAACUAAAUUUAGAUAACUUAAGAAUAUUUUUCUUAUCCUUCAAUUUAAAUCAGUAAGCCAACAAUAAAAAAUUAUAGAAACAUGGAAUAUCAAGAUCAAUGGGAUACCUAAACUAUAAUUUUUAAAAGAAAAUAAACUAAGCAUAAUAUCUACAAAGCAACUAAACUAACAUUUUUUUAAAAAUAAAUUAAACAUGACAUUAAUGGAGUAACCAAACUAAAUUAAAGUAAACUAAAAACAUUUAUGAAUUUUCAAACAUGGAAUCAGCUUUCUUAGUAAAUUAAAAUUAUUAAAAUAAAAUCUAAGCUUAAAAAUGAAUUAAAUACUAACUAAAGCAAAUCUAAAACCAAAUAUUUAACACAUAGGAUCAAUUAUAUUAACAAACUAAAAUUUUAUAAGAACACUUAAACCUAAAGUUGAAUUAAAAACUAACCAAUUUUUAAAACUAGAUCUUUAACCCAUAGGAUCAAUUAUAUUAACAAAUAAAUAAUAAAUAAUAAAUAAAUAAAACUCAAACCUAAAGAUGAACUAGAAAUGUACCAAAGUAAAUUCAAAACAAGAUCUUUAACACAUUAGAUCAAUUAUAUUGACUAACUAAAAAAAAAAAAAAAAAACACUCAAACCUGAAACGAUGUAUUAGAAACUAACCAAAGCAAAUUUAAAAUAGAGUCUUUAACACAUAGGAUCAAUUAUAAUCACUAACUUAAAUUACAAUUUUUGAAACAUGAACUAAUUAGUGUUGGAUUAAUUAAACUAAUUAACUAAAAAAAACUAUAAACUAGAAUACGGUGAAUCAAGAAUUCAAAUCAACAAACAUAAAAUAUGGGUACAAUGAAAUGAAAAUCUAUUAAACUAAUAAGACGGAAAUAUGACAAACUCAUGAACCCACAUUUUGAUCAACUAGGAAAUAGAAAUUAAUAGACCUGUAGCAUGGAUACAAUGAAAUGAGAUCAGUUAAAUUUAUUUGCCGAAAUUCUAAAAAACACAUACACUCAAAUAAGAUCUAAAUCUAAGACCAAGCAAAACUCAAACUUUCUCAAUCUAAUGCAAUGAAUCAAAACUAAAAUUAAAUAGAAAUCAAACCAUUUUUUUUUUAUCUAAUAUAAUAAAUCAAAGCUAAAACUAAACAAAAUCGAAUUUUCUUAAUUUAAUAUGAUGAGUCAAAGCUAAAAUUGAACAAAGUUCAAACCUUUAUAUAAUGGAUCAAAGUUAAAUCUAAAUGAAAUCCAUACUUCCACAAUUUGAUAUAACAAAUCAAAAAUAAAACUAGAUAAAAAAAAAGUCAAAGCCUUUCAACUUGACAUAGUGAAUCCAAACUGAAACGAAACAAAAUUUUAACUUUUCCAAUGAAACCCAAUAUAGAAAAAAUUAGCUUACCUUCUUUAGAAUAUAUGUAUGGGCCAUAAAGAAGUCACCUUGGUGCAUGUGUUCCUCACUUUGACGCCAAUGGACGACUUUCUAUGGUAGCAAAUGGAGAUCCUUUUUGGUGGUAACUUGCGUGUGGAAACCUAUGGUACAACCAAUGUCAUCUUUUAUUGUGCGUGUGGACCAAUUUCUUCUCGAGAACUCAUGUGUGUUGUGCUCAAAAUAUGUUGCCUGUGAGAAUCUAUUGGUAUACCCCACAUAUGGUUUCCUUGAGAGAAUCUGUGGUUGUGUGUGGGCGUUUUCUUCAUGACAGCAUGUGGAUGUUCCCAUCUAUGGUAGAUUGGUUGUGAUGCUUUAGUGCAUGGUCUCCAUAGGAAUAGUGUGUUAUGGAAAUUUGGUUUUUUUAUUGGUGCAUGUUGUCUAGACUUUCCCAUAUGCGUGGACUGUGUGUUCAUGCUUUUCUUUUCGGAUGGUCGCCUGUGUUAAUGUGUGGCGGUGUCUACAAUGAAAGAUACAACCCUUUCUCUCCUUCUGCGUGAUAGAAAAGUCAAUCCCCCAUGGUGCGACUAUGUUCCCUCGUCCUUUUUGAAAAAUUUUGGUGUUUUCCCCCCAAAAAAUCCCCUCCAAAAAUCUAAUUAUAAAUGUCUGCUUUGGCCUAAUGUGUGUGCUACUUUUUUUUUCCUUCUUUUUAUGGUUGUGCGUGCUUUUCUUGAUACGUGGCUUAUUUCUUAAGGAUAUGAUUCGCUCCCAAUUGGUGUCUCAGCUGAUUCAUGUCCUUUCAAUGGUCCCUGACAGUGGUGCCAUUUGAUUCGUGUCCAGCUGGUGUCCCUUGAUUGUGGUCCUCAGAAGGGAGUAAUCAAUAAAAUUUAUAACCUAUUACACCAUGUAUUAGGAUAGCCUUAGCUAGCAUAGCAUAGUGGCUCUAGGGUCGUUUAUUGGGAUGAGUUUUCACUUCACAAUUGAUAUUAAUUCAAGAGCUGAAUUGGUGCCUUUUCAUUUCAAGGUUAGCUUUAAAAGAAAACAUAAUCUUUGGUGGAAAAAGGUUUGGUUUUAAACUAACCAAAAAUAGUAACUGAUUUUACUUACAAAGAAAAGUGUUCUUUGGAGUUUAGAUCACUAGGCUCAGGUUCCUCAUACAAAAAGGAGAGUUCCGAUCAUUUGUUUCUUUUCCUCGCAUUAGAGAAUUAACAUAUAGUUAAUUCUCUAACCGGUGCGGUACAUAUGCUUCCCAUUAAUGGGUUCAAACACUAAAUACCUCUCACUGAUGCACCUUGCAAUGGCUCGUGCCUCUCACCUAGCAUUUAUCAUUCAAGGUGAUCUUUAACCUUGGAUUACCCAUCAAAAGCUCGCAAGAGAUAACUAAAGGAUGUCUCCUUAGAGUCCAAAAGCUUACCAAGUGUUGGUUAUUCUAGAAAAUCCUACCUUCAAACCACCUCCCAAAGGCUCGCAAGAGAUAAACAAGUGCAUCUCAAUGGAUGAAGAUCACUUGCCUUACCAAGUUUUGGCCCAGAUGAUUUAAUGACAUUUUAAGUUAACUAAAAAGAUAAAAACCAUUAACGGGUCACACUUUCUCUUCAUUAAAAACUAAAACAACAAAACUUCCAAUUUAUGCAUGAGGAAACUUACCUGGCUUUCUUCACUUCAAGAGAUGAAGAGCCUAGCCACUCAUCAUUUGAGGAAAAAUCCUCAGAGUUUGAUUUGCUAGAAAUAAAAAUAAUGAGAAAACAAAAAUAUAUAUAUGAAAAACAGAGCAAGUUCUCUGUAAUAUAUUUUUCUUCCUUAUACAAAAGGUUGUCUCUAAGAACAAGUUCCCGAGAUCUAUCUGAUUGUAAAUAAAAUUACAACUAUAUAUAAGAGGUUAUUCACCCCUUUGUUCUUUCUUAAAGACUAAGGAAUCCUAUGAUAGGUGGGUUACAAGGAGAGUUUGGGGAUUUAGACAUCAAAUAUCUAAAGCAAAAUAUCUCAAGAUGUUAGUCGGAAAUAUCAGGAAGCUUCAGGAGAACACCGCGACACUGUAUACUGAGAGAAAAACUCUCCGGGUAAGCUCUAUCAAAGGAUCCAGACAUGUCUGACUGGGAAAGUUGAAACGUCCUUCUCUCCCAUCCGGAUGUGAGAUAUCCGGAGAAAGUGAAAUGUCGGUCGGACAGAAUUCUUUCCCCGGGUGGAAUGAGUUGUGUUGCGCGUCGCAAGGGGGACCGUCUGCGUGUACAAGUUGUAGGGACCCCUCUCCCGGAUGACACCGAGCGCGUAAGGCUAUCCGGAUCAACUCCAUUCGGAUUCCCCAAGAGGACAUGUGGCGUGCUCCCCUAUCAGGACUCCCUUAGGGAGAAGCACACGACACUCGUGAACAUCAUACCCGGACGAUAGCAUGUCCUAUCCGGAUGUGUUGUCCGGAUCAUUGACUAAAGUGAGCAAGCCUUGCUACGUCAUUCGGACAGCUUGCCACAUACCAUGUUCCGUCGCCAUCUGAUGGUGUGUCCGAACGCCUUGUCCGGACAUCUUUUGCUCCUUGCAUUCCGGAUUUGCUUAUGACAAAGGACUUCAAAGCUUCGGUUCUUCAUGUUUCUGAGCUUUCCAUUGCUUUGCCAUGGAUUCCAAAGAACUCUCCUUAAUCACGGAUUGCUUUGGUGAUCAAAAAGUUAUCAAAACACAAAAACUUAACAUAGUUUGAUUAGAAUUGAUUGCAAGGGUUCUUAAUAUGUUAAUUGGGUUAAAAGGUGAUAACUACUACUCAAAAGUGUUUAUAAGAAUUAAUUACAAGCUAUGAAAUAACACUUUUUGAGUAGUAAUCAGGAUACAUCCUAGUUUUUCAUGGAAUUGAUAGUGGGUUGUUGUGCAUGAAUGCCACCAUUUCAACUAUGCUGUUGUUAUUUUUAAAAAAAAUAUGGAUUAUGCGCGAGUGGCAAUUCUCCACUAUGGAAAGUGGAUUGCUCCUUCAACCCAUGCAUGGCUACGUAUUCCUAUGUCUUUCUACUUGUGUUUGAUCCUCCAAAAAAAAUUUCGGUUUAGUGCUAGUAGAUUUUAAGUGGUGGAUCCCCAUUUUUUGAAAAUGAAGUGGCAGCCUCCCAUUUCAAGACAAAAUGGUAGCCUGCCUUUAAUCUUUGGAGAAAAAUCUGUGCAUGACCUUUUUUUUUCCCAAAAAAUCCGUGCAUGGUGUCCUUUAAUAUUUGGAGAAAAAUCUAUGUUGGAUCUUUUCUUUUCUAGAAACAUUUGUGUGGUCUUUUUUGUUAGCCCAAGGGUUCUUCUAAUCAAGUUUUGAUGAUAACAAACCAUGGUUAAGUGACUAAUUGGUUUAAUGAUUAAGAAUCUCAAACAUAAAAUCGAAAAUUCAUCAAAGGACCAAAUGGAUACAAGAUCGAGACGCUUGGAAGACUUGUAAUCAUAGGAAACUAAUGUAAGAUGAAUGCAUGAGUGCACUUAGGAUUUUCACACGUUUCAUGCAACUUAGAAAACCCAGUUUAUUCUUUAAAACUUCAUCCCAGUUUAUUCUUUUUAUGGUUGUGUGUGCUUUCCUUGAUACGUGGCUUAUUUAUUAAGGAUACAUCCCAGUUUUUCAUGGAAUUGACAGUGGGUUGUUGUGUGUGAAUGCCACCAUUUCAACUGUGCUGUUGUUAUUUAAAAAAAAAAAAAAUGGAUUGUGCGCGAGUGGCAAUUCUCCACUAUGGAAAGUGGAUUGCUCCUUCAACCCAUGCAUGGCUACGUAUUCCUAUGUCUUUCUGCUUGUGUGUGAUCCUCCAAAAAAAAUUUUGGUUUAGUGCUAGUAGAUUUUAAGUGGUGGAUCCCCUUUUUUUGAAAACUAAGUGGCAGCCUCCCAUUUCAAAACGAAGUGGUAGCCUGCCUUUAGUCUUUGGAGAAAAAUCUGUGCAUGACUUUUUUUUUCCCAAAAAAUCCAUGCAUGGUGUCCUUUAAUAUUUGGAGAAAAAUCUAUGUGGGAUCUUUUAUUUUCUAGAAAAAUUUGUGUGGUCUUUUUUGUUAGCCCAAGGGUUCUCCUAAUCAGGUUUUGAUGAUAACAAAUCAUGGUUAAGUGACUAAUUGGUUUAAUGAUUAAGAAUCUCAAACAUAAACUCGAAAAUUCAUCAAAUGACCAAAUGGAUACAAGAUCGAGACGCUUGGAAGACUUGUGAUCAUAGGAAACUAAUGUAAGAUGAAUGCAUGAGUGCACUUAGGAUUUUCACACGUUUCAUGCAAUUUAGAAAACCCAGUUUAUUCUUUAAAACUUCAAUUUCAUUAAAACCCGAGUUUUUAACUAAUGUACCUUAGGCAAAAUGUUUUAUAAUUGGCUUAAUAAUUCACCUAAAUACAUUUUCUAAGUGUUAGAAAAGAAAGGAAUUAAAAAAAGGUUUUCGGGGCAAAAAAGGCUCAACCGGUCGAGGCUAUGGUCAACCGGCUCAACCGGUUGAGGAACCAAUCGAUCGGUUGUGCUUGUCCGAUCGAAGACCAAUCGAGGGAUGCCAAAAAAUUUCUCUCUCUCCUAGUGGCCUUCUCUUCCCGGUCGAGGUUCGGUCUAGGCAACGGUAACAUGUCAAGCAUUAAAUGCUCCGACGACUAGUGAAUCGGUCGACCCCUAGCCCGAUCGGACGAGGUUGCCUUUUGCUGUUUUUGACUCCCGAGCUUAGAAACCUAUAAAUUGAGAGCUCCACUUCAUUUAUUGAUAAAAGAGAACACUUGCAUUCAAUAGUCUACCUACCUUUUCUUGAUCAAAAAGCUCUCAUUUCCUUCAUAGUGCAUUAAAUCAUCACUUGCAUAUCCUUUAGUGCACUAUUGUGUGUCAUCCUAGCUUUGUUUUGUAUUUGAGCUAUCCUUAAGCUAGGUUGAGGGAUUAUUUCUUAUAAAAAUCUGAGUGUUAAAGCCUUCAAGAGAUUUGAAUCUUGAAGAGAUUGUGUAAGAGCCCAUUGGAGCCGGAGUCCAAGUGUAAGAAGAUUGGAAGCUUGGUUGAAGCUUCAAGUUAGUGGAACCCUCACUCGGUUAGGAGGUUGAGGAGAGUGGACGUAGGUAAGGAAGUGUCGAACCAUUAUAAACCCGAGUUUGAAUUCUCUAACUCUAUCUCUUUAUUUUGCUUAUAUUGUGUUUGAAUUUGUUGUGAUUGAAAAGAUUUUAAAAACCUAAUUCACCCUCCCCCCUUUUGGGUUUUUUUUUCUUAAUUAAGCAUAACCUUUGUUUUCUAAUUUUCUUUUUAGGAAAAUCCAUGCGUGGUAUGUCCAAACUCUCCAAGUGGCAGUCUGCCUUCUUCUAAAAAAUUUGUUUCUAUUUCUUUAUUCGACUACCUUCCAUGUCUUCCUAAUGAGUGCUUGUGCUCAAUGGUCAAUCCCUGGUGGUUGCCUCCUUUUCCCAUAUAUACGUGUUGCAAAAUCAACAUCCCACUAUAUGUGGGUUGCCUCUAUGGCAAGUUCACAUUUCCCACAUGAAACCUAUGAGUUUCCACCAAAAAUUGCCAUGAAAAAGUCUUUAUAUGCAUCUCAUGCAAUAAAAAGUCAAGCCAAUACUCAUCUUAUCUCGAAAAAUAAGUAACCAAAAUCAAGAUCAUGCCUAAGUGAACUAUGCCAAAAGAAGUGUCCAAGUGACCUAUUAUGAAAAAAGUGCCUAAGUGACCUAAGGUGAAUGUGUGUAAGCUGGAAGGUGUCUAGGAUGUUUAGGACAAUGCCUAAGCCUAAAAUAGGGUUGCCAAGGGUCACAAUGGGGUUAGAUAAAUCUCUCAAUCAGAGUCUCCAAGGUGGCUCAUAAAAGAUAAGCUACACGAGUAAUGAUGGGCCACCAGGGAAUUAUUGUAAAGCACCAAACGAACACAUAAUAGGACAUGUGUUAGAAUGAAAAAAUGGAGGGUUUACAAGUGGUCUCAUGGAUGAGCUUGAUAAUUUAAAUGACUCACAUAAUGAACGUAUGUGAUGUUUCUCUCCAAUAACAAGCAAAACAUCACUAGCAAUAUGAUGAAUGUCUCCUAAAUCACUUGAAGUAGUCCUAGCAAAUCAAUUAGAAAAAUCACACAUAUUGCUCUAAUGUAAUAUUAUAUACAUCUGUCAAUGAAUGGGAGAACUAAUGACACAACCAUCAUGUUGAUAUCUCGAACCCUCUAAUCUCAUAUGUAGGUGGGAUCACACUUAGAAACUCAUAACACAGUAAUGACCAAUCUAAGUCAAAAUGUGUUGGUGAUCGGAGGCCCAUGAAUAUGAAGUUCUAGGAUGAUAAUGACAUCUUAUAAAGUAAUGAUCAUCUCCUUAAUAGAUAGGUGAAAUGUGUGUGUCUUAGGACACCAUCUCUCAACAAGACUUGUGAUCAAUCCCCAGUCUAGUGUAACAUGCCUAUUAUGACAUCCAUCGUAAAAUCUAGACUAGAUAAUAUAAGGACAAAUGUGAGGGUUCAUCUCCCUUUCCCACAUAAAUUUAAAAAAUUAUUAUUGACAAGUUAAGACCAAACUAAGUUGCAAAAUAUAAAUAAGUCCAUUAGAUAACAAAUUUAUGUUUUCUCAUUUUCUCAUUUUUAAAGAGAUAUUAUGUGCUUCCAUGUACAUACAUGCUAAAGUCAAUUAUACGAGACUUAUAUCCAUCUUGUAGAACCAAAUCGAACCUAUCUAAUAGAUCCAGAUUAGAAGUAUGUCCUCUAUACUCCAUAUUUAUAACACAUUUAUAAAGAUAAAUGCUAAAAAAAUGUUAAAGAUAUAAAUUUAAUGAACCAUACUUUAUGAUUUUAAUUCUCAAUUAUUGUUCAUAUUUAUAAGAGAAAAGUUAAAAAAAUUGAUAGAGUUUUCCCUCUAUCAUGGACAUUAUCCCAAAUAAAAAUAAAUUGAUUAUGCAAAUUACAUUAAUAUUUGUAACCAAAUGAUCAAUAACUAUCUUGUAUCAAUUUAGUAAAUAAAUUUAAGUAUAUCUUUUCAUUUAUGACUAACAAAUAACUCAUACUUGUCCAAUAAAAGCCACACCUAAUUUCUAAAAUUUUGUCUUCACCUCAAGUGAGUGUUACAUUGAGAAAGAAAAAAUAUGAAAGAAAAAAUGAACACCUUUUUCUUUUAAUAAAAAAAGGCCAUAACGAAACAUUAAAUCUCACUGUUACACCUAUCUUCAAUGGAAACAUGAGGAUGUGAAUGGUGGCGGUGAUAUUCUUUGCUUGAAGCUCAUAAACAAAUAUUCCUUACUAAGCCUAUGCCAUUUAGUAUUUCAAUAGUGGACCCCCCCCCCCCCCCCCCCCCCCUCCUUGCAUUUCAGAUUUAGCAAACUUAGAACCAAAUAACAAAGUGCAUUUGAACCCAUAAAGAAGUAAUGAGACUCUCCUAUAUUGGCAAUAGAAGAAAUUUUUGGAGGUAUAGGAGAUUCACGGAUGAAGAAGUUGGGCCCCAAUUGAGAUAAGACCCAAGAAAAGAUGGGGUAGAGAGGGAUGGUUGGAAAUUGUAAAGUAAGAUUUUCAAAAUGUAGUUGAUGACUAAGAUUUUGACAAUUUAAAAAAGGUUUAAAAAUGUAGUUAGCAAUCGGGGUUUUGUAACAUUUAAAAAAUAAAAUAAAAUCUCAGGCCACAUGGUAGCCCAUGUGAUUCAGAAGCUUGAGAAUUAUUUUAUAAGAAGACUUAAUUUGUGAUUUUUUUAUAACUAUAUUAUUUUUUUUCUUAACACACGAAAAAAAUUAUGAAAUAAGACAAUUUUCCUAAGAAAGCAUGUAAGUGACUCUUGGUUAUUUUAUUUAACUUCUUCUAGUUUGGAGAGGAUUAAUACCUUUGCUUUUACUCACUUGCUUGGAUAUGUACACGUUGUUCAUGUCACUUUUCAUUUAAUUUUCUGAUUAAGGGAAUUGGAACCGUACGUAACUGUCUUUAUUCCCUCUGAAACUUGGACUUGGAGUUGGACUUUCAAUCUCAUCAGUCGUGUUUCCAUAAAAAAGAAGAUGGAUUAACCAAUUUUCCUAUGCCUACUAAUCAUACACAAAACUCCACUUCCAAAUAAAAAGGAAUGGGAUAUCACUUGUUAAUAGUGGCUAAAGACUAUUAAUAACCAUGCAAAGAAAUGUCACAUUUUUUGUUCUACGCAAAUUUUAUUCAUCAACUACUAGAACCAUUUCAUACAAUAGUAGCUUUUCGAUCCUUUGAUAAAUGGACACUUGAUGUGAUAACACCAACUACACCUAUAUAUUCAAGCAAUCAUGCGUAUAUAAUAGUGGAUAUGGAUUACUUCUCUAAAUGGGCAAAAGUUUUGUCAUUCAAGGAAAGUGAACGAGGAAACACAAGUUUACUUUCAUCGGAACUAAUAUUAUAUAUUGAUAUGACUUCCCAUUAUUACUUACGAUGGAAUAUGCUUCCAUAAAAUGGCCUAGAUGAACAAACUAUCCAAGAAGUUUGGGAUCAAAUAAUAUAUAUAUAGUUCAUGUGUGAUUCUUUGGUUGACAACCUUGUUAAGGGGUGAGUGAAGCACUUUGGGCAUACCACAUACUACAUGCUAGACUUCCACCCAAGCUACCCUAUAUUCCUUAUGAACAAAGUAGAAGUUGUCAUCUCUCUUGAAUACCAAAUCCUUUCACCUAAUAAUGCUAUCUAAAAAGGUCUUAAAAAGGAUAAAAAUGCGCAUAUUUGAAUUUUUGAAUUAGGAGUGCUACUUAAAAAGAAGCUAGAUAUACAAUAAUAGAAUGUUAUCAAGCAUAUCUCUUCAAAGUUUUUGACCAAAAAAUAUAUGAUUUCUCAUUUUAGGUAGGAGACUUAGUACUCACUAUUCAAAAACCAAUUAUCAUUACUCAUAAAAACUAAUAGAAAGUUUGGGCCAAAGUAGGAUGGACCUUAUAUUAUGCAACAAUUAUGCCUAUAAAAUUGUUGCAAAAGAGGUUUUAGAAUCAAAUCAAUGAAUGAAAAAUUAUUAAAGCAUUACUAUGCUUGAAGGCUAGUCAUUUUCCCUUAAAGUGCAAUAUUAAGUUGCAUAGUACUAUGUGGAUCCGCAUUUUUCACAUGCGUUCCCACUCAUUGUCGAGACUCACUUUUUAGAAGUGAAAAAUUAGUUUUAUUAAAGUCGAAGUUGCCACUGGGGAUUUGAACCCUAACAAAAGGUUCAAUUUAAGGAUAAAAAUAUCGAUAAUCACAUAUAUAUAUAUUGGUACUUUGAUUUUAUGAAUAUAUUGAAGAAAUAUGGACAAAUAUUUUGACACAAAAUAUGUACAAAAUAAAAAUUAUAUAAAAAGUAAAAAUAAAUAUUUUAAAAUUAUUUUUUUAAAUAUAUAUAUAUAUAAUUUGACAUAUUUGAUAAUAAUAUAUAAGGGUCUCCAAAAAGCCCGUGGCCCGCUUUAGGCCCGGUCCGACCCGACAGGCUAAAGCCCGGCCCAAGCCCGCCGGGCCCAAGCUCGGCCCGAGCCCGUUUAUGGGUGGGCCGGGCCGCGAGCCCGUAGGCCUGCUCCUUUAAAAAAAAACUACAAAAAUAAAAAGUAUUAAAAAAAAUAUUCAUUUCAAAAUUUUAUUCAUUGAAUGUAUAAUUACAUUUGAAAAUGUGGGAAAAGUUUACAUCACUACAAAAUAAAUACAUCCCAACUAGGUUGGCACCUAUUUAUUUGUCAAUCAUCUGUAUUUUUCAACCACAAAAAAUAAAAAUAAAAAUAUAAUAUACAUUUAGUCAUUAUUUUCUGGCGGUGAUGGCGAACUAUCAUGCAUCCAUGAAGAUCUUGAUAAUUUUAAAGAUUCCAUAUCGGUAAGCAUCUUUGUUUCUCGAAUGGAAUCAUACAUCCUUUUAUCUGCUAUUUCCCAAUCUUUCACACAUAUCCCUGCUUUAAUAACAUCUGACGCUAAGUUGCAUCGUUUUUUACUAACUACUCUUCCACCUGCACUAAAAGCAGCUUCUGAUGCAACUGUACUCACAGGAACUGUUAGUACAUCACGAGCAAUUAUAGAAAGCACAGGAUAUUUGUGUUGAUGUGAUUUCCACCAUAUUAAAAUAUUAAAAUCUUCUUGAUCUUCAAAUGAAAUUAUAUCAGUAUUAAGAUAUUUAUCUAAAUCAGAUGUAUUAUUUGGAGAAUUAUUUGUUGUCUUUUUUCGACUUUUCAACAUUUCUAGAGCUCCUUUAUAAAAAGAUGAGGAGUUUGUAGAUGUAGGUGGUAAUUUAAUAGUAUUAAUAUCAUUACCAUAUUUUUCUUUAUAAUAGUUAUAUAAAUUAUAUAAUAAUGAAUUUAUUUCAUUUUUAAUUUCUUCAAUUUUUAUUUGGUCAUUAAAAUAAAUAAUUGUUAACCAUUCAUCCAAAGCUUCAAAUUUCAAUCUAGGGUCCACAAUUAAAGCAAUAUAAAAAAUUAAAGGUAUUUCUCCCCAAUAUUUUCUAAAUUUUUAUAUCAUUACAAAUAUUGUAUCAUUAAAUAUUUCAAAACUUAAAUAUUUUUGAAGUACAAUAAAAAUAUUAGUUAUUUGCGUAAUAACUCGAUUUGAAGUUGGAUAAUAUACACCACAAAAAAUGUUUGUUGAAGUAUCAAAAAUUUCAAAAAGAUCUCUUAAAACAUCCGCAAUAUGCCAAUCAUAAUCAUUUAAUGCAUAAAUAUCUGCUUCAUAAUCAUUGUUAAUUAAUUGUAUUUCAUAUAAUUCGACUACUUUUCUAUAUUUUGUAAUAUUUUCUAAAAGUUUAUAUGUGGAAUUCCAUCUAAUAGCCAUAUCCAAAUUUAUAUUUUUUCUUUUCAUAUUUAACAUUUUGCAACAAUCAAAAAAUAAUUCAUGUUUUGCUUGAAAACUAUUAAUACUAUAUGCAAUGCCUCUAAUUUUUUUCCAAUGUACUAUCAACAUUUUUUAAUCCAUCCUUUACAAUUAAAUUUAAAAUAUGUGCACAACAACGCACAUGAAAUAUUUUAGCAUGAUCUUCUUUUACUUGCCAAUAUCGUUUUAGUCUAUGUAUUGCUGCAUCAUUAUUAGCAGCAUUAUCUAAUGUUAUUGUCAAUAUUUUAUCACGAAUGCCUAAAUCUAUAAUUUCAUCAUUUAUUAAAGAUGCUAUAUUUUUACCACUAUGUGGAGUAUUUAUUAAUUUAAAUAAAAUUAUUCUUUUAUUUAAUUUCCAUUCAUUAUCAAUGUAGUGAACAAUUAUAUAUAAAAAACCAGUAUGAGUUAAAGAUGUCCAAAUGUCAGAUGUUAAACGAAUAUUUCCUUCAAAAUUUGCAAAAUUUUUUUUUAAAAUUUCUUUUUGUGUAUAAAUUUUUUUCAUAAUAUCUCUUUUAACUGUAUUUCCAGAUCAACCUUUAAAUUGAGGAUUAAUACCUCGUUGAAUUGUUCUUGCAAAAUCAUGAGUUUCCAUCAUGUUGAAAGGUUGUUCUGCUCUUAUUAUAUAAUCAAUCAUUUCUUCACAACAGUUAGAUUCAUCAUAAGAAAAUGUUUUUAAAUUUCCACUUUCAUUUUUACUUAAUUGCAUAUAAUUUCUAAUAUCUACAUUAUUUUUAGUUUUACAAUUUUCAUGAUGUCUUUUUAAAUGACUUGUAUCUGCAUUUGAGCCACCAGUAAGAAAUUUAUUACAAAUUUUACAUUUUGCUUUUAUUUUUUUUUUAUUAUUUUCUAAAAUUAUUUCUAUUCUAUCAAAAAAAUUCCAUAUAUUUAAAGUAAAUUUUUUGUUUGAUGAUAUUUCAUCACAUGGACUAGACGAAGAAGCACUUGUCAUAUUAUAAUUAUUGAUAAAAUAUUAUGCCAAAAAUAAUAAAGUAAUAAAUAUAAAAAAAAAUGUAACAAAAAAAAUAAAGUAGUAGGGGUGAAGUAUGUUACUCAAUUAGAGAACCUAUGCAGAAAUUCCUAGCAAAUUUGAACUCUUGGAGCCACCAAUGCUUGUUUUGCACCAUCAACAAUAUUGUAUAAUUUGAGGGAAAAAUAAAAGAAUUUAAAAUAUUGUAGAAUGUGAGAGAAAUAGAGAGAAUUUGAUGAAAAAAUGAAAAGGAAGAAAAUGUAUUUAUAGGAAGGUUAAAAAUAAUAAUAAUAAUAAUAAUAAUAAUAAUAAUAAUAAUAAUAAUAAUAAUAAUAAUAAUAAUUGGCCAUGUGACCGUUGGAGGCUUAGCUCCAACGGUCACAUGGGCUGGAGCUAGGCUCCAACAGUCACAUGACCGUUGGAGCCUUUAAUUUUUUUUUUUAAAAUAAUAUACUUUAUUUUUAUAUAUAUAUAACUAACUCAAUUAAUAAACAUAAAAAGAAUAUAGUUCAGUUGGUUAGAACCUUGAAGUUUAAACAUGAGGGGAGGGGUUUGAAUCCCUCCCUCUCCCUUAGGGGCUUUUUUAAAAGCCAUUUUGGCUUAUUUCAAAAAGCCUGUCGGCCCGACCCGCCCUGCAGCCCGCGGGCCUAGCAUUUUAGCAUGGCCUGGUCUGUUGACUAGUCAAAUGGCUCAUAGGCUCGGCCCGAACUGGGCCGCGGGCCUCUUAUUUACGGACCGGCCCGACCCGGCCCGCCCGUUGGAGACCCUUGAUAAUAUCUUCUAUAUUAAGUUACAUUAUAGUUUAUUUUACAAUAUUAUUAUGAUAAUAUGUCUAAUUUUAAAAUAUAUUUAAUAUUAAAAUUAUGAUCUAUUUUAAUUUAAAUGUAUUCAAUGAUAUCAAAUAAAUAAUAAUAUAUGUAUAAUUCUUUUAUUAUUUAUAUUUAUUAUUUUUAAUAAAUAUAUAGAUUAUAUAAAAAAGACCGGAUAUAUCUUUUCAAAUUUUGUAUCGCUCUCCAAGGAUAUUAGAUGUAUGGGAAUUUGUAUUGCUAUCUACGGAUACGUUGAUAUAUGGGUGAUUUAUCAGGAUAAUUAGAAAUUCUAAUUAUGUAAGCAGGUACGGAGUUCUGUGUCGGUGCGAUCUUGUCGACAACAGCUCCAAAUUGUGCAUCUUGCUCAUAGAGAGUAGCGGAAUGCACCAAUCGUAGGCUCAGAGUACCACUGAGUCGUCUGGCAGAGACCCAACUGAAGGUGCCUGUGUUGUUCCUGAUCUGAUCAGGCUUCAAACUACAAGGUGGAAUACUGGUUCCCCUAUAUCAGAAGCUGGAGAUACCCACCCCAUAUGCUCGUCUGGAUGUGCUCCUACCCUUUGAAGCCUUCUUCCGAGUCAAGUCCGAAUUGAUAAGGCUAGUGAGUUCCCAACCAACUGUACUCAGCAUGCUGCCAGGUGGAGACCCUCCAUAUUUGAUGGCUUCCUAAUAUUAAAAUGCUGACCACUGGUCUUCAUGUUCCACAGGCUUAAUUGUGUCCUUUGCUGAAAGAAUGGAUAGUGAUCCAUUUUAACACAUGAUUCACGCCGUCUUUGCCAUUCUUCAUGGUCUAGCCCUUUUAUAUAUAUGCUUCCUGAACUGUUGCUAUUAAUAAAAUGUGGUAUCUAUCCCGUACACCUUCCUGAUGGCCAGCGAAUGCAGAAGCUACAGAAACGGUUCCAUCUUUUGCUUCCGCCACUUUGGCAUCCUCCAUGAUGAGAUCGAAGGUGAAUAAUCAUAUUCUGGGGAUUUAUGUCCUGGAUAUUCUCAGUAAUGCCCAAUUUCCUGGUGCCGGCCUCAUUUCCAUGGGAACUGAUGGAUAACUUAAGGCUUCUACCAUCUGCGUGGUUCGCUUCUAACACAGGAAACUUCACGGCUAAAAGCAAGAUACCAAGAACAUCAAGGCUGUGACAAAAAUUAGUAUUUUUAACUUGUAGGAAUUUGAAAGGCAACCAACCAUCUAGCUCUGUUCUUAAAGCUCCCAUAGGAGGAUCAGAGGCUGGAUUGCUCAAGAUGAACUCAUCCAUUGUUGCACUUAAAAAGAAUUGGCAUGAAUUGUGGCCGCUCUAAUAGGUUCCCUAAACCAUCAUCCAAGUGGGCUUGCGGAAGGUAGCGAGUUUAAAACACCUAGGGCGAUGAACAGUGGACUGUGAUGCUCACAAAAGAGAAAAGGAAGAAUUCAAUAAUUCCUAAGAAUCCAUUUGCCUGUCAUCCAAAUUUUUAUAUUCUCUUCAGUCUGACGCGUUAUGCCAUAUAUUAAAAAUAGCGGCUUCUUCCAAGCCGAGACAGACUGUGCAAAGUUCGCAAGGCCAAUCAUCACCAUAAUCUGAAGUUGGCCUCCUCAAUCGCAGCUUGUAUCCGAAUGCUCACUUCACGGGAUGGAUUGUAAUGAAAACUAAUCUCAGUCCCAGCUAUGGCAGCAUCCUCACUUGACAGCAUUUUCUGCAUAUUCUAGAACAAAGCAAUAAACCCUCAAAGGCUCCUUCGGAUCAGAGUUAGAAGACUGUCCCUCAGGAACGUGAACACUAUGGUGGUUCUGAUAAGCAGUGAUAUUGCAUUAGAGCCUUUUGGAACAAGAGGAUCUUUUCAGGUGGAAACUGUAAACUGCUUCAUGUUGGGCUGCAACCUUUUCUUCAAGCAAUACUUUCUUUCUGUAUCACGACUUAUGUUGCUUCCGGAGCCAUCCCGUGUGGACUGCCCUUCAGUGAAAGAAUAUGUGUGUUGACAUGUUGGAUUGUAAUCUUUGUUCCACUCUAAUGGCUUUUGGUCCUCCUCUUUCUCUUUAUGACAGAGAACCAUUUAGUGAUCCAUCUCUAUAUUGUAGCAUUGCUGGUGCUUUGCAAUACUACACUCUCACCAAGCAUAACAUCUAUUUUUCCGUGACCAAAGUAUGUCGGUUUAUGCAUGCGCAAACUCUUAUUCAUUGGCAAGUUGUCAAGCGUAUCUCAUGAUUUCCCAAAGCCACAAGUUCUUAUGGUCUUUCUGUUCAAGCUUACAAUGAUCUAUCUUUUCUUGGUUAUACUGAUGUCGAUUGGGCUAGUUGCCCUGAUAACAAGCACAAUACUAGUGGGUACAACACUUUUCCUGGUCCUAAUCUCAUUUCAUGGGCAUUUUCAAAGCAGAAGGUUGUGUCUCACUCCAAUAACGAAUCUGAAUAUAGGGGACUCACUAAUUAAUGUUGUUGCCAAGGUCACUUGGAUUGAAUCUGUCUUACGUGAGUUGCGUGUUUCUCUACCCCAACCACCAAUUUUGUUGUGUGACAACAUUAGUGCUACACACUUGGACAAACCAUGUUGAAAUACACUAUCAUUUUAUCCAUGAAAGGCUUAUGCAUCACACACUCAAAAUUCAAUACACCUCUUCUAUAGACCAACUAGUCAAUGCUAUGACCAAAGCUCUUCCUUCAUCUCACUUGUACAAUCUUCAGUGCAAGCUGAUUGUUCUUCCCAAACCACUCAACUUGAGGGGAGAUGUUAAGCCAAUUUAAUAAAUUGAUUUCUUUUGGUUAAUUUGUUAGAAUCAUUUUUAUUAGAGGUUUGUUUGUACAAUUACAUCCAUUUAUCAGGAGAGUACACGUGUACAACUCCUCUUUUAAUCUCACCAUUGUAUAUAUAUGAUACACGACCUUACUCAGAAUUGCAUAACAUUUCCUCUGCUCAUUCCUUUUCUUCUUUGAAUUUUCCCUUACCUCACUGAUUUUGAUUUAUACCUGGUGUUUUCACCUUUGGUCUCUACCUUUCUAGCCAGUUUUCUAAUUAAUCCGUAUAUGGUAUACCUGUCAACUAAUGAGGAGAAAGAGAAAAGGGGAUUGCUGUUCCACCAGCUACAUAUAAUAAUUAAUUACAAUCAUGGUAAUGGAUCCUGAAAUCCAUCCUUUGUGGAUUUUGUACGGAAUAUUGUUGUUAUGUAUGUGGGCUCACUUAGAUGUAUAUUGCUAGCCUGUCUGGGAAAUGUGAUUGCAGGUCCAGAUUAUGAUGUUGAUAUUAGUGGGAUAAGCAAGAGAUGCAGUUAACACGUAUGUGAUGGACUUGAGUAACUUUUCCAUUUCAGUCCAUUUUUUAAGAUUAUGCUUAGUCUUAUUACAAGGAAAGACCAUAAGAAUCAUGAGUCAUUGGCAAGGUAAUAUCAUUCCCUCUUUACAGGCUUCUUCACCUUUUGGUUUUUUUAAUAUCCAUCAAGAUCUUUUAAUUGGAGGACAAUUACAAGUAUAUAUAUAUGUAUUAAAAGGGGAAAAUAUUAAAACAGGAAAUUUUAGGGAAAAUAUAAUAAUUAUUUCUUCCUUCUUUCCCAUAUAGAACUACACAAAAUAAAACUUUAAUAAUUUUUUCUUAUCUUUUUUAUUAUUAUUUUUUCUUAGAAACAUCCGUGGUCUCACAAGCUUGUAAUCCUAGAUUGUUAGGCUCCUUUAACAGUGCCCCAACAUCGUGGUCCAAUGACAAGCUUCCACGCCUUAAAAUCAGAAAAUGCCAUUAAACUUUAUCAGACAUUACAGUUCAAGACAAAGCUUUCAUUUGCUUAAUGUGAUAAUGAAAUUGUUAAUUUCAUUUCGUGGGCAUCUAAAUUUGGACGAGCAAGACCUCUGAAUUCCCUGUUUUUAUCACCAGCAGAGGAGAUAAAAUCUUAAUGGUGAGAAUCUCCACGUGAAAUUUAUGUGUACUGUCAACAUAUUUUUGUUUAUAUAGUCCAGUAGCUGCAGGAAGUCUAGAUUAUAUAGGUAGCAGUAGCACUAUUUAUAGCACUCGAUAUUCGCUGUAUGAAUACAUUAAACCUUGUUUUCAAUACGCAUCACAAGCAAGUACUAGAUACUACAAGGAGUGACAGUCGCAUCAACAUUUCUUGAUAAUAGCAGUGACUGAUUUAUACACAGAACAGUACUGUACACGUACCAGUCACCAGAGAUAGGAUCUUAUUCCUACAUACGACUCUUAUUGAUCGAAGUCACUCAGUUGGGGUAGCCUGGAGUUGGAGGUUUGUGUGGUGGCUUCUUCUUUGGAGGAGGCUUUAUCUUUGGAGGCAUCAUCUUUGGAGGCAUCUUGUGUGAGUCUUCUUCAGCAUUCUCUACAGGAGGAUGGCCAGGCUUAUGACCCUUAGGUGGUUUGCCAACUGGGAUUGGUGGCUUGUGUCCUGAGAGUGGCUCCUCUUCUUCGGGAGGUUUGCCAACUGACGUUGGUGGCCCGUGUCCUGGGGGUGGCUUGUGUUUUGGGGGUGGUUUCACUCCACCGGGAGGUUUACCAAUUGGUGUUGGUGGUUUGUGCUCAAUCGGUGGCCUCUCAACUGGGGGGCGCUUGGGGUAAUCAGCGAGUGAAGAAGUGGUGAGAACCACCACUCCAAGCAACAACACUAGCAAGUAUGUGGAAGACAUCUUUGAGUUUGGCUCAGAUGGUGUAGAACUAGAAUCCUGGGUGGCCUUUUAUAUUAGUUGGGCCCUAUGCCCGAACGACAAGUGUCAUGGUGACACAUAAAGUGAUGGGGUCGAUUUGGGCCUACCGGAUUUGAAAACUUGGACAAUUCGAGAAGCGUCUCCUGACUCCGGGUUGUAAAGUGAAAGAUUAGGUAUCGACCAUUGAAGUAUGAUCACAACUUUUGGCCUUUGGCUCUCUCUACUGCCGUAUAGCUUUUUUCCUUUGGAUAUUUUUCUUAGCUAGACACAAUUAUUGAGCAGUCUAAUCUCGAAAUGGGAUUAGUAUAGCUUUAAGCAAAUUUAUUAUAGUUAGUGGAGGACUUUUAAGAGUGCAGACGACAUUUAACACAUGCAUGCAGUAGUAUAGGGGACAUAACACUAUUCUUUUUCCAAAGAUUCACAUGAUUUUUAUAUUAUAGUAUUGGCACAUUGUAUGUAGCUGGUUUUGUGGUUAAAAUUCCAUAUGUAGACACUGGCGUUUCUCCAUUUCUCACAAUUGAUGUUUACCUCCACGAUUACUAGAUUAGAUAUACCAAACAAUAACACAUUGUAUAAUCUAUCCGCCCUUCAAAAUCUACUGUAUGAUGAAAUGUUUCAUGUGUGUGUGAAGUGUUAGAAAUGCACUAUAGGCAACAUCAUCUUCUUUUGUCUAGGCUUGGGCCUCAAAUUAUACUCCCAUGCCAUGAUAAAUUUUCAUGUGCAUUCUCUAAAGAAGAGUGUCUUGAAUGUGCCAAAUCAUUUUGAUUGAUUUUAUGAUGUUAAUUGCUCCGCAUAUGGAUGGGUAUGUGCUUUAUUUGCUUAUUCAAUCCACAAUUACCUUGAACUGAAGUCCUAUUGGAGCUCUAUUAUUUUAGCAACGUCCUGUCAAAUAGGCUGCUAACUUGGGGUGGUAUGGACCCAAUGAUCCAUCUUAAUCUUGGGUUGAUUUUGUCUGACUCUAUCUAUCUCAGAGAGAACCAGGAUCACCAGUGCUGGUCUGCUUAAAGAAGACUCAGUACUGGAUUAAUAUUGGUUUGGGUCAAUAGCUUAUAAUGCAUUGAAUGCAGAAUAAACAAGAUCAAUGAAACCCAAAACACACUGCCCACACAACUUCACUCUGGUGUCUGUUAUUCAUCAAUUCUAUUCCCACAUGAACUGGUUCAAGUUUAAGAAAAUGACAACGGAUCCACUGUAUUAACUUGGUUUUGCUUGGUUUUGAGCUAGUUGCCAAACCAGCCAUGAGUUUUACCUCUAAUGUCAAUGAACAAACCCCAAAUGAACAACUGCAACAGCUUAAAGAGAAGGAAUGGAGAUGAAAAUCCCUGUUUCUUCUCAUUCUGGGGACAAAUUAGAACAUAACUACAAAGGUUCUAUUAAUUGACUUACUCUACCAUGAAUUAUGGUUCUUUGGUUUUCCAAAUUUAAAUUGUACAUGAGAUUAUUUUUUUCCUUUAUAUAUAAACAUAUUAAGGUUUUCUUAUUUCGUGGGCAAAUGCGCUAAGGAUGAAAGUCAUUUCAUUUGGCUGCAACAGCAUCUUAUAAUCAACAUGCAUAAGCAGCAGUUUUAAUUGAUCGAUUGAACACCGACUCACAAGAAUAGAUAGAAUGGUACAAGACAGCUCUUAUUAAUUUAUACUCGUUACUCAUUUUAUGUAGCCCCAUUAAGAUGGCUGGCUGGACCACCGAGGUCUGGGGGUGGUGUUGCUUGUGUGAUGCAGCGGGCCGGGCAGACACUUCUCUAGUUGCUUCUAUUUGGAGUUAGAGGAUCAGUCUCUGCCAACCUUGAGGACUCUCUACCUCAGAGGGUCCAGGUGGUGGACUCUGGUGUCGGUAGCUUUGAACUCUCAGUAGACUAGUGUGUCUUAAUCAGUCACUGCCAGAGGCUGGCGUAGGCAGUGACGAUAAGGUGAGACAAAUUACCGAAUAGUCAAUAUCGACUGCACUUGACCAUUAUAGAUUUGUUCUGACAAAAGUGAGAAAAGGGAGAAAAUCGGAUGUUGACCUUUAUAGAAAAAGAUAAGAUUUACUGCAACACAGAGCACUGAUUUGUUACUUGGAAACCAAGUUAUGCUAUUAGCUAGCCUCCAUUAGCAGCAGGGUACCUUGCUGCCUGAUCCUAAUCUGAGUUCCCAAGGUUUCAAUCUUCGUUUGUUAACGCUUCAGGAUUUGGAUAUUUCAGCUUCGUUUCUCCAUUUAGCCAACGCUGCCUGGUUUGGAUUUCAAUCCUCAUCUGGAACAUUCUUUUUUCGGUCUGAUUCAGGAAGUGUUUGGUGAUAGUUGAUUAAAAUUAAACAGUACUAUCAUACAAAUAAAGCUGAUCUAAUUUUGGUGGGCAAUAUACCAACUCAUUUAUUCUUGAAAACACCAUGGGGAAUUGGAGGUCCAUCCGAAGUACUAUUUGAUGGGACUCACAAAAAGAACAGGUGCACAUUUAUGAGAUCCGUGGAAGAGAUAACUAUGACAGCUAUGCAUGUACAACAGAUUUAUGUCGAGUUCACCUCGUAGAUAUUUUGUUUUCAGUGUCGGUGGACCCCAAAAUGGAAAUCGGAAAUUAAGGUUAUAUUUAUUUUUUUAUUUAAUUUUAAAUAGAAUUUUAAUUUUUAAUAAUAUUAAGUAUUAAAUUAUUUUUUUAAGGGUAUUUUAUUUUUAUUAAGUAUUAAAAAGUAAAAAAAAUUAAUAUGUUGCUUUUUUAUUUUAAAAAAAUUAUAUAUUUUAAUUUUUUCUAUUUACUAAAAAGUUUAUAAUAAAUUAUAAAAAAAUAAAAAAAUAAAAAACUUAAAUUCUGAAAAUAAAUUAUUUUUAAUAAAAAAAUCCAAAAAAGCAAACACCACCUAAAUUUGAGAUGACUCAAAAUUUUAUAUUUUUUUUCACCUAAAUUAUAUUCAUAAAUUUAAAAUUAAAAAAUUAGGAAGUUGAAUUUUAUUUUGGAUAAUUGGAAACUACAAGAAAUCAAUAAAAAUAUUUGGAAAAAAAAGAAAAAGAAAAACUAUCUAUAUAUUCACCCCCUUCUAAGAAACAUAACUUUAGUUUUUAACUAUUUUUUAAAAUAAUUUUUGAAAAAUGUUAUAUAAUAUUUUAUAAAACAAAAAAUCUGUUUGACAAUUUGAUAUGUCUUUAACUUAUUUUUAAUAUUUAUAUAUAUAUAUUUUAAAAAUAAUUUUAUAUUUAGAACUUUAUCUUUAAUUAUUAUAUAUAUUUAUAUAAUUAUUUUUUUUAAAACAACUCUUAAAAAAUAAGUGAAAGUAAUUGAAAACAACUCAAAGAUAUUUGAUGAAAACACUCUAAUUUGUAUUUUUGAGAAUAAAAAAAUAAAUAAAUAAAUUUCUAGUUAUCAAAUGUAUUUUUUAAUUCUUUUAUUCUAAAAAAUAGAAAAUCGUUUUUGAAAAUAAUUAUUAAACAACAUUCUUAAAAAUUCACUCGUUACAAUCUAGAUUUAAUGCAAGAAUGAUUGAAGGAGUCCUCCAAUAGAACCCAAAGUUAUAAACAUGAACAAGAAGCCCUAGAAACACCAAAGAUCUCAUAUGGUAUAUAUAUGAGCUUGAUUGAGAACUGUUUUAAAUUCAGUUUUUUUUUUUUUUUUUUUUUUUUGUUUUCAAAGUCAAAACAAGUUUACUUUUAAUUUUUACUUCUUUUUUUUAAUUUUAUAAAUAACAGUUUUUUAAUAAUUUAUUUUGAAAACAUGAUUAUUUUUAAAACUUAUAAUGAAAAUAGGAAUUUUUUUUUUAAUAUCAUGGUUAUUUUCCCUUCUUUUAAGGAGGGCUAUUUUAAAAAUAAAUUUACAAAUAUGAAAAAUGAUUCAAACUAAAGCAGUACAAAUAAAAAACAUUUUUAAGAAAUAUUUAAAAAUAGAGAAAAUUAUUUGAGAACAUUUGAAGUCCUUAAAUAGACUUUUGUUUUAGAAAAGGCAAGAUAAUUAUUUUUGAAAAUUGUUUUCAUAAUGAUAUGCAAAAACCUACGUAAAAACCAUAAUUAUAAUCGGCCACAUAUCAAAUCUACUAAAUAUGAAAAGUAAGUACAUAAUUAUAUUUGACUUAGAUGCAAGGAGGAAAAUGUCGCGAUAUUAUCGCCGAAAUAUCGUGUGUCGAAGGGUAUCGACACGAUUUUUCUUGCAGAAAUAUCGGCCAGUCGAUUUUUCGGGAUAAAUCUCGAGAAAUCGGCAAUUUAUCGCGAUAUAUCGGCGAUUUUUCCUCGAUAUAUCUUCUGGUCAACGCGGGUCAACGGAGUCAACACGCUACAGUGAAAGUCAAAUGUGCUACAAUGUCCCCGCUACAAUCACCUCCCCAAACAAAUUGCCAAAUUGCUUCCGAGGGGAUUUGAACCAGCCUUCUUGCCAUUUGGGCUAACUCGCCCUUAUGAUAUAUAUUGCAUUAAACAUAUAUAUACUUAAAGUCCUUAUAUAAAGAAAAUGUUAAAAAAAUAUUUUAAAGAGCAAAUUAAUUAUAAUUAUUUUAUAAUUAAAAGCAAAAUUUUCUUUUAAUUAAUUACCAAAAAUAUAAAAAUUAUAUAAUUUUCUUCAUAAUGUUUUUAAUAUCAUUAAUAAUUAAUUAAAUAUUAAAAAAUUAUAUAUAUAUAUAUAUAUAUAUAUAUAUAUAUUAUAAUUUAUUUUAUAUUGUUUAAUACAAUUGAAUUAAAUGGAUCAUAUUUUAAUAUUAAUAUAUAUUUUAAAAUUAGACAUAUUGUAAUCAAAUAUCAUAAUAUUAUAUGUAAUUUAAUAAUAAAUGUACACUUAUAAAAUUCAUAUUUUUAUCGAUGCAUACAAUAUUAUUAUCAAAUAUGAUAAAUCAUGUUAUACAUAUAUCAAAAUUUUCAAUAAAAUAACUUUAAAAUGUCUAUUAUACUUCUAAUUAUAUUAUUAUGAGGUUUUCUUUACAUUUUCAUGAGUUUUAAACAAUUUUAAGCACCAAUAUUUUUUUCCAAAAUAUCCACCGAUAUAUCUCCGAUAUAUCCAAUAUAUCUCCGAUAUCUCCGAUAUAUCCGUAAAAUCGAAGUACCGAUAUAUCCGUGAUUACCGAUAUUUUCAUCAUUGCUUAGAUGCAACCUUCUUCCAAAUGACAUACUUUAGUCAAUACUUAUAUUUUUUCGUUUCACUUCUUUGAUACAACACCUCAUGGAUUUAUUGUUUAAUUUAUUUGUAAUUAUAAAACUAUUUUUCAUUUUUAAUAAGACUUGAAUUAAUUUAAUAAAUAUUAUAUAAUUUGAAUUUAUAAUUCUUUUUAUAAAAUCAAAGUAUAUUAAAAAAAAAACAAUUUAUCCGAAGAAAGUUUUUUAUUUUUUAUUUUUUAAAACCGAUUUUAAAAAUAACUAGCUAGACACCCUUAUUUUGAUAAAAUACGAAAUAAAAGUGUAAAAACAACAUGGCCAAAUAGGGGCUUAAAUUUUAUUUUUAAAACAUUUUUUUACACUAAAGUGCAUUUUAAAAACACCAUCAAAACCAACUACAAGUUAUGCUUCUUCCCGUAAUAGAAAUAUUUUAGGCCAAAAUAGAACCUCCCCAAAUAAAGACCCUAUACUAAACUCCUUUUCAUUUUAUUAAUACAAAAGUGGGGAAAAAAGGUCUAUGCUCACCUAAAAAACAUGAAUAUUGUGAAUUCACCAUUUCUAUAAGGAAGUUGAAAACUUCAAAAUUUUAUCAACAAAUUCUCUAAAAUCCUCAAAAUAUAUAGGGCCUGUUUCACAAAGUUUUUUAAAAUUUGUUUUUAUAAAUUGCUUUUAAAAUAUAGAAUAAAUAACAGUUUUUUAGAUUUUUUGAAAAAUAAGAGUGUUUGGUAAGAUGUUUUUUUUUUUUUUUUUUUUUUUAAGAAUUAAAUAAAAAAUAAAAAAAUUGUUUAGAUAAAAGAAUUUGUAUUGUUUUUAAAAACAAUGUCUUACUUUUAUGUUAUAAAAAUUUUAUUAAUUUAAUUUAUAAUAAUAUGAAAUGAAAUUCAAGUUAAGUCUUAUUAAAAAAUACAAAUUAAAUCUAUAAUUAUGCAUGAGUUAAAGAUAAAUAUAUAUUUUUUAAAACUAUAAAAUAAAUUUUCUAUUAUAGUGAAACAAAAAUUACUAUAAAAUAAAAAUAAUUUUAAUAUUCAUUUUUAAUACAAGUCAAAUAAGUACUUUAAUUAAUUUUUUUUAUCAUGAUUUCUUAUGUUUUUUUUUUUUUCUAGAAAUUAUUUUAAGUAAUAUAACUAAUUUUUUUUUUAAUGUUUUAUAAAAAUAAGGAUAUUUGGCAAGUUGUUUUUAUAAAAGGAUUUUAAAAAUAAAUGGAUUUUUUUUUUUUUUAAAAAAAGAACAAAAUGAUUUGUUUGAAUAAAUUGUUUUGAUUUUGUAAAAACAUUUUAAAUUCAAUUUAUAUAAUAUUAAUUAAUUAAAUUAAAUUGAAGUUUUAUUGAAAAUAAAAAUAAUUUUGUAAUUAAAAUUAGAUUAAAAAAUAUAUAGGUUUUAAUAAAUCGUAAAUAGUAAUAUUAUAAUAAAAUUAUAAAUUAUAUUUUUAACAUAAAAUAUACUAUUUAUUACAUAUUAAAAAAAAUAUUUUAUUAUAUUAAUAAUUUUAUGGUAUUAAUGAGUUUAUUAUUUAAGUUUUAAAUUAUUUUUAAAAAUUAAUAAAUUUGUUAACAAAUGCAAUGUACUAAAUGUGGUUUAAUUUGGAGUUAAUUUGUUUAGGGAAAAAAAUAAAAAAUAAAAAUCUUAUGUAAAAGAGAAAUAAUAGAGUGUGUGUGUUUUUUUUUAUUAUUUUUAAAAAUCAGUAAAAAGAACUUUUACUUAUUGCCUAAAAAUUAUUCUCUAUUUUAUUUUAUUUUUUAAAUCUAGAAAUAGAUAACAAUAAUAAAAAAAAUUAAAAAAGAAAAAUGUUUUUUAAAACUCAGACUUAUAAUUGCUUUUGUUUCUCAUUCGCACCCCUGGAUUCCUGGAUUCUAAACACAAAAUUAAGUUGAAUCGUCCAUCUAUCUUGUAAGCCAAGAAUUCACAUAGAAGAAAUAAUCGGAAUUUGAUUUGAUAUCAGAUUUAGAGUGGCUCACUACUCAUGCAUUGUCCCACAAUAGUAAUGCUUUGGGCCGAGAUAAACCCAUUUGUGGGCCCAAAUAAAACCCCUGGUUUGAAAACAUCGAUUUUACAGUGGCCCAAAAGAUUAUCUAUGAGGGGAAGAUAACUUGGAAGUCAAGCAAACACAUUUAUCGCUAACUUUUCUCUAAUUAUAAAAUUAUAACUUGGUCUUCUACACGUCUCACUUAAGAGGCGGAGCCACUUGGCACUACCUUUCCAUAUUGUAAAAGGAGAAGAAGCAGAAGGAGAAGAUUCUUAUGCCAUUCCACACACCAUGGCUAGUACUGCUAUGCUGCUUGGCCCGCCGGCUCUCCGCCAUCCUAAUUCUCCCGCCGGCACUGUCUUUGAAGAUGGGGUCAUUCUAACGGAUUCCCUGAUCGUCCGCACCAGUAAUCUGGAGCUUUCUGAAAAACCGCCACUGGAAUCCCUGGCGUAGUGCUCUGUCAGUGGGGAUAUUGCUAUGGAUUGUUUGGAUUCCCAAGCCCACAAUCUUCAUCUUCCCGGGAAACCGCCGAUGGGCUUAACGGAAAACAAGUCUCCGACCUUUUUGUCUUCCGGGAACCCGUGCUUGGACUUCUUCUUCCAUGUGGUUCCCGAUACGUCGUCUGAUGAUCUGAUCCGACGGUUUGAGUUGGCUUGGGAAUUCAAUCCGCUGACGACGUUAAAACUGAUAUGCAACUUGAGAGAGGUGAGAGGCACCGGAAAAUCUGACAAAGAGGGUUUCUACACGGCGGUUCUCUGGCUCCACGACCACCAUCCCAAAACCCUAGCCUGCAAUGCUAGGGUGUUGGCCAGCUUCGGUUAUUUCAAGGAUUUUCUCGAGAUUCUCUACCGGCUUCUGGAGGGCCCUAAAAUUCGAAGAAUCGAAAAGAAAGACUGGCUGGAUCGAAAAGGAAGGAAGAAAAAUUCCCGGAAAAGGAACUCAAUAUUCAAGCGAGAAAAUAGGCCUGGAGUUGAAUUUCCUGUAGAAGAGAAGGAUGUGGAGUAUAUGGUGGAAGAAUUUGUGGAUAAAGAAAAGGCUAGGGUACUGAGAAAGGAGAGAGAACUUGCUCUUGCCAAAAGAGCCCUGCACAAGUAUUCUACUGAUUCUAAUUAUCAGUUCUUACAUGAUCAGAUUUCAGAUUUAUUUGCUGAACUUCUGAAAUCUGAUAUUCAGUAUUUAAACUCCGGUGAGCUUUACAAGAUUAGUCUCGCAUCCAAAUGGUGUCCCACAAUUGAUUCUUCUUAUGAUAAAUCCACCUUGAUAUGUGAAAAUAUUGCUCGAAAGGUUUAUUCUCGCGAGGAAUAUAUAUCCAGAAUACCAAGGAAUUGAGGAGGCUCACUAUGUUAAUAGAGUCAGGGAUAGGUUGAGAAAACAAGUACUUGUUCCAUUACGUAAGGCCCUGGAGUUGCCAGAGGUUUUCAUGUGUUCGAACCAGUGGGGAUCACUUCCCUACAACCGUGUGGCUUCAGUGGCCAUGAAAUCAUACAAGAGCCUCUUCUCAAAACAUGAUACAGAGCGGUUUGGUGUGUAUCUUGAGAAAGUGCAAACUGGGAAGGCUAAGAUUGCAGCUGGUGCAUUACUUCCCCAUGAGAUUAUAGCUUCAUUGAAUGAGGAGGAUGGCGAGAAAGUUGCAGAGCUUCAGUGGGCGAGAAUGGUGGAAGAUUUAUCAAAGAAUGGGAGGCUCACAAAUUGCAGUGCGGUAUGUGACGUAUCAGGAAGUAUGAGUGGAACUCCAAUGAAGGUGUGUGUGGCUCUGGGGCUGUUAGUUUCAGAGCUCAGUGAAGAUCCAUGGAAAGGUAAUGUAAUUACUUUCAGUGCAAGUCCUGAGCUUCACAAGAUCCAAGGAGACAGCCUUGUAUCCAAGACUGAAUUUGUGAGGAUGAUGGAAUGGGGUGCGAACACUGAUUUUCAGAAAGUUUUUGACAGAAUCUUACAAGUAGCAGUGGAGGGAAAUCUGAGUGAAGAUCAAAUGAUAAAGAGGGUUUUCGUUUUCACUGAUAUGGAGUUUGAUGAAGCUUGUGGGAGGUAUAACUAUUGUGAAUAUGACUAUGAUAUGGAGGAAAUUGAUGAGAGUCAGAAGGCAUCUCAGAAGUGGGAGACAGAUUAUGAAGUGAUACAGCGGAAAUUCCAGGACAAAGGAUAUGGAAAAGUUCCGGAGAUAGUGUUUUGGAACCUUAGAAACUCAUCAGAGACUCCAGUGAUGGCCACAGAGAACGGGGUGGCCUUAGUAAGCGGGUUUUCGAAGAAUCUGUUAGACCUUGUUUUUGGAAGGAGGUGGAAUUCUGACCCCUCAGGAUGUGAUGGAAUUAGCCAUCUCUGGUGAAGAUUACAAGAAACUUGUUCUAUUUGAUUAAGAUAUCAAGAGAUUUAUCAAUAAUAAUAUGUUUUUUUUUUUCUAUGUGAAAUACAUGUAAUAUUAACUAUGGAGUUAUCAAAGUUCUGGAAAUUUAAUUAUUUCUUCUUUUCAAGUUUUGUUUGUCUUUGUUAGGAAUUCCCCUUGGGCGGACCCAGCUGGGGACUUGGAUUGAGGAAGUAAGGAGGCGAAAUUGUGUUCUUCUAUGGACAGAGAAAAAAGAUAAAAAUAAAAAAUAAAAAAGGAGGUUAUUUGCAUUUGGAUGUCAUGUGGUUUCAGGGUACAACUACAAGUUCGAAAUUGUACAUAAUGUGAAAAUUCCUGUGUGGAGAACAGCAUAAAUAUGUAUCUCAGUGUGUUUUGUUUGAGCUAAUUGGCAAAUUCGCUUUAAACAUGGUCACAUGGAUGCAUAUUUAUUUGUGAAAUGAUAGUAGUCGAUUACUUGGUCAGUAAGGUUUGUAUCUCUAACUCCAACAUCUUAUUGUAGUCUUUUAAAAUGUCAAAAGUUUAAUGCUAGCUUGAGAAAUUUUGGAAUGGAGACAUUCUAAACAAAGUUAAUAAUCCAUGAGACUUGGUAAAACCGAUCAGAUGAUGCUUACGUACAUGAAUGCCUUCUUUAAGCCGUAUCCUAUUUUCAUUGAAUGAGACGUGCCAUCUAGUUUUGUUCUUGUCUUGAUUGGAUCAUGAUCCCGGGAAUUGAUUACUGUUCUGAAUUUGCGAAUGUUCAAGGUAUUAGAGAAAGUUAAUAUUAUCGUUAAUUUACAUAUUAGUAUUUAUCUAGUUAUUAUAUAUUAGUUUGAAUUAUAAUAUAAUAUAGAAUUUGAAUCAAGUUUACUAUUAGUUUGAAUUACAAUAGGAAAUAAAGUUUGAAUUAUAGUAUAACUCAAAUAUAUUUGUAUAUAAAUAUCCAUCUUUAUCAAUGAGAAUAGUAAACCAUAUUUUUCUCUAUCUUCUUCUUUCUCUAUAUAUAUGGUAUCAAAGCCUCCAAAUCCUAAACCUAGUCUCAACUUAGAGCAAAUUUAGGGUGCAGGGUUUAGGCCCCGCCUCCCCCAACCCUUACCACAAAUGGUAGUGACCUUGUUAUGCCUAUGUAUUGUCAAUGCCUCAUUUUCUAUGGUCUUCAAUACAAUAUCUAGUUUCAAUGUCUCUUUCCUUACUAUCUCCAAUGCAAUAUAUUGAUUUCAAUAUCUCUUUACAACCAAGAGCUCCAAAUUUUCCUGGUUCAAAUCUACCAUAAUUUUUAUUCUCCUUUGCUUUUUACCAAUAUUAGUUCCCCUAAUUUAAUAUAUAUCUCUUUAUUACCUUCAACUCUACCUCUCUCUUUCUUUAAAAGCUUCCUCAAAGAUUUGAUUGCUUUCUUGCAUGUUUUGGGAAAACAAACAUGCUCAUAUUCUAUUACCUCUACUUGAGAUCUGCCUUAUACUCUACCUUCUUCUUUACCUCCUAUAUCAUCUACUACAUUAGCUUCAAAAACAUUAUUUAGUUUGAUGCUAAAUAAGGCUCCUAAUCCUACCCUUCCUUCAACUAACUUUCUUUUACAAGUCCCUCAAAGUUUUUUUUUUUUUUUUUUUGGAAAUUUGGCUUAGAAAGAUUUCAUUACUCUUACCUAAUCUUUCAACCAUCAAGUCGAAUCCACUUAUCUCUUGAAUCCAAGGAGACUACCCUCCACAAAAACAAGGAGAUUGACCCCCACAAUAACAAAGAGAUUGUCCUCCAUAGAAACAAAGAGAGCUUCCUUCAUGGAAGCCGAAUACAUCGCAAUCUAUUUUCUUUCUCUCAAGAUCAAAUCUCCAAUCGGAGCUCCAUCUUGUGGGGAUAUAUUAGAAAAAGUUAAUAUUAUCCUUAAUUUACAUAUUAGUAUUUAUCUAUAUUAUAUAUUGAAUUAGAAUAGAAUAUAGAAUUUGAAUUAAGUUUACUAUUAGUUUAAAUUACAAUAGGAAAUAGAGUUUGAAUUAUAGUAGAACUCAAAUAUAUUUAUAUAUAAAUAUCCAUCAUUAUCAAUGAGAAUAGUAUUCCAUAUUUUUCUCUUUCCCUGAGGCUUCAGAAUGUGAUCUUGAACAUUUGAUCUUUUGGAUUCUUCUUGUUUCGGUGGUUUAAUAUAAUGGAAUGUUUAAUUAUAGCCUACUUUAUCACCAUGGAUGUGCUCCUGCAGAUUUCUUGAGGGUGAUGGUUAUUUUGUCAUGUUUCUUGAAUGGUUUGCAUCAGCUGCCUGAGCUGUUGUUGCUGGUCACUUUUGCAACCAGGGAAAGAAUCAUGGCUUUGGAGAAGCCAGCUUCUGUUUUUGUUGCCCAGCUGUUAGUUCACUAAGAUUGGGGGUCCUAACAUGUAUGUAUAAUCAUAAGCAAGGAAAUUUUAUGUCUUACGCUAGAUAGGUACCAUGAUAUGAUGUUUGAUUGAUUUAUUAACUCUACCUGUUUCAAAAGGCAUCAACAUUAAUUUUACCCUUUUAACACAUUGGAUUGUUUGACCUUACGAGAUUUUCUAUUUCUGUACUAUUUGAACUGCAAUCGUUAUGGUCCUUAGGUCUCUAAACCUUCGUUUAAAAUAAAAGUAAGGAGCACACAUAGUAAAAGUUAAUUUUGGGUAACUUUUAAAACAAAGAGAAAAGUAAAAGUUGUUUUUGAGAAAAACAUAUAGAAAUUGAAAGAUUUUUUAUUUUGAGAAAAAAAAGUCAUAGAAAAGAAAUAAUAUCCCCAUAUAAGUAGAUAUGAUCUAUCCGAAGUGUAGCUACUCUCCUGGAUUUAUUCUAACAUUUUAAAAUUUUUCUCAAUGGGCAAAGGAAUAUCAAAUCAAGCUUGAGUAGGAUUAAUUUCUUAAUUUUUAAAAUAACUUAUAAUUAAAAUUUUUUGGUGUUUUCUUUUUUGGACAAUUUUUUAUGAAGACUCUGAAUCAUGCAAGAGAUAUGGUUAUUUUAAAAAAAAAAAUAAUUUAAAACUCAAAUACAUAAUCAAUGUCACAAAUUUAUAAACAAAAGGUUUUUAAAAAAUACUAUUAUUUCCCCUCUACACAUAAUUUUACUUUUCCGAUUUAUUUAUUUUUGUUGGAAAACAGUCUUCAAAUCAAGUAAAAUUAAUAUGUUAAAUUUGUUAAACAAAUAAAUUUUAAAAUACAAUUUGGAACUCAAAAAUCAAUUCAAGUAAUGCUAAAAUUCAAAAAAUCAAAUUUGGAAUAAAAUGACUUUGUAAAUUUUUUUACUAAACAAAUGAAUUUUAAAUCAAGUGAGAUUUAAUACAUUGGAUUUUUAUGAGAAUAGUAAUUUUAAAAAUUAAUUUGGAACUCAAAAAUAGACACAAUAAAUACCAAAAAUCAAUGAACCAAAAUUGGUUUGGAAUAACUCCAUAAUUUUUUAUUUAUUUAUAUAUUUAUUUUUUUGUGCACACGAAUUUCUUACUAAGCAUAUUGCUUCCAAAUUGAGAAAAAUUUACUAUUUAGAUUUUUUUAAUGAGUUUAAUGGUAUUUAAAAAUAAUUCAAAAAUUCGAAAAUUGACUAAUUUAAUAUUAUAAAUUCAUAAACCAAGACUAAUUCAAAAUGCAUUGGGGGCUAAGGGGGUUGAAAUUAAUGCUCCAUUUGGUUGUGGCCACCAAUUGGCAAUGGCCACCAAUCAACCAAUCAAGGUGGCUAAGGGGGUUGAAAAUAGGGACAAUGGGGUGGGUUUGGGACAGGACACUCAUAUCCCAUUCCCAUCCCAAUUACACAGUUAUUUCCCAUCCUUAUUCCAAACUUGUGUUGGGGCAAGUUGAUUUGUUCCCAUCUUUGUUAACGAAAUGACUAAUAACCUCAUCCUCUCCUUGUCUUAGAUGUACAUUUUCUCAAAUUUGGUCAGGUAUGAUUGAUUCAAGCCCUAACCUUAAUUGGUAAUGAGUGGAUACCACACCUAAUUGCAUUCUUCUUUCGUUGCAAAAUAAUGAGAUUAUAAUAAUCUAGCAAAUAAGAAAAAAUAGUAUGGAAGUUCAAAUUAACACCAUAACUAUCAAUAAUUUUAAGCUUAUAGAUGACUUAAAUGAUUGAAAACUAAUGCAAAAUACUAAAAAAAAAAAAAAUCAUCUAAAGAAUUCACAAGAGAAUAGAACGAACAAAACCAAAUAGGAACAUGGGUCAACAUUAGUUACAGAUUUUGAUCCCUUUCAAGGCCAAUCUUUGAACCAAGACUUCAUCAAAUCUACUACUUCAAAGGCUUUUGUGUUCUUCUUGAGUUGUACUCUGGAACAAAGACUUCGAGGUGAUGCUUUAGAUGAUUGCAUUACACAUAUUUAGGGUAGGGAGAUUGGAGAAGCUUGAAGAUGCCAACGAUGGGUACAAUUGAGUGGUCAAUAAGAACAAUGUGGCCUAUGACUAGUUUGAUGUCAUGGUAUAGGAGUUUUGGGCAUUGAGGUGAAAGCAAGAGCAACAUGGAAUUGAUUUCAAAGUCUUUCAAUUAGUGUAAAGGAGGAAGAAGAAGUGGUAUUGAUCCUAGAAAUAGUGUUUUAGGUGUUGCAUUAGAGGAAAAGAAAAAGAAAAAGAAGGAACCAUUGGAAUUAGUACGAGUGUGAAGAGAGAAGUGUAUACAUAAGGGGAAGUAAAAGCAAAGUUCUAAAAAUUUAUUUUUUUAUUGGUGGUGUAUGGUUGCAUGAUUAUCCCUAUAAAUAAUAGGAGUUUUUUGGUGUUCUACUAGUAGUUGAAGGAUAAUUUCAUAAGAUAAUAUUUAGAGCGGGGUGGGGUGAGUUGUGACAAAAUCCAUACCCGUCCCAAACAUUGGUUCAGGUUUUUAAAAUAUUUUCAAACUUAUCAUAUACCCAAUUUUAUAUUUCAUACUUGUCCUAAUAGAGACAGGUUAGUCAGGGUUACUUGAGUAGCCUACAAAACUAUCAUCCCUAGUUGAAAUGCUCUUUUUGGCAGUGGCAGCUAGAAGCUCGAUCGAUUGACCUACAAGACUAGUUGUCAUCAUUUUAAAAAGAGUUUUGGCUUUGGUUGUGAGUGCAAUUGAAUCUAAACUAACAUUUCCUUAAUGCAUCUACUUCAAUCCUAAACUUCUUACUUAAGCCUCAAUUGUUGUUAAGAUUUUGGAAAACCCAUUUCCUUAAAUUGUAAAUUUAAGAAAAAAAAAAUUAAAAGUGAGACAUUUCUUGAUUGAAUGUUGUUAAAGGUCCCUUGGAAUUAAGACUUGGUUGAAGCCUUGGAAGAUUAGCAGAACUCUCAACUUAUGUUUGAACCUUGAGGAGAGUGGACGUAGGCCAAAAUUUUGUCAAACCAUUAUACAAAUUGAGUUUGAAUUCUCAUUUCUUGAUUUCUUAUUUAUUUGCUUUUUCUUAUUAUUACUUGAAUUGUCAUUUGCAUUCAUUAAUGUUAAAAUUGGUUAUAAUUAGCCAACACUAAUUCUCUUUCCCCUUCCCUUAAUUUCUUGGGUGUAAACCUAGGUUGGAUUAACUAGAUUUUAUCAAAUCUAUUAAGAUGGUAAAAGAAUAAUUAUUCUUAACAUACAUAAGAUCAUCUUCAAUCAAAUGACUCAUUGGCUGAUAUGUUGAAUUUGCUUAUUACUUGCAACUCAAAAUUGUGUUCUAGUUGAUAUGUCAAGUCCUGAGUGUAUGGACAUUAAAUUUGUAGUACGUGAUGAGUAUUUAGAUGGUCCAAUUCCAAGAAAGUGAUUGAAAACUAGUUCAAGAAAGGUGCAAAAGGGAAUUGUUUUGGUAUUUUCGUUUUUAUUCUUGAAGGUGGCAGAGCUAAAAUUUGAGAAAUCAAGCAAAACAUACUGAAAUUACAUUGAAAGAAAGAAAAUGGGAGUUAAUGUCUUGCAGUACAUGAUAAGGACUUCAUGCAUGUAGUGUGACCCAUGUCUUGGACUGAUGCCACACUCACGGUUACACUUAUACCCUUAGUUCUCUCUUUACUACCUUAGCUAACCUAGAUCAGGUUAUGAGAUAGGCACCUCACCACACCAUUACUUGCCCAUUAAUUAGUGACAUUUUCAAGCAAUGAGGUAACAUGGUGACACCAAGAGGGUAUAUUCCUCACCCCCAACAAGCCUAGACCUGGUCUAAAAAAAAUGGAGAAAAAUGACGUGUUGUUAUGCAGAAAUAUAGCAACCAUGCCUUCCUCAUUACUUAGAUUCAGAAUGUGAAGGUGAAAUUGAGAAACAGAAACUCUUGAAACCAAAAUGAAAAUUGAUACUUUUACGAAGAAUUACAACAACAUUAGAGGAAGACUACAUUCUUCCUCUUUAUUCCUACAUUUCUACACUACUUCUACUCCACUCCAUAUUUCUACAUACAUCUUUAAUCAGUCUUCCCUCCUUUAUAUAGAGCCAUCUUCACACAAAUUCCGCAAGGUAGAAAAGAGGAAUGAAACUUGGAGCAAGGUUCGACUACUGGCUGUAGCUUGUCAAGGCUGAAAGUGAACUUUUUUUCUUGGCUUUUCUGGGCAUAGGUAGUAACUUGUAGGUUCCUUUUUGGAAUGAAAAUGGUACGGCUAGAACAUGUGGCACUCUCUUGUUGGAUGAUGUGUCAAGCAUGUGGCAGCCAUCUAGUGGAGAUUAUGUCAAUUUUGGGAUGGAGAGUUGGCAUCCAAUUGCAAAGAAAUAUGACAUCUACCAACAUGCAAUGUCAACCUAUGUAGAUCAUAUGAAGAUAGAGAGGAAAAAUAUAGAAAUGGAUAUAUAACUAGAACUAGCUUUUUAUUAAAUGAGACGGAGAGCCAACAAUGAAGGAAAAUCAAAAUUUUUGGCUCAUAUCAAAGAAUUCACAUUGUGUUACCCUAGGUUUUCUUAAAACUUACUUUUAUGAUAAUAAAAAAUCAUUAUUGUUUAAUCCUUUGUUUUAAACGCAUGUUUAGCAGGUUGUAAAAUGUAAAUAUCUUUCGAAAUUCAAAUAUGAAGAUAUGACAUCAUUUCAAGCAAUAUAGUCUCUAGGAAUUAAUGUAAAGCUAAAUUAAGGUGCAAUUAAGUUAGUUCAAUGCAUUAUUUUAAGAAACUUGACCUAUCAAAACCUUGUCUUACUUCAAAGCCUCUUUUUCUUUUCUUCCAACUAACAUUUUAAUAAGUGAUCGCAAAAGUACAAAAUUAGAUGAAAUCCAUUUCAAUGGUUAAAAUGAUCAAAUUCAAACUUUUUCUAAGUAUCUUUUAAAAGCAUCAAUAUUGAAAGACAAUUUUAUAUUUAGUCAAAGCUUGGACAGAGCCAAAAAGCACACAAAAAUUUAUAUUUUCUAGCUCUCUACCUUGGAUGGUCUCUUGAUCCUACUUGGAGAUGUGCAUAAAUAAAAGGAUUUGAAAAUGACAAUUGACUAAGUAUGUAGUCAAUCAAUUACUCAUUGAUUGACUAGUUGAUCAAUUAACUUUGCAACAUCAUAUGCAAUCCUAAUAGCUAGUCAUCUAAUCAACUAGGUAGUAAAUCAAUAGGCCAAAAAUAUGUUUAUAAUGACUAUUUUGUACAAAAACCACUUAUAUAGUUAAAUAUAAUGCAUUUCAUUUAUAAAUCUUCUAAUUCUUGAAUAACAAUCCUAUCAUCCUUUGAAAGUUUUUAUUACACCUUUUCUACAUUUGUUCUAAAACUUAUACAUCACCCUUAAUUGUACCAUGAGAACCUAGCAUUUUUUUUUUUUUUUUUGUAUUUCAUCAAAGUUAGCUCUUGUACUCAUUGUUGUAUUAUUUUUAUUGUAACUUAGAGAGCGAGUGUUUUCAAGUGAGUGAAAUUGACUUGUAAAUAUUGUAAAGAUUCAUUGAUAUGUAUCUCAAACUAGGUGUACAAGUUGAAACAUUUGCUAGUAGAUUUUCUCAAGAUUUAGAAUGAGCUUAAGGCUAUCGAAUUAGGUGGGGUUGCGCCAAACCAUAUCACAUCGUUGUUUGCACCUUUUUUUUCACUCUCUUUUACUUAGUUGCUCUAUAUAUAUUGUCUAGCAAUAUCCUAAAGGCUUGAUGGGCUAGGGAGCAUCCCUCUGAAUGAAAAAUUUUCAUUCAAUUCUUAGUUGUAUUACGCAUAUAUAAAAUGCCUCAUUGUUUUAAUGGUAUUCAGUCGUGGCACCACAGAUAUGGACAUCUAAAUUUUAAAAGUUUGAAACUUUUAGCUAAAGAAAAUAUGGUGCUUUGCCUUUUUGGAAAGCAUGUUGAUGAAAUCCAUGAGAAUUGUAUACUUGGAGAGCAACAUCGAGAUAACUUUUUUUUUUUCUUUUUUUAUAAUGCAUUGUUUGUCCAAAUUCCGUACAAAUUAGGCCACCACAUGUUCAUAAUUCUCCCUUCUUGAAUUUGAAAACUCGGACAAUUUGACAAUGCGACACCUAAGUCCGGUUUUUAAAUGCUAAAGUGAAAGGGCAGGUAUGGACCAUUGAAAUGUGAUAACAACUUUUGGCCUUUUCCUUUUCUCUGUAGCCAUGUUGUCUCUUUUUAAUUUCUUUUGCAUGAUUUUCUUACCUAAACAGAAUCAUAGACUUGUUUAAUCUCUAAGUGGGAUUUCAUCCACCUUAAGCUACUGUAUUAUAUCUCGGUGGAGGACAACCGACAUAGAGCACAUGCAAGUGGGUAUAUGGGACAUGAAAUAUCUUCUUAUAAAGCUUGUUUUGCAGUUAAAUUAAUUGGAUAAGUAGACACUGGCGUUUCUAAAUUUCCCACCUAAGAUAAUGACCUUAUCCUUGACUGCUAGAUACACAAACAAUUAUACCUUCAAAAUCUACUGUGAAGUGCUUCAUGUAUGUGUGAAGUAUUAGAAAUUUCUUUCUUGGCAACUUGUUUUUUUCUUUGCGGUCUACUGAUAGGUUUGACUAAAAUUAUAUUCCCUGUCCUGCUAAUUAAUUUUCACGUGCAUGCUCAAAAGAAGAGUAUGACCUUAGUGCACCAAAAUCACUUUCAAUAAUUUGUGAUAAGUUUUUUUGCAUGACAUUAACCUUAUUCAUUUAGAUAAUGUUUAGUUCUCAUAAAUAUUAAGAAAAUGAAAAUAAAUAUUAAGAAAAAUAUUCUUAUAUUUGAUUGUAUUAUGAAAAAUAUCAUAAAAAAUCAAAUAUAAUUAAAAUUAAUUAAUAAUUUAUAUAUUUUAAAAUUAUUUAAUUUUUAUAUUAAAGAUAUAAUAUAAAUGAAAUGAGUUUUAAGUAUUAUAUAAAAAUGAUUUAUUUAUUUAUUUAUAUAUAUAUAUAUAUAUAUAUUUAGUUUUUCUCUUUAUUUUAUUUUCCUUAUGUUUUCCUCACAUUUUCCGGAAUCAAAGAUAGGGAAAUCCACAAUUACCUUCAACUGAGUAGAUUCUAUUGUUUUAGCAAUGUUAGGCUGCUAACUUGUGGUGGUACGAACCAAAUGAUCCAUGUUAAUCUUGGCUUGAUUUAAUUUGGCUCUAUCUCAGAGAACUCAAGGAUCACGUCAACUCUGGUUUCUACUAUUCAGGUCCAUUCCCAGAUGAACUGGUUCAAAUUUGAGAAAAUGGUAACAGACCUUUAGUGAUAUUGGUUUGGAGCCAGUUGCCAAACCUGCCCUGAGCUUUACCACUAAUGUCAAGGGACAAAGCCAUUUGAACAAAAACAAUAGCUUCAAGAGACUGAAUCGUGGAUGAAAUCUGAUCCACAUUUCUUCUCAUUUUGGGAAAAAAUGAGGACUUAACCACAAAGAUUCUACUGCCUCAUAGUGCUUUUCCUGAUCUAAGGUUGGCUCGUUUCCCAAAUUGUGAGGUGCACGUGCCACUCUCACGCUCAGGAGUGUAUCCACGUGGUGGACAUAAGAUGGUGGCUUAAUAUCUGGUGUCGGUGGCUUUACUUUACUAGGAGAGUAGUGUGUCUUCAUCUCAUUCACUGCCAGAGGGUGGCGUAAGCAGUGACGCUAAGGUGGGGCACAGUCAAUAUCAUUUGCAUUUGACCAUUAUAAUUUUCUCCCGGCUUUAAAGUAACCUUAUCGUGAUAAUGGAUUACUAGCACUAGUUCAGAUGACAGUCAUGUUAAAUUCGGACCAUGUUUGUGUCACAUUAUCAGCAACCAUGUGCUUGUGGUUCAUGCUAUCUGCAACUAAACUUGAUAUAUAACCAGGUGAACUUCAAUCUAAAUUCUGGAAGUACUCAUGUGAUAGAUGGUGCCUGUCUGCAGUGAGUGUAUCUAUAAGAGGGAAGGCUUGGCAAAUGUUCAGUUUUCUGGGAAUUCAACAGGGAUCUAAAAUAGAUUGUUUUCUUUGCUGAUUUCAAUGGUUGAAAUUUGAGAAGAUUGUGUCCACAUAACACAACUAUUACUGGUCCUUCUGUUGCAAUUUAUCCUCUAAGGCUCUAACAUGUCUUCCAAUUCCCACUUCCCACUUCCCUGUUACUCCAGGAAAGCUGUUUCUGUCAUUGUGAAGAAGAAAAGAGACUGUACAUAUCGAUGCUUUUAAGUGGACUGGAGAAUUCAUAUCAGGUGGUCUGCAGCCAUACAUGCCACUUUGUGAAGGUUGGAACAGUCAAUCACUAGGCUAUAUUAGUGGGGCCCAGCCACUUCAAUCAAGGACAAGUCUUCAUACUUAAAGUCAAAUUCUGCCUUUAGUCUCAUUAUAAAUUGCUGUUUAAAUAUCAAGCAAACAUUUGUUUAAUGCGAUUAAGACAGCACUAACUCAAUACUUGUUCUAUUUUUGGAUGCAAAUGCUUGAUAGUUUCAUCAUUGGAGGGGAUAAAGGUGCAUUCAUGAUUAUGAAUACUUGUAGUUAUAUUUUCAUUCUCUUUUUUCUCAAUGGGACUUGUUGGCACAAUUUUGCUGUUCAGAAACCUACCUCUCCAUGGAAAAUCAGUUGUGAUUGAUAUUACUGGAUAUAUUCAAGAAAGCUAAAUGUAGAUAGCACAAAAUAUUAUCGACAUAAAUAGCAUUAACAGCGUACGUAUGUCUCAAUGCUCAUCAGCUAUAAGCAAGGGGCAAACACUUACUAUGAGCAACUUACGUCAAAAUUCCGGAAUAGGACAUAGAAGUGACAGGUCAGUAAAUAUAGAACACUGCAUAUGAGUCACAAGAAAGGAAAUUACGGGUACAUAGCAGCUCUUAUUUUACAUCCUACUCAUACUGAUCAAAGUCACUCAGUUGGGAUGGGUGGGAGUGGGAGGUUUGUGGGGUGGCUUGUGCGGAGGAGUUGGCAGCUUCUUUCCAGGACCUGGUUGCUUCUCUGCUGGAGUUGAAGGAGGCUUAAUCUUCCGAGGUGGCUUGUAUGAGUCUUCAGCAUUCUCAGCAGGAGGGUGACCAGGGUUGUGACCACAAUGUGGUGGCUUCUCUCCCUUAGGUGGUUUGCCAACUGGGGUUGGUGGCUUGUGUUCCGGAAGUGGCUUCUCUUUGUGUUCAGGAGGUGGCUUCUCCACUGGAGGCUUGUGUUCAGGAGGUGGCUUCUCCACCGGAGGCUUGUGUUCAGGAGGUGGCUUCUCCACCGGAGGCUUGUGUUCAGGAGGUGGCUUCUCCACCGGAGGCUUAUGCUCUGGUGGUGGCUUCUCCACCGGAGGCUUAUGCUCUGGUGGUGGCUUCUCCACCGGAGGCUUAUGCAAUGGUGGUGGCUUCUCCACCGGAGGCUUGUGUUCAGGAGGUGGCUUCUCUACCGGAGGCUUAUGCUCUGGUGGUGGCUUCUCCACCGGAGGCUUAUGCUCUGGUGGUGGCUUCUCCACCGGAGGCUUGUGUUCAGGAGGUGGCUUCUCCACCGGAGGCUUGUGUUCAGGAGGUGGCUUCUCCACCGGAGGCUUGUGCUCUGGUGGUGGCUUCUCCACCGGAGGCUUAUGCUCUGGUGGUGGCUUCUCCACCGGAGGCUUGUGUUCAGGAGGUGGCUUCUCCACCGGAGGCUUAUGCUCUGGUGGUGGCUUCUCCACCGGAGGCUUGUGUUCAGGAGGUGGCUUCUCCACCGGAGGCUUAUGCUCUGGUGGUGGCUUCUCCACAGGAGGCUUGUGUUCAGGAGGUGGCUUCUCCACCGGAGGCUUAUGCUCUGGUGGUGGCUUCUCGAAUGGGGGAUGCGUAGGGUAAUCAGCUAGUGAGGGGGCGGUGAGAACCACCAGGCCAAGCAACACUACUAGCAAGUAUGUAGGAGACAUCUUUGGGUUUGGGCUCAGAUGGUGCAAAACUAGGAGAAUUGGCUAGCCUUUUAUAGCGGAUCGUACCCAAUAAUGAAAUGACACGUGUCAUUAUGACCCAUGUGUCAUGUGGUCGAUUUGGGUCCUACAGUGUUGAAAACUUCGACAUCCACUUUUUUGGCCUUUUGCUUUCUCUACAGUCGCCUUGCUUUUUCCCUCUUUUCUUUUGUUUUCCUCCUGCCCCAUUCUAUCAACUAAUCACAAUUAUGUAGUUGUUUAAUUCUUAAAUGAGAUAUUAUCCGUCAAUCAUAUUAUCUUUUAUCAAGAGAGAACGGAGUGAAAAGUGGCAAUCCAAAGAAAGAAGAUCCAUAAUGCAGCUGUAAUUUUAUCGUUUACUUUUAUCUCUAGGACCACUGCAUUUUUGUUGAGAGGUGCAAUAAUACACGUCUUUAUCUGCCAUUCAAUGUUUACAGUAAAGAGAGGGCACAAAACUCUUCACUGCUCUGCAUGUGCCCCAAAAAUGCAAUUGGACAAAUUAUGAUUUGCAUGCUAAAAAGAGGCAAAUGAGGUUAAUUAGCACCAAAAUUAUUUUGUUUUCUGGACACCCCGGGGCCCUUUGGUUGGUUUGGGGGUCAGAAAAUGAACAUCAUAGGGGGUUUUUCCCUAAUGUGCAUUUGCAUUUGUAUCUGAUGGCUUUAACUCGCCUUGUUACUACAAAGAAAUUGUCACAGAUAGGAACUUAUUCCAGGCUGAGUAUCUCCGCAUGGACCCUAUAAAAGAAGACAAGUCAUAAUGAACAUCUAACCUUUGUUCAAUUUGAUUCAAUGCCCCUAUUGUGUCCAUCUCACAAAUCUGAAUUAUUAUAUCCAUUGAAUACAUAAAUUAAUGAAGAAAAUAUGAAACCCAAGAUACAUCUCUGCACAACCUCAACCCUGGUUGCUAUGUUUCACUUCUAUUCACAUGAGGAUAUUGAUUACGGAAUAAGGAAACCUAGCAAGGGUUUACUCGGCUCUGGUUUGAUGCUAAUUGCCAAACUUGCAACAAGCCCUGAGUUUGACACCUAAUCGAUGGGCGAAUUAAAAGUCUCCUCCAAACAUAUAUUCCACAGCUUGAAGCUCACAGAAGAUGCUAUACAGGCAGGGAAAAACCUUCAGAGUUAGCUACCAAAGAUAAUUAUCAAGGAGAUAUCACCAAGAGAAUUCCAUGGAGUCUGAAUCAAAGACAAAUUGCUCGCUCGUGGGGGUUCUUACUUAAUUUCUUUUGGGUAUAACUCACUGAGGGCACUGGCUUUGUUAUUUGCAUUUCGCAUUUAGAGUUCUGUUCUGGAAGGUUUGUUCUGGAAACAUAUAAAAGGAGCAUCAUUUUGUUCUAGGGUAACCCAUAGUUGUGAGUGGGUCCAUUUGCAUGCUACUUAGUUGAAAAGUUGGACAAUUUGCUCCGACGCCUACCUCCUGGAUUCCAUGCUCGGAUAAAGCAAGAAUAAUAAAAUAUUUAUAAUUUACAAAUGGGGGAAAGAAAAAAAUGUCAACAACAAACUAGGAAAAAAGAGUAGUAAAAUUUAUGCCACAUGCUAUUGAUAGAAGGGGCAUGUAUUAGAUCCAUCACCAUUUGGUAAGAUUUUAGUAUUAUAUUUUUCAAGGUUCAUUAUUUGAGGGUGUGUUCUUCAUCUCUGUUGCAUUGCUUCUUACUAGGCCCACUGAGGUGGGUUCUUCACCUUUUGUAUAUUCUCUGCACUAGAUCAAUGAGAAAGGGGGAAUUUUGGUGAAUUUGCAGCCGUUGGAUGAUUGAUUCUAGGCUCAGUCCACCAAUGAUGCUCUCUUCACUCUUUCUCAUCUAGUGUCAUUCACAACUAUGUUUUGAUUCAUAUUUGUACUAUCAAAGAUAUCUCAUUAUUCUAGCUCAUUAGGUAGAGUUCCUAAUCUUCCUCCUUUUUGGUCUAUGGACAGUAUUGGCUUCAUAUUAAGAUCAUGUUUCAAUAAUUGCACAUUAAUGAAUGGAUCAUGACCCACAUAAACAGAGUCAGGGUUGAGUCAGUGAACCCUAAAAUUUCACAAUUCUAAAUUUGGGUUCUUUAACAAUGCAGGGUCAAGGACGCGUGGUGAUGAAGGAAAGCUGGUAAGCUCAGUGUUACUUCAAUUCCUGCCAUGUAGGAUGGUGAGGAGAUAUUCACUAUGCAAUUAAUAAUAGACAAUAUUCACUAUGCAAUAAUAAAGCAUAAAUUAAGUUGAAUGAAAAGCAUUUUCUUUGCAAGGAGUUGAUUUUGGUUUCAUAGUUUGUUCAACUGCUAUUUUGGAUAGGAAAGUGUGAGGAGAAGAAAAUAAAAAAUAAAAAUAAAACAAAAAAUAAAAAAUAGAUUUUAUAAAUUCAUUUAAUUUAUUUUUUUUUUAUAAAAAUUAACUAAUUUAAAAUAUAUGUAAAUUUCUAAUUAAUUUAAUUACAUUUUUUUUUUCAGUUUUUCAUAAUAAACCAAAUAUUAGAAAAUUAUUUUUAUUAAGACACCCAAGAUGAGGUAAUAUGCAAUGAAAACAUGAAUUAUAUUAAAAUUCAAAACAAAUUAAGAGAAAUCGGAAAAUAUACAUAGAUAUCUAAACAAAGAAAUUUAAAGAGAAGGAACCACAAACUUUAUUUACAUAAUUUGAAAAUAAAAAACAUAAAACAUACUUAUAGUAAGGAGAAAUUGAAUAUCUUACAAUGGAAGAAGGGAGAAAAGCUUUGAAGAAAGCUUUUGCUUGGAAGCUUACAUGGUGAGAGGUAGAGAAAGGAGAGAGAGAGAAGAAAAUGAAAAAUGAGAAGUGGAGAAAAUUGGAAGUUUUGUGUGCUUACAACUGAGGAUAGAGCCUCCUUAAAUAGCAAAAAAUGGAAUAUUAAAUAGUACCAAUCAGGAGACAAAAUAUUGUUUGCUUUUGAAACCCGUGCAUGAAUAGUAAUCCCGUGAGUGAAUAGUGAAUAAUAAAAGUGAAUAGUAAAAGUCACUUUCUACUAUAGCACUUUAGACUUUUUCAUCGAGAAUCUUACUUUCGGCUGAGUGAUGAUAGCUGAUAGGUUGCUUUGGAUUGUGGAGUCAUAUGUUUGAUGUUUUCGGUGCUGAAACCGCUUAGUUGGAGAAUAAUCUCGUCAGUAGAGCAUCAUGAGAAGCUUGAAUGGAGAGAGCUUAAUGAUGCCAUAUGAUUGGAAGGAAUCCUAUUUUAAUUUCCUUAUUGGAGGGAGAAUACCCUCACAAUCAUCUUCAUUAUCUUGAAGGUAGUUUGAUAUAGAGUCAUCUGACUCAGCAUAAGAGUCCUCUUGGGAGAAGCUUGAACUGCUUUUGUCAAGGAUUUUCUGAAAUUCUUGAGGGGUUUUUGCUAUUGCUAACAUGGUUUGGAGUUGCUGUUUCUUAAGAAGAAACUGUGCAAUAUCAUAAGAUGAUGAAGCUUGUGUAGGAUGCUUUAGGAAAUAUUGCUUUAUUGCUUGUAGUGAGGUAUCAUUUUUCAAGGCAUCCCACCACUUAGACUUGAAAGUCCUUCCAAGGGUUGGAAAGGCUGCUGAUUCAUCUGCUAUAAUGAUAUAAUCCCACUGGACUAUCCAGGCAAGGCCAAAUUCACUAAAAAAGAAUAAUAAUUGGGGAAAACUGAAAGUUCUCUAGGGAUAACAAAAGAACUUUGGAAUAGCUCAAAGCCAUCCAAAAUGGGUUUUGGGAGAAUUUUAAUAGUUGGACCAAAAUAUGUCCACCAAUUGUGGAACCAAAAUGGAAAAGAGGGGAGUUGAUGCUUAGAUGGGAAAUAGAACAUCCCUGAAUGAUGGAAGUCCUUGUUCUGGAUCAGAAAAGCAUUGAACCAUACUCUUUGGUAGUCUCAAUAAUUGAAAAUUUUAGGUUUUGAAGGCUUAGAAAAUUCUCUUGAAAAAUUAGGAUUCCCACCCCACUGCUUAACUGUAAGGAUUUUAUAAAUAUGGUAAGUGGAGAAUGCCAAAUCCAAAUUGCUGAAUUUAUCAGCAUUGUGCUUGAUUUUAACAGAGCCGGUUUCCAUAAGGAUUGCUUCAUAAAAUUCUCUUGUUUUUAAAAGAUCACCAAAGGGAUAAUGAAAAUUUUCAUGAAAAGCUUUUGCUGCAAUAUCUCUAGGGUUUUUAGAGAAAAACUCUUUUUCAAUAACCAAAAGAGGUUGAUUUAAAUCUUUUUGCCAAUAUCUUGCUUUUGCUGAAAGAGGUGUGGGGUUGGCUACCACCACAAUUUGCUUAUUUGAAAAAGAAGAGCUUGAUGCUAAUUCAUUUUGAGAGGGAUUAGCUUUAGUAACCUGCUUAAAGGUCUGAGACACAGUAAUAGUUGGAUACUGAGUAGCCUUGACUGGUUUAGAAGGAUUCGAAGGAUCAUAGUACAAGGACAAAAUCUUAUUAGGCAUAUGGUCAGAAGAAUGAAGCCUUGCUUCUUCUUCUAGCUCAACUUGUUGGCUCCAAAGUAUUUUAUGGGGAGAAGGUUCUUUGCUGGUUUUAGAAGACUAGGAUUCUGGAAGUUUAGGAGCUUGGGUAUUCUUUUUAGGGGCCAUGGUUUCGUGAAUCCUGUAAAAUUCACAAGUUAAGAAAUCAGGGCUCGAAGAAUGUUCUCCUUUAAUAUACUCAAUUUGUAAAUUAAAAUUGCUUAAAAUAGCUUGAUAUAUAGCAAAAAUAUGCUUAGAAGUUAUAUUCUUAACAUCCUUUUGUAAAACUAAUUUUGCAAAUUUACAAUCAACUCUUAAUAAAAACUUUUGAUUCAAAAGAUCAUCUUGAAAUUUUGAAAUGCAUAAAACAACGCUUAAAGUCUCUUUUUUAAUGAUGUUAUGAAUGAGUUGGGUAGUAUUCCAGGUUCUUGAAGUAUACCUAACUAACAUCUCAAGGUUACCAACACUUUGCUUAAGAAUCCCACCAUAACCUAUGUCUGAGGUAUCGAUCCCAACAAACUCAAAGGUUUCUGGAUUGAUAGAGCCUAAACAUGGUAGGGUCUUGACUUUGGACUUAACAUCAAUAAUGAAAACAAUGGUGAAAACAGAAAACUGGUUAAAGUUUUCAUCCAUUAUAUUCUGGAAUUCUGAGGUGCAUUCUUAAGAUCAAAGGGCAUUAUGAACCAUUCAUAAUGUCCAAGAGAUACCACAAAGGUGGUCUUAUUUGGAAUAGGACACCUAAUCCAACUUAAUGUAUCAUUAAGAGGCAUGUAGUUGACGACUAGUCUAGGUGUUCCUUUUUCUGAUUCAACUUGUUCCUGAACAUAGAAGGUUGAACAACUCCAAAGGGACUUAGACUUCCUUAUCAACUUUUUAUCAAGAAGAUCCCAAAUCUCCUUAUCACAAUAGCUUAACAAACCCUUGUUCAUCUGGAUAGGUCUUGAUUUAGUGGGAAUAUUCUUGUCACUAAAGUCUAGUUCAUAAGGUAAUUCUACCUCAUGUUGUUUCCUAUGCCAAAAUGCAUUAGGAAUGUUAGAGCAAACUUCUUCAACAAUCAGAUUAAUUUCUUGCUCAUGACUUUCCUUAGCUUGAAUCACCUGAUCCCUUAAGGUGUUUAUAUUUUUCUUAUUAGGUGGUUGGCAAAUUCAAAAAUAAUUUCCUUAUCUAAGAGCUUUGUUCUUAUACUUUGGUCAUCUACCCACAUGGGAUAGAUGGAGCUUAAAAAGGGGAUUCCAAGGAGAGCUUUCUCCUUAAGAUCCUUAACUAGAAUGAAGGUUUGCUUGAUGCAAAUGCCUUGGUUAUUUAUGUGAGCAUCUGACAGCUUAUACUCAAUGUCAAGCCUUUUACCAUUAGCUCCAAAGAGAGAUUCUUUGGUUUUCUUACAAAACUUAAUAGGACCUAGACCUUCUUGUAGGCAAUUCAAAGCUGUUCCUGAAUCAAUCAAAGCAACAAUAUCAAUGACAAAUUUACUCUUAAUUACUAUAGUAAGGGAGACUUUCCACCUCUGGAAAAUAACCCUACUAACAGUAUUUAAGUAUCCAUCCGUCUUUUCAUCAUUAGCAUGUGAAGAUUCUAGAACCUCUUCAAGGUUUUCCUAGUUAUCAACAAGAUUUUCUAUAACAAUCCUAUUUAUUUGUUCUUGGAGAUCUGAAAAACCUAAGCUUGUGUAUUGUCUUAAAUCUUUAAUUUCCUUCUUAUACUGUCUUACUUCUUCUUGAAGAUCCUUAAUGGUUACGUCUUUGGUAGACUACUGGUUAAAUCUUCCUAAGAUUUCAUUUAAGUUAUAAGAAUUUACUGUCUUCUUAAUCUCUUGCUUAUCGACAAAUUUCUUAAAAACUUCAUAAAGAUCUUGUUUAGUUUUUUCAUCUUCAACUUUCCUUAAAACAUCUAGGACAAGUUCUUGAUCUUGGCUUAUGACAUUUAUAGUCUUAGGUUGGCAAUCACAAUUAUCCUUAAUGUAUUCUUCUUGGUCACUAGAAGUUUGGCUUGAGAUUUCCUCACCACUACUAUCUAGUUGGUUAAUACCAUUUUCAUUAUCUGAAUCAAUCCUUGAUUCAGACUCUGUGGAAUUUAACAUUACUUUACAAAGCAUAUCUUUUAAGUCUUCUGUGACAUUUAAGUUAUUAAUUUUCUGCUUAACCCUACAAUCUUUCUUAUAGUGGCCUAUCUUACCACACUUAAAACAAACUGGCUUAGAUUGUGAAGGAGCUUCUAGCUUUUUAUGGGCUUCUUUGUUCAUCAUUCUUUGGAUGUGCCUUUGUUUCUUAGUUUCAUUCAUCCUAUAGUUGCCAUGAGUUCCUCUCUUGUUGUGAUAGGACUUUUCCUUACUAGGCUUUGUACUUACUUGUUUCUUACGUUGCUUAGAGGGGGGCUUAGUUUCUUUUUGGUUGAAUCCAAACUAGCUACAAAAUGAACCAAACUCAUUCUUGUAGAUCCUUUGUUCAUUUUUCAUCUGUUGCUUAAGCUUAAAGUCAUUGCACAGUUUAAUUGCUUCUGAUGUGACAAUGCUUAUAAUUUCUCCAUAAGAAAGCUUAUCAUAAGGGAUUUGUCCAUUAAACUGUUCCCUUAUCUUAAUCCUAAUCCUCUCAGAGAAAAGUCUAGGUAGUCCUAAGAUGAAUUUUUCUUUCCAAAAAGACUGGUUAUAGUUUGAUCUUAGUAUGACUUUGGUUAGGAAAACUUCUCUAUACCAUCUAAAGUCAUGAAGCUUGGGACACUUAAGGUUGGUUAAGAGAUCUACAAUCUUAUCCUUAAUCUUUGCAGGAUCUCCAAUGAAGUGCUUUGAAAUUGAAUAGAUUAGAGUAGCCACUACAUCCUCUAUAUCUUGUCCAUCUUCAUCCUUAACCACUUCAUUUUCCUCAUUAAUCCUAUAGGCUUUUAGGAUACCAUUUCUAUCCUCAAAGGUGAGAUAAUUAUCCCACCAACCCUAAAGUUGACCUGUAAACCCAACAACAAUUGUUUGAGCUACAGCAUGGCCUGACAAUCUAUUGUUUAACUUAUAGGUUGUACUAACCAUGGUCAUUUCUUGAAGCUUAGUGAGUAUGUUGUACUCAAUCAUACCAUCUAUGUUCCAUUCAUAGAUAGUGUCACUAGUGUAGGAAGCUUGAGUAUGCUGGUUUCUUUCCUCAUACUACAUAUCAGGAAAAGUUGGUCUAGGGUAGUAAUUCCUAGUUCUUGGUUGUUGAUAAUCCUCAUAACUGUUUGGUUAGGAGGUUCCUUAAAAAUCUUAAUUAGUUCAUCAGCCUCUGCUUCAGAACUAAUUUCUCCUUUAACCAUAUUGAUUCUCUUGUGAGAUGGUUGAGGUGUCUCAGAGACAACAAGGCUAUCCUUAACCUUUUGGCUUAUCCUAUCAAUGAGGGCUUGAUCAAUAUGGAGAUUCUCUAGGAAUUUCUUAGAGAAUUCAAAAGGCUUAAAUAAAGACUUAUUAUCUUUCUUAACAAACGUAGUCUUAAUGUAGUCUUGUGUUUCAAUGAUAUCCUCAAACUUGUUGAGUUGAUCGCCUGUAGUCUUAAGAAACAUGUUAGUGUAGUUGUUUUGUUCCAUGAUUCUUCUAACGUCAACAACACUAUCAAUUCCUUUAUUCUUUGGCCUAGUCUUAAAAGGUGAAGCUUUGACUAUGGUUCAAUUAAUGUUCUUUUAUAUCUUAGCUUCUAGAGGGUGGAUGGAUUCUAUGAUAGUAUCGUCACUAGUUUUCCAUAUCUUAGUUUUUUUGGAUGUGUCAUUGACACGCUUACUAGGGUAAUCUAGAUAUUCCUCUUGUUUGAAGAGUUCAAACCAGAUCCAAUACUUAAUGUUCUUCUUUUCUUGUCUUAAGUAUGUGUAGAAUUCUUCUUGGUAGAGGGUUCUAAUGUCUUUAAGGACCUUGCUAAAGAACCAAACUCUCCUUUUCUUAUUGACUUCAGAAUAGAAGUCUUUCCUUAAGAGGUCCUUGUUGAUUCAAAGUCUUCGUUAAUUAGGCUUACAGUGUUAAUCAACUGAGAAUAAGUAGGAGACAUAUCAGGAGAUUCGUCCUGAUGUGAUUCUUGAGUAAACUCAUUUUCCUCCAUGUAAAAGGGUUUGGCCACGUUGGUGUGACUUCUAACACCUGUUAGCUUAAUAUUCUUAGGAUUUGCUGAACUAGAUCCUUCCUCUAUCCUAGUGGUUCUUAUUGGGAUAGAUGAACUUGAAGCUCUAGAGGGCUCAUAAUAUGAAAUUCUAAGGCUGCUAGAAUGAUGAAAAGAGUUGGAGAAAAUUAGAUCUCGUUCUCCAUCAGGAUAUUGAACAAUCUGUUCAAUUCUUUCAGAUCUUUGCUCUAUGGCUGGGACAACAUUAGCAAAAUGCCAAUUUUCUGGAAACUCAACCUCAUUCCACUUGAUUUUCAUGGGGACUAUGAAAUUAGACUUGUUUAUCAUAUCUAAGUGGAAGAUAGUGGUUUCACCCUUGGGACUGGUGCACAAUGCUCCAAAUCCAACGCUUAUGGUCAUGCUCUUAUAGGCAAAUCUGGUGAUGAUGGAAACAUGAUUGUUUCCUUGCUUGAACUUAAAGUCAUGGGUCUUAACAUGAAGGACAACUGAAUCUAAGAUGUUGACAUCUCUUAGUCUAACUGUGAAGUUAGGGAAACACUGGAAAUAAACAGGACCAUCAUUUAAUCCUGCUUGGGUAGCUCCAAUAAUAGAAUCUCGGUAAUCAAGAUGUCUAUUAUCUCUUAAACACAUGACAAUAAAGGUGUUUAGACCUAGUCUUGUCAAGGGCUUAGCUGCAACUUGAAUCAUGCCAAAGUGUAUGAAGUUGUAGUCUCGCUUAUGCUUAUCAAUGGACUUACUAUCCAAGAGUCUUAUGACUUGAUCGUCGUGUUCUAAACUUACUGACAUUUCAGGGGUUUUAAUGGUGUAAUCUGUAAAGAACUUAAAGGUUCCUUUCUUAUAAAUUUCUUGAUUAGGUACCUUGGGUAACUUCCAAUCAUCUAAAUCAUCUUGGAUCUUAGGAUAAUUGAUCUCUUCAUUGUUUACUCUUGAGAAUUUGUGGAUUUCCUAGACAUGGUUCUGAAAAUCAAACUCAUUUUAAGGUUUUAAUCUAGAGCCUAAUAGCAGAUUAACAGACCUAGUGAGUAAUCACCCCAACCCUUUUCCAACCUUAACAAACGCCUAUCUCCAGCUAACAAUGGGCUCAACUCGGCAAGGAUCGCACUCAGGCACACUACUAUCUUUCCUAGGAUAGAUCAAAACACCCAAAACAAACCCGACUUCCUUUUCCUAGGAUAUAUAUAGUAUUUUGGGUUUGAGUAGGAGUUCAUGUUUUGUAUGUAAUUGUAGUCUACGUUGGACUAGGUUGUUUGCUCCUAAUUGAAAUAGGAAUGGUUGGUGUCACAUCUCAUUCAUUUUCUCAUCUAUUUCCAUGUUUAGAUAACUCAAGUAAUCAUAGGAAUGAAAUUAAGAAUGAUUUGAGGGAAAUGAAAUCUCACUUGUAAGUGGGAUCUCAAUUCAUCAUUAAUAGAAGGUAUUUUGAUUACAUAGUGCAAGUUAUUUUUAAAAACACUUUUCAAAAAUUGAAAAACCAAAAACUCUCUUGGAUAAGUUGUUUUUAAAAAGAAUUUUUGUAUUUUUAUUUUGUAAAAAAAAAAAAUAGUAAUUCAAUUUAUAUAAUAUAAAUAGACUUUAAUUUUAUUAAAAAUAAAAAUAAUUUUUUAAUUACAAAUAAAUUAAAAAAUAAAUAUUUGUAAUAAAAUAUGAAUAGUAAUAUUAUAAUAAAAUCAUAAAUAAAUUAAAAAUAUUUUUAAAAACAAAUAAGUUUAAUUUUUUUGAGGUACAAAUGAGCCAAAUUUUUCAUUAGGUACACAACCAACAAUUUUUAUUGGAAACAUUCCUCAAAAAAGAAUUCGUUUCCCAUAUAGCAAAGAUAUUUAUUAUUUAGUAUCUAACCAUCCGUAGUAAUCAUAUCAAUUCUACUAAGUUAUUUAAUAAUUCAUUUAUAUAUAGUACUCAAUUAUGAAUUUUUUUAUUUGAUGUAUAAUUAAUUAAUCAAUGUUUUGAAUUUUGAAUUAUUCUUAAAAUUUAAAACAUUAAUUAUGUCUAUUACUUUUUAUAGUCAUUAUAUAUAUAUAUAUAUAUAUAUAUAGAGAGAGAGAGAGAGAGAGAGAGAGAGAGCUUAAAUUUAUCUUUAAAAAUUAUUAAAUUUAUUAAUAAAUUCAAUACAAAGACUCAUUUGAUUUGAAAUUCAUUUCUUUAGUGAAAAUUUUGAAACUAAAUAGUACUUUGUUUUACUUUGUUUUUAAAUCAUACUCACAAAUAAGUUUUUAUCAUUUAGCCAAAAAAUCUCAAAGAUGUUUCUAAUUUUAUUUAUUUAUUUAUUUGUAAAUGAAAAUAAAAAAUUAGUUUAAACUAAAUAUGCGGAUAUUAUUGUUAAUUUAUUUCAUUUUUUAUUUCCAUUGUUAUUUAACAUUGAAACGGAAACAAAUAAUCAUUCCAAUCUUACAUUCUUAUAUGCAUCUAAACACAAGAAUUGAAAUCACCAAAUUCAUAUUCAAGGCAAAAUAGAAAUGGAAAAAAAAUAUUCAUUUUCAUUCCUCAUUCUCAUGUGCUAAACAUGACAUUAGUUCUACUACCUAUUUCACCAUUCUUCUUGAUAAAUUUGGUAUAUGCAAUAUUGAUCUAAGUGUGAGGUGAAUAAGAAUGAUGAUGGGAUGGGCUUGGAAAUAAGGGCAAAGUUUCUAGGUGCUAUCUAGAGGGGCAACGCGACUUUUUCAAAUUUCGAAUAUUUGUUCUCAACAUAAAGCAAAACUUUACUCACACAAUAGAUAAGACUCUGUUUGUUUUCUUCAUCCACGACUAUAUAAUGUAUAGCUCUUACUCAAGGGAUGAGCUACUUACUAUUAAGGAUUGGGUAAGAUAUUGCCUAAUGGCCAAGAAGGCAUGUCAAAAAAUAAAUCUAAUCACCAUAAAAAAUAAUAGGGGAAAAUUAAUAUAUUAUGAAUGAUGACUUUACUAUUUCUCUAUAUACAUAAUUAUAUAUUUUGAAUUUUCUCACUAGGUAAUGAGAUUCUAAAUCAACUGAAACAUAAUUAAUAAUUUAUAUUUUUAAUGAAUCUUUUAAUUUUUAAAAAUAAUUUAAAAUUUUAAAAAACAAUUCAAUUAAUUACAUAUUAAAUCAAAACAUUUCAAAAUAUUGUGUUUGUAGAUGAGUACUAAAUGCUUGCAUAUAAUAAUAAUAAUAAAAAAAUUGACUCAUUUAGAUGUUAAAAAAGUUAAAUGUUUUUCAUUAUUCAUUUUAAGUAAAAUAUUAUUGACAUUAUUAUUAUAAAAUUAUUAUUAUUCAUUUUUAACAAAAAACAAAAUAAGUUAUUCUUUUACCAAGAUGUCAAUAUCUAUAUUUUUCUAACAUAUAUUAAAAUAGUAUACUUUUCUUUUAUUAAAAAUAAUAAUUAUUAUUAUAUUAUUAUUCAAGUUUUAUUAAAAAAAUUUAUCUUUUAAUUCAUUUGUAAUUACAAAAUAAUUUUAUUUUAUUAAGAAUUUAAUUUAAUUACGCUUUUUUUUUUUAUAAAAAAAACAGUUAUGCUUUUACCAAGAUGUUAAUAUUCAUAUUUUUCUAGCUAACAUAAAUAGAAUAGUACACUUUUUCAUAUAAAAAAAUAAUUUAUGAUUUUAUUAUAAUGUUACUAUUCACAUUUUACUAAAAAUAUUUAUUUAUUUUAUUUAUUUUUAAUUAUAAAAUAAUUUUAUUUUCAAGAAUUUAAUUUUAAAAAAAUAGAAAUCAUUUAUUCUUUUACCAAGAUGUUAAUAAACAUAUUUUUCUAACAUAUACUAAAAUAAAAAAGUUUACUUGUUCAUUAAAAAAUAUAAUUUAUGUUUUUAUUAUAAUACUACUAUCUAUGUUCUACUAAAAAUAUUUAUUUAUAAUUAAAAAAUAAUUUCAUUUUUAAUAAGACUUGAACUAAAUUAAAUUUAUAAUUUUUUUUUAAAAUAAAAUAGAAAAUUAUUUUUUAAAAACAACUUAUUGAAAGAAAUUUUUUAUUCUUUACUUUUAAGAACUGUUUUUAAAAGCAACCUAUAAACCCCUUUGGGUCUGUUUGGCUAUGUUUCAUGCAACUUGUUUUUAAAAAUUGUUUUUUAUUCUUUAAUUUAAUUUUUUUUAAGUUAAAGAAUAAAAAACAACUUUCUAGUGUUUUAUAAAAAUGAGAGCUUUUGACAAGUUGUUUUUAAAAACCAUUUUUAAAAAUAAAAAAUAAAAAACUUAUUUAGAUAAAUUGUUAUAUAUAUAUAUAUAUAUAUAUUUGUAAAAACAUUUUAAAUUCAAUUUAUAUAAUAUAAAUUUAAUUUAAUUUAAGUCUUAUUAAAAAAAAAUUGUUUGGAUAAGUUUUUUUUUUUAAAUAGUUUAUUAUUUUUGUUUUGUAAAAACAUUGCAAAUUCAAUUUAUAUAAUAUAAAUUAAUUUAAUUCAAGUCUUAUUAAAACCAAAAUAAUUUUAUAAUUACAAAUAAAUUUAAAAAUAAUUUUUUUAGUAAAACAUGAAUAAUAAAAUUAUAAAUUAUAUUAUUGUGGACCCUGCAUUUAUGCUCAUGCGCUUCCACUUGUUGGCGAACUCAUUUUUUAUUUGAAAAUGAUUUAUUUUUUUAGAAAAUGACUUAGAGUCGCCACUUAUUUUUGUUUUAUUUUUAAAGGGCAAGCAAAAUAAGAAAGAAAACCCUAAGUGUGACUCCUUAUUCGAAAAAGGUAGUCUGUGUAAAACCGGAUCAGGGUUCAGGGAUCAGGUUACUUAUUGGGAAGGUAUGACAAUGACCGUAGCACUCCUCUAAGUCCUUAAAAACGGGCCUCUACUAAAAAAAAUAAAGUAAUCAUGGCAAUCAGUAAGGAAAUCACUGGAUACCCAGAACAAUUAUGCACAUGUGAGAAUUAAAACAUGCAUAAGAAUGGACAAAGUGAGAGUGGGUGCGUACCUUGACAACGAACCACAAUGCGUUAUCAAGAAAUGGGGUUAGUGCACGAUCAAUGAACAUAAAACACGUCACACAUGUCACUAAGCAGAGUGAGAAAUCAUCAGAUAUUACAAUUCAAUCAAAUUUAUUUUUAGAAGAAACAUCUGUUGAUGUAGAGCCCCUACCAAAGCCUAAUUUAUUUUUGCAUGAAUCAAUUUCAUAAAUUCAAUCGCUUGGAAUUACAGAAUUAAAUUCAUGCUUAUUUUAAAACAUCUUUUUAAAAUCAUGGAAGAUGUGAAAAUGGUUUUCCAAAGAGAAAAUGACAACUGAUUUUAUUGAAAAUGGGAUUUUGGGGACCUAAACGUUAAAGAGGGAUUAGGAAUUGAAAAUUAAAUCAUUUGAAAAUUGAAUUUUUCAAAAAUCAGUUUUGAAAGCAUGCAUGCAAGUAUGGACUGUGAAAGUGGGCCUAGGGAGGGUGGCCAUGCAAAAUGAGGUCAUACACGUGGGCCUUGGGUACAAUUGGGACUACUUUGCUGGUGCCAGUGGUGCUUGCAGCUGUCAUCCAUGAUUUCUUCAUUGGGAUCAAUUUCCAUUCUUACUGCCAAACAUUCCAUAACAAUUGACCAAACUAGUAACCCUGACCUUGCAUGAAAAUGAACGUUACCUAGAAACUCACUGCCAGUGAGAUUCAUUGCUCUUUCAAAAGGUCUCAUUUUCUUUCUCAUCCAAUUGCUUUAAGGAGCAUUCUAGCGUCACGAUUGGUGACUGCGCAUCAUCUAGAGCCUUCUUUCUUCUCAGAAUCAGGUUUGCGUGCAGAGGCCUGUGCUUGUUCAAGGUUGACCUAAAUUCAUCUAGGUUUAGAACCGACCAGUUGAGCUUGGGGAGCAACGACAAGAAUAUCAGUCACUUGCGAAGAGAAAACUCGAGAUCUUUCAAGUAAUGCCUGACAUAGAUUCCUCCAACCUGUGGCCAAUAUCUCAUUCCUUGUUGGCCAGACGCCUAUUAGGGCGUAUCUCAAUCAAUAAUAUGAUUUUUCGUUUGUUCACAAUAAAGACCGGAAGCCAUGGUUGUGAUUUAUGCAGUACAGAAGAAGUUGCCAUGGCUGGUAUCCUUACAAAUUCUGGUGUUUCUGCUAUCUGUUCAAGUGCAAAACACAACAGCUUUAUCAAGUUUGUCCCUAACAACUGAUAUUGAGCCCUCUGGAGGAAACCUUGAUAAAUUCAUAAUCACUUUUGACUCAUGCAUGGGCUGCCCAUCAAAUUUUCCUAGCAACGAGACGACUGCUGUCAUCUACUGCAAAGAGAAUUUCUUCUCGCAAAGACAAGAGGAGUUUAAGAAUACACACUAUUCUGCCAUUUCAUUUCCUCUUUCUCCACAACCAACAUAAACCAUAGUGUCUACAUUAGAGUACUUAGAAAGAGCUUAACUGAUGACCGUUUUUCCACAACCAAAUGCCCCAGGUAUGGCACAAAUUUCACCGAAAACAGAAGGGAAAAGGGCAUCAAGAACACGCUGUCCUGUAAGUAGUGGGGUAUCAGGACUACUCUAGGGAAGUUAUUUCUGUCAUUUUGAAAAAGAAAAAUUAAAGAAUGUACACAUGCUUUCAAGUGGACUGGAGCAUUCUACAUAUCAGGUGGUCUGUAGCCACAUGUGCCACUUUGUGGAAGUUGGAACAGUCGAUCACUAGGCUAUUUAGUGUGGCCAAGCCACGUUAAUCAAGGACAAGUCUUCAUACUUAAAAGUCAAAUGGUGCCUUUAGUCUCAUUACACAUGGCUAUUUAAAGAUGAACUAAUCUUUAGUGUAAUGUGAUUAAGACAGUACUAACUGAUCAAUAUUUUUUCUAAUUUUGGAUGCAAAUGCUUGCUGGCUUCAUCAUUGGAUGGGAUAAAGGUGCAUUCAUGACUCUGAAUACUUGCAGUAAUACUUGCAGUAAUACUUCAUUCUCUUUUUUCUCGAUGAGACUUCUUGGCACAAUUUUGCUUCUCAGCAACCUACCUCUCCAUGGAAAAUGAGUUGCGAUUGAUGGUACUGGAUAUUUUCUAGGAAGCUAAAUAUAGAUAUAUAGCACUCAAUGUCAACGAUAUAUAUAGCAUUAACAGUAUAUGUCUCAAUGCUCAUCAGCUACAAGCAAGGGACAAACACUUACAAUGAAUAACUCACGUCAACAUUCCUAAACAGGACAUAGAAGUGACAGAUCUAUAUAUAGAACACUGCAUAUGAGUCACAAGAAAAGAUAAUACGGGUGCAUAGCAGCUCUUAUAUUACAUAUUACUCAUACCGUUCAAAUUCACUCAGUUGGGAUGGGUGGGAGAAGGAGGCCUCUGGGGUGGCUUGUGCGUGUGAGAAGUGGAAGAAAGUUGAAUGGAAUGAAACUGAAAAACAGGGUAGAAUAGAGGUUUCUUGAAUCUUCUGAAAUCUUUAUUUUUCUGAGAUUUAUUCUCUGUUUUUGUGAGUCGUGACUCUACAUAUAUACAUGUAUUUAAAGUUAGUUAUGCCUUAUAACUAAUUAUCUAACAGUACCAAAACUAAUCAUCUAGUUGCAUGUUUCUAAUUAAUGCUAUUUAGUUACAACUAUAUAUGGCUUAACAUCCUCUCUCAAACUCAAAAGUCUAGCUAGAACAGUGAGUUUGCUUCAUAGAUUGAGAAAUUGUUGAAUAGGUAAGGCUUUGGUAAGAGCAUUAGCAAUCUGGUCAUAAGAAGGAAUGUGUUGAACCACCAAAGUCUUAUUGAGCACCUUUUCCUGAACAAAAUGGCAAUCUAGUUCCACAUGCUUAACUCGAGAAUGAAAAUAGGAUUGGCAGCAAGAAAGGUGGCUGAAAGAUUGUCAUAGAACAAAACAAAAUAGGAGAAUAAGAAGAUGAGAUAGAAAACUCCUGAAGAAGAUGUUGAAUCCAUUGAAGUUCAAAAGCAACAUUUGCUAAGGCCCUAUACUCAGCUUCAUUGCUGGAACGAGACACAACUUUCUGCUUACUGGAGUUCCAGGAGACUAGAUUAGAGCUAAAAAAGAUGCAAUGACCACUUGUACUUCGACGAUCAUCAGGGCAACCAACCCAAUCAACAUCAGCAUAAGCAGUAAGUUGAAAAUCAGGAGAAGAAUAAAAGGAAAGACCAAAGGAAGUAGUGCCCUUAAGAUAAUGCAACAAUCGUUUAACAACUUGCCAAUGAAGAUCAGUUGGUUAUUGCAUGAAUUGGCAAAGUUUAUUGAUAGAGAAAGAGAUGUCAGGCCUUGUAAUGGUACAAUAUUGCAGGGCUUCAACAAUGUUGCGAUAUUGAGAAGGGUCAGCCAAGAGGGAACCUUUAGAGGCAGAUAAAGUGUGAGAGGUAGUCAUUGGUGUAUCAAUAGGUUUAAAAUAUGGAAGACCAGCACGAGUUAACAAGUCCUGAAUAUAUUUGGUUUGGGAAAGAUGAAGAGAAGAUCCUUGCCAACAUACUUCUACACCCAAGAAGUAAUUCAGAAUACCAAGGUCCUUGAGAGCAAACUGAAAGUGUAAAGACGAAACCAUUUGGUGGACUAGCACGGUAUUAAGACCACUAACAAUAAUGUCAUCAACAUAGAUGAGAAUAAUGAUCAUGUCAGUCCCUUUCCGAAGAGGAGCUUGCUUCAGACCCUACAAGGCUUUGCGAAGUUUACAGAAAAAACCGGGUUUAGAAUGAUCAACAAAGCCUGGAGGUUGAACCAUGUAAACCUCUUCUUCUAACUCACCAUUGAGAAAGGCAUUAUUAACAUCUAAUUGUUCCACUAACCAACCAUGAGAAAUAGCAAGAGAAAGAACAAUUCAUAUAGUAGUUGGUUUAACAACAAGGCAAAAGGUUUCAAAAUAAUCAAUACCAUAUGUUUGAUUAAAACCCUUUGCAACUAAGUAGGCUUUAAAACGAUCAAUUGAGCCAUUAGCUUUGAGUUUCAGCUUGUAUAUCCAUUUACAACUAAUAAUGCGUGUAUUAACAGGUUUAGGAACCAAUGUCCAUGUGGAAUUGGUGAGAAGAGCAUCAUACUCAGUCUUCAUAGCAGCUUGCCAAUUAGGAUGCAAUAUUGCUUCUUUGAAAGAGGAGGGUUCGACAACAGUAGUUUGGAUAGCAAGGCUAAAUAUUUUUUUGGGUUUAAAAAUACCAUUUUGGCUACGAGUAACAAUAGUUCGGUUUGGAAGUGAAAGAGGAUCAGUGGAGGAGGCUGGAACAAGGGAUUGUGGUAAAGUAGGAAAGGAAGGUGGAUGAGAUGGAACAAAAUCAGUAGGGACAAUAAUGGGAGAAGAAAAAUUAGGUGGAGAAUGAUGAGGAUUCCUUGAAGAUGGUGUAGGAAUAGAGAGAAUACCAGAAUCAAGAAGUGUUAAAGAAGAGUUGGAUGAUGAUACUGGUUGACAGGAUAAAGACUUUGUUAAAAAUGGAAAUCGAGUUUCAUCAAAUACAACAUGACGAGAAGCAUAUAUCCGAGAGGAAGCCAUAUCCAAACAGAGGAAUCCCUUGUGUUUAGCACUAUAACCCAAAAAACAGCAAACAACAAAUAUAUUUGCUAGCUUGUGAGAAGCAUAAGGGCGAAGAUAAGGAAAACACAAGCAUCCAAAACUUCAAAGAGAUGUAUAAUAAGGUAAACGAUUAUAAAGAACUCCAUAAGGAGAAUUUUGUGAAAGAACAGCAGAGGGAAGGCAAUUUAUGAGAAAAAUGGCAGUUUGAAAUGCAAAUGACCAAUAUUUGAGAGGGUAUACCAGCUUGUAUUAACAAAGAAAGACCAACUUCCACAACAUGACGAUUCUUUCUUUCAACUCUUCAAUUUUGCUAAGGAGUAUAAUGACAAGAGACUUGAUGAAGAAGACCAUUUGUAGCCAAAUAAUUCUGAAAAGCUGAAACUGAAACUCAUCAAAUUGAUUUUUAGUAUCAAAUUUUCUUCAGACUGAACACAUUGAUUUUUAGUAUCAAAUUUUCUUUCAACCAUGGCUUGAAAAUGUUGGAACAUAAGUAAAGCUUCAUCUUUAGUUUCCAAAAGGUACAACCAUGAGAAUAUGCUAAAAUCAUCAAUUAGCAAGAGGAAAUAUUGAGCAUUACCAUUGACAGAAACUAUAGGAGUUGCACCCCAAAGAUCAACAUGGAUGAGACCGAAUGGUUUUAUUGCUCUAGAAGUGGAUAUUUCAAAUGGAAAACGAUGGCUUUUAGCCAACUGACAAGACUCACAUACAGAGUUAUUAUUGUCAUGUUUCAAAGGUAUUUUAUAAAGAGAUAAGAUUUUGGAAACUACAUUAAUAGAGGGAUGACCAAGUCUAUUAUGCCAAAGCCUCAAAGAACCAACGGCUAAAGUACUACUAGUAGAGUAAAAUACUAGUGGAUGACCAACAACUCUUGGUGUAGCAAGAAGUUUAUAGAGACCCUUCUCAAUUUUUCCUUGAAGAAGAGCAAGUCUCGUUUCCUGAUCCUUUACCACAAAAUGAGAAGAACGAAAUUCAAUAAAGGUGCCAUUGUUUGAGUAAAAUCGUUGCACGCUAACUAAGUUGGUGGUAAUAGAAGGAACAUGUAAGACAUCAUUGAAAAACAAAGAACCACUUGAAGAGGCAAGAGAAAAUUUACCAAUAUUUGCAAUGGAUAAACCCUUACCAUCUCCAACAAUUACUUUGUCACCACUGGUAAAUGGAUUAUGGAUUGUUAAAUUGUUAAGAUCAGAUGUGAGAUGAUGGGUAGCCUUUGUAUCAAGAAACCAAUAAGUGUCUCCCAUUGUUGCAGAAGUUGUAGUCAUAGCCUCAGGAUUGUUAGAGGUGGAAUGUUUAGAAUCUUUUGGCUGAUAAUCAGAGUUAAACCGAUACCAGCAUUGUAAAGCGGUGUGUCCGAACUUACAACCGAGAGAAAUAAUCUUUACUUAUUCUCUAAAAACUGUUCUUUAUUCCACACAUUAUUUCUAAAAACUGUUUCUAGAUAACAAUGACAAAAUAGUAUUAGGAAUUUUUAAAAAUAAAAAUUGUUUUUAAAUUACAUGAUCUAUAUCAUUCACAUUUGACCAUUAUAGCUUUGUUCAGGAAAACACUUGAAAGUAACCUUAUCGUGAUAAGAGAUAUAAGUUGGCUGUAGUUUCAAACUGAAAACAGAGGAUGGCAAUAGAAAGCAAAGCAUUAGUUAUCUGCAAUCAGUGGUGAUCAUGCCCCAUGUCAAUUUCGGACCCAUAUCUUAAAACCGUAUAAUUUGCAUUUCAACAUUUCUGAUUUCUCAGAUGUUUCAUACUCCACAGAAGAACAUUGUUUGUGAAAGCAUGCAUUUAUGCUGGAUUUUGGAUGAUGUGGGAACUGGGGCAAGGAUCAUAUGGAAGAGUGGUCGAUUUUUUCUGUACUUUAACAUUUGAAAUAGGAGCAGCACGGGCAUUUGUGGGGCUUAAUUGAUUUUGAAGCCUGAAAUUGCGUUUCUGUCAUUUUGUAAAAAAUAUGGCAGAUUCCAUGCUCUCAUAUGUUUGGUCUGUGGCCAUGUAUAGAUGCCACUUAGUGACCAGUUUGUAACUGUCAAUCAUAGUGUUUUGACUCUGGCUCAACAACAUCAGCCAUUGACGGAUUUUCAUACAUGCAAAUCAAAUAGUCUUCUUCCUCCCUUAGGAAUUUCGGUUUAAAUGUUAUUAAGCAUACAUUUGGCUGACAAUUAUUAACCACUUCAUGAUAUGGUUUCUUACCCUUAAUCAAUGGUUUCUAAGUGAAUAUAUGCAGAAGGAAAUCUGAACUGUAGACAGCAGUAUUGAUAAUUAUCAAUAUUCUUUAUAUAAGAGAAUAAACAACGUCAUAGUGAUCGUCGCCUACAAGAAAGGUACAUUUCCCAACAAGAUGUAGUUGUGACUGGUACAUGGACGUAAUUAACUCGUAGAAAAGGAUAAGACCAGUGCACGGCAGCUCUUAUUUUACAUGCUAAUUAUGCUAACCAAAGUCACUCAGUUGGGAUGGGAGGGAGAUGGAGGUUUGUGCGGUGGCUUGUGGGGCGGAGUUGGUGGCUUCUUUUCAGGAGCUUGUGGCUUUUUCGGAGCUGAAGGAGGCUCAAUCUUAUGAGGCGGCUUGUACGAGUCUUCUUUACUCUCGACAGGAGGGUGGCCAGGGUUGUGACCAUAAUGUGGUGGCUUCUCUCCCUUAGGUGGCUUGCCAACUGGGGUUGGUGGCUUGUGUUCAGGAAGUGGUUUCUCUCCCUUGGGAGGUUUACCAAUUGGGGUUGGUGGCUUGUGUUCUGGGAGUGGUUUCUCUCCCUUGGGAGGUUUAGUGGGUGACUUGUGUUCUGGAGGUGGCUUCUCCACCGGAGGCUUGUGCUCCGGUGGUGGCUUCUUGGUUGGAGGGGGCUUGGGGUAAUCAGCAAGAGAUGGGGGGGUGAGAACCACCACUCCAAGGAACAACACUAGCAAGUAUGUGGGAGACAUUUCUGAGUUUGAGCUGAUCAGAUGAUGCAAAACUAGAAGAAUUACGUGACCUUUUAUAGCAAGUAGCUCCCAAUACCCACAUGACACGUGUUACUGUGACCAUAAAUAUUAUAGGGUCCAUUUGUGCCCUACCGGGUUGAAAACUUGGACGCUUGGCCGAGGACACACCGAACUAUGGAGGACUAUUGACGUGUGAUCACAGCUUUUGGAUUUUUCUUCCUGUGCAGCUGUCUAGCGGUUGGCAUUAUUUUUUUAAUCUUAAAUAAAGGCAUAGUUAUAGAGUACAUUUAUAUAUCUUCAGAUAGCCAUUAAUAUAUUUGAUGAAGAAAGACAAGUGCAUACAACAUGUAUACGGCUUGCUUCAAUCGAGUACAUUUAUGAUCAGUUUUCCAGUGCAAGUAAACCAGUUUUUUGUUCCACAACUAUUUUGGAAUCUUGUUUAUCAGUUUCUAUCAUUAUAAUGUCACAUAGGCUGCAAACUUGGGCACCCAAAGAUCUAGUUGGGCAAAUUUGUUUCAGAAUUUCAAUGGUGGAUUCAGUAAUUGUUAAAAGGUGUUUCUUCAUUAAGGAAAGAGUCCUGUAAAAAUAUUGUUAAAAGGUGUCAUAGAAACUAUAAUAAUUAAAUAACUUCUUUUCCCCGUGGGUGGUGUUUCUUCUGGGGAUACCCAAAAUGAGUUCAGAUUAAAAUUGGUUCGAGUCAAAGCUGUCUCUUUUGUCCAGAAAUCAACUAUUUUGCGCAUUGCAUGAAUCGAUAAAGAAAAAAUGAAAGCCAAAUCACACCUCCCCUGCAAAACCUAAACCCCGGUUGCUAACUUUCUAUGUUUCAGUCCUAUUCAUACAGGAAUAUUGGUUCAAGUUUGAGAAAAAUGGCAACUUACCUAGGGAUUACUUGGUUGUGGUUUGCGACGACUAUUUACGCAACCAACCAUGAGUUUGACUUUAACGUCAUGGGUUGAAGCCUCCUACAAUCGUGUAUGAUAGUUCAAAGCUCGUAGUAGAAAUUAUACAGGAAGGAAGAAACCUCCAAAGCUAGCUCCAAAAGAGAAUUAUCACAUCGAUAGCUCCAGAGAUUCCCAAGGGGACUGAAUCAAAGACAAGUUCCUCACUUUUUCUUCUUUUGAGGCCAAAUAUGAACCAAGGAUCACACGACCUCAUUCAACUUCAUAAGUUUGAUUUCAUGCAGUUGAACACUGGGUGAAGGCCAUGACAAGAAUUGAUUAAAAAAUUCUACCACUGUUUUAAGUAAUGGAAGAUUAUUAUCUCUGAUUGGCACCACAACAGCACAUGCUGCUAGAUCUUUCUAGACACUCCAUGCAAUGAAAGUACAAUGGAUCUUGUAACGAUAGAAACUAAGCCAUGCUACAGUACUAGAUGACGAGGUAAAACUAUUAGACAUGGGUGGCAGCCUAUAUGGGAGGGACACAAGUCUAAUUGAUUUGCAUUUCAGCGUUCUAGAUGGGUAUGUUUUGGAAGAUUUGUUCUGGAAAUACCGCACCAAGUAGGAUUCUUUUUUCUCUUGAGUGGGUCCACUUGCAUGCCAAUUAUCGAGUUGAAAAGUAGAGCACCUACCUCGUGCUCGUGGAACCGAAGGUCAGUGAAGUGGGGCUCCUUUUGGCCUCUUGUGUUUCUGUUCCAACCAAGGCGGCGGAGGGAAAAACAGCAAUAUGUCUCCGCUAAAUAUCAACGCAUGAUAGCGAAUGAGGGAGAAAAAAAGUAAUUGGCAUCUCAAUCUCACAAACUUGGUACAGUAGUGACAUUAAUAGUCUUCCACAUGGUUUUUAUUUUAUUUUAUUUUAUAUUUUAUAUUUUCCAUUUUUUUAUUUUUUUGUAUGUCAAGGCUAAUGAAUAAAAUGCGUUAGCUUGUUUUGUGAUUGGAACUGCAAAUGUCCAAAUUGGAGUUUCUCCAUUUCUCAGUUCGGAUGGUUAACUUUAUAAACAAGAUAUAGGAAACAUGUGAACGUCUUGAGGAACAAUUCGAAUUAUUGAUUAGAACUCCUAGGUUGAGUUCCAAGAUUUAAAUCAGACCCCUCUAGCAGCUUCAGGGGUACCUAGCAAUUAGAACAUAUUAAUGAAGAUUUAGGAUUUAGACUCCGGAAUACAAAUUAAUAUGUAUCUUAUGCUCUGACUAGCUUCCCUGCAUAUGCACAAAAUGGAGAUGACCCAAAAAAUAGCAGAAUCGCCUUAGUUUAUGUGGUUAAGGUGAUUCUCCGGUUAAUAUCCACAUUGGCUCAUUAUGCAAAUCAACUGAGCUAUUUUUUUUUUAAUGUCAAAUAGGAACUCCUAAUUAACCUAACCAUUGGCCUGUGUAAAUUGAUUUCACAUGCACAAUGUUGUAGUAGAAGUCCACAUUUUGAAUUUUAUUUUUGGAAAGGUAAGGAAAAUGAAGCAUUGUGUAAUUAUAAAAAUAACUUCAUUGGAAUUCACAAGGUUCACCCAAAAUGGAGCUACAUCCGUAUUCUAUCUUACAGUAGACUAUAUAGAUUGUACAAUAGUAAAUUGCAAAUACAAUUAAUAAGUCUUGUGUUUCCUUACUAAUAAUCCUUUGACAUAAACAUUGCAGCACUAAGGUCCUCUUGGGCAGACACCUUGCACCCAUGAGAGCACUAAGAGGAAGCAAGGCGGAGUCAUGGGUGCAAUGUCAUGACUUGUUGCACUAAGAGAGGCUUGGUGAUGGCAUAGUGCUGCAGUAGCAAGAAUGUUGCCUUGGCAGGGACACGAUCUAGGGACAGAUGCCAAGAAAGGCUUAGCACUCACAUGAGUUGCACAAAGAUGAAUGAAAUAGAACAUCAAAGAGACAUCUUGGCAAGCUCAAGAAAGACAUGUGGGUUGGUAAAUGAAUGGAUGCAAGAGGCAACAACAUGAGGAGUUUCAAAUGGAUAGGGAAUGAGUCAAAGACAUUUGAAAGCUACAAGUUGGAUUCUAAUUACGAUUGCAAUUUGAGUUUGAGUAGGAGUUUAUAUUAUGAUUGUAAUUGUAGUAUGAGUUGGACUAGGAUUGCUUAUCCCUAGUCAAAAUAGGAGUUGUUCAUGCCACACCCUAUGAAAAGAGUUUGAGUAGGGACUAGGAUUGCUUGCUCCUAGUCAAAUAUGGAGUAGGUGGUGCCACACCUAUAAAAAAAAAAGGGACAACAUGAGAGAGAGAGAGAAUGAAUUCACCAAAGAUAUUGUGGGAGUUUUGCUUUGUUACAUCUUGUAUUAUUAUUUAGAAUAGUAAUAAAAUACAAGUUGGGGCUAGAGCCCCAUAAUCUCGUGUGCCUUUGUGGGUUAUUCUUUAUUUGCCAUCUCGUGUGGAUUGGAUUAGAUUGAUGAGGCGAAAUAUUAUGUGGGAAAUUUAUGUUGGGACACUUACCAUAACCAGGUAAAAUCUACCAAGUCUUUUGUAAUAUCUUCUACAAAUAUUUUAGACCAGUUCUUCACAAAACAUCAUAAUAUGUUUUGUGUUUCUCUUGGAUUUUGAGUUGAAUUGUCUUAGAUCAAUUGAAUGCAUCUCAAUAUUAUUAUCUUGUUUGAAGGCUUGAUGAUUUUCCAUUUAACUUUACUUUCUUUAGGUUAUGCUUGAUUCCUUAAAAGUACUAAGGAAAACAAAAAAUAAAAAAAAAUAAAAAAUGCAGAGGGUUAGGACAUGUGUUAUCUAAUUGUCCUAUCCAAAGAUAUUAAGAAAGUCAUGUAGGAAAGUAAUUGAAAACUAGGUCAAGAAAGGAGCAAAAGGGAAUUGUUUUGGUAUUUUCUUUUUUAUUCUUGAAGGUGGCAGAGCUAAAAUUUGAGAAAUCAAGCAAAACAUACUGAAAUUACAUUGAAAGAAAGAAAAUGGUAGUUAAUGUCUUGCAGUACAUGAUAAGGACUUCAUGCAUGUAGUGUGACGACCCAUGUCUUGGACUGAUGCCACACUCACGGUUACACUUAUACCCUUGGUUCUCUCUUUACUACCUUGGCUAACCUAGAUCAGGCUAUGAGAUAGGCUCCUCACCACACCAUCACUUGCCCAGUAAUUAGUGACAUUUUCAAGCAAUGAGGUAACAUGGUGACACCAAGAGGGUUUAUCCCUCGCCCCAACAAGUCUAGACUCGGUCUCAAAAAAAUGGAGAAAAAUGAGGUGUCGUUAUGCAGAAAUACAACAACCAUGCCUUCCUUAUUACUUAGAUUCAGAAUGUGAAGGUGAAAUUGAGAAACAGAAACUCUUGAAACCAGAAUGAAAAUUGAUACUUUUACGAAGAAUUACAACAUUAGAGGAAGACUACAUUCUUCCUCUAUAUUCCUACGUUUCUACACUACUUCUACUCCACUCCAUAUUUCUACAUACAUCUUUAAUCAGUUUUCCCUCCUUUAUAUAGAGCCAUCUUCACACAAAUUCCGCAAGGUAGAAAAGAGGAAUGAAACUUGGAGCAAGGUUCGACUACUGGUUGUCGCUUGUCAAGGCUGGAAUUGAACUUUUUUUCUUGGCUUUUCUGGGCAUAGGUAGUAACUUGUGGUUCCUUUUUGGAAUGAAAAUGGUACAGCUAGAACAUGUGGCACUCUCUUGUUGGAUUAUGUGUCAAACAUGUGGCAGCCAUCUAGUGGAGAUUAUUUCAAUUUUGGGAUGGAGAGUUGGCAUCCAAUUGCAAAGAAAUAUGACAUCUACCAACAUGCAAUGUAAACCUAUAUAGAUCAUAUGGAGAUAGAGAGGAAACAUAUAGAAAUGGAUAUAUACCUAGAACUAGCUUUUUAUUAAAUGAGACGGAGAGCCAACAAUGAAGGAAAAUCAAAAUUUUUGGCUCAUAUCAAAGAAUUCACAUUGUGUUACCCUAGGUUUUCUUAAAGCUUGCACAAAGCCAAAAAGCACACAAAAAAUUAUAUUUUCUAGCUCUCUACCUUGGAUGGUCUCUUGAUCCUACUUGGAGAUGUGCAUAAAUAAAAGGAUUUGAAAAUGACAAUUGACUAAGUAUGUAGUCAAUCAAUUACUCAUUAAUUGACUAGUUGAUCAAUUAACUUUGCAACAUCAUAUGCAAUCCUAAUAGCUAGUCAUCUAAUCAACUAGGUAGUAAAUCAAUAGGCCAAAAAUAUGUUUAUAAUGACUAUUUUGUACAAAAACCACCUAUAUGGUUAAAUAUAAUGCAUUUCAUUUAUAAAUCUUCUAAUUCUUGAAUAACGAUCCUAUCAUCCUUUGAAAGUUUUUAUUACACCUUUUAUACUUUUGUUCUAAAACUUACACAUGUACAUCACCCUUAAUUGUACCAUGAGAACCUAGCUUUUUUUUUUUUUUUUUUUGUAAUUCAUCAAAGUUAGCUUUUGUAUUCAUUACUGUACUAUUUUUAUUGUAACUUAGAAAGCGAGUGUUUUCAAGUGAGUGAAAUUGACUUAUAAAUAUUGUAAAGAUUCAUUGAUGUGUAUCUUAAACUAAGUGUACAAGUUGAAACAUUUGCUAGUAGAUUUUCUCAAGAUUUAGAAUAGAGCUUGAGGCUAUUGAAAUAGGUGGGGUUGCACCAAACCACAUCACAUUGUUGUUUGCACCUUUUUUUCACUCUCUUUUACUUAGUUGCUCUAUAUUUGUUGUCUAGUAAUAUCCUAUAGGCUUGAUGGGUUAGGGAGCAUCCCUUUGUGAAAAAUUUUCAUUCAAUCCUUAGUUGUAUCACGCAUAUAUAAAAUGCCUCAUUGUUUUAAUGGUAUUCAGUCGUGGCAUCACAGAUAUGGGCAUCUAAAUUUUAAAAGUUUGAAACUUUUAUCUAAAGAAAAUAUGGUGCUUUGCCUUUUUGUAAAGCAUGUUGAUGAAAUCCAUGAGAAUUGUGUACUUGGGAAGCAACAUCGAGAUGACUUUUUUUUUUUUCAUUUUUUAUAAUGCGACACCUAAGUCCGGUUUCUAAAUGCUGAAGUGAAAGGGUAGGUAUGGACCAUUGAAAUCUGAUCACAACUUUUGGCCUUUUCCUUUCUCUGCAGCCAUGUUGUCUCUUUUUUCUUUUGCAUGAUUUUCUUACCUAAACAGAAUCAUAGACUUGUUUAAUCUCUAAAUGGUAUUUCAUCCAGCUUUAAGCUACUGUAUUAUAUCUUGGUGGAGGACUUUUAAGAGUGAAACCGACAUAGAGCACAUGCAAGUGGGUAUAUGGGACAUGAAAUUUCUUCUUAUAAAGACUGCAUGGUUUUUAUAUUAGAGUUGUUGAGGCGCAAUGUAUUUAGCUUGUUUUGCAGUUAAAUUAAUUGGAUAAGUAGACAUUGUCGUUUCUAAAUUUCCCACCUAAGAUAGUGACCUUAUCCUUGACUGCUUGAUGAGAUACACAAACAAUUAUACCUUCAAAAUCUACUGUGAAGUGCUUCAUGUAUGUGUGAAGUAUUAGAAAUUUCUUUCUUGGCAACUUGUUUUUUCUUUGCCCUCUACUGAUAGGUUUGACUCAAAUUAAAUUCCCUGUCAUGCUAAUUAAUUUUCACGUGCAUGCUCAAAAGGAUCACGUCAACUCUGGUUUCUACUAUUCAGGUCCAUUCCCAGAUAAACUGGUUCAAAUUUGAGAAAAUGGCAACAGCCCUUUAGUGAUGUUGGUUUGGAGCCAGUAGCCAAACCCGCCCUGAGCUUUACCACUAAUGUCAAGGGACAAAGCCAUUUGAACAAAAACAAUAGCUUCAAGAGACUGAAUCGUGGAUGAAAUCUGAUCCACAUUUCUUCUCAUUUUGGGAACAAAUGAGAACUUAACUACAAAGAUUCUACUGCCUCAUAGUGCUUUUCCUGAUCUAAGGUUGGUUCGUUUCCCAAAUUGUGAGGUACGUGCCAUUCUCACGCUCAGGAGUGUAUCCACGUGGUGGACAUAAGAUGGUGGCUUAAUAUCUGGUGUCGGUGGCUUUACUUUACUAGGAGAGUAGUGUGUCUUCAUCUCAUUCACUGCCGGAGGGUGGCGUAAGCAGUGACGCUAAGGUGGGGCACAGUCAAUAUCAUUUGCAUUUGACCAUUAUAGUUUUCUCCCGGCUUGAAAGUAACCUUAUCGUGAUAAAGGAUUACUAGCACUAGUUCAGAUGACAGUCAUGUUAAAUUCGGACCAUGUUUGUGUCACAUUAUCAGCAACCAUGUGUUUAUGGUUCAUGCUAUCUGCAACUAAACUUGAUAUAUAACCACGUGAACUUCAAUCUAAAUUCUGGAAGUACUCUUGUGAUAGAUGGUGCCUGUCUGCAGAGUCCAUCAAUUGAAAAAUGGAGUGAGUGUAUCUAUAAGAGGGAAGGCUUGGCAAAUGUUCAGUUUUCUGGGAACUCAACAAGGAUCUAAAAUAGAUUGUUUUCUUUGCUGAUUUCAAUGGUUGAAAUUUGAGAAGAUUGUGUCCACAUAACACAACUAUUACUGGUCCUUCUGUUGCAAUUUAUCCUCUAAGGCUCUAACAUGUCUUCCAAUUCCCACUUCCCUGUUACUCCAGGAAAGCUAUUUCUGUCAUUGUGAAGAAGAAAAGAGAAUGUACAUAUCGAUGGUUUUAAGUGACUGGGGCAUUCAUAUCAGGUGGUCUGCAGCCAUAUAUGCCACUUUGUGAAGGUUGGAACAGUCAAUCACCAGGCUAUAUUAGUGUGGCCCAGCCACUUCAAUCAAGGACAAGUCUUCAUACUUAAAGUCAAAUUCUGCCUUUAGUCUCAUUAUAAAUUGCUGUUUAAAUAUUAAGCAAACAUUUGUUUAAUGCGAUUAAGACAGUACUAACUCAAUACUUGUUCUAUUUUUGGAUGCAAAUGCUUGAUGGUUUCAUCAUUGGAUGGGAUAAAGGUGCAUUCAUGAUUAUGAAUACUUGUAGUUAUAUUUUCAUUCUCUUUUUUCUCAAUGAGACUUGUUGGCACAAUUUUGCUGUUCAGAAACCUACCUCUCCAUCGAAAAUCAGUUGUGAUUGAUAGUACUGGAUAUAUUCAAGAAAGCUAAAUAUAGAUAGCACCAAAUAUUAUCGAUAUAAAUAGCAUUAACAGCGUACGUAUGUCUCAAUGCUCAUCAGCUAUAAGCAACGGGCAAACACUUACUAUGAGCAACUUGCGUCAAAAUUCCAGAAUAGGACAUAGAAGUGACAGAUCUAUAUAUAUAUAGAACACUGCAUAUGAGUCACAAGAAAGGAAAUUACGGGUGCAUAGCAGCUCUUAUUUUACAUCCUACUCAUACUGAUCAAAGUCACUCAGUUGGGAUGGGUGGGAGUAGGAGGUUUGUGGGGUGGCUUGUGCGGAGGAGUUGGCAGCUUCUUUCCAGGACCUGGUUGCUUCUCUGCUGGAGUUGAAGGAGGCUUAAUCUUCCGAGGUGGCUUGUAUGAGUCUUCAGCAUUCUCAGCAGGAGGGUGACCAGGGUUGUGACCAUAAUGUGGUGGCUUCUCUCCCUUAGGUGGUUUGCCAACUGGGGUUGGUGGCUUGUAUGAGUCUUCAGCAUUCUCAGCAGGAGGGUGACCAGGGUUGCGACCAUAAUGUGGUGGCUUCUCUCCCUUAGGUGGUUUGCCAACUGGGGUUGGUGGCUUGUGUUCUGGGAGUGGCUUCUCCCCCUUGGGAGGUUUUUCCAAUGGGGUUGGUUUGUGUUCAGGAGGUGGCUUCUCCACUGGAGGCUUGUGUUCAGGAGGUGGCUUCUCCACCGGAGGCUUGUGUUCAGGAGGUGGCUUCUCCACCGGAGGCUUGUGUUCAGGAGGUGGCUUCUCGAAUGGGGGAUGCUCAGGGUAAUCAGCAAGUGAGGGGUUGGUGAGAACCACCAUGCCAAGCAACAGGACUAGCAAGUAUGUAGGAGACAUCUUUGGGUUUGGACUUAAGACAGUGGAAAACUGCGAGAAUUCUCUAGCCUUUUAUAGCGGGUCGACCCAGUACUCACAUGACACGUGUCAUUAUGACACAUGUGCCAUGGGGUCGAUUUGGGUCCUACAGUGUUGAAAAGUUGGGCAUUUGAGGUGUGAGCACAACUUUUGGCCUUUGCUUUCUCUACAGCCGCCAUGCUUUUCCCUUUUUUCCUUUUCCUUUUGUUUUCCUCCUGCCUCGUGUUCUCAACUAAACACAAUUAGGUUGUUUAAUUGUUAAAUGAGAUUUUUGUCUGUCAAUCAUAUUAUAUCCUAUCAAGAGAGAACAGAGUGUAAUGUAGUACACAUAACACGAGGCAGUAGUAAUUUUAUCAUUUAUUUUUAUAGCUUGGACCACCGCAUUUUUUCUUCUAAAAUAUUCUGUCUUGUUAAGAGACGCAAUAAUACACAAUUUUAUCUGCCAUUCAACAUUUACUGUAAAGUUCUUUUAUCUCUUUGUAGUUCUAGAAAAGUACAAAAUGGAACAUCAUGUAUAUGGUGCCUUCUGUCCUAAAAAAGAAACUGGACAAAUUAUGAACUGCAUGCUAAAAAGAGGCAAAGGAGCUUAAUUCGCAGCAUAAUUAUUUUGGUUUCUAGAGAGCCCGGGGCCUUUUGGUUGGUUUGGGGUCAGAAAAUGAACAUCAUAGGGAUUGUGCCCUUAACUGGCCUUGUUACUACAAAGAAAUUGCCAUAGAAAUUUAUUCCAGGCUGAGUAUCUCCGGAUAGACCCCAGAAAAGAAGAGUCAUAAUGAGAAUCAACCUUUGUUGAGUUUGAUUCCAUGCCUCCAUUGUGUUCAUUUCAUGAAUCUGAUUUGCAUUUAACAUUACAGUUUUGUUCUGGAAACAAUCAAAGGAGCAUCGUUUGCUUCUUGGGUGACCCAUAGUGGUGGGUGGGUCGAUUUGCUUAGUUGAAAAUUGGACAAUUGGCUCCAUCGCCUACCUCUUGGAUUCCAUGCUCGGAUAAAACGACAACAAAUAAAUAUUUAUAACUUACAACUGGGGAAAGGAAAAAAUAGUACUAAAUUCAUGGUACAUGAUAGUGAGAGAAGGGGGUGUUACACUCAGCUAAAGUUCUUUUCUAAAUAUUGCAUGGUGUUUAAUUUUAUGUGUCGGCGCGCGUGUGAAUGGAACCUGCAAAAGUCCAAAUUGGCGUUUCUCCAUUUUCCACAUAGGAUGGUGACGUUAAUAGACAAAGAUACAAUAUCUGUAGACAUUGCUUAAAAAUCGAUGUGAAGUAUUAGAAAUUACAGGCCACUGUACUGGGGGAGCGGCUGCCCCGCCAAAGGAAGAAUGUAGCAAUUUCUUCUGUUAGCCAGGCCUUAGGAUUUAUGCAUGGGAUGCCUAAUAACAAACAGAGAAAAUAUGCUUUUGGGGAAGGUAUCCAACAACAGACACCAUCAUUCAGAUGGUGGGAAGGUAUCCAACAGAUGCCAUCAUUCAGAUGGUAACAUAUAUAUACAUUUAUUAGUGAGUUUUUUUAAUACCUAUAAAAAAAAUAUACACUUUGAUAUUGUGGCUGAAUCCAUUACAUACUCAACUAACCUUGCUCAUUAGGGAUUUGACGUAACAAGGGCAACGUUGCAGUAAAAGCUCGAAACUUUAUGCAGGUGACAUUACAUUUGGUAAAGAAGAGGAAAAUAAGGAAAGCCAUCCAUAAAAGCAAAAUUCCUCAUGGGAUGAAAUUCACAAACUUCAUUUACGUUAGAGUCGCAUCCAGGCAAUUAAUUCCACAUUAGACCGCCUUUUGACAUGUGUACGGAUCUUUUUUCAAAAAUUAUUUAUAAAUAAUUGAUACUUACAAAAAUAAUUUAAGAUUUAUAAAGGAUAAAAAAAUAUUUUCAAAUCUAUGACAAUUUAUAAAAUAUUAAUAAAAAAUUAUCUCUUAAACUUAGUAUAGUUUUAUCGUAUUAAACUUUUAUUUUGAACAAAUAAUUUUAAUCUAAGUUUUAAAUUCUAAAAUUAUUUCCUUAAAAUAAAAUUUUAAAAUUCAACACUUCAAUUGAAAUUGUCUUUUAAAAAAAAUAUCUUCUUAUUUUAAUCCUUAUAAACUAUAGUUGAUUGAAAAUACUAUUGAAGUUCUCUCUUCAAAAAAAGUCUUAUUUUAAUCUUCAUAAAUUGCCCUUGAUUUGAAAAUAAACUUUGGGUUAUCAUAUUUUAAAUAAUAUAUAUAUAUAUAUAUAUAUAUAUAUAUAUAUAUAACAAAUACUCUAUUUUUUUUUUAAAUGAACUAAUUUUAAUUAUAUUUUAUUUUAUUUUUUUAUAUAUUUUUAAUGAUAAACCAAACAUAGAAAAUCAUUUUUCUAAAUAUUUUAAAAUUUCUAAGCAACCAAACAUAAUCUUCAAAAUAAAAGGAGAAUAAGGAGGGACAAGUGAGAAAUGGCGAUUAAAAAAAAGUGUACAAAAGCUCAAUUAAUUUUCUUCUAGUCUUUUAUAUAAAAAAGUAUUGGUAUGUAAAUUAAUAUUUGGAUUUUAAUAGUAUUUUAUUUGUCUUUCUCUAUCUCAUGUAAAAGAGAAUUUAAGAUAUUUCCUAAAGCAAAGCAUUAGUUAUCUGCAAUCAGUGGUGAUCAUGGUCCAUGUCAAUUUCGGACCCAUAUCUUAAAACCGUAUAAUUUGCGUUUCAACAUUACUGAUUUCUCAGAUGUUUCAUACUCCACAGAAGAGUAUUGUUAGUGAAAGCAUUUUGUAACUGUUACUCAUAGUGUUUUGACUCUGGCUCAACAACAUCAGCCAUUGACGGAUUUUCAUACAUGCAAAUCAAAUAGUCUUCUUCCUCCCUUAGGAAUUUCGGUUUAAAUGUUAUUAAGCAUACAUUUGGCUGACAAUUAUUAACCACUUCAUGAUAUGGUUUCUUACCCUUAAUCAAUGGUUUCUAAGUGAAUAUAUGCAGAAGGAAAUCUGAACUGUAGACAGCAGUAUUGAUAACUCUCAAUAUUCUUUAUAUAAGAGAAUAAACAACGUCAUAGUGAUCGUCGCCUACAAGAAAGGUACAUUUCCCAACAAGAUGUAGUGGUGACUGCUACAUGGACGCAAUUAACUCGUAGAAAAGGAUAAGACCAGUGCACGGCAGCUCUUAUUUUACAUGCUAAUUAUGCUAACCAAAGUCACUCAGUUGGGAUGGGAGGGAGAUGGAGGUUUGUGCGGUGGCUUGUGGGGCGGAGUUGGUGGCUUCUUUUCAGGAGCUUGUGGCUUUUUCGGAGCUGAAGGAGGCUCAAUCUUAUGAGGCGGCUUGUACGAGUCUUCUUUACUCUCGACAGGAGGGUGACCAGGGUUGUGACCAUAAUGUGGUGGCUUCUCUCCCUUAGGUGGCUUGCCAACUGGGGUUGGUGGCUUGUGUUCAGGAAGUUGUUUCUCUCCCUUGGGAGGUUUACCAAUUGGGGUUGGUGGCUUGUGUUCUAGGAGUGGUUUCUCUCCCUUGGGAGGUUUAGUGGGUGACUUGUGUUCUGGAGGUGGCUUCUCCACCGGAGACUUGUGUUCUGGAAUUGAUUAAAAAAAUUCUACCACUCUUUUAAGUAAUGGAAGAUUAUUAUCUCUGAUUGGCACCACAACAGCACAUGCUGCUAGAUCUUUCUAGACACUCCAUGCAAUGAAAGCACAAUGGAUCUUGUAACGAUAGAAACUAAGCCAUGCUACAGUACUAGAUGACGAGGUAAAACUAGUAGACAUGGGUGGUAGUUGAUUACUACUCAAAAAGUACUCUUUUAUAGUUUGAAACUAACUGUUUUAAACACUUUUGAGUAGUAGUUAAUAAAUUUUAACUCAAUUGGCACAUUAAGGAACCUAGCAAGGGUUACUAAUAAACUUUUGGCAAGUUUUGGUGUUUUUGGUAGUUAUUCGAUCAUUGAAACAAGCCAAGAAUGAGGGAGAAUUUUGUGAAGUCCAUGGCAAUGCAAGUUAAAGCUCAAAUACACGAAGAAUCCAAGCUUUGGAGCACUACAUAGCCCUUUGCCAAGCCAAUUAGAGAUGCAAGGAACAAAACCAAAGGAAGAAAUCCAACAACCAACAUUUUCGCAUGGUUGUGUGAAAUUUCGCACACCAUGCGAAACCACAAGAGGUAGCCAAAGAAUUUCACAUGGUAUGCGAAAUCUUCUCAUGCACCGACUCCGUUAGAUUUUUAUCUUCAGAUAUUUUGUGUAAUUUCCUAGUUUCUCCUUGUAACCAACCUAGAUAUUUUCUUUUAUAUCUUUUUUUAUAUUUUUUAGGUAACAUCAUAUAUAAGGGGAGAGACAUAAGGAGGAUAUGGAUGUUUUUCAUAGAACACUUGUAAAUUUUCAGUAGUAAGAAAUAUACAAAGCUUUUUGCUAUGCCUUACCUUCUCAUUUUGUUUUCACCUGUCUUUCUAGCCAAACAACCUCUAAGGAUGAUUUCUCAGGGGAUGAGUGGCUAGGUUUUACGUUUCUUGGAGUGAGGGAAGCUAGGUGAAGGACCUGAAUGCAAAGAUGAGAGUUUUCCUUGCUUUAAAUGAAAGUAGUUGUUAAACAUUAAUGGUUUUUAUUUUAAGGUUUAGCUUUAAAUCCCUUAAAAACACCUUGAAUGACCAAUACUUGGUAAGCUUUUCGGAUUCUAUGGAUGCUUAUUGCUAGAUCCAUGGAUGUCUAUUAGUUAUCAUUUACGAGCCUUUGGAAGGUGAUUCAAGGUGAGGGUCUUUAGUGUUUGAAGCCAUUAAUGGGAAGCAAUUACCAUUUUUUCAUGAAUCCUUUGGAUCAAAUCUUAAUUGCUAAAUAUAAAACCGAUUUGGGAAAUAACCAUCCUUUAUGUUAUUAUCCCCAACGCAAGGAGAAGAUCCGGAAUCUUCCCUUUUGUCUAAGGAACCCGAUCCUAGUGACCUAAAGCUCCAAGAGACCUUUUCUUUGUAGUUAACUUCAUUUAUUGUUUUUGCUUAACUUAAAAUCAAUCUUUGCAACCACAAUUCCAUUUUCUUUAAAAGCUAAUUUUUAUAAGGAAAAACACCAUUUUAUUUCCUUCACUAAGUCAACUGUACGAUGAAAACCCAUCCCUGUGGACGAUCCUAGAGCCAUUAUACUAUGUUAGCUAUGCUACCCUAGUGUGAGGUGAUUUAGGUUUUAUAAAUUUUGUUGAUAACACCCAUCUGAGCCAGAAUCAAAUGGCACAACUGAACCAGGGACGAAUCAAAUGGCGCCGCUAUCGAGGAUGGUGCCAAAGUACAUUGACAUGACUUUUGGUGAACACUUGUGAUCUUCAUCACAAGUUUGGUGAUUUUUCUAUUACUAAUUUUUUUCUUUGUUUUUAUUUUAGCUUAUCUUUUAUUUAGUUUUUAGCUAACCUUAACUUUUUCUUAGAAUUGUAUUUCUUCUAUUUUCUUUGUUUUUGUUUCAGUGAUCUUUAGUUGUGCAUGCCCUAUUGGAUAAGAAAUAUUGAGGGAAUACUUGUGAAGAUUGAAAAUCCUCGAGAAACUGAGUUGGAAGUGUGAUUGAACAUCAUGGAUGUUCCACCUGAAGACCAGAAUAGCCAACAUGGUUAAGAGGAUAAUUUCAAAGCAUACCGAUCCAUGAGGGACUGCAUGCAUCCACCUCGUAUGAGUGCACCGUCAUGCAUAGUGCCUCCCACUGAGCAACUAGUAAUCUGACCUCACAUUGUGCCACUCCUACCUACUUUCCAUGGGAUGGAGAGUGAGAAUCUCUACUCGCAUAUUAAGAAAUUCGAGGAGGUUUGUAAUACAUUCCAAGAAGGAGGAGCUUCAAUUGACUUGAUGAGGCUCAAGCUAUUUCCUUUCACUUUGAAGGAUAAGGCUAAGAUUUGGCUUAAUUCUUUAAGGCCAAGGAGUAUCCGAACUUGGACUAAUUUGCAAGCCGAUUUUCUUAAGAAGUUCUUCCUUACCCAUAGGACCAAUGGUUUGAAAAGGCAAAUUUCGAACUUCUCAGCUAAAGAGAAUGAGAAAUUCUAUGAGUGAUGGGAGAGGUACAUGGAAGCUAUUAAUGCUUGUCCUCACCAUGGCUUUGACACAUGGCUCUUAGUGAGUUAUUUUUACGAUGGUAUGUCUUCUUCAAUGAAGCAACUCCUAGAAACUAUGUGUGGAGGAUACUUCAUGAGUAAGAAUCCGAAGGAAGCCAUGGACUUUUUGAGUUAUGUGGCUGAAGUUUUAAGAGGAUGGGAUGAACCAAAUGCUAGAGAGGUGGAAAGAAUGAAGUCUCAACCUAAUGCUAAGGGUGGGAUGUAUGUUUUGAAUGAAGACAUUGACAUGAAAGCAAAGGUUGUAGCUAUGGCAAGGAGAUUGGAAGAGCUAGAAAUGAAGAAGGCACAAAAAGUGGAAGCCAUUUCUGAGACAUCAGUGCAAGCUAUGCCUUGUUCCAUUUGUCAACCUAAUGCUAAGGGUGGGAUGUAUGUUUUGAAUGAAGACAUUGACAUGAAAGCAAAGGUUGUAGCUAUGGCAAGGAGAUUGGAAGAGCUAGAAAUGAAGAAGGCACAAAAAGUGGAAGCCAUUUCUGAGACAUCAGUGCAAGCUAUGCCUUGUUCCAUUUGUCAAUCUUAUGAGUACCUAGUGGAGGAGUGUCCUACAAUUCCAGUAGUGAGAGAGAUGUCUGGUGAUCAAGCAAAUGUUAUUGAUCAAUUCAAGCCUAAUAAAAAUGCUUCAUAUGGCAACACCUACAAUUCAAAUUGGAUGAACCAUCCAAAUUUCUCUUGGAAACCAAAGCUACCUCAAUACACACAACCUGCUCAAGCACCUUAGCAAUCCUCGAAUCUUGAACAAGCUAUUGUGAACCUUAGUAAGGUUGUGGGAGAUUAAAAGUCCAUCAAUGCUCAACUGAAUCAGAGAAUUGACAGUGUAGAGAGUACAUUGAACAAAAGGAUGGAUGAGAUGCAAAAUGAUCUGUCUCAAAAGAUAGACAAUGUCCAAUAUGCAAUCUCAAGGCUUACCAACCUCAACACAGUGCAAGAGAAAGGAAAGUUUAUUUCUCAACCUCAUCAAAAUCCCAAGGGUAUCCAUGAAGUGGAGGCUCAAGAGAGAGAAUCUUCAAAGGUGAGGGAAGUCAAAGCAGUUAUCACCUUGAGGAGUGGUAAAGAGGUUGAUCAACCCACAUCCAAGCCAAAGCAUAAUGAAGAGAGUUUUGUAGAAAAAGAAAAGAGAGGAAAAUAAAGGAAAGAGAAUAGAGAAAAGUACAAAGAAAGAUGACCAUGAGUCUAGUGUGGAUGAAGAGCCCAAGAGGAUAGUGAUCAAGGAAAAUAUGAUGAAGAAACACAUGCCUCCACCUUUCCCCUAAGCUUUGCAUGACAAAAAAGGAACCAAUAAUACAUCGGAAAUUUUUGAAGUAUUGAGGCAAGUGAAGGUCAAUAUCCCUUUGCUAGAGAUGAUCAAACAAGUGCCGACAUAUGCAAAAUUCUUGAAGGACUUGUGCACUGUAAAGAGAGGGUUGAAUGUGAACAAGAAAGCUUUCUUGACCGAGCAAGUGAGUUCCAUCAUACAGUGCAAGUCUCCAGUGAAGUACAAAUAUCCGGGCUACCCUACCAUCUCAGUGAGUAUUGGAGGUACUUGUGUGGAAAAAGCUUUGUUGGACUUGGGAGCAAGUGUGAAUUUGCUACCCUACUCUGUCUAUAAGUAGUUGGGACUUGGAGAGUUGAAGUCAACAUCCAUCACCCUAUCUCUGGCAGAUAGAUCAGUGAAGAUUCCAAGAGAGAUGAUAGAAGAUGUCUUGGUUCAAGUUGACAAAUUCUACUAUCCAGUGGAUUUUGUUGUUCUUGAUACGGAUCCGAUUGUCAAAGGAACUAAUUAUGUUCCUAUCAUACGAAGACCCUUCCUAGCUACAUCAAAUGCAAUCAUCAAUUGUAGGAAUGGAGUCAUGAAACUCACGUUUGUCAACAUGACAUUAGAGCUCAACAUCUUCCAUUUGUACAAGAAGCAUAUCCAUUCAGAAGAAAAAGAAGGUCUAGAGGAAGUGUGCAUGAUUGACACUUUAGUGGAGGAGCAUUGUGAUCGACAAUGCAAGAAGAUUUAGUUGAGAGUUUUGGGGAUCUUGAUGAAGGGUUACUUGAACCCUCAGAUUUGCUUGCUACCCUACUCCAUUGGAGGAAGAGAGAAGAAAUUCUACCCUUAUUCAAUGAGGAGGAGACACAAAGAGCUGCUAAAGAUAAGCCCCCAAAGCUUAUUCUUAAGCCACUACCCACAGAGUUGAAGUAUGCAUACUUGGAAGAAGACAAGAAGUGCACUGUUGUUAUAUCUUUAGCUCUUACCAUUCAUCAGGAGGAUUGUCUACUUGAAGUCCUUAGAAGAAGUAAGAAGGUAAUAGGGUGGCAAAUUUCUGAUUUGAAAGGGAUCAGCCCUUUUGUCUGCACCCAUCAUAUUUACAUGGAGGAUGAAGCUAAGCCAAUUCAUCAACCUCAGAGAAGGUUGAACCCUCACAUGCAAGAAGUGGUGAGAGUUGAAGUUCUUAAGCUACUUUAGGCUGGUAUUAUUUACCCCAUAUCAGAUAGCCCAUGGGUGAGUCCUACUCAAGUUGUGCCAAAGAAGUCGGGGAUCACGGUGGUGCAAAAUGAUAAGGGAAAAGAUGUCUCUACAUGUCUCACUAUAGGUUGGAGGGUGCGUAUCAAUUACAGGAGGUUGAAUGUAGUGACAAGGAAUGACCAUUUCUCGUUGCCCUUUAUUGAUCAAGUGCUUGAGAGGGUCUCUGGGCAUCCUUUUUAUUGUUUCUUGGAUGGCUACUCGAGGUAAUUUAAGAUAGAAAUUGAUGUUGAAGACCAGGAGAAGACCAUUUUCACAUGCCCAUUUAGAACCUAUGCAUAUAGGAGAAUGUCUUUCGGCUUAUGCAAUGCACCCACAACUUUCCAAAGAUGCAUGUUAAGCAUUUUCAAUGAUAUGGUGGAGCAUAUUAUGGAAGUCUUUAUGGAUGAUAUCACCAUAUAUGGAAGUGCAUUUGAUGAAUGCUUGGUCAACUUAGAAGUUGUUCUGAACCGAUGCAUUGAGAAAGACUUAGUGCUUAAUUGGGAGAAGUGCCAUUUCAUGGUACACCAAGGGAUUGUCCUUGGGCACAUCAUCUCCAAGCAAAGCAUUGAAGUUGACAAAGCAAAGGUUGAACUCAUUGUUAAGUUGCCAUUCCCAACAAAUGUCAAAGGAGUAAGGCAAUUCCUUGGCCAUGCCGGGUUCUAUAGGAGGUUUAUCAAGGAUUUCUCUAAGCUUGCAAGGCCUCUUUGUGAAAUAUUGGUGAAGGAUGUUAAAUUCAUAUGGGAUGAUAGAUGCCAAAGGAGUUUUGAAGAAUUGAAGCUAUUUUUGACAACCUCACCAAUAGUGAGGGCUCCCAACUAGCAACUGCCCUUUGAGGUAAAGUGUGAUGUCAAUGACUUUGCUAUAGGAGCUGUUCUUGGGCAAAGAGAAGAUGGAAAACCUUAUGUGAUCUACUAUGCGAGCAAGACAUUGAAUGAGGUGCAAAGAAACUACAUAACCACCGAGAAAGAAUUGUUAGCUGUAGUUUUUGCCUUGGAUAAGUUUCGUGCUUACUUGGUGGGAUCCUUCAUCGUGGUUUUUAUUGAUCACUUUGCUUUGAAGUAUCUAUUGACUAAGCAAGAUGCUAAAGCAAAACUGAUUAGAUGGAUUUUCUUGCUUCAAGAGUUCAAUCUCCAGAUCAAAGACAAGAAAAAAAUGGAGAAUGUGGUAGUAGACCACAUUUCAAGGCUAGCUAUCGCACAUAAUUCCCAUGCUUUGCCCAUUAAUGACGAUUUUCUAGAGGGGUCUCUCAUGUUGGUGGAAGUUGUCCCUUGGUACGCUCACAUUGCUAACUACCUGGUCACAAGAGAAGUUCCAAGUGAGUGGAAAGCACAAGAUAAGAAGCACUUCUUUGCAAAAAUUCAUGCCUACUAUUGGGAAAAGCCAUUUCUAUUCAAGUAUUGUGCGGAUCAGAUAAUAAGGAAGUGAGUUCCUGAAGAAGAGCAACAGGGGAUCCUCAGUCAUUGCCAUAAAAAUGCAUGUGGAUGCCACUUUGCUUAUCAGAAGACAACCAUGAGGGUGCUGCAAUCGGGUUUCUGUUGGCCAUCACUUUUCAAAGAUGCCCACACCAUGUGCAAGAGUUGUGAUCGAUGCCAGAGGCUUGGGAAGUUAUCAUGUAGGAACAUGAUGCCUUUGAACCCCAUUUUAAUAGUUGAUCUUUUUUAUGUUUGGGGCAUUGACUUCAUGGGACUUUUCCCUAUAUCUUUUGGCUACUCUUACAUCUUGGUGGGAAUAGAUUAUGUUUCUAAGUGGGUUGAGGCAGUCCCAUGCAAACACAAUGACCAUAGAGUGGUUCUCAAGUUUCUUAAGGAGAACAUCUUCUCAAGAUUUGGGGUGCCCAAAGCCAUAAUUAGUGAUGGGGGUACUCAUUUUUGCAACAAGCCUUUUGAAACUCUCCUAGCCAAGUAUGGGGUGAAGCAUAAGGUAGCUACACCUUACCACCCUCAAACUAAUGGGCAAGUUGAGUUAGCAAACAAGGAGAUUAAAAACAUAUUGAUGAAGGUGGUGAACACAAACAGAAAAGAUUGGUCAGUCAAGCUCUUCGAUUCACUAUGGUCAUGUAGAACAGCUUACAAGACCAUUAUCGGGAUGUCUCUUUAUCACCUAGUCUAUGGAAAAAAUGCCAUCUCCUUGUGAAAUUGGAAUACAAAGCUUGGUGGUCAAUCAAGAAGCUCAACAUGGAUUUGAGCAGAGCUGGGUUGAAGAGGUUCUUAGACCACAAUGAGAUGGAGGAAUUGAGAAAUGAUGCCUACAUCAAUUCAAAAAUUGUAAAAGAAAAAUUGAAGAGGUGGCAUGAUCAGUUGAUUUCCCGCAAGAAUUUUCAAAAUGGAUAAAGAGUCUUGCUCUAUGACUCUAAACUCCACAUCUUUCCGAGCAAGCUGAAAUCAAGGUGGAUAGGUCCUUUUACCAUUCACCAAGUGCAUUCAAAUAGAGUAGUGGAACUACUCAACUCCAACAACAUCGGGAGCUUCAAAGUGAAUGACCAUUGUCUCAAGCCCUUUGUAGAGUCUUUUUUCUCGCGACAAGGAGGAAUUCAUCCUCCUUGAUCCACAUCAAGCUUGACAAGACCAGUUUUUUUUUAUGGACUUAGUCUUUCUAAAGACUAUCGAGUCCAUAACUUUUUAUUUUAUUUUUUAUUUGAGAGUUUUUCGGUAUUAUUACUUGUUUUGUUUUUUAUUUUUCGUUUUACUUUUAUUUGGUUUGAUUUAACUUAGAUUUUUUAUGAUCAAUUGCAGGGGGGAUUUCAAAUAGAGGAAAAACCAAGAUAAUUCGCACACCCUGCGAAAAUUUCGCAAGGCAUGCGAAAUUUAUGGCUCAUUUCGCAUGGGAUGCGAAAUUUCGCACACCCUACGAACCAAUUUCGCACACUUUGUGAAAAUAAACCAACCCUACGAAAUCAUUUCAAAUACUCUACGAAAUUUUCGCAGAGCAUGUAAAAAAUUUCGCAGACCAAACACCAUUUCGCAUACUAUGCGAAAAUGUAAGGGGUCUACAAAACCAUUUCGCACCUCCAAAGCCAUUUCGCACAUUGUGCAAAAAUGAAAAGUCGCCCUAUCAUCCAUUUUUAAACCCCUUGAGCCCUGAAAUCCCCAUUUCGCAAGCACCCCUGUCCUUGCGAAUCCCUCAUUUUCCUCUGCCACCUUGCGACCUUGUCCCUCUCCAUUUGAUAUCGUGCCCUGCGCACAUCUCAUUUCAAAGACUCGCACUCUGCGCCCUCUCAAAGCACGAACCCAAGGCUCACAUUCCAUUUCCGACAUGGCACAGACCCGAGGAGCCCUUCCCGCCCCUUCAUCGAGACGCACACCAAGGUAGAGAGCCUCUUUUGCUCAGAUGCCAAGUGAUUCUCCAUUUCAGGCCACGGAGGCCCUGCGGAUUCCACAUUCCAAGGGUAGAACAGCCACUGGUCCUUCCUCUUCUAUUCCUCAGCGUAGAUAUGAGACGAGGAGACCACCUACUACACAAAGGGCGACUACUUCGCGCCAUGAGAAUUCGGUACGACACCCUCCUGCCAAGAGGGCCAGGACUUCAGGCCCAGGCGAGUCAUCCAAAGCUUCACAGCCUGAGCCUCCUGCAGAUUCCGAGGUUCCUACUGACAUAUCAUCGGAGUCUAUUAUCAAACGCCCGAUGCUCACAGCACCGCCCAUUGAGGGCAACUCUGAUUGUAGAGCGAGACCUUUCCACUUGGAGCUAUAUUUUAAUUAAGAGGCCAUGCCACAGCAGCCUGAGCUCCAAGACUCUUAUGGCUUACUACAGAGGUACCAUCUUGAGGACCUUAUGACUCCUCGUGAGUUCUUUUAUCCCAGAGUAGCACUAGACUUUUACCAGUCCAUGACUACUCGUGGCGUCCCGAGUCCUACCGCGAUGCACUUCACCAUUAAUGGACGUCAUGGUAUCCUCGAGGCCAGACAUAUUGGAGAGGCUCUACAGAUUCCUUUCGAGCUAGAGGACCCAUCUGUUUUCUGCCAAUGGUCCCCAAUAUCUCAGAGGGACAUGGUCCAUAUUUUAUCCAGGGGGACAUCUACAUAUUCGAUCCUUCUACGGAAGGAGCUUCGACCUGGGAUACUCCUCGUAGAUGUGGUGCUACUUUCCAACCUCUUUCCCUUUUAGCAUUCGAUACAUAGGCGAGGAGCUAUUUUGGACGCUUUAUUCUGUAUAUCAGAGGGCUUCUACUUUGGCCCGCACCACUUGAUCAUGGUUUCCCUCAUCCAUUUUGAGGAGAAGGUCCAUAGAAAGAAGCUUCAGAGGGCGAACACCAUUCCAUUACUAUUCCCGAGGUUGCUCUACUAGAUCUUGGAGUACAUGGGCUUUCCUACUGAGCCUCGGCUUGUGUGCCGCCGCCUUUGUCAAGAGCGAUCCACUCUCGACAAAUGGAAUCAGUUGGCGGGCUAUUCUACACCUCCAGGAGCCCCUCCCAUGGUAGCACCUCUAGUGUCCCCACAGGCAGAGUAGGGCAAGCUCCCGGUAGAGACUGCACCCCUAGUGCCCACACCUGAGGCUACUUCUGCUGUUCCGCCUACGACUCCUACUGUUCCACCAGUUGGUCCUUUUACAUCUGAGUCUUCCAUCAACAUCUCGACUUCGGAGUUUCGCGCCCUUGUGCAUACCUUUCAGACACUCACCACCACACAUACUGCUCUCUUCUAGAAAAUGGCUGAGAUGCGUGCCCAUCAGGACCAGCAGACUACUAUACUCCGCCAAAUUCAACAGCACCUGGGACUUCUGCCUCUGCCUCAGCUUGACCUUCCCACAUCAUCAGAGCCUCUAGCUCCAGUUGAGGAUACUAUUCCACCUGAGGACACUACCACAGUAGAGGUUCAGAUUCCACCACCUCAGGAGGCCACCACAGCUACAUUAGAGGAUGCAUCAUCUCCACCUGAGGCUCCCACUACUUGAUCAUAGGACAUCUCUUUAUCUUAUUGUAUUUACAUAUUAUAUUACUGGAGAUUUGUCUUUGUUUUGAUACUUUAUAUUCUGGCAUUGAAUGUAUUGCCUAAUGAUAUCUCAAUUGUACUUUCUCAUAUUAAUAUAUAGACAUCAAUUUUUUUUAGUAUACUUAGGAUUUUUCUAUUUACUCUACUCAUUACUCUUUUGUUUUUUUUUUUUUACUCAUGUGGUUUCUCCUAUACGACUCAGACUCCAUUUCACUCAGGAGGUACCACUUCUUCCCUUUAUUUUCAAUUGCUCUUGAAACAUUGAGGGCAAUGUUGAUCUUGGUUGGAGGGAGAGUUGAGGAAGGAAGUGAUUACUACUCAAAAAGUGCUAUUUCAUAGCUUGUAAUUAACUCUUUUAAAACACUUUUGAGUAGUAGUUAUCACCUUUUAACCCAAUUAACAUAUUAAGGACCCUUGCAAUCAAUUCUAAUCAAAUUGUGUUAAGUUUUGGUAUUUUGAUAGCUUUUUUAUCACCAAAGCAAUCCGAGAUUGAGGAUAUUUAUUUGGAAUCCAUGGCAAAAGAUGUUUGGACAGGACGUCCGGACACACCAUCGGAGGGCGGCGGAACGUGGGCUGUGGCAGGCUGUCGGAAUGACGUAGCAAGGCUUGUGCACUUUAGCCAAUGAUCGGGAUAACAUAUCCGAAAUUCUGCUCCGCCGACAUUCCACCCGGAUGUCUCACAUCCGGAAUUCUGCUCCGCCGACAUUACACCCAGAUGUCUCACAUCCAAAAUUCUUCUCCGUCGACAUUCCAUCCGAAUAUUUCACAUCCGACGCUUGACGCCGGAUGGGAGAGGAGGGCGUUUCAACUUCCCCGGUCAGACAUAUCCGAAUCCUUUGAUAACGCUUACCCGGAGAGUUUCGCAGCCAUUUUGCACAGUGCCGCGGUGUUCUCUUGAAGCUUCCCGAUAUGUGCGACCGACAUUUUGAGAUAUUUUGCUUUAGAUAUUUGAUGUCUAAAUCCCCAAACUCUCCUUGUAACCCACCAAUUAUAGGAUUCCUUAGUUAUUAAGUUUGGAAAAAUGGUGAAUAACCCCUUAUAUAUAGUUUGCAAUUUUCAUAAAAAAGAUAUGUAGAAUCUCGGGAGCUUGUUCCCAGAGAGACGCAUCCUUUGUACAGUUUUGGAAGGAAGUAAAAUACAGAGCACUUGCUCUGCUUUUCAUAUAUAUUUUUGUUUUCUCGUUCUUUUUAUUUCUAGCCAAUCAAAGUCUGAGGAUUUUUCCUCAGAGGAUGAGAGGCUAGGCUCUUCGUCUCUUGGAGUGAAGAAAACUAGGUAAGUUUCCACAUGCAUAAAUUGAAAGUUUUGUUGUUUUAGUUUUUAAUGAAGAGAAAGUGUGACCCGUUAAUGGUUUUUAUCUUUUUAGUUAACUUAAAACGCCUUUAAAUCACCCGGGCCAACACUUGAUAAGGCAAGUGGUCUCCAUCCAUUGAGAUGCACUAGUUUAUCUCUUGCGAGCCUUUGGGAGGUGGUUUGAAGGUAGGAUUUUCUAGAAUAACCAACACUUGAUAAGCUUUUGGACUCUAAGGAGACAUCCAUUAGUUAUCUCUUGCGAGCUUUUGACGGGUAAUCCAAGGUUAAAGAUCACCUUGAAUGGCAAGUACUAGGUGAGAGGUAUGAGCCAUUGCAAGAUGCAUUAGUGAGAGGGAUUUAGUGUUUGAACCCAUUAAAGGGAAGCAUCUGUACCACACCGGUUCGGGAAAUAACUAUAUGUUAAAUCCCCAAUGAGAGGAAAAGAAACAAGUGACCGGAACUCCCUUUUUGUAUAAGGAACCUGAGCCUAGUGAUCUAAACUCCAAGAAACACUUUUCUUUGUAAGUAAAAUCAGUUACUAUUUUUGGUUAGUUUAAAACCAAACCUUUUUCAUUCAAACAUCUUUAUGUUUUCUUUUAAAGCUAACCUUGAAAUGAAAAGGCACCAAUUCAUAUUUGAAUUAAUAUCAAUUGUGAAGUGAAAACCCAUCCCAGUGAACGAUCCUAGAGCCACUAUGCUAUAGUAGCUUUGUCUUUGCUACCCUAGUUCAUGGUUUAAUAGGUUAUAAAUUUUGUUGAUUACUCCCACAAUCAAAGGAGCACCAGUUGGACAUGAAUCAACUGAGACACUAAUUGGGCACAAAUCAGGAAGUUUUGUUAAUAAUGCUAGGUUAAUUUGUUAAUUUAGUUACUUUCUGCUUAAUUUUAAAAGUUUUCACUUUACUUUCCAUAGUUAUUAAGGAAAAAUUCUCAAAAUGAAAUGGGAGAAAUUGAAUUCUUACAUUUUUACUUGAAUUUUAGAAUUUGUAUUAUGCUUAUUGAAGCUGAUGAAUUAUUGAAACUCCUAUUGAAUUCAACCUUAUUUCUUCCACUUUAAUCUUACCACACACGGUGCACAUUAGGUUCCGAUUAUAAGAGGUGCGUUCUUAGCCUAUUGGAGGUUGGUCAAUUUGUUAAAGUUUGAGAAAGAUCUAGGUUAGGGGAGAGAGAAUAGUCUGACAUACUAUAAUCGAAAACUAAUAAACUUAACACUUAGAUCUUUGUGGAAGAGUAAGGAUUGGACCUUUGGGAGUGGAAAUUCGUUUGAUGCUUAAAUUUGCAUAAUGCUUACACUUUAUAAAUUGUGAUUAGGCAAGAGAUUUGAUGACUCUUGUUCAAGGUUGGGUUUUGCCUCUUUGAUGUUCCAUGAGAGAGUAUAAUCCUCAUCAUGCCACUUGAAAUUUUUUUUGGAGUGAUUAACAUGAUUUUGUAAAUUACUUUACUGUCUAUUUUUUUUUUAUCUCUCCUUCAUUGCUAAUGGACUAGCAAUAUGUCAGUUGAGGGGAGUGAUUACUACUCAAAAAGUACUCUUUUAUAGCUUGAAACUAACUGUUUUGAACACUUUUGAGUAGUAGUUAAUACCUUUUAACUCAAUUGGCACAUUAAAGAACCUAGCAAGGGUUACUAAUUAGUUUUUGGCAAGUUUUGGUGUUUUUGGUAGCUAUUUGAUCAUUGAAACAAGCCAAGAAUGAGGGAGAAUUUUGUGAAGUCCAUGGCAAUGCAAGUUAAAGCUCAAAUACAUGAAGAAUCCAAGCUUUGGAGCACUUCAUAGCCCUUUCCAAAGCCAAUCAGAGAUGCAAGGAAGAAAACCAGAGGAAGAAAUCCAACAAUUAGCAUUUUCGCAUGGCUGUGCGAAAUUUCGCACACCAUGCGAAACCACAAGAGGCAGCCAAAGAAUUUUGCACACUAUGCGAAAUUUCGCAUGGUAUGCAAAAUCUUCUUGUGCACCAACUCCGUUAUAUUUUUAUCUCAAAUAUUUUGUGUAAUUUCCUAGUUUCUCCUUGUAACCAACCUAGAUAUUUUCUUUUAUAUAUUUUUUAGGUAACAUCAUCUAUAGGGGGAGAGACAUAAGGAGGAUAUGGAUGUUUUUCAUAGAACACUUGUAAAUUUCCGGUAGUAAGAAAUAUACAGAGCUUUUUGCUCUACCUUACCUUCUCAUUUUGUUUUCACUUGUCUUUCUAGCCAAACAACCUCUGAGGAUGAUUUCUUAGGGAAUGAGUGGCUAGGUUUUACGUUUCUUGGAGUGAGGGAAGCUAGGUGAAAGACCCGAAUGCUAAGGUGGGAGUUGUCCUUGCUUUAAAUGAAAGUAGUUGUUAAACAUUAAUGGUUUUUAUUUUAAGGUUUAGCUUUAAAUCCCUUAAAAACAUCUUGAAUGGUCAAUACUUGGUAGGCUUUUUGGAUUCUAUGGAUGCUUAUUGCUAGAUCCCUGGAUGUCUAUUAGUUAUCAUUUAUGAGCCAUUGGAAGGUGGUUCAAGAUGAGGGUCUUUAAUGUUUGAAGCCAUUAAUAGGAAACAAUUACCAUUCUUUCAUGAAUCCUUUGGAUCAAAUCUUAAUUGCUAAAUAUAAAACUAGUUCGGGAGAUAACCAUCCUUUAUGUUAUUAUGCCCAACGCGAGGAGAAGAUUCGGAAUCUUCCCCUUUGUCUAAGGAACCCGAUCCUAGUGACCUAAAGCUCUAAGAGACCUUUUCUUUAUAGUUAACUUCACUUAUUGUUUUUUCUUAACUUAAAAUCAAUCUUUGCAACCACAAUUCCAUUUUCUUUGAAAGCUAAUUUUCAUAAGGAAAAUCACCAUUUUAUUUUCUUCCCUAAGUCAACUGUACGAUGAAAACCCAUUCCCAUGGACGAUCCUAGAGCCACUAUACUAUGUUAGCUAUGCUACCCUAAUGUGAGGUGAUUUAGGUUUUAUAAAUUUUGUUGAUAACACCUGUUUGAGCCAGAAUCAAAUGGCGCAACUGAACCAGGGACGAAUCAACAACUUAUAUGGGAGGGACACAAGUUUAAUUGAUUUGCAUUUCAACGUUAUAUAUAGGUAUGUUUUGGAAGAUUUGUUCUGGAAAUACUGCACCAAGUACGAUUCUUUUUGUCUUGAGUGGGUCUACUUGCAUGCCAAUUAACGAGUGGAAAAGUAGGAGCACCUACCUCAUGCUCGCGGAACCGAAGGUCAGUGAAGUGGGGCUCCUUUUGGCCUCUUGUGUUUCUAUUCCAACCAAGGCGGCGUAAGGAAAAACAACAAUAUGUUUGUGCUAAAUAUCAACGCAUGAUAGAUGUUUUUGUUUUUUGGUAUGUCAAGGCUAAUGAAUGAAAUGCUUUAGCUUGUUUUGUGACUGGAACUGCAAAUGUCCAAAUUGGAGUAUCUCCAUUUCUCACUUCGGAUGGUUAACUUAUAAACAAGAUAUAGGAAACAUGUGAACAUCUUGAGGAACAAUUUGAAUUAUUCAUUAGAAGUCCUGGGUUGAGUUCCAAGAUUUAAAUUAGACCCCUCUAGCAGCUUCAGGGGUACCUAGCAACCUAUAGCAUAUUAAUGAAGAUUUAGGAUUUAGACUCUAGAAUACAAAUUAAUAUGUAUCUCAUGCUUUGACUAGCUUCCCUACAUAUGCACAAAAUGGAGAUGACCUAAAAAAAUAGCAGAAUCUAGCUUCCCUACAUAUGCACAAAAUGGAGAUGACCCAAAAAAUAGCAGAAUUUCCUUAGUUUCUGUGGUUAAGGUGAUUCUCCGCUUAAUAUCACAUUGACUCAUUAUGCAAAAUCAACUGAGCUAAUUUUGUUUAUUUAUUUAAUGUCAAAUAGGAACUCCUAAUUAACCUAACCCUUGGCCUGUGUAAAUUGAUUUCACAUGCCCAAUGUUGAAGUAGAAGUCCAUAUUUUGAAUUUUAUUUUUGUAAAGGUAAGGAAAAUGAAGCAUUGUGUAAUUAUAAAAAUAACUUCAUUGGAAUUCACAAGGUUCACCCAAAAUGGAGCUACAUCCGUAUUCUAUCCUGCAGUAGACUAUAUAGAUUGUACAAUAGUAAAUUGCAAAUACAAUUAAUAAGUCUUGUGCUUCCUUACUAAUAAUCCUUUGACAUGAACAUUGCAGCACUAAGGUCCUCUUGGGAAGACACCUUGCACCCAUGAGAGCACGAAGAGGAAGCAAGGCAGAGUCAUGGGUGCAAUGUCAUGACUUGUUGUUGCACCAAGAGAGGCUUGGUGAUGGCAUGGUGUUGCAGUAGCAAGAAUGUUGCCUUGGUAGGGACAUAAUCUAGGGAUAGAUGCCAAGAAAGGCUUAGCACUCACAUGAGUUGCACAAAGAUGAAUGUAAUAGAGCAUCAGAGAGACGUCUUGGCAAGUAAAUGAAUGGAUCCAAGAGGCAACAACAUGAGGAGUUUCAAAUGGAUAAGGAAUGAGUCAAAGACAUUUGAAAGCUACAAGUUGGAUUCUAAUUACGAUUGCAAUUUGAGUUUGAGUAGGAGUUUAGAUUCUGAUUGUAAUUGUAGUAUGAGUUGGACUAGGAUUGCUUAUCCCUAGUCAAAAUAGGAGUGGUUCGUGUCACACCCUAUGAAAAGAGUUUGAGUAGGGACUAGGAUUGCUUACUCCUAGUCAAAUAUGGAGUAGGUGGUGCCACACCUAUAAAAAAAAAGGGACAACAUGAGAGAGAGAGAGAGAGAGAGAGAGAGAGAGAGAGAGAGAGAGAGAGAGAGAAAGAGAUAAUGAAUUCACUAAAGAUAUUGUGGGAGUUUUUCUUUGUUACGUCUUGUAUUAUUACUUAGAAUAGGAAUAAAAUACAAGUUUGGGCUAGAGCCCCAUAAUUAAUCUCGUGUGCCUUUGUGGUUAUUCUUUAUUUGUCAUCUCGUGUGGAUUGGAUUACAUUGACUUAGAGGGCUUCUAAGCACCACCUUUGUGGGUUAUUAUUUAUUUUCCAUUUCUUGUGGAUUAGAUUAGGUUGACUUUGAGGGCUUUUAAGCACCACCUUUGUGGGUUAUUCUUUAUUUUCCAUAUCGUGGGGAUUGGAUUAGGUUGACGAUGAGAAAAAUUAUGUGGGAAAUUUGUGUUGGGACACUUAUCAUAACCAGGUAAAAUCUGCCAAGUCCUUUGUAAUAUCUUCAACAAAUAUUUCAGACUAGUUCUUCACCAUAAACAUCAUAUUGUGUUUUGUUUUUCUCCUGGAUUCUGAGUUGAAUUGUUUCAAGUCAAUUGAAUGCAUCUGAAUAUUAUUAGCUUGUUUGAAGGCCUGGUGAUUUUCCAUUUAACUUUACUUUCUUUAGGUUAUGCUCACUAUAAGAAAAAUGAGAAAUAAUGACGCUUUUUACGCGUUAAGAAAGGCAACAGAUGAUGCUUCUCUAAAGCGUCCUCUUCGGCUCUGUCAUUAUAUGUGUUAGCCAAUAAUGACGCUUCUAGGAAGUGCCAUCUUUGAAUAAUGUUAAUAACGACACUCGUAAAAAGUGUCAUCUUUAAACAUAUUCUGGUCAAAUAAUUUUUACAAAAUUAGUAAUCUUCAAGCCGUUUCUGAAUCAUAUCUGAGCCUAUUUCUGGGGACCAGAAAACCAUCUUUUUUCCAUUCGCCUGAGAGGUCUGAUUAGCAUUUCUGGAAUCAAUCUCUAAACCCAAGCUUCCCUCAUCUACCCAUUUAACCCUCAUGCCCUCCUGUUUGAACAACUUUCCCACUAUAUACACAAAUUUUUUACCUUCUGUUGUUGGUAUUCGACCUCUUCCCAUUCCCAGCACAGAAUCCACCAUUAGUGCCACUUUGUGAAUAAAAUCAUCGAACCAGAUCUUUCGGGCGGAAGAUGAGCUCCAGAGAAAUAAAAUUUUUGGGGUCUUCCCAGCAUGAAAGUCAUAGGUAGCAUUAAUGACAUCAAGAAAUGGGGCACUGUUGAGAAAAAACAUGUUCCCAUCAACCACCCAAGAAUUGUACCAGACUCCAAACACUUCUGGAUUACAUAUGCCUUUACUAAGAUAUAUUUCUUGAUCUCCAUAUCAGAAUCUUGGAGACUCUUCAUUUUAUGAGCUCUGACACUACUGUGAAAUUGGUCCACAUCAAUCACAGGAUGACCCCUUCUAGCAAGAUCAAGCAGGAAGUCUGAAUUCGGGCCCAUAAAAAUGUAGUUCUGAAUAUUGAAACUCUCAAAGUGGCACAACAAAUUCCUUAUGACUCUUUCAGAUGCUCCAAACAGGCUCACAAGUAUAAUGGUAUCCUGUUUUUGCACAGAGUAAAGAAAAUAUCCGAGUUCUUCAAAACUCCUUACAACUAUUCCAGGAUGUACUUCUUUGAAACAGAAAUCGUACCACUUUAGCUUAGUCAGAGGUUGAAUCUAAAAUAACAAAACCCAAACUGAAAUCAAAAUCGAAAUCAACCCUAAUAGAUUUCAGAAACAACAAAUUAAAAGAGUAAAGCACAAAAGGGGGAAAACACAUAUGAAGCAAUCUCCAUACAAGCCCUAACCUUAGAUAAACCCAAAAAAAAAAAUCAAAGCAGAGAGUUACCAUAGAGCAUCUCUGUUUCAAGCUUAGAAAAUGUUUAAUGCCAUUGAUAACUAGUUGGCUAGUGGUGGACUUCAAGCUUCUCUAUUUCGGUGUUAGUAGCUCUCAAUGGCUAUGGUGAGAACAAAGAAAUGAGAGGCUUAGGGUUUGGGAUGUGAGGUUAUUGAUGAUGAUGAGGAUAAAGUUAUGGGCUCUUGGAGGGGUUAGGGAAAUUGAAGAUGGCUGAGAGUAAAGGCUAGGGUUUUUGAGAUAGUUAAUAGCUUUUUAGGGUGUGACUGUCCAUAGAUAGAAGAUAAAUGAGGGUGUGAGAAUUUAUAGAUCUCUAGGUGAUAUGGCGGGUGUGAGAAUGAAAUUUUAGAGGGAAUUGUGUGUUUGGUAGAAAUUUCACACAUGCAUAUAUAAUGUUUCAGAACAUGGCACUUUAAAAAUACGACAAGGAAGAAAUUAUUUAUUGACGCUUAAAUAAAGCGCCAAGGUCUCCAACAUUUUUGCAAUCAAUGACGUUUGUAAAAGGUGCCAUUGAAUAGGAGUGCCAUUGCUUUCCCACAAAGCAUCAUUGUUAAUCAAGCCUUUAAAAAACGCCAAGAUAUGUUGCCACUUAGGUUAAAUAUUGACGCUUUUAAAAAACGCCAAGGAAAAAAACGUCAUUAUUCAUGUUUUUUGUAGUAGUGGCUUGAUUCCUAAAAAGUAAAGGAAAGCAAAAAGUAAAAAAAUAAAAAUGUGGAGAGUUAGGACAUGCGUUAUCUAAUUGUCCUAGUCCCAAAUAUAUUAAGAAAGUCAUGUAGGUUACUUGGAGUAACGAGUCAAGUAAAGCAAGCCUUCUAGUGUUUAAGACAUUAGAUAUUACCGAACUGAUUAUGUCAUUAAUGUAUUGCAUUUGUUGUUUCUAAUAUAUAGAAGAAGAUGAAAUUAUUGGAAUAAGUGGGAAAUAGGAAUAAAUCCAAGGUACCAAAAAGUCACUUUAUCUUAGAUGUUGUUGGAAACAUAAGUGAUUUCACAAUAACGACUAUGAGACAAUCAAGGAUUAAUAAGAUAGACUUUAUAUGAUAUACCUCCCAAUUAGAGCCUAAAAAUAUGGAUGAAGCACUUAGAGAUGAAUCUUCAAUUUUUGUACUAUAGGAAGAAUUAAAUCAAUUUGUUAGCUAUUCUUUGGAUAUUUGAUUCAUCACAAGCUACAAAUCACUUUUGAUGACCAAACACGAAACUAAGAGGAUUGGGCCCAAUUCGAUGCCUAUCAACAAUGAUUUGUAUUCCACCUCAUUAAUUAUUCAAAGUUGGGAAGCUAGGUCUAACCACUUUCUCUACCUGUUCACCCUUAGAGGAGCAGAAGAAAAUUCUAACUUUGGUGCCUAAUGCCUUUGACAAUCUUUCGACAAAGAGAGUUCACUAAUUACUUUGAUUAUUUCUCUGUUGGUCACUGGGGGACAAGACUUUUGUAAUGAAGUCAACUAGAACUUGCCCUUUGAGGGCCAUUCAUGGACGAUAUUACACCAUGAAUUCCCUUAGGUCAUGUUUGGUAUGUGAGAAUGAGGAGUGGAAUGGACAUCUUAUUCAUUUUUUCAUCUAUUCAAAUGUUGGGAUAACUCAAGUGACCAUGAGAAUGAAAUCAAGAAUGAUUCAAGGGAAAUGAAAUCUUACUUAUAAGUGUGAUUUCAAUUAAUCUCUAAUAGAAAUUAUUUUGAAUCAAUAGUGCAAGUUAUUUUUAAAAACAUUUUUCCAAAAUUAAAAAAAUCAAUUUUUUUUUUUUCGAUAAGUUGUUUUUAAAAGGAUUUUUUUUAUUUUGUAAAAAGAAAAUUGUAAUUCAAUUUAUAUAAUAUAAACUAAAUUUUAUUUUAUUCAAAAAGAAAUAAUUUUUUAAUUAUAAAUAAAUUAAAAAUAAAUACUUUUAAUAAAAUAUAAAUAGUAUUAUUAUAAUAAAAUCAUAAAUAAAUUUAAUUUUUUUUAUAAAUAUUAUAAAAAUAUGGAUAUUAACAUUGGAUAAUUGAUUUAUUUUGUUAAAAUAAAAAAUAAUAAUUUUUAAUAUUAUUUUAUGUUAAAUGAAUUUUAAAAUAAAGAAAGUUUAAUUAUUUUAAGGUAUAGAAGAGCCAAAUUUUGCAUUACAUACAUAACAAACAAUAUUUAUUAGAAACAUUUCUCAAGGAGAAUCUUAUUCCAUCUCACAAAGAUACUCGUUUAUUCGAUGUUUGACCAUCCGUAACAAUCAUGUCAAUUCUACUGAUUUAAUAAUUCCUUUACAUUUAUUACUCACUUAUGAACAUGGUAUUGUGAUUUAUUUAUUUAUUUGAUGUAUAAUUAAUUAAUCAAUUUUUUAAAUUUCAAAUUAUUUUUAAAAACUAUUCAUUAAGGAAUUUAAAGCAUUAAUUAUGUCUAUUAUUUUUUAUAGUCAUUAUAUAUAUAUUGAGUUUUAAUUUAUUUUUAAAAAUUAUUAAACUUAUUAAUAAAUUCAAUAUAAAGUCUCGUUUCAUUUGAAAUUCAUUUCUUUAGUGAAAAUUUUGAAAAAAAAAUUGUUAUUUAUUUUACUUUGUUUUAAAAAAAUUGUUUCUAGAGAACAAUAAUCAAAUAAUGGUAUGAAUUUUUAAAAACAAUUUUGUUUUUAAAUCAUAUGCCCAAAUAAUUUUUUUUUAUUUAGCAAAAAACUUUGUUGUAGUAUGUGGCUCAUAUUGAGGGAAAGACAUAUAUGGAGAAAAAUGUGCAAAUGUUGGAGUGGAGCGGAGUGGAAUGACGACAUUUGUCAUUCAAACUUGUAUUUUUAUUGUUAAGGGUGACCGAUAGGUUGGUACGGUUUAGGGGUAUUUUUGGAAUUUCAUUACCUGAGGGUUAGUAUAAAUACCAUUUUAUGUAACCCUAAUUUUACAUAUAAUGUAAGUUUUCUUCCUUGUUCUUGUGGACAUAGGCAAUCCGUCGAACCACGUUAAAUCUGUGUGUUUUUUUUUCUUUUUUCUUUUUCUCUAAUUUCUUCACCAGGAAUCGUUACACUAAGAUCAACAAACUCUCAAAGAUGAUUUUUAAAAUGAAAAAAAUAAUGUAUAGUGUGAGAAUUUUUUAUUUUUUAUUUUUUUAAAAUGAAAAUAAAAAAUUGCUUUAAGGUAAAAGUGUGGAUAUUAUUGUUAAUUUAUUUCAUUUUUCAUUUUCAUUUCCAUUGUUACCUACAAUUGAAAUGGAAACAACUAAUCAUUACAACCUUACAUUCUUAUAUGCAUCCAAAUACAAAAAUUGAAAUCACCAAAUUCAUAUUCAAGGCAAAAUAGGAAUGAAAACAAAUAUUCAUUCUCAUUCUUUAUUCCCACGUGUCAAACAUGACCUCAAAGUUAUAAACAUGAACAAGAAGUCCUUGAAACACCAAUGAUCUCUUCUGGUAUAUAUAUGAGCUUGAUUGACAACUGUUUUAAAUACAGUUUUUUUUUUUUUUGUUUUCAAAAUCAAAACAAAUUUAUUUUUAUUUUUUAUAAAUAGUAGUUUUUUAAUAUUUUUUUUAAACCUUAUUAUGAAAAUAGGAUGUUUUCUAAUAUCAUAUUUUAAUUAUUUUCAAUUAUUUUCCCUUCUUUUAAGGAGGGCUAUUUUAAAAAUAUGAAAAAUGAUACAAAAUAAAGCAUUACAAAUAAAAAUCAUUUUUAAGAAAUAUAUGAAAAUAAUUUGAGAACAUUUGAAGUUCCUUAAUUAAACUUUUGUUCUAGAAAAUGCAAGAAAACUGUUUUUGAAAAUUGUUUUCAUAAUGAUAUGCAUUGAUCGUUUAAAAUUUAAUUACAUGAUAAAAAGACCUAUGUAAAAACCAGAGUUAUAUAAUCAGUCAUAGAUCAAAUCUACUAAAUAUGAAAAGUAAGUACAUAGUUGUAUAUGACUUAGAUGGAGCCUUCUCCGAAUGACAUUCUUUAGUCGGUACUCAUAUUUUUUUGUUUCGUGUCUUCAACAUAACACCUCAUGAUCCUUAAUAAAUCACCUGAAAACUAUAUUAGCACCUUAUUGUUUAAUAUUUCUCUAAAUUUUUUUAUUAAGCAAAUAAAUUCCAAAUUUAAAAUGACAAAUAAAAUUUAUUAAUUUUUAAAAAUAAUUUAAAACUCAAAAACCAAUUUAAUUGAUAUUAAAAGUCAUGAAACUUAAUAAUAUUAGAAAGUCAUGUAUCCAAAUUUAUUUUAAAUGACUUGUUUAAUUUCUUGUUUAUAUAUAUUAUAUUUUUAUAAUUUUUUUUACUAUACAAAUAAAUUUUAAAUUAAACAAAACUUAAUGCGUUGAAUUCAUUAACGAGUCUAAUAAUUUUUAAAAGUUACUUAAAAUUUAAAUACUAAAUCAAUUAGUACCACAAAUUCAUGGAAAAAAAUUGAUUUAUUACUACUAUAUUGUUUCUCUAUUGCAUAGAACCAUUAUUUUUCAAUUUUUUCAUUUGGCAAAUGAACAUCAAAUUAAACAAGACUAAGUGUAUUAAAUUCAUUAAUGGGUCUAGUAAUUUUUUAAAAUAAUUUAAAAUUCAAAUAUUGAUACUCCAAAUUAAACAAGACUUAGGUGGUGUUUGUUUUUUGGUUGAAUAGAAAAAGGUAAAAUAUUUGACUUUUUCUAUUUAGUUAAAAGUAACUUGUUGACAUCGUCCAAUAUAAUUAAAGUAAACCUAUUGAGGGCAAGUUCACUUUAAUUAUGUUGGACGAUGUCAACAGGUUACUUUUAACUCAAUAGAAAAAAUCAAAUAUUUUGACUUUUUUUUUAACUCAAAUAAUAAAUCCAUUAAUACAAAAAAAUUAUGGAUAAUUUGAAACUUUCUUUCUUUUUUUUUUUUUUUUUGCUACACAUAGCUAUAUUUUUAUAAAUUUUAUCAUUAGAGAAAUGGAUUUCAAAUCAAGUGAAACUUUGUAUUGAAUUAAUGGAUUUAACAUUUUUUAAAAAUAAUUUGGAACUAAAAAAAAAAGAUUUAAUUACUAAGAAAAUCAUAGAUCAAAACUAAUAUAUUCUGAUCCAUGAUUUUAUUAUUUUUCCUAUACAUACAAUUAUAUUUUUAUAAUUUUCUCACUAGGUAAAGAUAUUAUAAAUUAAGUGACACAUAAUUAAUAAUUUAAAUUUUUGAAUGAAUCUUUUAAUUUUAGGAAUAAUUUGAAAUUUAAAAAGUUGAUCCAAUUAAUUGUAAAUUAACUUAAAAUAUUAUAAAAUAUUAUGUUCAUAAUUAAGUACUAAAUGUAUAUAUGUAAUGAAAACUUAACUAGUUACAUGUUACAAAAGCCAAAAUUUAUUCAUUCUUUAUUUUAAAUAAAAUAUUAUUAAUAAUUAUUUUUUUUAAAAUAAUAUUUAGUAAUUAUUGUUUUUAAAUUAUUAUUAUUAAUUUUUAAUAAAAAAAUUGCAAAGUUAUUAAUAUCAUUAUAUUUCUAACAUAAAUUUAAAUAGUAUAUUUUUUAAUAUAUAUAUAUAUAUAUAUAUAUAUAUAUAUAUAUAUAUAUAUAUAUAUAUAUAAUUUAUGAUUUCAUUAUAAUAUUUUUAUUCAUGAUUGACGAAAAAUUAUUUAUUGUUUAAUUUAUUUGAAUUGCAAAACUAUUUUUCAAAAUUCAAGCGAGAAAAUAGGCCUGGAUUUGAAUUUCCUGUAGAAGAGAAGGAUGUGGAGAAUAUGUUGGGAGUAUUUGUGGAUAAAGAAAAGGCCAGGGUACUGAGAAAGGAGAGAGAACUUGCUCUUGCCAAAAGAGCCCUGCACAGGUAUUCUACUGAUUCUAAUUAUCGGUUCUUACAUGAUCAGAUUUCAGAUUUAUUUGCUGAGCUUCUGAAAUCUGAUACAGUAUUUAAACUCCGGUGAGCUUUACAAGAUUAGUCUCGCAUCCAAUUCCAAAUGGUGUCCCACAAUUGAUUCUUCUUAUGAUAAAUCCACCUUGAUAUGUGAAAAUAUUGCUCGAAAGGUUUAUCCUCGCGAGGAAUAUCCAGAAUACUAAGGAAUUGAGGAGGCUCACUAUGUUUAUAGAGUCAGGGAUAGGUUGAGAAAACAAGUAGUUGUUCCAUUACAUAAGGCCCUGGAGUUGCCAGAGGUUUUCAUGUGUUCGAACAAGUGGGGAUCACUUCCCUACAACCCUGUGGCUUCAGUGGCCAUGAAAUCAUACAAGAGCCUCUUCUCAAACCAUGAUACAGAGCGGUUUGGUGAGUAUCUUGAGAAAGUGCAAACUGGGAAGGCUAAGAUUGCAGCUGGUGCAUUACUUCCCCAUGAGAUUAUAGCUUCAUUGAAUGAGGAGGAUGCCGAGAGAGUUGCCGAGCUUCAGUGGGCAAGAAUGCUGGAAGAUUGAUCAAAGAAAGGGAGGCUCACAAAUUGCAUUGCAGUAUGUGACGUAUCAGGAAGUAUGAGUGGAACUCCAAUUGAGGUGUGUGUGGCUCUGGGGCAGUUAGUUUCAGAGCUCAGUGAAGAUCCAUGGAAAUUAAGGUAAUGUAAUUACUUUCAGUGCAAAUCCUGAGCUUCACAAGAUCCAAGGAGACAGCCUUGUAUCCAAGACUGAAUUUGUGAGGAUGAUGGAAUGGGGUGCCAACACUGACUUUCAGAAAGUUUUGACAGAAUCUUACAAGUAGCAGUGGAGGGAAAUAUGAGUGAAGAUCAAAUGAUAAAGAGGGUUUUCGUUUUCAGUGAUAUGGAGUUCGAUGAAGCUUGUGGGAGGUAUAACUAUUGUGACUAUGACUAUGAUAUGGAGGAAAUUGACGAGAGUCAGAAGGCAUCUCAGAAGUGGGAGACAGAUUAUGAAGUGAUACAGAGGAAAUUCCAGGAGAAAGGAUACAGAAAAGUUCCAGAGAUAGUGUUUUGGAACCUUAGAAACUCAUCAGCGACUCCAGUGACGGCCACAGAGAACGGGGUGGCCUUAGUAAGCGGGUUUUCAAAGAAUCUGUUGACCUUGUUUUUGGAAGGAGGUGGAAUUCUGAUCCCUCAGGAUGUGAUGGAAUUCGCCAUCUCUGAUGAAGAUUACAAGAAACUUGUUCUAUUUGAUUAAGAUAUCAAGAGAUUUAUCAAUAAUAAUAUAUUUUUUUUCUAUGUGAAAUACAUAUAAUAUUAACUGUGGAGUUAUCAAAGUUCUGGAGGUUUAAUUAUUUCUUCUUUUCAAGUUUUGUUUAUUUAAGGUUUUCUUUGUCUUUGUUAGGAAUUCCCCUUGGGUGGACCCAGCUGGGGAGUUGGAUUGAGGAAGUAAGCAGGCGAACUUGUGUUCUUCUAUGGACAGAGAAAAAAAAUAAAAUAAAAAAAUAAAAAAGGAGGUUAUUUGCAUUUGGAUGUCGUGGUUUGAGGGUACAACUACAAGCUCGAAAUUGUACAUAAUGUGAAAACUCCUGUGUCCAUUGCUGAGAACAGCAUAAAUGAUGGUGAUUUUCAAGUUGUGCCUGGUAUUCUACAGGAUGAAACAAGAAAGGAUCCAGGUGGUAUAUUGAACAAUAUCCCAAUCAUGUUGGUGGCAUCUUUAUUUAGUUAAUGGUAUUCAUUUGGUGGAAGCUGGUUGUUUAUGAUGUUUUUAAUUUUUUUUAACAUGAAGUUCGAUCAAAUACGUAUCUUAGUAUGUUUUGUUUGAGCUAAUUGGCAAAUGCGCUUUAAACAUGGUCACAUGGAUGCAGUUUUAUUUGUGAAAUGAUAAUAGUCGAUUACUUGGUCAGUAAGGUUUAUAUCUCUAACUUCAACAUCUUAUUGUAGUCUUUUAAAAUGUCAAAAGUUUAAUGCUUGAGAAAUUUUGGAAUGGAGACAUUCUAAACAAAGUUAAUAAUCCACAAGACUUGGUAAAACCGAUCAGAUGAUGCUUACGUACAUCAAUGCCUUCUUUAAGCCAUAUCCUAUUUUCAUUGAACGGGAUGUGCCAUCUAGUUUGGUUCUUUAAGCCUCCAAAUCCUAAACCUAGUCUCAAUUUAGAGCAAAUUUAGGGUGCAGGGCCUGCAUGCCUCCCCCUCCCCCUUCCACAAAUAGUAGUGACCUUGCUAUGCCUAUGCAUUGUCAAUGCCUCAUUUUCUAUGGUCUCCAAUGUAAUAUCUUAGUUUCAAUGUCUCUUUCCUUACUAUCUCCAAUGCAAUAGAUUGAUUUCAAUACCUCUUUACAACUAAGACCUCCAAAUUUUCUUGGUUCAAACCUACCAGAAUUUUUCUUCUCCUUUGCUUUCUAUCAAUAUUAGUUCCCCUAAUUUAAUAUAUACUUCUUUAUUACCUUCAACUCUACCUCUCUUUCUUUCUCUAAAAGCUUCCUCAAAGAUUUAAUUGCUUUCUUGCAUGUUUUAAGAAAACAAACAUGCUCAUAUUACAUUACCUCUACUUGAGAUCUACCUUAUACUCUACCUUCUUUCUUUACCUCCUAUAUCAUCUACUACAUUAGCUUCAAAAAUAUUAUUUAGUUUGAUACUAAAUAAGGCUCCUAAUCCUACUCUUCCUUCAACAAACUUUCUUUUUACAAGUUCCUUAAACUUUAUUUUUUAUUUUUUAUUUUUUGGAAAUUCGGGUUAGAAAGAUUCCAUUACUCUUACCUAAUAUUUCAACCAUCAAGUUGAAUCCACUUAUUGCCUAAAUCCAAGGAGUCUGCCCUCCACAAAAACAAGGAAAUUGAUCCCACAAUAACAAGGAGAUUGCCUUCCACAGAAACAAAGAGAUCUCCCUUCACAGAAGCCGAAUACAUUGCAAUCUAUUUUCUUUCUUGUAAGAUCAAAUCUUCAAUCGAGCUCCAUCUUAUGGGGGCAUAUUAGAGAAAUUUAAUAUUAUCCUUAAUUUACAUAUUAAUAUUUAUCUAUUUAUUAUAUAUUGAAUUAAAAUAGAAUAUAGAAUUUGAAUCAUAGUAGAAGUUUACUAUAAGAUUGAAUUACAAUAGUUAAUAGAGUUUAAAUUAUAAUAACUCAAAUACAUUUAUAUAUAUUUGACCUUACGAGAUUUUCUAUUUAUGUAUUUGAACUACAAUCCUUAUGAUCCUUAGGUCUCUAUACCUUCGUGAUGGGCUCCUUGACAUUUCAUAGGUUGUGCUACACAUGCAUUUGAAAUUUAGAGUGCAUUUGACAGUGAUUCUGGGAAGUGUUUUUGGCAUUUCUAACACUUAAAAUUUUUUAUUUUUCAAGUAUUAGAAAUGCUACAAACACUUUUGAAAAUUACUGUCAAACACACUCUUAGGAGCGCAUAUAGUAGAAAACUAGAAAUUGUGGUUUUUUUAGGAUUUACUGUAAUGUCAUUAGGAGGGUAGUAAGUUGAAACUGAGUAUGAAUAAAUAUUUCUUUCUUUGGGAUGUUCUUCUGGUAGGUGCUGAUGAAACUGUUCUUUUUACUGCCAAUGUCACAUAUCAGCCAGAAAUUGAAAAUUUCAGUCAAGGUGUCCUCGGUUUUAGUGGUGAGGAAAGCUAGAAAUUUUAAGGUGAAGUUCUGUUAAAAACCUUAAGUAGCUGGGAUAUCAGGCCUGUUUUGCUUGAAAAAAAAAGUUGCAAGAUAACUCAUAUGCCAAACAGGUUCUGAUAUUGUGAAUCUAUCGGCAGACAUCAGUAAUCUCAUCUUCUGAGAUGGAUGUUGGGGGUGCAUGUGGUGGUGGAGGGGCAAGGUUUCAUUUGGUUUAUUUUGUUGAUGGAUAUUGUCUAGCCCCCUGCGCCAAGUUUGAGGGGUGGUGGGUUGUGAUGGCCCUACAAUUACUAUUAAUUUCUUCCUCUUUUACCGAUUAAAGUGUCCGAACAGUCGAAGUUACCCUUAUGCAUGUCAACUUGAUCACUUACCUCUUCAAUGGAGUUUAUGCUGGUUCAUUUAGGAACUGAUUUUUAUUGUUAUGCAUUCUAUGCUGAUGUUUAGGCCUCUCCAUCAUCACUAUAUACAAAAAUUCUAGGUUGAUACUAUAGGUUGAGAUUUAUUUUUUAAAUAAAAAAUAAUAAAAAUAAAAAUUAUGGUGAUGUUUAGUUGUUUUAUGGAAAAUUUUAACAAGUUAUUUUUGGGCAAGUUUUCAAACAAAAAGAAAAGUAAAAGUUGUUUUGACAAAAACAUAUAGAAAAAAAAAAUCAUAGAAAAGAAAUAAUUUCCCCAUAUUCUAACUUUUUUUAAUUUUUCUCAAUGGGCAAAGGAAUAUCAAAUCAAGUUUGAGUAGGAUUUCUUAAUUUUUAAAAUAACUUACAAUUAAAAAAUUUUGGUGUUUUCAUUUUUGGACAAUUUUUUAUUAAGCAAAUGGACUCUGAGUCAUGCAAGAGAUAUGGUUGAUUAAUGGGUCAAACAAUUUUUUUAAAAUAAUUUAAAACUCAAAUACAUAAUCAAUGUCACAAAAUUUAUAAACAAAAAUAGGUUUAGAGAAGAUCUACACAUAAUUUUACUUUUCUAAUUUUAUUUUAUUUUAUUUUUUUGUUGGAAAAUAGUCUUCAAAUCAUGUAAGAUUUAAUAGGUUAAAUUUGUUAACAAUAAAUUUUAAAUUAUAAAAUAUAAUCUGGAACUUAAAAAUCAAUUCAAGUAAUGCUAAAAAAAAUCAAAUUUGGUAUAGAAUGACUACGUAAAAUUUUUUACAAAACAAAUGAAUUUUAAAUCAAGUGAGAUUUAAUGCAUUAGAUUUUUAUCAAAUAUAGUAAUUUUAAAAUUUAAUUUGGAACUCAACAAUAGACACAAUAAAUACCAAAAAAUAAUGAACCAAAAUUGGUUUGGAAUAACUCCACAACCUCUUUUUUUUUUUUUUGGUGCACACGAAUUUUCUUACUAGGUAUAUUGCUUUCAAAUUGAGAAAGAUUUACUAUUUAGAUUUUUUUUUUUAAUGAGUUUAAUGGUAUUUUAAAAUAAUUCAAAAUUUCAAAAAUUGACUAAUUACUAUUAUAAAUUCAUAAACCAAGACUAAUUCAAAAUGCAUUGGGGGCUAAGGGGGUUGAAAAUAGGGACAAUGGGAUGGGUUUGGGACAUGACACUCAUAUCUCAUUUCCAUUCCAAUUACAUAGUUAUCUCCCAUCCUUAUCCCAAACUUGUGUUGGAGCAAGUUGAUUUGUUCCCAUCUUUGUUGAUGAAAUGACUAAUAACCUCAUCCCCUCCUUAUCUUAGAUGUACAUUUUGUCAAAUUUGAUCAGGUAUGAUUGAUCCAAGCCCUAACCCUAAUUGGUAAUGACUGGAUACUACACCUAAUUGCAUUCUUCUUUCGUCGCAAAAUAAUGAGAUUAUAAUAAUCUAGCAAAUAAGAAAAAAUAGUAUGGAAGUUCAAUUUAACACCAUAACUAUCAAUAAUUUUAAGCUUAUAGAUGACUUAAAUGAUUAAAAACUAAUGCAAAAUACCAAAAAAAAAAGUUCAUAUAAAGAAUUCACAAGAGAACAAAAUGAACAAAAACCAAAUAUGAACAUGGGUCAACAUUAGUUAUGGAUUUGGAUUCCUUUCAAGGCCAAUCUUUGAACCAAGACUUCAUCAAAUCUACUACUUCAAAGGCUUUUGUGUUCUUCUUGGGUUGUGCUCUCAAACAAAGACUUCAAGGUGAUGCUCUAGAUGAUUGCAUUACACAUAUUUAGGGUGGAGAGAUUGGAGAAGCUUGAAGAUGCCAACGAUGGGUACAAUUGAGUGGUCAAUAAGAACAAUGUAGCCUAUGACUAGUUUGAUGUCGUGGUACAAGAGUUUUAGGCAUUGAGGUUAAAGCAAGAGCAACAUGGAAUUGAUUUUGGAGUCUUUCAAUUAGUGUAAAGGAGGAAGAAGUGGUAUUGAUUCUAGAAAUAGGGUUUUAGGUGGUGCGUUAGAGGAUGAAGAAGAAGAAAAAGAAGGAUCUGUUGGAAUUAGUGUGAGUGUGAAGAGAGAAGUAUAUAAAUAAGGGGAAGUAAAAGCAAAGUUCUAAAAGCUAUAUUUUUUUUUAUUGUUGGUGUAUGGUUGCAUGAUUAUCCCUAUAAAUAAUAGGAGUUUUUUUGGUAUUCUACUAGUAGUUGAAGGAUAAUUUCAUAAAUUUAUAUUUAGAGUGGGGUGGGGUGAGUUGUGACAAAAUUCAUACCCGUCCUAAACCUUGGUUCAGAUUUUUAAAAUAUCCUCAAACUUAUCAUAUACCCAACUUUUAUAUUUCAUACUUGUCUUGAUAGAGGCAGGUUAGGCCGGGUUACUUGAGUAACCUACAUAAUUGUCAUCCCUAGUUGAAAUACACUUUUUUGGCAGUGGCCACCAACUGAGCUAGAAGCUUGAUCGAUUGACCUACAAGAUUAGUUCUCAUCAUUUUAAAAAAAGUUUUGGCCUUGGUUGUGAGUGCAAUUGAAUCUAAACUGGCAUUUCCUUAAUGCAUCUACUUCAAUCCUAAAUUUCUUACUUCCUAAGCCUCAAUUGUUGUUAGGAUUUUGGAAAGCCCAUUUCCUUAAAUUGUAAAUUUAAGAAAAAAUAAAAUAAAAGUGAGACAUUUCUUGAUUGAAUAUUGUUAAAGGUCCCUUGGCAUUAAGACUUGGUUGAAGCCUUGGAAGAUUAGUGGAACUCUCAACUUGUGUUUGAAUCUUGAGGAGAGUGGACGUAAGCCAAAAUUUUGUCAAACCAUUAAACAAAUUGAGUUUGAAUCCUCAUUUCUUGAUUUCUUAUUUAUUUGCUUUUUCUUAUUAUUACUUGAAUUGUCAUUUGCAUUCAUUAAUGUUAAAAUUGGUUAUAAUUAACCAACACUAAUUCUCUUUCCCCUUCCCUUUCUUGGGUGUAAACCUAGGUUGGAUUAACUAGAUUAAUUUAUAAAAUCUAUUAAGAUGGUAAAAGAAUAAUUAUUCUUAACACACAUAAGAUCAUCUUCAAUCAAAUGACUCAUUGGCUAAUAUGUUGAAUUUGCUUAUUACUUGCAACUCAAAAUUGUGUUCUAGUUGAUAUGUCAAGUCCCCAGUGUAUGGACAUUAAAUUUGUAGUACGUGAUGGUAAUUAGAUGGUCCAACUCCAAGAAAGUGAUUGAAAACUAGUUCAAGAAAGGUGCAAAAGGGAAUUGUUUUGGUAUUUUCGUUUUUAUUCUUGAAGGUGGCAGAGCUAAAAUUUGUGAAAUCAAGCAAAACAUACUGAAAUUACAUUGAAAGAAAGAAAAUGGGAGUUAAUGUCUUGCAGUAGAUGAUAAGGACUUCAUGCAUGUAGUAUGACCCAUGUCUUGGACUGAUGCCAACUCACGGUUACACUUAUACCCUUGGUUCUCUCUUUACUACCUUGGCUAACCUAGAUCAGGCUAUGAGAUAGGCUCCUCACCACACCAUUACUUGCCCAUUAAUUAGAGACAUUUUCAAGCACUGAGGUAACAUGGUGACACCAAGAGGGUUUAUUCCUCGCCCUCCUCGCCCUCAACAAGUCUAGACUUGGUCUCAAAAAAAUGGAGAAAAAUGAGGUGUCGUUAUGUAGAAAUACAACAACCAUGCCUUCCUCAUUACUUUGAUUCAGAAUGUGAAGGUGAAAUUGAGAAACAGAAACUCUUGAAACCAAAAUGAAAAUUGAUACUUUUACGAAGAAUUACAACAACAUUGGAGGAAGACUACAUUCUUCCUCUUUAUUCCUACAUUUCUACACUACUUCUACUCCACUCCAUAUUUCUACAUACAUCUUUAAUCAGUCUUCCCUCCUUUAUAUAGAGCCAUCUUCACACAAAUUCCGCAAGGUAGAAAAGAGGAAUGAAACUUGGAGCAAGGUUCGACUACUGGCUGUAGCUUGUCAAGGCUGGAAGUGAACCUUUUUUCUUGGCUUUUCUGGGCAUGGGUAGUAACUUGUGGGUUCCUUUUUGGGAUACAAAUGGCUAGAACAUGUGGCACUAUCUUGUUGGAUGAUGUGUCAAGCAUGUGGCAGCCAUCUAGUGGCGAUUAUGUCAAUUUUGGGAUGGAGAGUUGGCAUCCAAUUGCAAAGAAAUAUGACGUCUACCAACAGGCAAUGUAAACCUAUGUAGAUCAUAUGAAGAUAGAGAGGAAAAAUAUAGAAAUGGAUAUAUACCUAGAACUAGCUUUUUAUUAAAUGAAACGGAGAGCCAACAAUGAAGGAAAAUAAAUUUUUUUGGCUUAUAUCAAAGAGUUCACAUUGUGCUACCCUAGGUUUUCUUAAAACUUACUUUUAUGAUAACAAAAAAAAAAAAAAACAUUAUUGUUUAAUCCUUUGUUUUAAACGCAUGUUUAGCAAGUUAUAAAAUGUAAAAAUCUUUCUAAGUUCAAAUAUGAAGAUAUGACAUCAUUUCAAGCAAGAUAGUCUCUAGGAAUUAAUGUAAAGCUAAAUUAAGGUGAAAUUAAAUUAGUUCAAUGCAUUAAUUUAAGAAACUUGACCUAUCAAAAGUACAAAAUUAGAUGAAAUCCAUUUCAAUGGUUAAAAUGAUCAAAAUCAAACUUUUUCUAAGUAUUUUUUAAAAGUAUCAAUAUUGAAAGACAAUUUUAUAUUUAGUCAGAGUUUGGACAAAACCAAAAAGCACACAAAAUCCAAGCGACCAUCUCUAGCUUGGAUGGUCGCUUGAUCUCUAGCUUGUGUACUUGGAAAGCAACAUCGAGAUGAUAUAUAUAUAUAUAUAUAUUUUAUAUAAUAUUGUUUGUCCAAAUUCCCUAAAAAUUAGGCCACCACAUGUUCAUAAUUCUCCCUUCUUGAAUUUGAAAACUCGGACAAUUGGACAAUGCGACACCUAAGUCCGGUUUCUAAAUGCUAAAGUGAAAGGGUAGGUAUGGACCAUUGAAAUGUGAUCACAACUUUUCUCUGUAGCCAUGUUGUCUCUUUUUUCUUUUGCAUGAUUUUCUCACCUUAACAGAAUCAUAGACUUGUUUAAUCUCUAAAUGGGAUUAAUUUCAUCCAGCUUUAAGCUACUAUAUUAUAUCUAGGUGGAGGACUUUUAAGAGUGCAACCGACAUAGAGCACAUGCAAGUGGGUAUAUGGGACAUGAAAUUUCUUCUUAUAAAGAUUGCAUGAUUUUUAUAUUAGAGUUGUUGGGGCGCAAUGUAUGUAGCUUGUUUUGCAGUUAAAUUAAUUGGAUAAGUAGACAUUGGCGUUUCUAAAUCUACUGUGAAGUGCUUCAUGUACGUGUGAAGUAUUAGAAAUUUCUUUCUUGGCAACUUGUUUUUUCUUUGCGGUCUACUGAUAGGUUUGACUAAAAUUAUAUUCCCUGUCAUGCUAAUUAAUUUUCACGUGCAUGCUCAAAAGAAGAGUAUGACCUUAGUGCACCAAAAUCACUUUGAUUAAUUUGUGAUAGGUUUUUGUGCAUCAUGACAUUAGCCUUAUUCAUUUAGAUAAUGUUUAGUUUUUAGAAAGUAUUAAGAAAAGGAAAAUAAAUAUUAAGAAAAAUAUUCUUAUAUUUGAUUGUAUUAUGAAAAAUGUCAUAAAAAAAUCAAAUAUAAUUUAAAUUAAUUAAUAAUUUAUACAUUUUCAAAUUAUUUAAUCUUUAUAUUGAAGAUAUAAUAUAAAUGAAAUGAGUUUUAAGUAUUAUAUAAAAGUGAUUUAUUGAUCUUGCAUAUAUGUAUUUCUUUUUUUUUUCUUCUAUUUUUUUUCUUUAUUUUAUUUUCCUUAUGUUUUCCUCAACAUUUUCCGGAACCAAACAUAGCCUUAGGAAAUCCACAAUUACCUUCAACUGAGUAUAUUCGGUUGUUUUAGCAAUGUUAGGCUGCUAACUUGUGUUGGUACGAACCUGUUAAGCCUAAAGAUGUAAUUAGUUAGGAUAUUCUUUUCCCUCUAGUCUUGUAGCUCCACGUGUAUAGUUGGUUAGGACCUCAUUGUAUAUAAUGCCUGCCCUGUUAUUGUUGAAGACAACAGAGAUAAAUAAUAUUAACAUUUUUCCUCUCAUCUCUCUUUGUUUCCCUCUGUUUUCAUCUCCUCUCUCAUCUUGGUAUCAGAGCCUCCAUGGAUUCUUUCAAAGAAACCUCCGAAUCACCUUCUGCUAGCAUUGUUAAUGUGCAAAACCCAUUAUCUCAGUCAAACAACCUUCCUUCACCAGCAGCCACACCCUCUUUUUCUUUCUUGUCUAUGAAUCAACCUCUCACAGUGAAGCUGGAUAAUGGAAACUACCUCAUCUGGAAGAAUUAGCUUCUGAAUGUCAUCAUUGCGAACAGACUCGAUGAUUUCAUUUAUGGAACUCGACCCUGCCCUCCUUGAUUUCUCAAUCUGCAACAACAAACCCUCACUCCAGAGUACUCGGUCUAGCAGAGAUACAAUCGACUUCUAAUGAGUUGGCUGUACGCAUCCUUGUCCGAAGAUAUAAUGACUCAGAUUGUUGGGUAUUCAACAACUGUGGAGAUUUGGAACGUCCUUAAUCAGAUUUACUCUGCCUCUUCAAUGGCGUGGGUUACCGAGCUUCACACCAAGCUUCAAACGCUCAAGAAAGAUGGACUCUCAGUUGGUGAAUAUAUUCAAAGGCUCAAAUCCAUUUGCAAUAGUCUUGCAGCAAUAGGAGAACUAGUUUCUGAGAAAGACCAGCUUAUCUAUUUGUUCAAUGGAUUAUAUUGUGAGUAUAAUUCUUUUGUUACCUCCAUUCAAAAUCGAUCUGACCAACCAACUAUUGAGCAAAUCCAUAGCCUAUUGCUUAGCUAUGACUUUCGGCUUGAACAACAAAACUCUGUUUCUCUCCAUUAUGCCCAAGUCCGUAUGGCUCAUCUGAACAAGAAACCUUAUAAAUCAACUCCUCAACCUACAUUCAAUCAUAUUCACAUUCAACCUAGAUACUCUUCUCCACCUUUUAAGCCAACCACUAGUCAAUAUCAACCCAGGAUUUUGGGCAAACCACAACCACAACCAUGACAGCCUCAACCUCAAUGGAAACCACAUUUUUCAAUCCAGAAUCAAAAGCCUCAGUGCCAAAUUUGUGGUAAAUUUGGACACACUGCUCUUAUUUGCUUCCAUUGCACAAAUUUGAACUAUUCACCCCAACCUUCUCCUAAAUCUUUCAAUACUGUUCUCACCACAAAUUCCCAGCUCCCUAAUCCUCCAAAAUUUUCUUACCCUACAAUGGCUCAUCCUGCUGCUACGCAUAACACGAUUCCUGAUACAAAUUGGUACAUGGACUCAGGUGCUACACAUCACUUUACUCCGGACAUCAACAUGCUUGACACUGUGACACCAUUUAGUGGUUUAGAACAGGUGACAGUUGGGAAUGGUAAGCAACUCUGUAUCUCACAUCUUGGUACUGCAAAACUACCAUCCUCGUAUUCUCCUCUUGUUCUACAUCAGGUAUAUCACACUCCAAAAAUUUCAAAUAAUCUUAUUAGUGUUAGAAAAUUGUGUUCUGAUAAUAAAGUUUUUGUUGAAUUUUAUGCCACUCAUUUUCUUAUCAAAGAUCAAGUUUCGAAGAGAGUUCUCUUUCAAGGUCAACUUGAUAAUGGCUUAUACAAAGUUCAGUCGUCAUGCUCUCCUUCUACUAUUUCCUUUCAUCCUCAAGUUUUCAUAGCCAACAUCAAGGAUCAAAAUUUGUGGCACAAGAGACUAGGCCACCCAGCUUUAUCUGUUAUUAAUCAAAUCUUGGAUUCUUGUAACAUUGCUCGAACACAGAAAAUUGGUUUUAAUUUUUGUAGUUCUUGUCAAUUAGCAAAAAGCCACAGGCUUCCUUUUUCUCUGUCUCCAUCCAUUGCAGAAAAACCUUUUGAGUUAAUUCAUACAGACCUAUGGGGUCUUUCUCCUGUUCGCUCUAUUUCUGGUGCUCGUUAUUUUUUACUUUUCAUUGAUGAUCAUACUCGUUUUACUUGGUUUUAUUUGCUCAAAACAAAAGAUGAAGCAUAUCCUACUUUUCUCAAGUUUCAAGCUCUCAUUGAAAAUCAAUUUAAUACCAAGAUUAAGGUUGUCCAAUCUGAUUGGGGAGGUGAGUUUCGAUCUCUCUCCAUACUGUUUUCAAAUAUGGGCAUUGUCUAUCGUUUAUCAUGUCCAUACACCUCACAACAGAAUGAGUGGGUUGAGCGAAAAAAUCACCAUGCGGUUGAAAUGGGAUUGUCCUUUCUUGCUCGCUCGGGUAUGCCCUUAUCUUAUUGGCCUUAUGCCUUUCAAACUGCCACUUACCUUAUUAAUCGUCUCUCUACCCCUGUGCUGCACCAUCAAUCCCCUUACUUCGCACUCUAUCACAAAUUCCCAGCUUAUACUCAUCUUAAGGUCUUUGUUCCUCUUGUUUUCCAUAUUUACGCCCUUAUAAUACCCAUAAACUCCAAUACAGGUCACUGGAGUGUGCUUUUCUUGGUUGCAGUUCACACCACAAAGGUUAUCUAUGUCUUGACAUUCAUUCUAGCAGGGUGUAUAUUUCUCGCCAUGUGAUUUUUAAUGAAGAUUCUUUUACAUUCAAGAAUUUGAAAUCUUCUCUCUCUUAGUCUAUUUCUUCUUCCUCUUCUUUAUUAGUUCCUCUGUUCAUUUCCUUGCCUCCCCUCUCCCCAUAUCCUCCUAUUUCUCCAUCUAUAUCUCAUUCUUUUCUCUCUUCUUCUUCUACCUCUAGUACUUGUUCCCCUCUCGUUGCUCCUACCUCUCUUCCUCCCUCUUCACACUUUGUGUCCCAUCUAUUCCACCUCCUUCUCCACCUUCUUCGAGUGUGGACCUGCUUGUACCUUGUGUGAAUACAAAUUUACUUACUUUUUCUCGCACUCACAAUAUUCAUCCUAUGGUGACCAGAUCUAAGGGUUUGUAUCUAUAAACCUAAGUUGCUAUUGAGUGUCUCCAUAGGUUCUCUCACUAAGCCUACUUCCUUUCUUCAAGCUAUUAAAGAUCCUUCAUGGAAGCAAGCCAUGGAAUUGGAGUUUGCUGCCCUUCAACACAACAAGACCUGGCAUCUAGUUCAUUCACCUUCCUCAGGCAAAGUAAUUGGUUGUAAAUGGGUCUAUAAGAUAAAGCUUUAGCCUGAUGGCUAAUUGAGAGAUACAAGGCCCGCUUAGUAGCUUAGGGUUAUCAUCAAACUGAAGGUAUUGACUACUUCGAAACAUUCAGCCUGGUUGUCAAGCCUUCUACUACCGUAUUGUGCUCAGUCUUACUUUUUCCCAGAAUUGGUGUAUUAGACAGCUGGAUGUUCAUAAUGCCUUCUUACAUGGUGACUUAGCUGAAGACGUUUUCAUGGAACAACCACCUGGAUUUGUUGAUCCUCUCUAUCCUACUCAUGUCUGCAAGUUGGAUAAGUCUCUCUACGGUCUUAAUAGUCACCUCGGGCUUGGUAUACUAAGCUGAGUACUUCUCUACUACACUUGGGAUUUGUUACUUCUAAGAAUGACUCUUCCUUAUUUAUUUGUCAUUCGUCUCAUGGGUUACUUCUUGUUCUUGUCUAUGUGGAUGAUAUAAUCGUCACUGGGAGCCACUCUCCUCAAGUUACUCACCUUAUCCAAUAGUUGCAUCAUCAGUUUUCUUUAAAGGAUCUUGGUCAUUUACACUAUUUUCUGGGCUUGGAGGUUCAUCACACCCCUACUGGUAUUCACCUCAGCCAAGCAAAGUAUAUCACUGAUCUCCUUACCCGGGCGGCUAUGUUGGAUGCCAAGCCAUGUCCCACUCCUAUGUCCUCCAACACAUAUCUUUCUCUUCAUGAUGGAGUGGCUCUUGAAAAUGGUUCAGAUUAUUGAAGUUUUGUUGGUGCCCUUUAGUAUUGUACCAUGACACGCCCAGAUAUAGCUUUUGCAGUAAAUAAAGUGUGUCAAUUCAUGCACCAUCCCUCUGAUGUUCACUGGCAGGCUAUAAAACGUAUUCUCCAGUACUUAAAGGGCACAUCUCAUUUUGGUCUCUUCCUACAGCCUUCCUAUGACUUCAACAUCACUUGCUAUACAGAUGCCGACUGGGCUUCCUGCCUUGAUGACAAGUGUAGCACCAGUGGCUACUGCCUCUUUCUUGCCUCUAAUCUGGUUUCUUGGUCAUCUUCCAAACAAAAAGUGGUCUCCCGCUCCAGCGCCAAAUCAGAGUACCGAGGGGUAGCAAAUGGGGCUGCUGAAAUUGCUUGGACUGAAUCUCUUCUUUGUGAACUUUCCACCCACUCGACCUCCCCUCAUUGUCUGUGACAAUAUCAGUGCCACAUACUUAGCUGUCAAUCCUAUUUUGCAUGCCCGCACCAAAACAUGUGGAAAUCGACUAUCACUUUGUCUCGGAACGUGUUCUUCAACGCUCUCUCUCUCUCCAGUUUACACCUUCGGAUGAUCAACUUGCUGAUUGCAUGACCAAGCCUCUCUCCACCCAACGUUUCAUCACUCUACGCUCCAAGCUCACUGUUCUCACUAGACCAAUGAGCUUGAGGGGGGAUGUUAAGCCUAAAGAUGUAAUUAGUUAGGAUAUUCUUUUCCCUCUAGUCUUGUAGCUCCACGUGUACAGUUGGUUAGGACCUCAUUGUAUAUAAUGCCUGCCCUGUUAUUGUAGAAGACAACAGAGAUAAAUAAUAUUAACAUUUUUCCUCUCAUCUCUCUCUCUGUUUCCCUCUGUUUUCAUCUCCUCUCUCAUCUGAACCAAAUGAUCCAUGUUAACCUUGGCUUGGUUUGAUUUGGCUCUAUCUUAGAGAGCUCAAGGAUCACGUCAACUCUGGUUUCUACUAUUCAGGUCCAUUCCCAUAUGAACUGGUUCAAAUUUGAGAAAAUGGUAACAGACCUUUAGUGAUGUUGGUUUGGAGCCAGUUGCCAAACCCGCCCUGAGCUUUACCACUAAUGUCAAGGGAGAAAGCCUUUUGAACAAAAACAAUAGCUUCAAGAGACUGAAUCGUGGAUGAAAUCUGAUCCACAUUUCUUCUCAUUUUGGAAACAAAUGAGAACUUAACUAAGAAGAUUCUACGGCCUCAUAGUGCUUUUCCUGAUCUAAGGUUGGUUCGUUUCCCAAAUUGUGAGAUGCACGGGCCAGACUUCAGAACUCUCACGCUCAGGAGUGUAUCCACGUGGUGGACAUAAGAUGGUGGCUUAAGAUCUGGUGUCGGUGGCUUUACUUUACUAGGAGAGUAGUGUGUCUUCAUCUCAUUCACUGCCGGAGGGUGGCGUAAGCAGUGACGCUAAGGUGGGGCAUAGUCAAUAUCAUUUGCAUUUGACCAUUAUAGUUUUCUCCCGGCUUGAAAGUAACCUUAUCGUGAUAAAGGAUUACUAGCACUAGUUCAGAUGACAGUCAUGUUAAAUUCGGACCAUGUUUGUGUCACAUUAUCAGCAACCAUGUGUUUAUGGUUCAUGCUUUCUGCAACUGAAAUUGAAAUUGAUAUAUAACCAGGUGAACUUCAAUCUAAAUUCUGGAAGUACUCAUGUGAGCGAUGGUGCCCAUCUGCAGAGUCCAUCAAUUGAAAAAUGGAGUGAGUGUAUCUAUAAGAGGGAAGGCUUGGCAAAUGUCCAGUUUUCUGGGAAUUCAACAAGGAUCUAAAAUAGAUUGUUUUCUUUGCUGAUUUCAAUGGUUGAAAUUUGAGAAGAUUGUGUCCCACAUAACACAACUAUUACUGGUCCUUCUGUUGCAAUUUAUCCUCUAAGGCUCUAGCAUGUCUUCCAAUUCCCACUUCCCUGUUACUCCAGGAAAGCUAUUUCUGUCAUUGUGAAGAAGAAAAGAGAAUGUAGAUAUCGAUGCUUUUAAGUGACUGGAGCAUUCAUAUCAGGUGGUCUGCAGCCAUAUAUGCCACUUUGUGAAGAUUGGAACAGUCAAUCACUAGGCUAUAUAUUAGUGUGGCCCAGCCACUUUAAUCAAGGACAAUUCUUCAUACUUAAAAGUCAAAUUCUGCCUUUAGUCUCAUUAUAAAUUGCUGUUUAAAUAUUAAGCAAACAUUUGUUUAAUGCGAUUAAGACAGUACUAACUCAAUACUUGUUCUAUUUUUGGAUGGAAAUGCUUGAUGGUUUCAUCAUUGGAUGGGAUAAAGGUGCAUUCAUGAUUAUGAAUACUUGUAGUUAUAUUUUCAUUCUCUUUUUUCUCAAUGAGACUUGUUGGCACAAUUUUUCUGUUCAGAAACCUACCUCUCCAUGGAAAAUAAGUUGUGAUUGAUAGUACUGGAUAUAUUCAAGAAAGCUAAAUAUAGAUAGCACAAAAUAUUAUCGACAUAAAUAGCAUUAACAGCGUACGUAUGUCUCAGUGCUCAUCAGCCAUAAGCAUGGGGCAAACACUUACGAUGAGCAACUUACGUCAAAAUUCCAGAAUAGGACAUAGAAGUGACAGAUCUAUAUAUAUAGAACACUGCAUAAGAGUCACAAGAAAGGAAAUUACGGGUGCAUAGCAGCUCUUAUUUCACAUACUACUCAUACUGAUCAAAGUCACUCAGUUGGGAUGGGUGGGAGUAGGAGGUUUGUGGGGUGGCUUGUGCGGAGGAGUUGGCAGCUUCUUUCCAGGACCUGGUGGCUUCUCUCCCUUAGGUGGUUUGCCAACUGGGGUUGGUGGCUUGUAUGAGUCUUCAGCAUUCUCUGCAGGAGGGUGACCAGGGUUGUGACCAUAAUGUGGUGGCUUCUCUCCCUUAGGUGGUUUGCCAACUGGGGUUGGUGGCUUGUGUUCUGGGAGUGGCUUCUCCCCCUUGGGAGGUUUUUCCAAUGGGGUUGGUUUGUGUUCAGGAGGUGGCUUCUCCACUGGAGGCUUGUGUUCAGGAGGUGGCUUCUCCACCGGAGGCUUGUGUUCAGGAGGUGGCUUCUCCACCGGAGGCUUAUGCUCUGGUGGUGGCUUCUCCACCGGAGGCUUAUGCUCUGGUGGUGGCUUCUCGAAUGGGGGAUGCUUAGGGUAAUCAGCAAGUGAGGGGGCGGUGAGAACCACCAGGCCAAGCAAGACCACUAGCAAGUAUGUAGGAGACAUCUUUGGGUUUAGACUCAGAUGGUGCAAAACUAGGAGAAUUGUCUUUUAUAGCGGAUCGCACCCAAUAAUGAAAUGACACGUGUCUUUAUGACCCAUGUGUAAUGGGGUCGAUUUGGGUCCUACAGUGUUGAAAACUUCGACAUCCACUUUUGGCCUUUUGCUUUCUCUACAGCCGCCUUGCUUUUUCCCUCUUUCCUUUUGUUUUCCUCCUGCCCCAUUCUAUCAACUAAACACAAUUAUGUAGUUGUUUAAUUCUUAAAUGAGAUAUUAUCCGUCAAUCGUAUCAUAUUUUAUCAACAGAGAACGGAGUGCAAUGUGGCAAUCCAAAGAAAGAAGAUCCAUAAUGCAGCUGUAAUUUUAUCGUUUACUUUUAUCUCUUGGACCACUGCAUUUUUGUUAAGAGGUGCAAUAAUACACGUCUUUAUCUGCCAUUCAAUGUUUACAGUAAAGAGAGGGCACAAAACUCUUCACUGCUCUGCAUGUGUCCCAAAAAUGCAAUUGGACAAAUUAUGAUUUGCAUGCUAAAAAGAGGCAAAUGAGGUUAAUUCGCACCAUAAUUAUUUUGUUUUCUGGACCCCGGGGCCCUUUGGUUGGUUUGGGGGUCAGAAAAUGAACAUCAUAGGGGGUUUUUCCCUUAUGUGCAUUUGUAUCUGAUGGCUUUAACUCGCCUUGUUACUACAAAGAAAUUGUCACAUAUAGGAACUUAUUCCAGGCUGAGUAUCUCCGCAUAGACCCUAUAAAAGAAGACAAGUCAUAAUGAACAUCUAACCUUUGUUCAAUUUGAUUCAAUGCCCCAUUGUGUCCACCUCACAAAUCUGAAUUAUUAUAUCCAUUGAAUACAUAAAUUAAUGAAGAAAAUAUGAAACCCAAGAUACAUCUCUGCACAACCUCAACCCUGGUUGCUAUGUUUCCCUUCUAUUCACAUGAGGAUAUUGAUUACGGAAUAGGGAAACCUAGCAAGGGUUUACUCGGCUCUGGUUUGAUGCUAAUUGCCAAACUUGCAACAAGCCCUGAGUUUGAAGCUCACAGAAGAUGUUAUACAGGCAGGGAAAAACCUUCAGAGUUCGCUGCCAAAGAUAAUUAUUAAGGAGAUAUCACCAAGAGAAUUCCAAGGAGUCUGAAUCAAAGACAAAUUGGUCGUUCGUGGAGGUUCUUACUUUCUUUUGGGUAUAACUCACUGAGGGCACUGUCUUUUUUAUUUUCAUUUCACAUUUAGAGUUCUGUUCUGGAAACAUAUAAAAGGAGCAUCAGUUUGUUCUUGGGUAACCCAUAGUCGUGAGUGGGUCCAUUUGCAUGCUACUUAGUUGAAAAGUUGGACCAUUUGCUCCGACGCCUACCUCCUGGAUUCCAUGCUCGGAUAAAACAAGAAUAAAAAAAUAUUUAUAAUUUACAAAUGGGGGAAAGAAAAAAAUGUCAACAACAAACUAGGAAAAAAGAGUAGUAAAAUUCAUGUCACAUGCUAGUGAGAGAAGGGGUUGUUACACUCACUCGAAGUUCUUUUCAAAAUAUCGCAUGGUAUUUUAUUUUAUGUGUGAGCGCAGUUGUGAAUGGAACGUGCAAAAGUCCAAAUUGGUGACCUUUAAUAAAUAUUUAAAACAAAAAACGAAAAAAAGGAGGGAAAAGGGAUCAGAAAAGAUAAAACAAUGUGUACAAAAGCUCAAUUAGUUUGCAAAUUACUGUUUGGAUUUUGAUAGUAUUUUAUUUGAUGUAAAAGAGAAUUUAAGAUAUUUCCGAAACAAAAGCAUUAGUUUGCUCCAUGUCAAUUUCGGCAUUUCUCAUAUGUUUCACACAUACACAGAAGAGCAUCGUUUUUUAAAGCAUGCAUUUAUGUUGGAUUAAUUUGGAUUUUGUGGGAACUGGGGCAAGGAUCACAUGGAAGAGAGGUUGACUUUUUUCAGUACUUCAAUGGUUGAGACAGGUGAAGGCCUGAUUGAUACUGAAGCCUGAAAUUGCGACUCCGUCAUUUGUCAAAACAUAUGACAGCUUCCAUGCUCUCGUUUGGUUGCAUUGUUCUGUGGUCAUGCAUACAUGCCACUUAGUGAUCAGUCUGUAACUGUCAAUCAUUGGGCUUUGACUGAACAACAUCAGCCAUGUAUAAAUACUUGCAAAUCAAACGGUCUUCUUCCUCCCAUAAGGAAUUUCGGUUUAAUUAUGAAGCAUGCAUUUGGCUGACCAUCAUAAACCACUUCUUUAAAUUGAUGAAUGAUAGUUUUUCAUUCAUUCUUUCAUUCGUUCAUAUACAGAGUAUAUAUAGAGGGUAAUCAUCAUUCUAAGAAUGGGAAAGAAUGAUACAAGGAAAUAAUGAUAUAAAGAAAUAACAACUAAUAUUCUAAUAUCUCAACUUUCCUAAUAUCUAAACAUUCCUAAUAUCUCAACACUAAAUGAUAUAAAGAAAGAAUGAUAUAAGGAAAGCAUUCCUAAUAUCUCAACACUCCUCCUCAAGUUGGUGCAUAGAUGUCAAACAUGUCCAACUUGUCUAAAAAUUUUGAGAACAGUUGACUUGAGACAUCUUUGGUGAGGAUAUCGGUCAAUUGAUCUUCUGAUCGAAUCUUAGGCAAUUCCACAAUCUUAUCAUCCAACUUUUCCUUAAUGAAAAAUCUAUCCAUCUCGACAUGCUUUGUACGAUCAUGUUGUACUAGAUUAUGAGCAAUGUCACAUGCUGCUUUAUUGUCACAAAACAAUCGGAUUGGUUGCCUAGAUAGGUAACCUAAAUCCUAUAAGAGGAGUCUUAGCCAUAAUGCCUCACAAAGUCCUAAAGUCAUACCUCUAAAUUCCGCUUCUGCACUUGAACGAGCGACGACAUUUUGCUUCUUACUUUUCCAUGUCACAAGAUUACCACCUACAAAGGUAAAGUAACCAGAUGUAGAUCGCCUAUCAUCCACUGCACCGACCCAAACAGCAUUAUACUUCUAUACUCUGAUGAUCAACAUUUUUAGCGAACAAAAUUCCCUUCCUAGGAGCAUUCUUCAAAUACCUCAAAAUACGCAUGACUACAUUCAUAUGUUGCUCUCCAGGAUUAUGCAUGUAUUGACUCACUACACUCAAUGUAUAAGCAAGAUCUAGUCUUGUAUGAGCUAAGUACAUUAAUCUCCCCACAAGUCUCUGGUAUCUUCCCUUAUCGAUUGAUACUUGAUUAGGCUCAACACACAAUUUCAGACCUUCUUCUAUUGGUGUAUUAAUAGGUUGACAUCCCGACAUUCCAGUUUCCUGUAGAAGAUCUAAGGCAUACUUUCUUUGAGACAGAAAAAUUCCUUCACUUGAUCGAGAAACUUCAAUCCCAAGAAAGUAUUUCAGACGACCAAGAUCUUUCAUUUCAAAUUCUCUAGAUAGAUACUUUUGCAAAGCUUUUCUUUCUUCAGGAUCAUUUCCUGUAACUACAUGUCAUCCACAUAUAUCAUAAGUGUCGUAAUCUUACCAUGUUGCUUUUUCAAGAACAAAGUGUGAUUUGAAUUACUUUGAUGAUAGCCAAAAGCUCUCAUUGAUUUUGUGAACCUUCCAAACCAUGCUCUCGGGGAUUGCUUCAACCCAUACAAUGACUUCUUCAAUUCGCACACCUUCUGACAUUGCUUUUCUGACACCAUGCAUCCUGGUGGAAGAUCCAUAUAUACUUCUUCAGAUAAAUCGCCAUGCAGAAAGACAUUUUUUACAUCGAACUAUUGUAAUGGCCAAUCUAGGUUUGCAGCUAAAGACAAUAAUACUCGAACUGUGUUGAUCUUAGCUACAGGUGCAAAUGUCUCUGUGUAGUCAAUUCCAUAAGUUUGAAUGUACCCACUAGUCUUGCUUUAAAUCGUUCAAUACUACCAUCUGCCUUGUACUUCACAGUAUAGAUCCAACGACACCCAACUAGCUUCUUUCCUGGUGGACAUUCUACGAGUUCCCAUGUUUCAUUUUUCUGCAAUGAUUUCAUCUCUUCAUUCAUGGUUGCUUUCCACUUUGGAUCAGCUAAAGCUUCCUGCACACUAUUAGGAAUAGCUACAGUAGAUAAUUGAUUUACAAAUGACUUAUUUGAUUCAGACAAACCAUGGUGUGGACCCGCAUUUUUCACGUGCGCCUCUACUCGAUCGGCGAGACUCGCUUUCUAUUUGUGAAAAAUUAAUUUUAGAAAAGUUGGAGUCGCCACCUAUUUUAUUUUUAUUUUGAAGGGAAAAUAAAACAAGAAAGAAAAACCCUAAAAAGUGACUCCAUAGUUUUGGAAAAAGCAUGUCUUUGGGAAACCUGAGUCUAGGUCCGGGGAUCAUGUUACUUAUUGGGAAGGUACCUCUAGGAGGUAGCACCCCUCUAAGCCUUAUGAAGGUCUCUACUAACUAAAUUAAGGGAAGUGUGGCAAUAAAUCGAUUGAUCAUAGAUACCUAAGUAGACUAGGUGAUUUUAAAGUGUGGCAUGUCAAACACAAUCAAAUUGCAAUAAAGGAGAGUUAGGGCGCGUACCUGAACCGCUUCUCAAGCGCUAUCAUAAAACAUCAAUGGUUAAUUUAAAUAAUAUAUCAUCCAGCAUGUAUUUUAUUAGAAAUAAUCAAACAAUGAAACAUGUAUAUCAGAACACUCAAGCAUUAUUAGACAUAAGCAUUAUUUCACUAUUCACAGAAUUCAGAAAGUAGGUGAUAGAGGACAUACCUGGAUAGCAUAGAUAAUUUGUAAUGUGCUUCCUCAAGUUGUAAGGGGUUAGAUAACAAAUAAUAAAAUAUAGAAAUCCUAGCAUGCUCGUUAUCUAAUUAGCAUAGCAAAAGUGAUCACAGUAUACAGAAUCAUCAAUUAUCACAUACAUCUUGUAUAUAAUUCCUAAAAAAAAUAGAUAGACAUGAUUUCAACAAGUGUCAAAUGUGGCAACAAAAAUAAAUUUUGAAAAGAUUUUCUUAUGUAGGGGUUUCACCAAUUCCCCAAAUUAAUAUACACGAAUUUAGCUUAGAAUUAUCCCAUUUAUUUGGGACUACAAGCUUUGAUUCGUGUUUUUGUUCAAAACCAAAAAUUUUUGUUGAAAAUCAAGAAGGAUGCGAACCGAACAAGAUAUGGUUGCAUAUUAUUUUUAAAUAAAUAAAUAAAUAAAUAAAGGAGAUUUUGAUCCUGAGGACUUUAAUGAGUUUUUUUUUUUAAAAUAGAUUUUUAAAAUGAUUUUUUUGAGAAAAGUAUUUUAUUUUAAAAUAAAAGGGAUUAAUUUGGGAAAAAAAUAAAAUAUAAGAAAUAAAAUACCAAACAAAACAAAAAUGAAACCUCAAAGUAAAAUUUUUUUAGUAAUUAACAAAAAUGAUAAUGGUGAUGGUAGAGGGCAAUCUUCAUGAUUUUCCAAUGGCCUCAGAAAGAAAAUCAAAUUAAAUGAAGGAUCACUAACAGGCAAGACAUUCUAAAUUAGACAAACUAACAAAGUAUCAAUUCAUGAACUAACCGCUAGGAUUUUGAAAGCAUAUAAGCUAAGAUAAGGGUGAUCAGGAACUAAUAUUAAUGAUUUUGAAAUAAAAACUAAAAAAAAGGAUCAAUUCGGGUAAGGAACUAAAAUUAUAAAAGUACCUAAACUAAUUAUGACGAGUUUGACUAAAUUAAACUAAAAACAUGAACUUUCAAACAUAGAAUUAAUUUUACUAAUGAACCAAAGCAAACUAAAAAUAUGUACUUUCAAGCAUAGAAUUAAUUUUAUUGAUGAACUAAACUAUAACAAAUAUCUAAACUAAAUAUAAUGAAUCAAAUUAAAUUAAAGCAACUUAAAAACGCAAACUUUCAAACAUAGAAUCAAUUUUAUCAAUGAAUUAAAACUAUAAAUGUAUUUGAACUAAAUAGAUGAAUCAAACUAAAUCAGAGCAAAAUUAAAAAAAAAAAAGAACUUUCUAACAUGAAAUCAAUUUUAUCAACAAAUAAAUGAAUGAAUAACAAGUAAUUAAAAGAAUAGCUACUACAUGAAUAACUGAAUGAAUAAAAUUCAAAUGUUUUCAAUCUGAAGCAAUCAAUCAAAAUUAAAUAGGGAUCAAAUCAAAAUAAUCGAAAUCGGAAAAACAAUAUGCAAUCUUUCUAAAGGUUUAACCAGACAAUUGAAUUAAAAUUAUGAAUAGAAUAAAUUAAUAAACCAAAUCGAAACCUAAAUUGUACCUAAAAAGAUUAAUUAAUUAAACUAAGAAAUCAAAAUCAAUAACAAAACUAAACUAAGGAGUAAAUUAAGACAAGACUAAUUAAAUUAAACUCACAAACACGUUUUAACUAUCAUAUGGAUUAAAACAAAAUUAGCAUGGACUUAUGAAUUACGAACAAAAAUAAUCAAAACUAUUUUAAAAAACUCACCUCUAUUAUAAGAAAAAAUCUGCCUUUGAUGCGUUGAGGUGGCUCCCCUCUCUGUGUGGAUCUCUCUGCUCCCCAGAAAAAAAAUGUCUCUUCCUCCGUUCUCUUUUGUUUCAGCAAAAUAAUAUAUCCCCUGCUGUGGAUCUCUCUACUCCCAGAAAAUAAUAUAUUCUCUCCGUGUCCUAAAGUGGACCUAGGGUGCCUAAGUGGACCUAGGGUGCCUAAAUGGGCCUAGGGUGCCUAAAUGGGCCAAGUGUAUCUAAAUAGGCUUAGGGUGCCUAAGUGGGCCUAAGUCUAAGUGAGCCUAAGUCUAAAUCAAGACUACCAAGGAUCAUAAUAAGGGGUUAGGCAAUCCCUUAACCAAAGUCUCCAAGGUGGCUAAAAAAAAGUAAGUAGUAUGAGUAGCUAUGGGUCACCAAGGAACUACUGUGGAGCAUUGAAAACGAAUUUAAAGACAUGUGCCAAAGGGACAAAAUUGAGGGUCUACAGAUGGUUAGACACAUAGUUGCUCAUGGGAUAUUUGACUUUGGUAAACAAUUCAGAUUCAUAUGUGGGUUUAGGAAUACCUUUAUUAUGACGGUGUGGUAAUCGUUUCAUGAAUGGAUCAGGUUGCAAAUUAAGAACACCCUCAGCAAACAACGAUUGGUUUGGUAUUUCAGUGAAGACAUCUUCGAACCCAAAUUGUUGACCACUCAUAUCCAACUCACCCGCUUCCUGGUUCACUAGUUCAGAUUGUCCAAAUUCAUCAUUCUCAUAGAUAUGAUAAUCAUAAUCGAGAGUCUGAAUUUCCUUAUGGUACUCCCCCUGAAGUUCAGACUUAGAUGAAAAAUACAUCGAAUAUUCAUGAAACAGCNNNNNNNNNNNNNNNNNNNNNNNNNNNNNNNNNNNNNNNNNNNNNNNNNNNNNNNNNNNNNNNNNNNNNNNNNNNNNNNNNNNNNNNNNNNNNNNNNNNNNNNNNNNNNNNNNNNNNNNNNNNNNNNNNNNNNNNNNNNNNNNNNNNNNNNNNNNNNNNNNNNNNNNNNNNNNNNNNNNNNNNNNNNNNNNNNNNNNNNNNNNNNNNNNNNNNNNNNNNNNNNNNNNNNNNNNNNNNNNNNNNNNNNNNNNNNNNNNNNNNNNNNNNNNNNNNNNNNNNNNNNNNNNNNNNNNNNNNNNNNNNNNNNNNNNNNNNNNNNNNNNNNNNNNNNNNNNNNNNNNNNNNNNNNNNNNNNNNNNNNNNNNNNNNNNNNNNNNNNNNNNNNNNNNNNNNNNNNNNNNNNNNNNNNNNNNNNNNNNNNNNNNNNNNNNNNNNNNNNNNNNNNNNNNNNNNNNNNNNNNNNNNNNNNNNNNNNNNNNNNNNNNNNNNNNNNNNNNNNNNNNNNNNNNNNNNNNNNNNNNNNNNNNNNNNNNNNNNNNNNNNNNNNNNNNNNNNNNNNNNNNNNNNNNNNNNNNNNNNNNNNNNNNNNNNNNNNNNNNNNNNNNNNNNNNNNNNNNNNNNNNNNNNNNNNNNNNNNNNNNNNNNNNNNNNNNNNNNNNNNNNNNNNNNNNNNNNNNNNNNNNNNNNNNNNNNNNNNNNNNNNNNNNNNNNNNNNNNNNNNNNNNNNNNNNNNNNNNNNNNNNNNNNNNNNNNNNNNNNNNNNNNNNNNNNNNNNNNNNNNNNNNNNNNNNNNNNNNNNNNNNNNNNNNNNNNNNNNNNNNNNNNNNNNNNNNNNNNNNNNNNNNNNNNNNNNNNNNNNNNNNNNNNNNNNNNNNNNNNNNNNNNNNNNNNNNNNNNNNNNNNNNNNNNNNNNNNNNNNNNNNNNNNNNNNNNNNNNNNNNNNNNNNNNNNNNNNNNNNNNNNNNNNNNNNNNNNNNNNNNNNNNNNNNNNNNNNNNNNNNNNNNNNNNNNNNNNNNNNNNNNNNNNNNNNNNNNNNNNNNNNNNNNNNNNNNNNNNNNNNNNNNNNNNNNNNNNNNNNNNNNNNNNNNNNNNNNNNNNNNNNNNNNNNNNNNNNNNNNNNNNNNNNNNNNNNNNNNNNNNNNNNNNNNNNNNNNNNNNNNNNNNNNNNNNNNNNNNNNNNNNNNNNNNNNNNNNNNNNNNNNNNNNNNNNNNNNNNNNNNNNNNNNNNNNNNNNNNNNNNNNNNNNNNNNNNNNNNNNNNNNNNNNNNNNNNNNNNNNNNNNNNNNNNNNNNNNNNNNNNNNNNNNNNNNNNNNNNNNNNNNNNNNNNNNNNNNNNNNNNNNNNNNNNNNNNNNNNNNNNNNNNNNNNNNNNNNNNNNNNNNNNNNNNNNNNNNNNNNNNNNNNNNNNNNNNNNNNNNNNNNNNNNNNNNNNNNNNNNNNNNNNNNNNNNNNNNNNNNNNNNNNNNNNNNNNNNNNNNNNNNNNNNNNNNNNNNNNNNNNNNNNNNNNNNNNNNNNAACCAAAGGAAGCAUGUUCCAGACGUCGAUGCCACAACCAAAUUUCAGACUUUUUCUUCUCCUCCUUAGAUCCAUCUGCCAUCAAGGCUUGUUGCAACUUAUUUGAAUCCUUUGAUUGCAAGUCCAAGUAUAGAGUUUCCCCCGCUUAAUACGACAACCAAUCGUCUGUCUUGUUUGAAUGUCCUUAAUCACACAAAAUUCAGGCCAAAAAAUGACAAUACAAGAUAAGGCUGCAGUGAUUUGAGAAACUAACAAAAGAUUGUAAUCUAAAGAUGGAACAACUAAAACAGAAUCCAAAUUCAAAGUAUCAGUAAGAGUUAAGGAUCCUUCCCCAAUGACUGGGGUUGUGUUACCAUUGGCUGUGGAAACAAUUUUUUGUGAGGAAGGUCUAAGGGGUGAAACCUGUCUAGAAUCAAAAGUCAUAUGAUCUGUAGCACCAGAAUCAAUUAUCCAUGCACUAUUAAUAACAGGUGUAAAAGUAUUUAAAAACUUACCACAAUGAUCUGUAGCGGCUACUAAUGCAGAGACUUUCUCAACAACAUUAGUCUUUGUUUUUAUUUCGGUAACAGUUGCAAUCAAGGUUUUCUUGGAAUUCUUCUUCCGUUGAUCACGAUUAUUAUCAUUAAUAACAAAGUGUUGAUAGCCUAAACAUGAUCUAAAGGUCCAUGGUGCAAACCCUCGGUUCCUCAUUGUUUUCCUGGUCAUACCAAGAGUUGUUGCUUUGAAAUUGUGGGAUAUCCAGACUGGUGGGAUCAGUUUUAUUGCAGUGAGUGCAUUUGAAUGUUGACUUAUCAAUAUUAGGGCUUGUCUUCGGAUGGUUGAUUGCUGUUGGACUACCAUAGCGACAAAAUAUCCAGGAUUUCAAUUCCAGGGCUCUGAUACCAUCUUCAAAUUGAUGAAUGAUAGUUUUUCAUUCAUUCUUUCAUGUACAGAGUAUAUAUAGAGGGUAAUCACCAUUCUAAGAAUGGGAAAGAAUGAUACGAGGAAAUAAUGAUAUAAGGAAAUAAUAACUAAUAUCCUAAUAUCUCAACUUUCCUAAUAUCUCAAUAUUCCUAAUAUCUCAACUUUCCUAAUAUCUAAACAUUCAUAAUAUCUCAACACUAAAUGAUACAAGGAAAGAAUGAUAUAAGGAAAACAUUCCUAAUAUCUCAACACCACUUCAUGAUAUAUAUAGUUUCUUACCCUUAAUCAAUGGUUUCUAAGUGAAUUUAUAUAGAAAGAAAUCCAAACUGUAGACAGCAGUAUUGGUAACACUCAAUAUUCUGUAUAUAAUAGAAUAAAUAGCGUCACAGUGAUCGUCGCCUACAAGCAAGGUACAAAUACCACAAAGAGUGACCCACAUAGACAUUCCCCAACAAGAUGUAGUAGUGACUGACACAUAGCCACAAUUAACACGUAGAAAAGGAUAAGACCGGUGCACAGUAGCUCUUAUUUUACAUACUACUUAUGCCAACCAAAGUCACUCAGUUGGGAUGGGAGGGAGAUGGAGGUUUGUGCGGUGGCUUGUGGGGCGGAGUUGAUGGCUUCUUUCCAGGAGCUUCUGGCUUUUUCAUCGGAGCUGAAGGAGGCUCAAUCUUAUGAGGCGGCUUGUACGAGUCUUCUUUGCUCUCGAAAGGAGGGUGGCCAGGGUUGUGACCAUAAUGUGGUGGUUUCUCUCCCUUGGGAGGUUUACCAAUUGGGGUUGGUGGCUUGUGUUCUGGGAGUGGUUUCUCUCCCUUGGGAGGUUUAGUGGGUGACUUGUGUUCUGGAGGUGGCUUCUCCACCGAAGGCUUGUGCUCCGGUGGUGGCUUUUUGGUUGGAGGGGGCUUGGGGUAAUCAGCAAGAGAUGGGGUGGUGAGAACCACCAGUCCAAGGAACAACACUAGCAAGUAUGUGGGAGACAUUUUUGAGUUUGGGCUGAUCAGAUGAUGCAAAACUAAAGCAUUACGUGACCUUUUAUAGCAAGUAGCUCCCAAUACCUACUUGACACGUGUUACUGUGACCCAUAAAUAUUAUGGGGUCUAUUUGUGCCCUACCGGGUUGAAAACUUGGACAAUUGGGCAAGGACCCGCCUGACUAUGGAGGACUACUGAGGUGUGAUCACAGCUUUAGGAUUUUUCUUCCUCUGCAGCCGUCUUGCCGUUGGCAUGAUUUUCUUAAUCUCAAAUAAAGGCAUAGUUAUAGAGUUGUUUAAUCUCUAAAUGGGAUUUUAUAUAUCUUCAGAUAGCCAUUAAUACAUUUGAUGAAGAAAGAAAGACAAGUGCAUACAACAUGUAUACGACUAGCUUUCAUGGAGUUCAUUUAUGAUCAGUUUUCCUGUACAUGUAAACCAAGAUCAUAUAUGUUUUUGUUCCACAACAAUUUUGGAAUCUUGUUUAUCCGUUUUUAUCAUUAUAAUGUCACAUAGGCUGCCAACUUGGGCGCUAAAUUAAAGAUCCAGUUGGGCAAGUUCGUUUCAGAAUUUCAAUGGUGGAUUCAGGAAUUGUUUUAUAAGAUAUGCAAAAUAGUAGAGGGAUGAAUAGUGUUUCAUUAAGAAAAGAGCCCUGUAAAAAUAUUGUUUAAAGGUGCCAUAGAAACUAUAAUCAAUAAAUAACUUUUUUUCCCCAUGGGUGGUGUUUCUUGUGGGGAUCAGUGACUGGUUUGAGUCAACGCCGUGUCUCUUUAGUCCAGAAAUCAACUAUUUUAUGCAUUGAAUACAUCAACAAAGAAAAUAUGAAAGCCAAAUGACACCUCCCCCGCAAAAACUAAACCCUGGUUGCUAACUUUCUAUGUUUCAGUUCCAUUCACACAAGAAUAUUAGUUCAAGUUUGAGAAAAAUGGCGACUUACCUAGUGAUAACUCGGUCUUGGUUUGCGAUUUGACUUUAACGUCAUGGGUUGAAGCCUCCUACAAUCAUCGUGUAUGCUAGUUCAAAGCUCGUGGAAGAAGUUAUACAGGGAGGGAGAAACCUCCACAGCAAGCUCCAAAAGAGAAUUAUCACAUUGAAAGCUCCAGUUGAACACUGGGUGAAAGCCAUAACAAGAUUGGUUUUCUAUCGCUCUUUUAAGUAAUGGAAGAUUAUUAUCUCUGCUUGUCACUACAACCGUGCAUGCUGCUAGAUCUUUCUAGACACUUCAAACAGUGAAACCAAGUAUGAUUCUUUUUCUCUUGAGUGGGUCCACUUGCAUGCCAAUGAACGAGUUGAAAAGUUGGACAAUUGGCCACAGCGCGCACUUACCUUCUGGAACCGAAGGUCAGUGAAGUGGGGUUCCUUUUGGCCCCUUGUGUUUCUGUUCCAACCUACUCCAGGAACCGAAGUUCAGUGAAGUGGGGCUACUUUUGGCCUCUUGUGUUUCUGUUCCAACCAAACAAAAAUGGGAGGGAAAAAUAGCAUUAUGCUUGUGCUAAAGAUCAACGCAUGAUAGCUGAAUAAGGGAGAAAAAGGCAUUGCUAUCUCAAUUUCAUAAACUUGAUAAGUAGUGACAUUAAUAGUCUUCCUCAUAGAUGGAUACAUGGUUUUAUUUUAUUUAUUUAUUUUUAUUUUUUUGUUUUAUGUCAAUGCUAAUGAAUGAAGUGCAUUAGCUUGUUUUGUGACUAGAACUACAAAUGUCCAAAUUGGAGCUUCUCCAAUAUAUUUCUCAGUGAGUUAUUGAUUAGAACUCUUGGAUUGAGUUCCAAGAUUUGAAUCAGACCCCUCUAGCAGCUUCAGGGGUACGUAGCAACCUAUAGCAUAUUAAUGAAGACUUAGGAUUUAGACUUAGGAAUACAAAUUAAUAUGUACCUCAUGCUCUGACUAGCUUCCCUGCGUAUGCACAAAAUGGAGAUGACUCCCAAAAAAAUAGCAGAAUCGCCUUAGUAUGUUUUUGUGGUUAAGAUGAUUCUCCACUUUAUAUAUCCACAUUGGUUCAUUAUGCAAAUUAAUCAACUAAGCUAUUUUUAUUUUUUCUUAAAUGUGAAAUAGGAGCUCCAAAUUAACCUAACCAUUGGCCUGAUUGAAUUGAUUUCACUUGCAUAAUGUUAUAGUAGAAGUCCGUAAUUUGAAUUUUAUUUUUGCAAAAGGUAACGUAAAUGAAGCAUUGUAAUUAAAUUUAUUUGUAAUUACAAACUAAUUUUAUUUUAUUAAGAAUUAAUUUAAUUACUCAUUUAAAAUAAAAAUCAGUUAUACUUUUACCAAGAUGAUAAUAUUCAUAUUUUUCUAGUUAACAUAUAUAAAAUAGUACACUUUUUCAUAUAAAAAAAUAAUUUAUGAUUUAUUAUAAUGUUACUAUUCACAUUUUACUAAAUUGAUGGUACAUGAUAGUGAGAGAAGGGGGUGUCACACUCAGCUAAAGUUCUUUUCAAAAUAUUGCAUGGUGUUUAAUUUUAUGUGUCGGCGCGCGUGUGAAUGGAACCUGCAAAAGUCCAAAUUGGCGUUUCUCCAUUUUCCACAUAGGAUGGUGACGUUAAUAGACAAAGAUACAAUAUCUGUAGACAUUGCUUAAAAAUCGAUGUGAAGUAUUAGAAAUUACAGGGCACUGUACUGGGGGAGCGGCUGCCCCGCCAAAGGAGGAAGAAUGUAGCAAUUUCUUCUGUUAGCCAGGCCUUAGGAUUUAUGCAUGGGAUGCCUAAUAACAAACAGAGAAAAUAUACUUUUGGGGAAGGUAUCCAACAACAGACACCAUCAUUCAGAUGGUGGGAAGGUAUCCAACAGAUGCCAUCAUUCAGAUGGUAACAUAUAUAUACAUUUAUUAGUGAGUUUUUUUAAUACCUAUAAAAAAAAAUAUACACUUUGAUAUUGUGGCUGAAUCCAUUACAUACUCAACUAACCUUGCUCAUUAGGGAUUUGACUUAACAAGGGCAACGUUGCAGUACAAGCUCAAAACUUUAUGCAGGUGACAUUACAUUUGGUAAAGAAGAGGAAAAUAACGAAAGCCAUCCAUAAAAGCAAAAUUCCACAUGGGAUGAAAUUCACAAGCUUCAUUUACGAUAGAGUCGCAUCCAGGCAAUUAAUUCCACAUUAGACCGCCUGUUGACAUGUGUACCAAUCUUUUUUCAAAAAAUAUUUAUAAAUAAUUGAUACUCACAAAAAUAAUUUAAUAUUUAUAAAGGAUAAAAAAAUAUUUUCAAAUCUAUAACAAUUUAUAAAAUAUUAAUAAAAAAUUAUCUCUUAAACUUAGUAUAGUUUUAUCAGAUUAAACUUUUAUUUUGAACAAAUAAUUUUAAUCUAAGUUUUAAAUUCUAAAAUUAUUUCCUUAAAAUAAAAUUUUAAAAUUCAACACUUCAAUUGAAAUUGUCUUUUUAAAAAAUAUCUUCUUAUUUUAAUCCUUAUAAACUAUAGUUGAUUGAAAAUACUAUUGAAGUUCUCUCUUAAAAAAAAGUCUUAUUUUAAUCUUCAUAAAUUGCCCUUGAUUUGAAAAUAAAUUUUCAGUUAUCAUAUUUUAAAUAAUAUCUAUAUUUAAAAUACUCUAUUUAAAAAAAAAUGAACUAAUUUUAAUUAUAUUAUAUUUUAUUUUUUUAUAUAUUUUUAAUGAUAAACCAAACAUAGAAAAUCAUUUUUCUAAAUAUUUUAAAAUUUCUAAGCAACCAAACAUAAUCUUCAAAAUAAAAGGAAAAUAAGGAGGGACAUUUGAGAAAUGGCGAUUAAAAAAAAGUGUACAAAAGCUCAAUUAAUUUUCUUCUAGUCUUUUAUAUAAAAAAGUAAAGGAAUUGAAAAGUAUUGAUAUGUAAAUUAAUAUUUGGAUUUUAAUAGUAUUUUAUUUGUCUUUCUCUAUCUCAUGUAAAAGAGAAUUUAAGAUAUUUCCUAAAGCAAAGCAUUAGUUAUCUGCAAUCAGUGGUGAUCAUGCCCCAUGUCAAUUUCGGACCCAUAUCUUAAAACUGUAUAAUUUGCAUUCAAACAUUACUGAUUUCUCAGAUGUUUCAUACUCCACAGAAGAGCAUUGUUUGUGAAAGCAUGCAUUUAUGUUGGAUUUUGGAUGAUGUGGGAACUGGGGCAAGGAUCAUAUGGAAGAGUGGUCGAUUUUGUUCUGUACUUUAACAUUUGAAAUAGGAGAAGCUCGGGCAUUUGUGGGGCUUAAUUGAUUUUGAAGCCUGAAAUUGCGUUUCUGUCAUUUUGUAAAAAAUAUGGCAGAUUCCAUGCUCUCAUAUGUUUGGUCUGUGGCCAUGUAUAGAUGCCCCUUAGUGACCAGUUUGUAACUGUCAAUCAUAGUGUUUUGACUCUGGCUCAACAACAUCAGCCAUUGACGGAUUUUCAUACUUGCAAAUCAAAUAGUCUUCUUCCUCCCUUAGGAAUUUCGGUUUAAAUGUUAUUAAGCAUACAUUUGGCUGACAAUUAUUAACCACUUCAUGAUAUGGUUUCUUACCCUUAAUCAAUGGUUUCUAAGUGAAUAUAUGCAGAAGGAAAUCUGAACUGUAGACAGCAGUAUUGAUAACUCUCAAUAUUCUUUAUAUAAGAGAAUAAACAACGUCAUAGUGAUCGUCGCCUACAAGAAAGGUACAUUUCCCAACAAGAUGUAGUUGUGACUGGUACAUGGACGCAAUUAACUCGUACAAAAGAAUAAGACCAGUGCACGGCAGCUCUUAUUUUACAUGCUAAUUAUGCUAACCAAAGUCACUCAGUUGGGAUGGGAGGGAGAUGGAGGUUUGUGCGGUGGCUUGUGGGGCGGAGUUGGUGGCUUCUUUUCAGGAGCUUGUGGCUUUUUCGGAGCUGAAGGAGGCUCAAUCUUAUGAGGCGGCUUGUACGAGUCUUCUUUACUCUCGACAGGAGGGUGGCCAGGGUUGUGACCAUAAUGUGGUGGCUUCUCUCCCUUAGGUGGCUUGCCAACUGGGGUUGGUGGCUUGUGUUCAGGAAGUGGUUUCUCUCCCUUGGGAGGUUUACCAAUUGGGGUUGGUGGCUUGUGUUCUGGGAGUGGUUUCUCUCCCUUGGGAGGUUUAGUGGGUGACUUGUGUUCUGGAGGUGGCUUCUCCACCGGAGGCUUGUGCUCCGGUGGUGGCUUCUCCACCGGAGGCUUGUGCUCCGGUGGUGGCUUCUUGAUUGGAGGGGGCUUGGGGUAAUCAGCAAGAGAUGGGAUGGUGAGAACCACCACUCCAAGGAACAACACUAGCAAGUAUGUGGGAGACAUUUCUGAGUUUGAGCUGAUCAGAUGAUGCAAAACUAGAAGAAUUACGGGACCUUUUAUAGCAAGUAUCUCCCAAUACCCACAUGACACGUGUUACUAUGACCAUAAAUAUUAUAGGGUCCAUUUGUGCCCUACCGGGUUGAAAACUUGGACGCUUGGCCGAGGACACACCUGACUAUGGAGGACUAUUGACGUGUGAUCACAGCUUUUGGAUUUUUCUUCCUGUGCAGCUGUCUAGCGGUUGGCAUUAUUUUCUUAAUCUUAAAUAAAGGCAUAGUUAUAGAGUUGUUUAAUCUCUAAAUGGGAUUUUAUAUAUCUUCAGAUAGCCAUUAAUAUAUUUGAUGAAGAAAGACAAGUGCAUACAACAUGUAUACGGCUUGCUUCAAUCGAGUACAUUUAUGAUCAGUUUUCCUGUGCAAGUAAACCAGUUUUUUGUUCCACAACUAUUUUGGAAUCUUGUUUAUCAGUUUCUAUCAUUAUAAUGUCACAUAGGCUGCAAACUUGGGCACCCAAAGAUCUAGGUGGGCAAAUUUGUUUCAGACUUUCAAUGGUGGAUUCAGUAAUUGUUAAAAGGUGUUUCUUCAUUAAGGAAAGAGUCCGGUAAAAAUAUUGUUAAAAGGUGUCAUAGAAACUAUAAUAAAUAAAUAACUUCUUUUCCCCAUGGGUGGUGUUUCUUCUGGGGAUCAGUGACUGGUUAGGGUCACCCAAAAUGAGUCCAGAUUAAAAUUGGUUCGAGUCAAAGCAGUCUCUUUUGUCCAGAAAUCAACUAUUUUGCGCAUUGAAUGAAUCGAUAAAGAAAAAAUGAAAGCCAAAUCACACCUCCCCUGCAAAACCUAAACCCCGGUUGCUAACUUUCUAUGUUUCAGUCCUAUUCAUAUAGGAAUAUUGGUUCAAGUUUGAGAAAAAUGGCAACUUACCUAGGGUUUACUUGGUUUUGGUUUGCGACUAUUUACGCAACCAACCAUGAGUUUGACUUUAACGUCAUGGGUUGAAGCCUCCUACAAUCAUGUAUGAUAGUUCAAAGCUCGUGGAAGAAAUUAUACAGGAAGGAAGAAACCUCCAAAGCUAGCUCCAAAAGAGAAUUAUCACAUCGAUAGCUCCAGAGAUUCCCAAGGGAACUGAAUCAAAGACAAGUUCCUCACUUUUUCUUCUUUUGAGGCCAAAUAUGAACCAAGGAUCACACGACCUCAUUCAACUUCAUAAGUUUGAUUUCAUGCAGUUGAACACUGGGUGAAGGCCAUGACAAGAAUUGAUUAAAAAAUUCUACCACUCUUUUAAGUAAUGGAAGAUUAUUAUCUCUGAUUGGCACCACAACAGCACAUGCUGCUAGAUCUUUCUAGACACUCCAUGCAAUGAAAGCACAAUGGAUCUUGUAAUGAUAGAAACUAAGCCAUGCUACAGUACUAGAUGAGGGGGUAAAACUAGUAGACAUCUUUCUAGACACUCCAUGCAAUGAAAGCACAAUGGAUCUUGUAAUGAUAGAAACUAAGCCAUGCUACAGUACUAGAUGAGGUGGUAAAACUAGUAGACAUGGCUGGCAGUUGAUUACUACUCAAAAAGUACUCUUUUAUAGCUUGAAACUAACUGUUUUAAACACUUUUGAGUAGUAGUUAAUACCUUUUAACUUAAUUGGCACAUUAAGGAACCUAGCAAGGGUUACUAAUCAACAUUUGGCAAGUUUUGAUGUUUUUGGUAGCUAUUUGAUCAUUGAAACAAGCCAAGAAUGAGGGGGAAUUUUGUGAAGUCCAUGGCAAUGCAAGUUAAAGCUCAAAUACAUGAAGAAUCCAAGCUUUGGAGCACUUCAUAGCCCUUUGCCAAGCCAAUCAAAGAUGCAAGGAAGAAAACCAAAGGAAGAAAUCCAACAAUCAGCAUUUUGGCAUGGCUAUGUGAAAUUUCGCACACCAUGCGAAACCACAAGAGGCAGCCAAAGAAUUUCGCAUGGUAUGCGAAAUCUUCUUGUGCACUGACUCUGUUAGAUUUUUAUCUUCAGAUAUUUUGUGUAAUUUCCUAGUUUCUCCUUGUAACCAACUUAGAUAUUUUCUUUUAUAUCUUUUUUUAUAUUUUUUAGGUAACAUCAUAUAUAAGAGGAGAGACAUAAGGAGGAUAUGGAUGUUUUUCAUAGAACACUUGUAAAUUUUUGGUAGUAAGAAAUAUACAAAGCUUUUUGCUCUGCCUUACCUUCUCAAGGGAUGAGUGGCUAGGUUUUCUUGGAGUGAGGGAAGCUAGGUGAAGGACCUGAAUGCAAAGGUGGGAGUUUUCCUUACUUUAAAUGAAAGUAGUUGUUAAACAUUAAUGGUUUUUAUUUUAAGGUUUAGCUUUAAAUCCCUGAAAAACACCUUGAAUGGCCAAUACUUGGUAAGCUUUUUAGAUUCUAUGGAUGCUUAUUGCUAGAUCCAUGGAUGUCUAUUAGUUAUCAUUUACGAGCCAUUGGAAGGUGAUUCAAGGUGAGGGUCUUUAGUGUUUGAAGCCAUUAAUGGGAAGCAAUUACCAUUUUUUCAUGAAUCCUUUGGAUCAAAUCUUAAUUGCUAAAUAUAAAACCGGUUUCGAGAGAUAACCACCAUCCUUUAUGUUAUUAUCCCCAACGCGAGGAGAAGAUCCGAAAUCUUCCUUUUUAUCUAAGGAACCCGAUCCUAGUGACCUAAAGCUCCAAGAUACCUUUUCUUUGUAGUUAACUUCAUUUAUUGUUUUUGCUUAACUUAAAAUCAAUCUUUGCAACCACAAUUCCAUUUUCUUUAAAAGCUAAUUUUUAUAAGGAAAAACACCAUUUUAUUUCCUUCACUAAGUCAACUGUACGAUGAAAACCCAUCCCUGUGGACGAUCCUAGAGCCACUAUACUAUGUUAGCUAUGCUACCCUAGUGUGAGGUGAUUUAGGUUUUAUAAAUUUUUUUGAUAACACCCAUCUGAGCCAGAAUCAAAUGGCACGACUGAACCAGGGACGAAUCAAAUGACGCCGCUACCAAGGAUGGUGCCAAAGUACAUUGACAUGACUUUUGGUGAACACUUGUGAUCUUCACCACAAGUUUGGUGAUUUUUCUUUUACUAAUUUUUUUUAUUUUAGCUUAUCUUUUAUUUAGUUUUUAGUUAACCUUAAAUUUUUCCUAGAAUUGUAUUUCUUUUGUUUUCUUUGUUUUUGUUUCAGUGAUCUUUAGUUGUGCAUGCCCUAUUGGAUAAGAGAUAUUGAGGGAAUACUUGUGAAGAUUGAAACUCCUCGAGAAACUGAGUUAGAAGUGUGCUUGAACAUCAUGGAUGUUCCACCUGAAGACCAGAAUAGCCAACAUGGUUAAGAGGAUAAUUUCAACACAUACCGAUCCAUGAGGAACCGCAUACAUCCACCUUGUAUGAGUGCACCGUCAGGCAUAAUGCCUCCCACUGAGCAGCUAGUAAUCUGACCUCACAUUGUGCCACUCCUACCUACUUUCCAUGGGAUGGAGAGUGAGAAUCCCUACUCGCAUAUUAAGGAAUUCGAGGAGGUUUGUAAUACAUUCCAAGAAGGAGGAGCUUCAAUUGACUUGAUGAGGCUCAAGCUAUUUCCUUUCACUUUGAAGGAUAAGGCCAAGAUUUGGCUUAAUUCUUUAAGGCCAAGAAGUAUCCAAACUUGGAUUGAUUUGUAAGCCGAGUUUCUUAAGAAGUUCUUCCCUACCCAUAGGACCAAUGGUUUGAAAAGGCAAAAUUUGAACUUCUCAGUUAAAGAGAAUGAGAAAUUCUAUGAGUGUUGGGAGAGCUACAUGGAAGCUAUUAACGUUUGUCCUCACCAUGGCUUUGACACAUGGCUCUUAGUGAGCUAUUUUUACAAUGGUAUGUCUUCUUCAAUGAAGCAACUCCUAGAAACUAUGUGUGGAGGAGACUUCAUGAGUAAGAAUCCGGAGGAAGCCAUGGACUUUUUGAGUUAUGUGGCUGAAGUUUCAAGAGGAUGGGAUGAACCAAAUGCUAGAGAGGUGGGAAGAAUGAAGUCUCAACCUAAUGCUAAGGGUGAGAUGUAUGUUUUGAAUGAAGACAUUGACAUGAAAGCAAAGGUUGCAGCUAUGGCAAGGAGAUUGGAAGAGCUAGAAAUGAAGAACAUACAAAAAGUGCAAGCCAUUUCUGAGACAUCAAUGAAAGCUAUGCCUUGUUCCAUUUGUCAAUCUUAUAAGCACCUAGUGGAGGAGUGUCCUACAAUUCCAGCAGUGAGAGAGAUGUUUGGUGAUCAAGCAAAUGUUAUUGAUCAAUUCAAGCCUAAUAACAAUGCUUCAUAUGGCAACACCUACAAUUCAAAUUGGAGGAACCAUUCAAAUUUCUCUUGGAAACGAAAGCCACCUCAAUACACACAACCUACUCAAGCACCUUAGCAAUCCUCGAAUCUUGAACAAGCUAUUGUGAACCUUAGCAAGGUUGUGGGAGACUUUGUGGGAGAUCAGAAGUCCAUCAAUGCUCAACUGAAUCGGAGAAUUGACAGUGUGGAGAGUACAUUGAACAAAAGGAUGGAUGAGAUGUAAAAUGAUCUGUCUCAAAAGAUAGACAAUGUCCAAUACGUAAUCUCAAGGCUUACCAACCUCAACACAGUGUAAGAGAAAGGAAAGUUUCCUUCUCAACCUCAUCAAAAUCCUAAGGGUAUCCAUGAAGUAGAGGCUCAAGAGGGAGAAUCUUCAAAGGUGAGGGAAGUCAAAGUAGUUAUCACCUUGAAGAGUGGUAAAGAGGUUGAUCAACCCACAUCCAAGCCAAAGCAUAAUGAAGAGAGUGUAGCAGAAAAAGAAAAGAGAGGAAAAUAAAGGAAUUAGAAUAGAGAAAAAUACAAAGAAAGAUGACCAUGAGUCUAGUGUGGAUGAAGAGCCCGAGAGGAUGGUGAUCAAGGAAGAUAUGAUGAAGAAACACAUGCCUCCACCUUUCCCCUAAGCUUUGCAUGACAAAAAAAGAACCAAUAAUACAUCAGAAAAUUUUGAAGUAUUGAGGCAAGUGAAGGUCAAUAUCCCUUUGCUAGACAUGAUCAAACAAGUGUCGACAUAUGAAAAAUUCUUGAAGGACUUGUGCACUGUAAAGAGAGGGUUGAAUGUGAACAAGAAAGCUUUAUUGACCGAGCAAGUGAGUUCCAUCAUACAGUGCAAGUCCUAGUGAAGUACAAAGAUCCGGGUUGCCGUACCAUCUCAGUGAGUAUUGGAAGGACUUGUGUGGAGAAAGCUUUGUUGGACUUGGGAGCAAGUGUGAAUUUGCUAUCCUACUCUGUCUAUAAGCAGUUGGGAUUUGGAGAGUUGAAGCCAAUAUCCAUCACUCUAUCUCUAGCGGAUAGAUCAAUGAAGAUUCCAAGAGGGAUGAUCGAAGAUGUCCUGGUUCAAGUUAACAAAUUCUACUAUCCAGUAGAUUUUGUUGUUCUUGAUAUGGAUCCGGUUGUCAAAUGAACUAAUUAUGUUCCUAUCAUACUUGGAAGACCCUUCCUAGCUACAUCAAAUGCAAUCAUCAAUUGUAGGAAUGGAGUCAUGCAACUCACAUUUGUCAACAUGACAUUAGAGCUCAACAUCUUCCAUUUGUACAAGAAGCAUAUCCAUCAGGAGGAAAAAGAAGGUCUAGAGGAAGUGUGAAUGAUUGACACUUUAGUGGAAGAGCAUUGUGAUCGAGAAUGCAAAAAGAUUUAGUUGAGAAUUUUGGGGAUCUUGAUGAAAGGUUACUUGAACCCUCAGAUUUGCUUGCUACCCUACUCCAUUGGAAGAGAAGAGAAGAAAUUCUACCCUUAUUCAAUGAGGAGGAGACGCAAAGAGCUGCAAAGGAGAAACCCCCAAAACUUAUUCUUAAGCCACUACCCACAGAGUUGAAGUAUGUAUACUUGGAAGAAGACAAGAAGUGCCCUAUUGUUAUAUCUUCAACUCUUACCAUUCAUCAGGAGGAUUGUCUACUUGAAGUCCUUAGAAGAUGUAAGAAGACAAUAAGGUGGCUAAUUUCUUAUUUGAAAGGGAUCAGCCCUUUAGUCUGCACCCAUCAUAUUUACAUGGAGGAUGAAGCUAAGCUAAUUCAUCAACCUCAGAGAAGGUUGAACCCUCACAUGCAAGAGGUGGUUCGAGCUGAAGUUCUGAAGCUACUUCAGACCAGUAUUAUUUACCCCAUAUCAAAUAGCCCAUGGGUGAGUCCUACUCAAGUUGCGCCAAAGAAGUCUGGGAUCAUGGUGGUGCAAAAUGAUAAGGGAGAAGAUGUCUCUACACGCCUCACUACAGGUUGGAGGGUGUGUAUCAAUUACAGGAGGUUGAAUGCAGUGAUAAGAAAGGACCAUUUCUCAUUGCCCUUUAUUGAUCAGGUGCUUGAGAGGGUCUCUGGGCUUUUUUUUUUAUUGUUUCUUGGAUGGCUACUCCGGGUACUUUCAGAUAGAAAUUGAUGUUGAAAACCAAGAUAAGACCAUUUUCACAUGCCCAUUUGGAACCUAUGCAUAAAGGAGAAUGCCUUUCGGCUUAUGCAAUGCACCCGCAACUUUCCAAAGAUGCAUGUUAAGCAUUUUCAGUGAUAUGGUGGAGCGUAUUAUGGAAGUCUUUAUGGAUGAUAUCACCAUUUAUGGAAGUGCAUUUGAUGAAUGCUUGGUCAACUUAGAAGCUGUUCUGAACCGAUACAUUGAGAAAGACUUAGUGCUUAACUGGGAGAAGUGCCAUUUCAUGGUACACCAAGGGAUUGUCCUUGGGCACAUUAUCUCCAAGCAAGGCAUUGAAGUUGACAAAGCAAAGGUUGAACUCAUUGUUAAGUUGCCAUCCUCAACAAAUGUCAAAGGAGUAAGGCAAUUCUUUGGCCAUGUCGGGUUCUAUAGGAGGUUUAUCAAGGAUUUCUCUAAGCUUGCAAGGCCUCUUUGUGAAAUAUUGGUGAAUGAUGUUAAAUUCAUAUGGGAUGAUGGAUUUGAAAGGAGUUUUGAAGAAUUGAAGCUAUUUUUGACAACCGUACCAAUAGUGAGGGCUCCCAACUGGCAACUGCCCUUUGAAGUAAUGUGUGAUGUCAAUGAUUUUGCUAUAGGAUUUUUUCUUGGGCAAAGAGAAAAUGGAAAACCUUAUGUGAUCUACUAUGCGAGGAAGGCAUUGAAUGAGGCACAAAGAAACUACACAACCACCGAGAAAGAAUUGUUAGCUGUAGUUUUUGCCUUGGAUAAGUUUCGCGCUUACUUGGUGGGGUCCUUCAUCAUGGUUUUUACUGAUCACUUUGCUUUGAAGUAUCUGUUGACUAAGCAAGAUGCUAAAGCAAGGCUGAUUAGAUGGAUUCUCUUACUUCAAGAGUUCAAUCUCCAUAUCAAAGAUAAGAAAGGAGUGGAGAAUGUGGUAGCAGACCACAUUUCAAGGCUAGCUAUCGCACAUAAUUCCCAUGCUUUGCCCAUUAAUGACGAUUUUCUAGAGGGGUCUCUCAUGUUGGUGGAAGUUGUCCCUUGGUACGCUCACAUUGCUAACUACCUGGUCACGGGAAAAGUUCCAAGUGAGUGGAAAGCACAAGAUAAGAAGCACUUCUUUGCAAAAAUUCAUGCCUACUAUUGGGAAGAGCCAUUUCUAUUCAAGUAUUGUAUGGAUCAGAUAAUAAGGAAGUGCGUUCCUGAAGAAGAGCAACAGGGGAUCCUUAGUCAUUACCAUGAAAAUGCAUGUGGAGGCCACUUUGCUUAUCAAAAGACAGCCAUGAGGGUGUUGCAAUCGGGUUUCUGUUGGCCAUCACUUUUCAAAGAUGCCCACACCAUGUGCAAGAGUUGUGAUCGAUGCCAGAGGCUUGGGAAGUUGACACGCAGGAACAUGAUGCCUUUGAACCCCACUUUAAUAGUUGAUAUUUUUUAUGUUUGGGGCACUAACUUCAUGGGACCUUUCCCUAUGUCUUUUGGCUACUCUUACAUCUUGGUAGGAGUAGAUUAUGUUUCUAAGUGGGUUGAGGCAGUCCCAUGCAAACACAAUGACCAUAGAGUGGUUCUCAAGUUUCUUAAAGAGAAUAUCUUCUCAAGAUUUGGGGUGCCCAAAGCCAUAAUUAGUGAUGGGGGUACUCAUUUUUGCAACAAGCCUUUUGAAACUCUCCUAGCCAAGUAUGGGGUGAAGCAUAAGGUAGCUACACCUUACCACCCUCAAACUCAUGGACAAGUUGAGUUAGCAAACAGGGAGAUUAAAAACAUAUUGAUGAAGGUGGUGAACACAAACAGAAAAGAUUGGUCAGUCAAGCUUCUUAAUUCACUAUGGGCAUAUAGAACAACUUACAAGACCAUUCUCGGGAUGUCUCCUUAUCGCCUAGUUUAUGGCAAAGCAUGCCAUCUCCCUGUGGAAUUGGAAUACAAAGCUUGGUGGGCAAUCAAGAAGCUCAACAUGGAUUUGAGCAGAGCUGGGUUGAAGAGGUUCUUAGACCUUAAUGAGAUGGAGAAAUUGAGAAAUGAUGCCUACAUCAAUUCAAAAAUUGCAAAAGAAAAAUUGAAGAGGUGGCAUGAUCAGUUGAUUUCCCGCAAGGAUUUUCAAAAUGGACAAAGAGUCUUACUUUAUGACUCUAAACUCCACAUCUUUCCGGGCAAGCUGAAAUCAAGGUGGAUAGGUCAUUUUACCAUUCACCAAGUGCAUUCAAAUGGAGUAGUGGAACUACUCAACUCCAACAAUAUCGAGAACUUCAAAGUGAAUGGCCACCGUCUCAAGCCCUUUGUGGAGUCUUUUUCUCACAACAAGGAGAAAUUCAUCCUCCUUGAUCCACAUCAAGCUUAACAAGACCAAUUUUCUUGAUGGACUUAGUCUUUCUAAAGACUAUCGAGUCCAUAACUUUUUGUUUUAUUUUUUAUUUGAGAUUUUUUCGGUAUUGUUACUUGUUUUGUUUUUUAUUUUUCGUUUUAAUUUUAUUUGGUUUGAUUUAACUUAGGUUUUUGAUGAUCAAUUACAGGGGGGAUUUCAAAUAGAGGAAAAACCAAGAUAAUUCGCACACCCUACGAAAAUUUCGCAAGGCAUGCGAAAUUUAUGGCUUAUUUUGCAUGGGGUGAAAAUUUUCGUACAUCUUACGAACCAAUUUCGAACACUUUGCGAAAAUAAACCAACCCUGCGAAAUCAUUUCGAUUACUCUACGAAAUUUUCGUAGAGCAUGCGAAAAAUUUAGCACACCAAACACCAUUUCGCAUACUAUGCAAAAACCUAAGGGGUCUGCGAAACCAUUUCGCACCUCCAAAUCCAUUUCGCACAUUGUGCGAAAACCAAGAGGCGCUGUGCGAAAAUGAAAAGUCGCCCUGUCAUCCCUUUUUAAACCCCUCGAGCCCUAAAAUCUCCAUUUCGCAAGCACCCCUGUCCUUGCGAAUCCCUCAUUUUCCUCUACUACCUUGCAACCUCGUCCCUUUCCAUUUGAUAUUGUGCCCCGCGCACAUCUCAUUUCAGAGACUCGCACUCCGCGCCCCCUCAAAGCAUGGACUCGAGACCCACCUUCCAUUUCCGACGUGGCACGGACCCAAGGAGCCCUUUCUGCCCCUUCACUAAGACACACACCAAGGCAGAAAGCCUCCUUUGCUCAAGUGCCUAGUGAUUCUCCAUCUUAGGCCUCAGAGGCCUCGGAGGCCCCGUGGAUUCCACCUUCCGAGGGUAGAGCAGCCAUUGGUCCUUCCUCUUCUACUCCUUAGCGUAGAUACGAGACGAGGAGACCACCUACUACACAAGGGGCGACUACUUCGAGCCUUGAGAAUUCAGUACGAUGCCUUCCUGCCAAGAGGGUCAAGACUUCAGGUCCAAGUGAGUCAUCCAGAGCUUCAUAGCCUAAGCCUCCUGUAGAUUCCAAGGUUCCUACUGACAUAUCACCGGAGUCUAUUAUCAGAAGCCCGAUGCUCAUAGCACCGCCCAUUGAGGGCAACUCAGAUUAUAGAGCGAGAUCUUUCCACUUGGAGCUAUAUUUUGAUCAGGAGGCCAUACGACAGCAGCCUGAGCUCCGAGACUCUUAUGGCUUACUGCAGAGGUACCAUCUUGAGGAACUUAUGACUCCUCGUGAGUUUUUUUAUCCCAGAGUAGCACUAAACUUUUACCAGUCCAUGACUACUCGUGGCGUCCCGAGUCCUACCACGAUUCACUUCACCAUUGAUAGACGUCAUGGUAUCCUCAAGGCCAGACAUAUUACAGAGGCUCUACAAAUUCCUUUCGAGCUAGAGGAUCCAUCUGUUUUUCGCUAAUGGUCCCCAGUAUCUCAGAGGGACAUGGUCCGUAUUUUAUCUAGGGGAACAUCUACAGAUUCGAUCUUUCUACGGAAGGAGCUUCGACCUGGGAUGCUCCUCUUAGAUGUGGUGCUAUGCUCCAACCUCUUUCCCUUACAACAUUCGGUACAUAGGUGAUGAGCUAUUUUGGACGCUUUAUUCCGUAUAUCAGAGGGCUUCUACUUUGGCCCGCACCACUUGAUCAUGGUCUCCCUCAUCCACUUUGAGGAGAAGGUUCAUAGGAAGAAGCUUCAGAGGGUGGACACCAUUCCAUUACUAUUCCUGAGGUUACUUUGCCAGGUCUUGGAGUACAUGGGCUUUCCUACUGAGCCUCGGCUCGAGCUUUGCCGCCUUUGUCGAGAGUGAUCCACUCUCGACAAAUGGAAUUAGUUGGCGGGCUAUUCUGCACCUCCAGGAGCCCCUCCCAUGGUAGCACCUCCAAUGUCCCCACAGGCAAAGUAGGGCGAGCUCCCGGCAAAGACUGUACCACCAAUGCCCACACUUGAGGCUAUUUCUGCUGCUCUGCCUAUGACUCCUACUGUUCCACCAGUUGGUCCUUUUACAUCCGAGCCUUCCAUCACCAUCUCGGCUUCGGAGUUUCGCGCCCUUGUGCAUACCUUUCAGACACUCACCACCACACAUACUCCUCUCUUCUAGCAAAUGGUUGAGAUGUGUGCCCAUCAGGACCGGAAGACUACUAUACUCUGCCAAAUUCAGCAGCACCUAAGACUUUUGCCUCAACCUCAACCUAACCAUCCCAUAUCAUCAGAGCCUCUAGCUCCAACUGAGGAUACUAUUCCACCUGAGAACACUACCACAGUAGAGGUCCGGUUUCCACCACCUUAAGAGGCCACCACAGCUACAUCAGAGGAUGUGUCAUCUCCACUUGAGGCUCCCACUACUUGAUCAUAGGACAUAUCUUUAUCUUAUUGUAUUUACAUAUUAUAUUACUAGAGAUUUGUCCUUGUUUUGAUACUUUAUAUUCUGGGAUUGGAUGUAUUGCCUGAUGAUAUCUCAAUUGUACUUUCUCAUAUUAAUAUAUAGACAUCAAUUUUUUUUAGUAUACUUAGCAUUUUUCUAUUUCCUCUACUCAUUACUCUUUUGUUUUUUUUUACUCAUGUGGUUUCUCUUAUACAACUCAGACUCCAUUUCACUCAGGAGGUACCACUUCCUCCCUUUAUUUUCAAUUGCUCUUGAAAUAUUGAGUGCAAUGUUGAUCUUGGUUGGGGGGAGAGUUGAGGAAGGAAGUUUUGUUAAUAAUGCUAGGUUAAUUUGUUAAUUUAGUUACUUUCUGCUUAAUUUUAAAAGUUUUCACUCUACUUUCCAUGGUUAUUAAGGAAAAAUUCUCAAAAUGAAAUGGGAGAAAUCGAAUUCUUGCAUUUUUACUUGAAUCUUAGAAUUUGUAUCAUGCUUAUUAAAGUUGAUGAAUUAUUGAAACUCCUAUUGAAUUCAACCUUAUUUUUUCCACUUUAAUCUUACCACACACGGUGCACAUUAGGUUCCAGUUAUAAGAUAAAAAACUAUCUCACCCCCUAAACUUAGAAAAAUUUACACUUGGUACCUUUGACAUCGUUUUAAUAGUGUUGGGACACCUUAUAAAAGGCCAAUGAGCCUUUAAAAAAAAAAAAAAAAAAAAAAAGAGAAAGAACAAAGUAUUGCACUUGCCUUGAAACCUGAGCAAGAUCCGAGGGGUAUACAGUGAAAGUCUUUAAAACCUGGUGCCCUAAGCCUUGAUUGGUUGGGAGUCACCGACCUCAAUGCUCGUUAUAAGGGUGAAUAGGUGGAGUUUAACAUAUUGUAGGUGCUUGGGUAUUGAAUUUCAAUCUCAAAAGUCCGGGAAAAAAUCUAAGGAGUUAGUGGUCAAAAGAUCCUUAAAGCUUGAUGCCCUAAACCUUGAUUGGUUGAGAGUCAUUGAUGGAUCCCCGCUACAUGGACAUUUUAGAAAACAAUACCUUUAGCAUUGCACGCCUACAAUGAAAAAAAAAUGUGAAAUAAAAGAGGUGCGUUCUUAGCCUAUUGGAGGUUGGUCAGUUUGCUAAAGUUUGAGAAAUCUAGGUUGGGGGGAGAGAAUAGUCCGACAUACUAUAAUAAAAAACUAAUAACCUUAACACUUAGAUUUUUGUGGAAGAGUAAGGAUUGGACCUUUAGGGGUGGAAAUUCUUUUGAUGCUUAAAUUUGCAUAAUGCCUACUCUUUAUAAAUUAUGAUUAGGCAAGAGAUUUGAUGACUCUUGUUCAAAGUUGGGUUUUUCCUCUUUGAUGUUCCAUGAGAGAGUAUAAUCCUCAUCAUGCCACUUGAAAUCUUUUUGGAGUGAUUAACAUGAUUUUGUAAAUUAUUUUACUGUCUAUUUUUCUUUAUCUCUCUUUUAUUGCUAAUGGACUAGCAAUAUGUCAGUUGGGGGGAGUGAUUACUACUCAAAAAGUACUCUUUUAUAGCUUGAAACUAACUGUUUUAAACACUUUUGAGUAGGUGUUAAUACAUUUUAACUCAAUUGGCACAUUAAGGAACCUAACAAGGGUUACUAAUAAGUUUUUGGCAAGUUUUGGUGUUUUUGGUAGCUAUUUGAUCAUUGAAACAAGCCAAGAAUGAGGGAGAAUUUUGUGAAGUCCAUAGCAAUGCAAGUUAAAGCUCAAAUACAUGAAGAAUCCAAGCUUUGAAGCACUUCAUAGCCCUUUGCGAAGCCAAUCAGAGAUGCAAGGAAGAAAACCAGAGGAAAAAAUCCAACAACCAGCAUUUUCGCAUGGCUGUGCGAAAUUUUGCACACCAUGCGAAACCACAAGAAGUAGCCAAAGAAUUUUGCACACCAUGCGAAAUUUCGCAUGGUAUACGAAAUCUUCCUAUGCACCAACUCCGUUAUAUUUUUAUCUUCAGAUAUUUUGUGUAAUUUCCUAGUUUCUCCUUGUAACCAACCUAGAUAUUUUCUUUUAUAUCUUUUUUUUAUAUUUUUUAGGUAACAUCAUAUAUAGGGGGAGAGACAUAAGGAGGAUAUGGAUGUUUUUCAUAAAACACUUUUAAUUUUCUGGUAGUAAGAAAUAUACAAAGUUUUUUGCUCUGCCUUACCUUCUCAUUUUGUUUUCACCUAUCUUUCUAGCCAAACAACCUCUGAGAAUGAUUUCUCAGGGGAUGAGUAGUUAGGUUUUACGUUUCUUGGAGUGAGAGAAGCUAGGUGAAAGACCCAAAUGCUAAGGUGGGAGUUGUCCUUGCUUUAAAUGAAAGUAGUUGUUAAAUAUUAAUGGUUUUUAUUUUAAGGUUUAGCUUUAAAUCCCUUAAAAACACCUUGAAUGGCCAAUACUUGGUAAGCUUUUCGGAUUCUAUGGAUGCUUAUUGCUAGAUCCAUGGAUGUCAUUAGUUAUCAUUUAUGAGCCAUUGGAAGGUGGUUCAAGAUGAGAGUCUUUAGUGUUUGAAGCCAUUAAUGGGAAACAAUUACCAUUUUUUCAUGAAUCCUUUGGAUAAAAUCUUAAUUGCUAAAUAUAAAACUGGUUCGGGAGAUAACCAUCCUUUAUGUUAUUAUGCCCAAUGCAAGGAGAAGAUUUCGAAUCUUCUCAUUUGUCUAAGGAACCCGAUCCUAGUGACCUAAAGCUCCUAGAGACCUUUUCUUUGUAGUUAACUUCAUUUAUUGUUUUUGCUUAACUUAAAAUCAAUCUUUGCAACCACAAUUCCAUUUUCUUUAAAAGCUAAUUUUUAUAAGGAAAAGCACCAUUUUAUUUCCUUCACUAAGUCAACUGUAUGAUGAAAACCCAUCCCUGUGGACGAUCUUAGAGCCACUAUACUAUGUUAUCUAUGCUAUCCUAGUGUGAGGUGAUUUAGGUUUUAUAAAUUUUGUUGAUAACACCCGUCUGAGCCAGAAUCAAAUGGAACCACUGAACCAGGGACAAAUCAACAGCCUAUAUGGGAGGGACACAAGUUUAAUUGAUUUGCAUUUCAGCGUUAUAGAUAAGUAUGUUUUGGAAGAUUUGUUCUGGAAAUACUGCACCAAGUACGAUUCUUUUUCUCUUGAGUGAGUCCAUUUGCAUGCCAAUUAACGAGUUGAAAAGUAGGAGCACCUACCUCGUGCUCAUGGAACCGAAUGUCAGUGAAGUGGGGCUCCUUUUAGCCUCUUGUGUUUCUGUUCCAACCAAGGCGGCGUAGGGAAAAACAACAAUAUGUCUGUGCUAAAUAUCAACGCAUGAUAGAUGUUUUUUUUUUUUUUUUUGGUAUGUCAAGGCUAACGAAUGAAAUGCAUUAGCUUGUUUUGUGACUAUAACUGCAAAUGUCCAAAUUGGAGUAUCUCCAUUUCUCACUUCGGAUGGUUAACUUUAUAAACAAGAUAUAGGAAACAUGUGAACAUCUUGAGGAACAAUUCAAAUUAUUCAUUAGAAGUCCUGGGUUAAGUUCCAAGAUUUAAAUCAGACCCUUCUAGCAGCUUCAAGGGUACUUAGCAACCUAUAACAUAUUAAUGAAGAUUUAGGAUUUAGACUCCGGAAUACAAAUAAAUAUGUAUCUCAUGCUUUGACUAGCUUCCCUACAUAUGCAUAAAAUGGAGAUGACCCAAAAAAAAUAGCAGAAUCUAGCUUCCCUACAUAUGCACAAAAUGGAGAUGACCCAAAAAAUAGCAUAAUCGCCUUAGUUUCUGUGGUUAAGGUGAUUCUCCGCUUAAUAUCCACAUUGACUCAUUAUGCAAAAUCAACUGAGCUAAUUUUAUUUAUUUAUUUAAUGUCAAAUAGGAACUCCUAAUUAACUGAUUACUGUCGAAAAGUGCUAUUUUGUAGACCUAAUUAUAAGGGUUUUAAGCACCUUUGAGUAGUAAUCAUAUUCAUUUAACCUAAUUAAUUCAUUAAGCUCCUUAGUAAUUAGUUCUAACCAUUUUUAGUGGCAAGUUUACAUGUUUUUCAUCAGCUUAUGAACCAAUUCAAGCAUGCCAAUUGAUGGAGGAGCUACUUGGGCGAGUUAAGCAAGGAUUUUGGACGUUUACAGGCUUGAAUUUCAAGUGGAAACACGAGCACAAGCAAUGGGAACACCAUUUCGCAAGGGGAGGCAAUUCACCUUGCCAAAUGACCAAUUUCGCAAGGGGAUUUUCCUCAUGGUGCAAAAUUUGGUCAUUUCGCACCAUGAAGAAACCACCUUGCAAAAUUUCGCAAGGUGGAUUUAGGCACCUUGCGAAAUGCCAAAUUUCACAAGGUGGCUUUUCACCUUGCGAAAUUUGGACCUUUCAUCUUCCCCCCUUGCGAAAUGCCUUUGAAAUCCCCUGUUUUGAGACGCUGUUGAUGAUAUUCCACUGCCGGUUCUCCAAGAUAUUUUGCUUGACUUUUAGCUUUAUAAAUACCUAUUUUACCCUUGUAAUCAACCAAUGAAAAGGUUGCUUUUGUAAUAGCUCUUGUAAUUUAGCUUUUUAUUGUCUUUAAAUAGAGGUGAAGAGCCUCAGACACGAUCAUCUUGUAACCUGUAACUUUAUAAGUUAUAAGAGCACUUUUGUUCAUACGCUUCUUUUCUCUUUUCUUUCUCAUUUUCUUAGUAGCCAAACAUCCUUGGAGGAUGAAAUCCCCAAGGAUGAGAGGCUAAAACCUUUUAGUUUCUUGAAGUAAUGGAUGCCAUGUGAAGCUCCCGUGUCAGGAUGGAGAUUUCCAAGCCAUAAAUGUAAGUAGCUGAGCGUCAUAAAUGUUUUCAUUCAAAGUAAAGCUUUUAAUCCCUCUGACUUGCUUUGAAUGGCCAAUACUUGAUAACCUUUUGGUCUCAAUGGAUUCUUAUUGUUAGAUCCACUGACGUUCAUUAGUUAUCUCCUACGAGCCAUUGUAUUGCAAGUCGAGGAGAUGACCUAUACCAAUAAAAGAGCAUUUAUGAGGUUCAACUACCCUUUUUGUAAGUUUUCAAGGACUAAAACUCAGUUGUUAAACUCAUACCGGUUCGAGAAGUAAGCAUCACCUUAGUUGCUUCCCCAACUCGAGGUGAAAAGUCCCAAAAUCUCCAUUUUUACACAGUGAGUUAAGCAUGGCUAUCCAAAGCUUUAAGAAACUUCUUUUUCCAUCUUUUAACCUAUUUUCAUGUUAGUUUAGUUUACAACACCUUCAUCUUUUUAUGUUUUCAUCUUAACCUAAUUUUUAUUAAGAAAAGUUCACUCCAUCCUCCGAACUUCACCAGUUAAAGUAAAAACCCUUCCCAGUGUUCGAUCCUAGAGCCACUAUGCUAUAGUAGCUUUGCUACUUUAGUGUAAGGACCUUAGGUAUAAAUUUUGUUGAUACCCUUACAUGCCAAGCUACCAAGAGUCGGGUUAUCAUUAACCUAACCAUUGGCCUGUGUAAAUUGAUUUCACAUGCACAAUGUUGUAGUAGAAGUCCAUAUUUUGAAUUUUAUUUUUGUAAAGGUAAGGAAAAUGAAGCAUUGUGUAAUUAUAAAAAUAACUUCAUUGGAAUUCACAAGGUUCACCCAAAAUGGAGCUACAUCUGUAUUCUAUCCUACAGUAGACUAUAUAGAUUGUACAAUAGUAAAUUGCAAAUACAAUUAAUAAGUCUUGUGCUUCCUUACUAAUAAUCCUUUGACAUGAACAUUGCAGCACUAAGGUCCUCUUGGGAAGACACCUUGCACCCAUGAGAGCACUAAGAGGAAGCAAGGCAGAGUCAUGGGUGCAAUGUCAUGACUUGUUGUUGCACCAAGAGAGGCUUGGUGAUGCCAUGGUGUUGCAGUAGCAAGAAUGUUGCCUUGGCAGGGACACGAUCUAGGGAUAGAUGCCAAGAAAGGCUUAGCACUCACAUGAGUUGCACAAAGAUGAAUGUAAUAGAGCAUCAGAGAGACGUCUUGGCAAGUAAAUGAAUGGAUCCAAGAGACAACAACAUGAGGAGUUUCAAAUGGAUAAGGAAUGACUCAAAGACAUUUGAAAGCUACAAGUUGGAUUCUAAUUACGAUUGCAAUUUGAGUUUGAGUAGGAGUUUAGAUUUUGAUUGUAAUUGUAGUAUGAGUUGGACUAGGAUUGCUUAUCCUUAGUCAAUAUAGGAGCGGUUCGUGUCACCCUAUGAAAAGAGUUUGAGUAGGGACUAGGAUUGCUUACUCCUAGUCAAAUAUGGAGUAGGUGGUGCCACACCUAUAAAAAAAAGGGACAACAUGAGAGAGAGAGAGAGAGAGAAAGAGAGAGUGAAUUCACUAAAGAUAUUGUGGGAGUUUUGCUUUGUUACGUCUUGUAUUAUUACUUAGAAUAGGAAUAAAAUACAAGUUGGGGCUAGAGCCCCAUAAUUAAUCUCGUGUGCCUUUGUGGUUAUUCUUUAUUUGUCAUCUCGUGUGGAUUGGAUUAGGUUGACUUAGAGGGCUUCUAAGCACCACCUUUGUGGGUUAUUAUUUAUUUUCCAUCUCUUGUGGAUUAGAUUAGGUUGACUUAGAGGGCUUCUGAGCACCACCUUUGUGGGUUAUUAUUUAUUUUCCAUCUAUUGUGGAUUAGAUUAGGUUGACUUAGAGGGCUUUUAAGCACCACAUUUGUGGGUUAUUCUUUAUUUUCCAUAUCGUGUGGGUUGGAUUAGGUUGACAAGGAGAAAAAUUAUGUGGGAAAUUUGUGUUGGGACACUUACCAUAACCAAGUAAAAUCUACCAAGUCCUUUGUAAUAUCUUCAACAAAUAUUUUAGACUAGUUCUUUCAGUUAGUGUAAAGGAGGAAGAAGUGGUAUUGAUUCUAGAAAUAGGGUGUGUGUAUUUGAACUACAAUCCUUAUGAUCCUUAGGUCUCUAAACCUUCGUGAUGGGCUCCCUGACAUUUCAUAGGUUGUGCUACACAUGCGUUUGAAAUUUAGAGUGCGUUUGACAGUGAUUCCGGGAAGUGUUUUUGGCCUUUCUUACACUUGAAAAUUUUUAUUUUUCAAGUAUUAGAAAUGCUACAAACACUUUUGAAAAUUACUGUCAAACACACUCUUAGGAGCGCACAUAUAUAGUAGAAAACUAGAAAUUGUGGUUUUUUUAGGAUUUACUGUAAUGUCAUUAGGAGGGUAGUAAGUUGAAAUUGAGUAUGAACAAAUAUUUCUUUCUUUGGGAUGUUCUUCUAGUAGGUGCUGAUGAAACUGUUCUUUCUACUGCCAAUGUCACAUAUCAGCCAGAAAUUGAAAAUUUCAGUCAAGGUGUCCUCUGUUUUAGUGGUGAGGAAAGCUAGAAAUUUUAAGGUGAAGUUUUGUUAAAAACCUUAAGUAGCUGGGAUAUCAGGCCUGUUUUGCUUGAAAAAAAAAGUUGCAAGAUAACUCAUAUGCCAAACAGGUUCUGAUAUUGUGAAUCUAUCGGCAGACAUCAGUAAUCUCAUCUUCUGAGAUGGAUGUUGGGGGUGCAUGUGGUGGUGGAGGGGCAAGGUUUCAUUUGGUUUAUUUUGUUGAUGGAUAUUGUCUAGCCACCUGCGCCAAGUUUGAGGGGUGGUGGGUUGUGAUGACCCUACAAUUACUAUUAAUUUCUUCAUCUUUUACCGAUUAAAGUGUCCGAACAGUCGAAGUUACCCUUAUGCAUGUCAACUUGAUCACUUACCUCUUCAAUGGAGUUUAUGCUGGUUCAUUUAGGAACUGAUUUUUAUUGUUAUGUAUUAUAUGCUGAUGUUUAGGUCUCUCCAUCAUCACUAUAUACAAAAAUUCUAGGUUGAUACUAUAGGUUGAGAUUUAUUUUUUAAAUAAAAAAUAAUAAAAAUAAAAAUUAUGGUGAUGUUUAGUUGUUUUAUGGAAAAUUUUAACAAGUAAAAGUUAUUUUUGGGCAAGUUUUCAAACAAAAAGAAAAGUAAAAGUUGUUUUGACAAAAACAUAUAGAAAAAAAAAUCAUAGAAAAUAAAUAAUUUCCCCAUAUUCUAACUUUUUUGAAUUUUUCUCAAUGGGCAAAGGAAUAUCAAAUCAAGUUUGAGUAGGAUUUCUUAAUUUUUAAAAUAACUUACAAUUAAAAAAUUUUGGUGUUUUCAUUUUUGGACAAUUUUUUAUUAAGCAAAUGGACUCUGAGUCAUGCAAGAGAUAUGGUUCAUUAACCGGUCGAACAAUUUUUUUAAAUUAAUUUAAAAGUCAAAUACAUAAUCAAUUUCACAAAAUUUAUAAACAAAAAUAGGUUUAGAGAAGAUCUACACAUAAUUUUACUUUUCUAAUUUUAUUUUAUUUUAUUUUUUGUUGGAAAAUAGUCUUCAAAUCAUGUAAGAUUUAAUAGGUUAAAUUUGUUAACAAUAAAUUUUAAAUUAUAAAAUAUAAUCUGGAACUCAAAAAUCAAUUCAAGUAAUGCUAAAAAAAAAUCAAAUUUGGUAUAGAAUGACUUUGUAAAUUUUUUUACAAAACAAAUGAAUUUUAAAUCAAGUGAGAUUUAAUGCAUUAGAUUUUUAUCAAAUAUAGUAAUUUUAAAAAUAAAUUUGGAACUCAACAAUAGACACAAUAAAUACCAAAAAAUAAUGAACCAAAAUUGGUUUGGAAUAACUCCACAACCUUUUUUUUUUUUUUUUGGUGCACACGAAUUUUCUUACUAGGUAUAUUGCUUUCAAAUUGAGAAAGAUUUACCAUUUAGAUUUUUUUUUAAUGAGUUUAAUGGUAUUUUAAAAUAAUUCAAAAUUUAAAAAAUUGACUAAUUAAUAUUAUAAAUUGAUAAACCAAGACUAUUUCAAAAUGCAUUGGGGGCUAAGGGGGUUGAAAAUAGGGACAAUGGGAUGGGUUUGGGACAUGACACUCAUAUCUCAUUUCCAUUCCAAUUACACAGUUAUCUCCCAUCCUUAUCCCAAACUUGUGUUGGAGCAAGUUGAUUUGUUCCCAUCUUUGUUGACGAAAUGACUAAUAACCUCAUCCCCUCCUUAUCUUAGAUGUACAUUUUGUCAAAUUUGAUCAGGUAUGAUUGAUCCAAGCCCUAACCCUAAUUGGUAAUGAGUGAAUACUACACCUAAUUGCAUUCUUCUUUCAUUGCAAAAUAAUGAGAUUAUAAUAAUCUAGCAAAUAAGAAAAAAUAGUAUGGAAGUUCAAAUUAACACCAUAACUAUCAAUAAUUUUAAGCUUAUAGAUGACUUAAAUGAUUAAAAACUAAUGCAAAAUCCUAAAAAAAAUAAAAAUCAUAUAAAGAAUUCACAAGAGAACAGAAUGAACAAAAACCAAAUAUGAACAUGGGUCAACAUUAGUUAUGGAUUUGGAUUCCUUUCAAGGCCAAUCUUUGAACCAAGACUUCAUCAAAUCAACUACUUCAAAGGCUUUUGUGUUCUUCUUGGGUUGUGCUCUCAAACAAAGACUUCGAGGUGAUGUUCUAGAUGAUUGAAUUACACAUAUUUAGGGUGGAGAGAUUGGAGAAGCUUGAAGAUGCCAACGAUGGGUACAAUUGAGUGGUCAAUAAGAACAAUGUAGCCUAUGACUAGUUUGAUGUCAUGGUACAAGAGUUUUAGGCAUUGAGGUUAAAGCAAGAGCAACAUGGAAUUGAUUUCGGAGUCUUUCAGUUAGUGUAAAGGAGGAAGAAGUGGUGUUGAUUCUAGAAAUAGGGUUUUAAGUGGUGCGUGAUUACUACUCAAAAAGUGCUAUUUGAUAGCCUUUAAUUAAUCCUUUUUAACACUUUUGAGUAGUAGUUUAGGCCUUUUAACUCAAUUGGCAUGUUAAGGAUCCUUUAAAGCAAUUUUGAUCACUUUGUGCAAGUUUUGGUGUUUUUGUUAGUAUUUUGAUCACCAAAGCAAGUCAAGAAUGAGGAGAACUAUGAGGAAUCAUGGGCAAAGCUUAGAAUUCAAUUGCCAAGAGUGAAUCCGGAUUGCAAGGAGAAAAAGCAAAGAGAAUCUGUCAUGAAGCCUAUUCUUGAUGACAGUCGUAGCAGCCACUUUUGGAGCACUUUCUGAAGUCCAAAUGAUGCAAGCUAUAUACCAUUUCAAAGAUCAGGAAGUCAACAAUCCAAUGCUUCAAACGGUGCGCGAUUCGGAGUUGAAACGAAGAAGUUGCAGCCAUUACAAGCCAGUCACUCUAAAGUGUUGCGGAAUCAGCCUUUUGUUGCGAGAAUUUCGCAGCACUUUUGUACAGUAAGGUGUUUCUCCUUCUGACGAUGCACGAACCAUGCCGCGAGAGGGAAGCUAGGAACUUCAAGAUGGAAGCCAACUUUGCAGCCUGGUGAAGAUAGCUUGGUCUUGCGAAAUAAUUUCGCAGCCCUCUUGGGUGUCUGCGAAAUUUCGCAGGCACCACUUUUUUCCUGCGAAAUGGCUCCGGAAGCCUCCCGAAGCUUGCUACCGACAUUGGGAGAUAUUUUCCAUUAGAUUUUUGUUGUCUAAAUUCCAAAAUACUCCUUGUAAACCACCAAUUACAUGAUUCCUUAGUUUUUAAGUUAGUAAAAAGACCAAAUAUCUAUGUAAUAAUUAGUUUUAUAUUAGUUUGCUAUAAAUACCUCUCGGGAGCAUGUUCUCAGAGAGGAGUUCCUUCUGUAACCAUUUUGGUAAGCAAGUAAAGUCUUUUCUUUCUACUGCCUUACCUUCUCACUUUGUAUUUUCAUUUUAUUUCUAAGUUAUGAAUUCUCUGAGGAGCUUUCCCCAGAGAAUGAGUAACUAAACCUCCAAUUCCUUGGAGCUAAGGUUGCCGGGGAAGGUUCCAAGUGCAAGAAUGCAAAGCUCUGUGGUUUUAGCUAGUAAUGAAGAGGAAGUGAAAUCCUUUAGUGAUUUCAAUGUUUUUAGUUAACUUAAAACACCUUGGAGUCACCUGGGCCAACACUUGGUAAGGCAAGUGAUUUCCAACCGUGGAAAUGCACUAGUUUACCCCUUGCGAGCCUCUGGUAGGUGACUUCAAGGUAGGAUUUUCUGGAAUUACCAACACUUGGUAAGCUUUUGGACUCCUAGGAGACAUCCAUUAGUUAUCUCUUGCGAGUUUGUGAAGGGGAAUCCAAGGUUAAAGAUCACCUUGAAUGGUAAGUGCUCGUGAGAGGCAUGAACCAUUGCAAGUUGUAUCAGUGAGAGAAUUAAAGUGAAAUCUAAUUGAAGGAGUCUCUGUACAUCACCGGUUAGAGAAUUGACUAUAAGUUGAAUCUCUAAUGCGAGGAAAUGAACCAUCUGACCGGAGCUAUGUCUUUUGCAUGAGGAACCACCCCAGUGAACCUAAAUCUCCAAGGAAUGCUUUUCUUCCUAAAUUAUUCCAAACUUCUGUUAAGUUAGUUAGUUUAAGUCUAAACCUUUACCAAUCAAACUUUGUGUUUUAUUUCUUAAGCUAACCGUGAAAUGAAACAAAACCAAUUCACUUGGAAUUGGUAUCCUUGAUUGCUUGCAAAUCAUUCCCAGUGAACGAUCCUUAGAGCCACUAUACUAUAGUAGCUUUGUAUUUGCUACCCUAGUGUAUGGUGUUAUAGGUAUAAAUUUUGUUGAUCACUUCCUCAAUCAAGGAACACCAGCUGAACACAAAUCAGCUGAGACACCAAUUGGGCAUGAGUCAAAUGGCGCCGUUGCCGGGGAAUGAGUGUCAAGAUCAUUGUGAUACCAUUUUUGAGCACUUGUGAUUUUCAUCACAAGUUGGUAAAGUUUCUUUCACUUUACUAAUUUUCAUUCUCUCUUUGUUUAUUUACAAUCUAAGUUUAUCUUUUUAAAAUUUAGUCUAGUUUAAUUUUGCUAUUGUAGCCUUGUUUCUCUUGUUGUCCUCUGUUCUUGUUGUCCUCUGUUUUCAUUUUAGUUGCAGCUGAAUACUAGUUGUGUAUGCCAAAGUGGAUACGAGACAUUGGAGGUAGGCUUAUUAAGUGUGAUACACCUCAGAGAGGAGAAUUGGAAGUAAUCUUGAAUAUCAUGGAGGCUGCACCUGAAGAUCAGCAUAGUCACCAAGGUCGUCAAGACAAUCUCAAUGAAUUCAGAUCAAUGAGGGACCGUAUGCAUCCACCUCGUAUGAGUGCACCAUCAUGUAUAGUGCCCCCUACAGAGCAACUAGUGAUCAGACCAUAUCUUGUUCCACUUCUACCAACUUUCCAUGGGAUGGAAAGUGAGAAUCCGUAUGCACACAUCAAGGAAUUUGAAGAUGUUUGUAAUACAUUCCAAGAGGGAGGAGCUUCAAUUGAUUUGAUGAGGCUUAAGUUAUUUCCUUUUAAUUUAAAGGAUAAGGCCAAAAUUUGGCUUAAUUCUUUAAGGCCAAGGAGUAUCCGCUCUUGGACUGAUUUACAAGCUGAAUUCCUCAAGAAAUUUUUUCCUACUCAUAGAACAAAUGGCUUGAAAAGGCAAAUUUCAAACUUCUCAGCUAAAGAGAAUGAGAAAUUCUAUGAGUGUUGGGAAAGAUACAUGGAAGCUAUAAAUGCUUGUCCUCACCAUGGCUUUGAUACUUGGCUACUGGUGAGUUAUUUUUAUGAUGGUAUGUCCUCCUCAAUGAAGCAACUCCUCGAGAAAAUGUGUGGAGAAGAUUUCAUGAGCAAAAAUCCAGAGGAAGCUAUGGAUUUCUUGAGCUAUGUAGCUGAUGUUUCAAGGGGAUGGGAUGAACCAACUAAAGGAGAAGUGGGAAAGAUGAAGUCUCAGUUGAAUGCUUACAAUGCAAAGGCUGGGAUGUAUACUUUAAAAGAGGAUGAUGACAUGAAAGCAAAGUUGGCAGCUAUGACAAGAAGAUUGGAGGAGCUGGAGCUGAAAAGAAUGCAUGAAGUGCAAGCUGUUGCUGAAGCACCAGUGCAAGUGAAGUUGUGUCCCAAUUGUCAAUCGUUUGAACAUUUGGUAGAGGAAUGCCCUGCAAUUUCAGCUGAAAGGGAAAUGUAUAGAGAUCAAGCAAAUGUUGUUGGACAAUUCAGGCCCAAUAACAAUGCUCCUUAUGGAAAUACCUACAAUUCAAGUUGGAGGAAUCAUCCAAAUUUUUCAUGGAAGGCCAGAGCAACUCAAUACCAACAGCCGGAUCCACCAUCUCAACAAUCUUCAAGUAUUGAACAAAUAAUAGCUAAUCUCAGCAAGGUAGUGGGAGAUUUUGUGGGAAAGCAAGAAGCCACCAAUGCUCGAGUGGAUCAAAGAAUGGACAGAGUGGAUCAAAGAAUGGACAGAAUGGAGAGUAUGUUGAACAAAAGAAUGGAUGGAAUGCAAAAUGAUAUGAAUCAAAAAUUUGAUAACAUCCAAUAUUCAAUUUCAAGGCUUACAAAUUUGAAUACACUGCAAGAAAAGGGAAGAUUUCCUUCUCAACCUAACCAAAAUCCCAAAGGUGUCCAUGAAGUGGAAAGCCAUGAGGGAGAAUCAUCACAGGUGAAAGAUGUGAAAGCUUUGAUCACUCUAAGGAGUGGUAAGAAAAUUGAGCAGCCAACACCCAAGCCACAUGUUGAGAAAGAAGAAGAGAUGAAGAAAGGGAAGGAAAUGGAAGAUAAAGGCAGUGAGAUCAGUGAAGAAAAGAAGGACUCUGAUGCAACAAUGAAAGUAAUUCCAGAGAAGGAGCUUCUGAAGGAAGAAAUGCUGAAGAAAUCAACUUUUCCACCUUUUCCUCAAGCAUUACAGGGGAAAAAGGGGGUUAGAAAUGCAGCUGAAAUCCUAGAAGUAUUGAGGCAAGUGAAAGUUAAUAUUCCACUGCUGGAUAUGAUCAAACAAGUUCCAACGUAUGCAAAAUUCCUAAAGGACUUGUGUACUAUCAAAAGAGGGUUGACUGUAAACAAGAAAGCCUUCUUGACUGAGCAAGUAAGUGCAAUCUUACAGUGUAAGUCUCCUUUGAAGUACAAAGACCCUGGAAGUCCUACCAUUUCAGUCAUGAUUGGAGGAAAGGUAGUGGAGAAAGCCUUGCUAGACUUGGGAGCAAGUGUGAAUUUGCUUCCAUAUUCUGUCUACAAGCAACUGGGACUUGGAGAGUUGAAGCCAACAGCAAUCACUUUGUCUCUGGCAGAUAGAUCAGUGAAAAUUCCAAGAGGGGUAAUUGAGGAUGUAUUGGUUCAAGUAGAUAAUUUCUACUAUCCUGUAGAUUUUGUUGUUCUUGAUACAGAUCCUACUGUAAAGGAAGCUAAUUUAGUUCCUAUCAUCCUUGGAAGGCCAUUUCUUGCAACUUCAAAUGCAAUCAUCAACUGUAGAAAUGGGCUUAUGCAACUCACUUUUGGUAACAUGACACUGGAUCUAAAUAUUUUCUAUAUGUCUAAAAAGCAAAUCACUCCAGAAGAAGAAGAGGGUCCAGAAGAGCUAUGUAUUAUUGAUACUUUGGUGGAGGAGCACUGCAAUCAACAUAUGCAAGAUAAGUUGAAUGAAAGUUUUGUGGAUAUUGAGGAAGGUUUUUCUGAAUCUCCUAAUGGGCUUGCUACUCUACAAAGUUGGAGAAAGAUAGAAGGAAUUCUACCUUUGUUCAAUGAAGAAGAGGAGGCAGCUGUUGAAAAAGAAAUUCCAAAACUCAAUCUGAAGCCUUUACCUAUGGAGCUGAAAUAUACAUAUCUUGAAGAAAAUAAUCAAUGUCCUGUCGUAAUAUCUUCAUCUCAAACCAAGUCUCAAGUGAAGGAUGCAAGCUUCAAAUGGGAUCCGGGCAAACUGAAUCAGGAAGGGCAAAAAGUUUUGAUGUAUGACACAAGACUCCAUAUCUUUCCUGGGAAGCUCAAGUCAAGGUGGAUUGGUCCAUUUGUUAUUCACCGAGUAUAUUCCAAUGGAGUGGUGGACUUAUUGAAUUCCAAUGGCAAGGACAGCUUUAGAGUCAAUGGAUAUCGUCUUAAGCCGUUCAUGGAGUCAUUCAAAUCAGAAAAGGAGGCAAUCAACCUCCUUGAACCUCAAAAAGCCUAAGUGAAAUGGGUUUGCUGGACGUGGUUUUACCACAGUCCAAAAAUUUUUGUAAAUUUUGUAAAUUUUCAAGUUGUUUCCAUGCUUUUAAUCUUAGUUUUUGAUUUUAAAUCAUGUUUUUAGGUGUGUUUUAAUCGUUUUAUAUGAUCCCAGGCGGAAGAAAUUUCAAGGGGAUUGAAAAGAAAAAAAUCGGGUCGAAAUUGGAGCCGAAACAGAGCAAAAACAGGGGAAAAACAGAGCUCUGCGAAAUUUCGCAGGGUGAAGGAAACUUCUGCGAAAUUGGCAUUUUGCUGCCAAACCAUUCCGCAGCACUGUAGAAGCCUCUGCGAGUGUAUUUCGCAAUUGCGAAAGUGGAUUUGGCACACGAGUGCCACUUCGCAGCACAGUGACAUCAAUUUCGCAGCUGCGAAACUCACUGCGAAGUUGCUGCGAAAAUGGCAAGUUGCUGCGAAAUUGGCGUUUUGUUGCGAAACGUAAUCUGACCCCUGGGCUUCCGUUUUUCCUAUUUAUACCUGUCAAAAGUGCUGCGAAAAAGGUUUCAAAAAUUAGAGCACCAUUCUCGCAGCCCUUUCAUCUUCUUCGCCAAGCCACGCCGUCCGUUUCUCCGGUCGUCUUCUCCGUUUAGCAGCGCCGGCCAAAGAUCGAUAGCCCAAAAAUGGCACGAACGCGAGGGGCAAAGUCUUCAUCCCCUUCGAACCGCAAAAGGAGUCUGCGAAAGGAGCCAAGUUCAGGCUCUGUUCCAGAACCUGCUCCAAAGCCUUCGCCGUCGAGACCACAACCUUCUCCAGUGAAGCCGGCGCCACCAAAGCCGCCGGCAAGGCGAUAUUUAACCAGGUCAGGUGGUCAGCCAUUGAAGAAGAAAGCCAGAGUUGAGAGCUCUGAACCAAUCGAUUUGACUGAGCAAUCCCCUGAGAAAUCACCAAAUCCUUCACCGGUACAAAUUCCAGUGCCAUCACCGGUUCCCUCGCCAAUUCCCUCACCAGAAGCAACUCCAAUUCCAUCGCCGGUACCAUCUCCGGCACCCCAAGAAAAAGCUCAGGAGCCUCAAGCGCCAAUUCCAGAGCCCCAAAUUGCAGCUGAAGCACCUCUGGAAGAAGUGAUCCGAAGGCCAAUGCUGCCUCAGCCCCCAAUCGAAGGAAACCUGGAUUGCCGAACUCGGGCAUUCCAUUCUGAGCUUUGCUUCGAUUUAACAGCAUUCAGAGUGAGGCCAGAGCUUGCCCAAUCCUUCCAACUGCUGAGGAGAUAUCAUAUGGAGCAUCUGCUAGCUCCAAGGGAUUUUUUCUAUCCCCGGGUAGUCACGGAUUUCUACCAAACCAUGACAACCAAAGAAGUAAGAAAUCCAACUCUGAUUCAUUUCAUAAUUGAUGGAAGGCAUGGUAUUUUGGGAGCAAGACAUAUUGCUGAAGCCCUGCAAAUUCCUUUUGAGCCAACUCAAUUCGACAAUUUUAAAGCUUGGACAAAUCCUACUGAGUUAGAGAUGGUUAGCACACUAACCAGAGGAGCUGCAAAUCGAUCGCAUUUGUUGAGGGGGGAGCUACCUCCAGUUAUGUUUUUGAUUGAUGCCUUUUUGAGGCAUAAUAUCUAUCCCCUGCAGCAUUGGACCCAAAGAAGGGGAAUUCUCCUAGAAGCCUUGUACAAAAUGUCUGAAGGAUUCUUCUUUGGGCCUCAUCAUCUGAUCAUGGCAGCCCUUCUAUACUUUGAGGAGAAGGUUCACAAGAAGAAGCUUCAAAGAGCAGAUUGCAUUCCACUCCUCUUCCCAAGGCUGCUAUGCCAAGUUUUGGAGCAUCUCGGAUACCCCUCUGAGCCUCAGCAGGAAAGAAAGAGAAUAUGCCGUGAGCCUUUUACCCUUGAUAAAUGGAAUAAUAUGACGGCCUACAAAAUUGAUCAGCCUGGGCAGCCUCAGCCAGCAGCAAGGAGAGUCUCCCCAAGACAUAUACCUGAAGGUAUAACACUUGCUACUCCUGCCAUCCCUCGAGCUCCACCAGCUGCACCUGCUCCAUCACAGCCAUCCACAUCAGCUGAGCCGAGGAUGGCCAUCCCUAUAUCCGAAUAUCGAGAGCUGUGCCGUGCAUUGGAGACUCUUACAGCUUCUCAGAGCAAUCUUGCUCAGGAGUUGGCAGCCAUUAAAGCAUGCCAGGAGCAGAUGUUAGCCUCUCAGACUCAACAAGCUGCCAUCCUAAGGCAGCUUCAAGUCCAUUUCGAUCUGCCACAAGCUGUAGAGCCCUCUAUUCCUACUCCACCAGAGCCACACUCUCAGCCUUCAGAGUCUCAUCCUCCAGAACCCGAAGCACCAGCUGAUCCACCUACUGAGGAGGCAGAUCCUUCUGCCUAGCACCAUCACCCCCCUCAUCAGACAUUAUAUAUAUAUUUGCUGUUUAUGUUUUUAUGCAUGUUUGUUUUGUUUUAGUUGAAAAGAAAUCCCAGUAUUUUGGUACUAUAUAUGGGAUUCCUUGUGUUACUUGUCUUUAGUAUUGUAAUCACAUGAACUCAAAGUAAUACAAGUUGACUAUUUCUUGUUAAAAGUUAGCAUUAAAGUUUCCUUAUUUCCUUUUCUCACAUAUUCUAUUCUUUUUGAAACAUGUGGUUUUCCCCAAUCAAUAUUCGAAUUUGAUAUCAGCAUGGAGGUACCACUUCCUCCCUUUUAUUACAGUCACUCAAAUCACAUUGAGGACAAUGCUCAGUUCGGUUGGGGGGUAUGAGGAAGGAAGUAUUCUAAACCUUUUUGGUAUUGCAAUUAUAUUGGUUAAUUAGUUGUAGAUUUUACUUUUUACUAGUGUUACUCUAUUCUCCAUGAAUUUUGAGGAAAAAUUUUCAAAUUAAACCAAGAGAAAUUGAACUGUUGUUUUUCACUUGACUUAGAGUAUGGAUUAUGCUUACUAAAGUGGUUCAAUUGUUGAAACUUCUACUGAAAUUGAAUUGAGUUCUUCCACUUUAAGCUAUCCACACACUGUGCACAUUAGUUUCCGAUUAUAAGAUGAAAAGCUAUUUCCCUCUUGACUUAGUAUAUUUUUGGGACUUGGUAUAUUUGACCUCAUUUGAUAAAAAUUGAAACACCCUGCAAAAGGCCAAUGAGCCUUUGAAAUAAAGAAAGUUGUUUGCUUGCCUUGAAACCCGAGCAAGGUCUGAGGGGUAUAUGGUGAAAAUCUUUAAAGCCUGGUGCCCUAAGCCUUAAUUGGUUGGGAGUCACCGACCUCAAUGCUCGUUACAAGGGUGAAUAGGUAGAGUUAGCAUAUGGUAGAUGCUUGGGUAUUAGAAAUUCAUUCUUAAAAGUCCGGGGAAAAAUCCGAGGAGUUAGUGGUUGAAAGAUCCUUAAAACUUGGUGCCCUAAACCUUAAUUGGUUGGGAGUCAUCGAUGGACCCCCAUUACAUGGACAAGUCAGAAAGAGUACCCCAUAAAGCUACCUUAAAAAAAAAAAAAAAAAAAAAAAAAAAAAAAAAGAUGAAAGUGUGUUCUUUUCUUAUUGAUUUUGGUCAGUUUGCUAAAGUGUUGAAAAGAGAUAGGUUGGGGGGUGAGAUUAGUAGCAUAUUAUUCUCGGAACCUAAGGAACCAAUACACAUAGAUUUUUGUGGAAGAUUGAAGUUUAGUUCUUAGAAAAUGAAAUGAUUUUAAAACUUCAGUUUGCAUAAUGCACUCCCUUGAUUGACAGUGUUUAGCAUAGGUGUUAUGACUCUUGUUGAGAUUUGGGUUUGUAUUUCUUUAAUGAUUCAUGUGAGAAAUAGAUCAUCAUGCCACUUGAGAAUUAUUUUCCUUUUAGCAUGAUGUUGUAAAUUUUAGAUUAGUUUGCUAUUUAUUUUUUAUUUUCUCUCCUAUAUUGCUAAGGGACUAGCAAUAUGUCGGUUGGGGGGAGUGAUUACUACUCAAAAAGUGCUAUUUGAUAGCCUUUAAUUAAUCCUUUUUAACACUUUUGAGUAGUAGUUUAGGCCUUUUAACUCAAUUGGCAUGUUAAGGAUCCUUUAAAGCAAUUUUGAUCACUUUGUGCAAGUUUUGGUGUUUUUGUUAGUAUUUUGAUCACCAAAGCAAGUCAAGAAUGAGGAGAACUAUGAGGAAUCAUGGGCAAAGCUUAGAAUUCAAUUGCCAAGAGUGAAUCCGGAUUGCAAGGAGAAAAAGCAAAGAGAAUCUGUCAUGAAGCCUAUUCUUGAUGACAGUCGUAGCAGCCACUUUUGGAGCACUUUCUGAAGUCCAAAUGAUGCAAGCUAUAUACCAUUUCAAAGCUCAGGAAGUCAACAAUCCAAUGCUUCAAACGGUGCGCGAUUCGGAGUUGAAACGAAGAAGUUGCAGCCAUUACAAGCCAGUCACUCUAAAGUGUUGCGGAAUCAGCCUUUUGUUGCGAGAAUUUCGCAGCACUUUUGUACAGUAAGGUGUUUCUCCUUCUGACGAUGCACGAACCAUGCCGCGAGAGGGAAGCUAGGAACUUCAAGAUGGAAGCCAACUUUGCAGCCUGGUGAAGAUAGCUUGGUCUUGCGAAAUAAUUUCGCAGCCCUCUUGGGUGUCUGCGAAAUUUCGCAGGCACCACUUUUUUCCUGCGAAAUGGCUCCGGAAGCCUCCCGAAGCUUGCUACCGACAUUGGGAGAUAUUUUCCAUUAGAUUUUUGUUGUCUAAAUUCCAAAAUACUCCUUGUAAACCACCAAUUACAUGAUUCCUUAGUUUUUAAGUUAGUAAAAAGACCAAAUAUCUAUGUAAUAAUUAGUUUUAUAUUAGUUUGCUAUAAAUACCUCUCGGGAGCAUGUUCUCAGAGAGGAGUUCCUUCUGUAACCAUUUUGGUAAGCAAGUAAAGUCUUUUCUUUCUACUGCCUUACCUUCUCACUUUGUAUUUUCAUUUUAUUUCUAAGUUAUGAAUUCUCUGAGGAGCUUUCCCCAGAGAAUGAGUAACUAAACCUCCAAUUCCUUGGAGCUAAGGUUGCCGGGGAAGGUUCCAAGUGCAAGAAUGCAAAGCUCUGUGGUUUUAGCUAGUAAUGAAGAGGAAGUGAAAUCCUUUAGUGAUUUCAAUGUUUUUAGUUAACUUAAAACACCUUGGAGUCACCUGGGCCAACACUUGGUAAGGCAAGUGAUUUCCAACCGUGGAAAUGCACUAGUUUACCCCUUGCGAGCCUCUGGUAGGUGACUUCAAGGUAGGAUUUUCUGGAAUUACCAACACUUGGUAAGCUUUUGGACUCCUAGGAGACAUCCAUUAGUUAUCUCUUGCGAGUUUGUGAAGGGGAAUCCAAGGUUAAAGAUCACCUUGAAUGGUAAGUGCUCGUGAGAGGCAUGAACCAUUGCAAGUUGUAUCAGUGAGAGAAUUAAAGUGAAAUCUAAUUGAAGGAGUCUCUGUACAUCACCGGUUAGAGAAUUGACUAUAAGUUGAAUCUCUAAUGCGAGGAAAUGAACCAUCUGACCGGAGCUAUGUCUUUUGCAUGAGGAACCACCCCAGUGAACCUAAAUCUCCAAGGAAUGCUUUUCUUCCUAAAUUAUUCCAAACUUCUGUUAAGUUAGUUAGUUUAAGUCUAAACCUUUACCAAUCAAACUUUGUGUUUUAUUCCUUAAGCUAACCGUGAAAUGAAACAAAACCAAUUCACUUGGAAUUGGUAUCCUUGAUUGCUUGCAAAUCAUUCCCAGUGAACGAUCCUUAGAGCCACUAUACUAUAGUAGCUUUGUAUUUGCUACCCUAGUGUAUGGUGUUAUAGGUAUAAAUUUUGUUGAUCACUUCCUCAAUCAAGGAACACCAGCUGAACACAAAUCAGCUGAGACACCAAUUGGGCAUGAGUCAGUGCGUUAGAGGAUCAAGAAGAAGAAAAAGAAGGAACUGUUGGAAUUAGUAUGAGUGUGAAGAGAAAAGUAUAUAAAUAAGGGGAAGUAAAAGCAAAGUUCAAAAAGCUAUAUUUUUUUAUUGUUGGUGUAUGGUUGCAUGAUUAUCCCUAUAAAUAAUAGGAGUUUUUUGGUAUUCUACUAGUAGUUGAAGCAUAAUUUCAUAAAUUAAUAUUUAGAGCGGGGUGGGGUGAGUUGUGACAAAAUUCAUACCCGUCCCAAACCUUGGUUCAGAUUUUUAAAAUAUUCUCAAACUUAUCAUAUACCCAACUUUUAUAUUUCAUACUUGUCCUAAUAGAGGCACGUUAGGCCGGGUUACUUGAGUAACCUACAUAAUUGUCAUCCCUAGUUGAAAUACACUUUUUGGCAGUGGCCACCAACUGAGCUAGAAGCUUGAUUGAUUGACCUACAAGAUUAGUUCUCAUCAUUUUAAAAAAAGUUCUGGCUUUGGUUGUGAGUGCAAUUGAAUCUAAACUGGCAUUUGCUUAAUGCAUCUACUUCAAUCCUAAACUUCUUACUUCUUAAGCCUCAAUUGUUGUUAGGAUUUUGGAAAACCCAUUUCCUUAAAUUGUAAAUUUAAGAUAAAAUAAAAUAAAAGUGAGACAUUUCUUGAUUGAAUAUUGUUAAAGGUCCCUUGGCAUUAAGACUUGGUUGAAGCCUUGGAAGAUUAGUGGAACUCUCAACAUGUGUUUGAAUCUUGAGGAGAGUGGAUGUAAGCCAAAAUUUUGUCAAACCAUUAUACAAAUUGAGUUUGAAUCCUCAUUUCUUGAUUUCUUAUUUAUUUGCUUUUUCUUAUUAUUACUUGAAUUGUCAUUUGCAUUCAUUAAUGUUAAAAUUGGUUAUAAUUAACCAACACUAAUUCUCUUUCCCCUUCCCUUUCUUGGGUGUAAACCUAGGUUGGAUUAACUAGAUAAAUCUAUUAAGAUGGUAAAAGAAUAAUUAUUCUUAACAUACAUAAGAUCAUCUUCAAUCAAAUGACUCAUUGGCUAAUAUGUUGAAUUUGCUUAUUACUUGCAACUCAAAAUUGUGUUCUAGUUGUGUCAAGUCCCCAGUGUAUGGACAUUAAAUUUGUAGUACGUGAUGAGUAAUUAGAUGGUCCAACUCCAAGAAAGUGAUUGAAAAGUAGUUCAAGAAAGGUGCAAAAGGGAAUUGUUUUGGUAUUUUCGUUUUUAUUCUUGAAGGUGGCAGAGCUAAAAUUUGAGAAAUCAAGCAAAACAUACUGAAAUUACAUUGAAAGAAAGAAGAUGGGAGUUAAUGUCUUGCAGUACAUGAUAAGGACUUCAUGCAUGUAGUGUGACCCAUGUCUUGGACUGAUGCCAACUCACGGUUACACUUAUACCCUUGGUUCUCUCUUUACUACCUUGGCUAACCUAGAUCAGGCUAUGAGAUAGGCUCCUCACCACACCAUUACUUGCCCAUUAAUUAGAGACAUUUUCAAGCAAUGAGGUAACAUGGUGACACCAAGAGGGUCUAUUCCUCGCCCGGAACAAGUCUAGACUUGGUCUCAAAAAAAUGGAGAAAAAUGAGGUGUCGUUAUGUAGAAAUACAACAACCAUGCCUUCCUCAUUACUUAGAUUCAGAAUGUGAAGGUGAAAUUGAGAAACAGAAACUCUUGAAACCAAAAUGAAAAUUGAUACUUUUACGAAGAAUUACAACAACAUUAGAGGAAGACUACAUUCUUCCUCUUUAUUCCUACAUUUCUACACUACUUCUACUCCACUCCAUAUUUCUACAUACAUCUUUAAUCAGUCUUCCCUCCUUUAUAUAGAGCCAUCUUCACACAAAUUUCGCAAGGUAGAAAAGAGGAAUGAAACUUGGAGCAAGGUUCGACUACUGGUUGUAGCUUGUCAAGGCUGGAAGUGAACUUUUCUUGGCUUUCUGGGCAUGGGUAGUAACUUGUGGGUUCCUGUUUGGCAUAAAAAUGGCUAGAACAUGUGGCACUAUCUUGUUGGAUGAUGUGUCAAGCAUGUGGCAGCCAUCUAGUGGCGAUUAUGUCAAUUUUGGGAUGGAGAGUUGGCAUCCAAUUGCAAAGAAAUAUGACGUCUACCAACAUGCAAUGUAAACCUAUGUAGAUCAUAUGAAGAUAGAGAGGAAAAAUAUAGAAAUGGAUAUAUACCUAGAACUAGCUUUUUAUUAAAUGAAACGGAGAGACAACAAUGAAGGAAAAUAAAAUUUUUUGGCUUAUAUCAAAGAGUUCACAUUGUGUUACCCUAGGUUUUCUUAAAACUUACUUUUAUGAUAACAAAAAAGAAAAAACCAUUAUUGUUUAAUCCUUUGUUUUAAACGCAUGUAAGGUGUAAUUAAGUUAGUUCAAUGCAUUAAUUUAAGAAACUUGACCUAUCAAAAGUACAAAAUUAGAUGAAAUCCAUUUCAAUGGUUAAAAUGAUCAAAAUCAAACUUUUUCUAAGUAUUUUUUAAAAGCAUCAAUAGUGAAAGACAAUUUUAUAUUUAGUCGGAGUUUGGACAAAACUGAAAAACACACAAAAUCCAAGCGACCAUCUCUAGCUUGGAUGGUCGCUUGAUCCCACCUAGAGAUGUGCAUGAGUAAAAGGAUUUGAAAAUGGAAAUUGACUAUGUAGUCGAUCAAUUAACUUUGCAACAUCAUAUGCAAUCCUAAUUGCUAGUCAUCUAAUCAAUUAGGUAGUCAAUCAACAGGCCAAAAAUAUGUUUAUAAUGACUAUUUUGUACAAAAACCACCUGUAUAGUUAAAUAUAAUGCAUUUCAUUUAUAAAUCUUCUAAUUCUUGAAUAACGAUCCUAUCAUCCUUUGAAAGUUUUUAUUACACUUUUUUUACUUUUGUUCUAAAACUUACACAUCACCCUUAAUUGUACCAUGAGAACCUAGCUAUUUUUUAUUUUUUUUUUUGUAAUUCAUCAAAGUUAGCUUUUGUAUUCAUUGUUGUAUUAUUUUUAGUAUAACUUAGAAAGCUAGUGUUUUCAAGUGAGUAAAAUUAACUUGUAAAUAUUGUAAAGAUUCAUCGACAUGUAUCUUAAACUAAGUGUACAAGUUAAAACAUUUGCUAGUAGAUUUUCUCAAAAUUUAGAAUAGAGCUUGAGACUAUUGAAAUAGGUGGGGUUGCACCAAACCACAUCACAUCGUUGUUUGCACCUUUUUUCACUCUCUUUUACUUAGUUGCUCUAUAUUUGUUGUCUAGUAAUAUCCUAUAGGCUUGAUGGGUUAGGGAGCAUCCCUUUGUGAAAAAAUUUUAUUCAAUCCUUAGUUGUAUCACGCAUAUAUAAAAUGCCUCAUUGUUUUAAUGGUAUUCAGUCGUGGCAUCACAGAUAUGGGCAUCUAAAUUUUAAAAGUUUGAAACUUUUAUCUAAAGAAAAUAUGGUGCUUUGCCUUUUUGUAAAGCAUGUUGAUGAAAUCCAUGAGAAUUGUGUACUUGGGAAGCAACACCGAGAUGACUUUUUUUUUUUUUUUAUAAUAUUGUUUGUCCAAAUUCCCUACAAAUUAGGCCACCAGAUGUUCAUAAUUCUCCCUUCUUGAAUUUGAAAACUCGGACAAUUGGACAAUGCGACACCUAAGUCCGGUUUCUAAAUGCUAAAGUGAAAGGGUAGGUAUGGACCAUUGAAAUGUGAUCACAACUUUUCUCUGUAGCCAUGUUGUCUCUUUUUUCUUUUGCAUGAUUUUCUUACCUUAACAGAAUCAUAGACUUGUUUAGUCUCUAAAUGGGAUUAAUUUCAUCCAGCUUUAAGCUACUAUAUUAUAUCUAGGUGGAGGACUUUUAAGAGUGCAACCGACAUAGAGCACAUGGAAGUGGGUAUAUGGGACAUGAAAUUUCUUCUUAUAAAGAUUGCAUGAUUUUUAUAUUAGAGUUGUUGAGGCGCUAUGUAUUUAGCUUGUUUUGCAGUUAAAUUAAUUGGAUAAGUAGACAUUGGCGUUUCUAAAUCUACUGUGAAGUGCUUCAUGUACGUGUGAAGUAUUAGAAAUUUCUUUCUUGGCAACUUGUUUUUCUUUGCGGUCUACUGAUAGGUUUGACUAAAAUUAUAUUCCCUGUCAUGCUAAUUAAUUUUCACGUGCAUGCUCAAAAGAAAAGUAUGACCUUAGUGCACCAAAAUCACUUUGAUUAAUUUGUGAUAGGUUUUUGUGCAUCAUGACAUUAGCCUUAUUCAUUUAGAUAAUGUUUAGUUUUUAGAAAGUAUUAAGAAAAGGAAAAUAAAUAUUAAGAAAAAUAUUCUUAUAUUUGAUUGUAUUAUGAAAAAUAUCAUAAAAAAAUCAAAUAUAAUUUAAAUUAAUUAAUAAUUUAUACAUUUUCAAAUUAUUUAAUCUUUAUAUUGAAGAUAUAAUAUAAAUGAAAUGAGUUUUAAGUAUUAUAUAAAAGUGAUUUAUUGAUCUUACAUAUAUAUAUUUCUUUUUUUUUUCCUUCUAUUUUUUCUCUUUAUUUUAUUUUCCUUAUGUUUUCCUCAACAUUUUCCGGAACCAAACAUAGCCUUAGGAAAUCCACAAUUACCUUCAACUGAGUAGAUUCUGUUGUUUUAGCAAUGUUAGGCUGCUAACUUGUGUUGGUACGAACCUAUUAAGCCUAAAGAUGUAAUUAGUUAGGAUAUUCUUUUCCCUCUAGUCUUGUAGCUCCACGUGUACAGUUGGUUAGGACCUCAUUGUAUAUAAUGCUUGCCCUGUUAUUGUAGAAGACAACAAAGAUAAAUAAUAUUAACAUUUUUCCUCUCAUCUCUCUCUGUUUCCCUCUGUUUUCAUCUCCUCUCUCAUCUUGGUAUCAGAGCCUCCAUGGCUUCUUUCAAAGAAACCUCCGAAUCACCUUCUGCUAGCAUUGUUAAUGUGCAAAACCCAUUAUCUCAAUCAAACAACCUUCCUUCACCAGUAGCCACACCCUCUUUUUCUUUCUCGUCUAUGAAUCAACCUCUCACAGUGAAGCUGGAUAAUGGGAACUACCUCAUAUGGAAGAAUUAGCUUCUAAAUGUCAUCAUUGCUAACGGACUCGAUGAUUUCAUUGACGGAUCUCGACCCUGCCCUCCUCGAUUUCUCGAUCUGCAACAACAAACCCUCAAUCCAGAGUACUCAGCUUGGCAGAGAUACAAUCGACUUCUGAUGAGUUGGCUGUACGCAUCCUUGUCCAAAGAUAUAAUGGCUCAGAUUGUUGGGUAUUCAACAGCUAUGGAGAUUUGGAAUGCCCUUAAUCAGAUUUACUCUGCCUCUUCUAUGGCGCGGUUUACUGAGCUUCGCACCAAGCUUCAAACGCUCAAGAAAGAUGGACUCUCAGUUGGUGAAUAUAUUCAAAGGCUCAAAUCCAUUUGCAAUAGUCUUGCAGCAAUAGGAGAACCAGUUUCUGAGAAAGACCAUCUUAUCUAUUUGUUCAAUGGAUUAGAUUGUGAGUAUUAUUCUUUUGUUACCUCCAUUCAAAAUCGAUCUGACCAACCAACUAUUGACAAAAUCCAUAGCCUAUUGCUUAGCUAUGACUUCCGGCUUGAACAACAAAACUCUGUUUCUCUCCAUUCUGCCCAAGUCCAUAUGGCUCAUCUGAACAAGAAACCUUAUAAAUCAACUCCUCAACCUACAUUCAAUCAUAUUCACAUUCAACCUAGAUACUCUUCUCCACCUUUUAAGCCAACCACUAGUCAAUAUCAACCCAACAUUUUGGGCAAACCACAACCACAACCAUGACAGCCUCAACCUCAAUGGAAACCACAUUUUUCAAUCUAAAAUCAAAAGCCUCAGCGCCAAAUUUGUGGUAAAUUUGGACACACUGCUCUUAUUUGCUUCCAUCACACAAAUUUGAACUAUUCACCCCAACCUUCUCCUAAAUCUUUCAAUACUGUUCUCACCACAAAUUCCCAGCUCCCUAAUCCUCCAAAAUUUUCUUACCCUACAAUGGCUCAUCCUGCUGCUACGCAUAACACGGUUCCCGAUACAAAUUGGUACAUGGACUCAGGUGCUACACAUCACUUUACUCUGGACAUCAACGUGCUUGACACUGUGACACCAUUUAGUGGUUCAGAACAGGUGACAGUUGGGAAUGGUAAGCAACUCUGUAUCUCACAUCUUGGUACUGCAAAACUACCAUCUUCGUAUUCUCCUCCUGUUCUACAUCAGGUAUAUCACACUCCAAAAAUUUCAAAUAAUCUUAUUAGUGUUAAAAAAUUGUGUUCUGAUAAUAAAGUUUUUGUUGAAUUUUAUGCCACUCAUUUUCUUGUCAAGGAUCAGGUUUCGAAGAGAGUUCUCCUUUAGGGUCAACUUGAUAAUGGCUUAUACAAAGUUCAGUCGUCAUGCUCUCCUUCUGCUGUUUCCUUUCCUCCUCAAGUUUUCAUAGCCAACAUCAAGUAUCCAAAUCUGUGGCACAAGAGACUAGGCCACCCAGCUUUAUCUGUUGUUAAUCAAAUCUUGGAUUCUUGUAACAUUGCUCGAACACAGAAAAUUUGUUUUAAUUUUUUAAAUUCUUGUCAAUUAGCAAAGAGCCACAGGCUUCCUUUUUCUCUGUCUCCAUCCAUUGCAGAAAAACCUUUUGAGUUAAUUCAUACAGACCUAUGGGGUCUUUCGCUCGUUCGCUCUAUUUCUGGUGCUCUUUAUUUUUUACUUUUCAUUGAUGAUCAUACUCGUUUUACUUGGUUUUAUUUGCUCAAAACAAAAGAUGAAGCAUAUCCUACUUUUCUCAAGUUUCAAGCUCUCAUUGAAAAUCAAUUUAAUACCAAGAUUAAGGCUGUCCAAUCUGAUUGGGGAGGUGAGUUUCGAUCUCUCUCCAUACCGUUUUCAAAUAUGGGCAUUGUCUAUUGUUUAUCGUGUCCAUACACCUCACAACAGAAUGGGCGAGUUGAGCGAAAAAAUCGCCAUGCGAUUGUCCUUUCUUGCUUGCUCUAUGCCCUUAUCUUAUUGGCCUUAUGCCUUUCAAACUGCCACUUACCUUAUUAAUCGUCUCUCUACCCCUGUGCUGCAUCAUCAAUCCUCUUACUUCGCACUCUAUCACAAACUCCCAACUUAUACUCAUCUUAAGGUCUUUGGUUCCUCUUGUUUUCCGUAUUUGCACCCUUAUAAUACCCAUAAACUCCAAUACAGGUCACUAGAGUGUGCUUUUCUUGGUUACAGUUCACACCACAAAGGUUAUCUAUGUCUUGACAUUCAUUCUAGCAGGGUGUAUAUUUCUCGCCAUGUGAUUUUUAAUGAAGAUUCUUUUCCAUUCAAGAAUUUGAAAUCUUCUCUCUCUCAGUCUAUUUCUUCUUCCUCUUCUUUAUAAGUUCCUCUGUUCAUUCUCUUGCCUCCCCUUUCCCCAUCUCCUCUUAUUUCUUCAUCUAUACCUCAUUCUUUUCCCUCUUCUUCUUCUACCUCUAGUACUUGUUCCCCUCUCGUUGCUCCUACCUCUCUUCCUUCCUCUUCACACUCUGUGUCUCCAUCUAUUCCACCUCCUUCUCCACCUUCUCCGAGUGUGGACCUGCUUGCACCUUGUGUGAAUACAAAUUUACAUACUUCUUCUCGCACUCACAAUAUUCAUCCUAUGGUGACUAGAUCUAAGGUUUGUAUCUAUAAACCUAAGUUGUUGUUGAGUGUCUCCAUAGGUUCUCUCACUAAGCCUACUUCCUUUCUUCAAGCUAUUAAAGAUCCUUCAUGGAAGCAAUCCAUGGAAUUCGAGUUUGCUACCCUUCAACACAACAAGACCUGGCAUUUGGUUCCUUCACCUUCCUCAGGCGAAGUAAUCGGUUGUAAAUGGGUCUAUAAGCUAAAGCUUCAGCCUGAUGGCUAAAUUGAGAGAUACAGCCUGCUUAGUAGCUAAGGGUAUCAUCAAAUUGAAGUAUGGACUACUUCGAAACAUUCAGCCUGAUNNNNNNNNNNNNNNNNNNNNNNNNNNNNNNNNNNNNNNNNNNNNNNNNNNNNNNNNNNNNNNNNNNNNNNNNNNNNNNNNNNNNNNNNNNNNNNNNNNNNAGCUUCAGCCUGAUGGCUAAAUUGAGAGAUACAAGGCCUGCUUAGUAGCUAAGGGUUAUCAUCAAAUUGAAGGUAUUGACUACUUCGAAACAUUCAGCCUGAUUGUCAAGCUUUCUACUAUCUGUAUUGUGCUCAGUCUUACUUUUUCCCAGAAUUGGUGUAUUAGACAGCUGGAUGUUCAUAAUGCCUUCUUACAUGGUGACUUAGCUAAAGACGUUUUCAUGGAACAACUGCCUGGAUUUGUUGAUCCUCUCUAUCCUACUCAUGUCUGCAAGUUGGAUAAGUCUCUCUACUGUCUUAAAUAGUCACCUCGGGCUUGGUAUACUAAGCUGAGUACUUCUCGCUACACUUGGGAUUUGUUACUUCUAAGAAUGACUCUUCCUUAUUUAUUUGUCAUUCGUCUCAUGGGUUACUUCUUGUUCUUGUCUAUGUGGAUGAUAUAAUCGUCAUUGGGAGCCACUCUCCUCAGGUUACUCACCUUAUCCAACAGUUGCAUCAUUAGCUUUCUUUAAAGGAUCUUGGUCCUUUACAUUAUUUUCUGGGCUUGGAGGUUCAUCACACCCCUACUGGUAUUCACCUCAGCCAAGCAAAGUAUAUCACUGAUCUCCUUACCCGGGCGGCUAUGUUGGAUGCCAAGCCAUGUCCCACUCCUAUGUCCUCCAACACAUAUCUCUCUUUUCAUGAUGGAGUGGCUCUUGAAAAUGGUUCAGAUUAUCGAAGUUUUGUUGGUGCCCUUUAGUAUUGUACCAUGACACGCCCAGAUAUAGCUUUUGCAAUAAAUAAAGUGUGUCAAUUCAUGCACCAUCCCUCUAAUGUUCACUGGCAGGCUAUAAAACGUAUUCUCCGGUACUUAAAGGGCACAUCUCAUUUUGGUCUCUUCCUACAGCCUUCCUAUGACUUCAACAUCACUUGCUAUACAAAUGCCGACUGGGCUUCCUGUCCUGAUGACAAGUGUAGCACCAGUGGCUACUGCCUCUUUCUUGCCUCUAAUCUGGUUUCUUGGUCAUCUUCCAAACAAAAAGUGGUCUCCCGCUCCAGCGCCGAAUCAGAGUACCGAGGGGUAGCAAAUGGGGCUGCUGAAAUUGCUUGGACUGAAUCUCUUCUUUGUGAACUUUCCAUUACUCCCCCUCCCCUCAUUCUCUGUGACAAUAUCAGUGCCACGUACUUAGCUGCCAAUCCUAUUUUGCAUGCCCGCACCAAACAUGUGGAAAUCGACUAUCACUUUGUCACGGAACGUGUUCUUCAAUGCUCUCUUUUUGUCCAGUUUACACCUUCUGAUGAUCAACUUGCUGAUUGCAUGACCAAGCCUCUCUCCACCCAACGUUUCAUCACUCUACGCUCCAAGCUCACUGUUCUCACUAGACCAAUGAGCUUGAGGGGGGAUGUUAAGCCUAAAGAUGUAAUUAGUUAGGAUAUUCUUUUCCCUCUAGUCUUGUAGCUCCACGUGUACAGUUGGUUAGGACCUCAUUGUAUAUAAUGCCUGCCCUGUUAUUGUAGAAGACAACAGAGAUAAAUAAUAUUAACAUUUUUCCUCUCAUCUCUCUCUCUGUUUCCCUCUGUUUUCAUCUCCUCUCUCAUCUGAACCAAAUGAUCCAUGUUAACCUUGGCUUGGUUUGAUUUGGCUCUAUCUUAGAGAGCUCAAGGAUCACGUCAACUCUGGUUUCUACUAUUCAGGUCCAUUCCCAUAUGAACUGGUUCAAAUUUGAGAAAAUGGUAACAGACCUUUAGUGAUGUUGGUUUGGAGCCAGUUGCCAAACCCGCCCUGAGCUUUACCACUAAUGUCAAGGGAGAAAGCCAUUUGAACAAAAACAAUAGCUUCAAGGGACUGAAUCGUGGAUGAAAUCUGAUCCACAUUUCUUCUCAUUUUGGAAACAAAUGAGAACUUAACUAAGAAGAUUCUACGGCCUCAUAGUGCUUUUCCUGAUCUAAGGUUGGUUCGUUUCCCAAACUGUGAGAUGCACGUGCCAGACUUCAGAACUCUCACGCUCAGGAGUGUAUCCACGUGGUGGACAUAAGAUGGUGGCUUAAGAUCUGGUGUCGGUGGCUUUACUUUACUAGGAGAGUAGUGUGUCUUCAUCUCAUUCACUGCCGGAGGGUGGCGUAAGCAGUGACGCUAAGGUGGGGCACAGUCAAUAUCAUUUGCAUUUGACCAUUAUAGUUUUCUCCCGGCUUUAAAGUAACCUUAUCGUGAUAAAGGAUUACUAGCACUAGUUCAGAUGAUAGUCAUGUUAAAUUCGGACCAUGUUUGUGUCACAUUAUCAGCAACCAUGUGUUUAUGGUUCAUGCUUUCUGCAACUAAAAUUGAUAUAUAACCAGGUGAACUUCAAUCUAAAUUCUGAAAGUACUCAUGUGAUAGAUGGUGCCCGUCUGCAGAGUCCAUCAAUUGAAAAAUGGAGUGAGUGUAUCUAUAAGAGGGAAGGCUUGGAAAAUGUUCAGUUUUCUGGGAAUUCAACAAGGAUCUAAAAUAGAUUGUUUUCUUUGCUGAUUUCAAUGGUUGAAAUUUGAGAAGAUUGUGUCCACAUAACACAACUAUUACUGGUCCUUCUGUUGCAAUUUAUCCUCUAAAGCUCUAGCAUGUCUUCCAAUUCCCACUUCCCUGUUACUCCAGGAAAGCUAUUUCUGUCAUUGUGAAGAAGAAAAGAGAAUGUACAUAUCGAUGCUUUUAAGUGACUGGAGCAUUUAUAUCAGGUGGUCUGCAGCCAUAUAUGCCACUUUGUGAAGAUUGGAACAGUCAAUCACUAGGCUAUAUAUUAGUGUGGCCCAGCCACUUUAAUCAAGGACAAGUCUUCAUACUUAAAGUCAAAUUCUGCCUUUAGUCUCAUUAUAAAUUUCUGUUUAAAUAUUAAGCAAACAUUUGUUUAAUGCGAUUAAGACAGUACUAACUCAAUACCUGUUCUAUUUUUGGAUGCAAAUGCUUGAUGGUUUCAUCAUUGGAUGGGAUAAAGGUGCAUUCAUGAUUAGGAAUACUAGUAGUUAUAUUUUAAUUCUCUUUUUUCUCAAUGAGACUUGUUGGCACAAUUUUGCUGUUGAGAAACCUACCUCUCCAUGGAAAAUAAGUUGUGAUUGAUAGUACUGGAUAUAUUCAAGAAAUCUAAAUAUAGAUAGCACAAAAUAUUAUCGACAUAAAUAGCAUUAACAGCGUACGUAUGUCUCAGUGCUCAUCAGCUAUAAGCAUGGGGCAAACACUUACUAUGAGCAACUUACGUCAAAAUUCCAGAAUAGGACAUAGAAGUGACAGAUAUAGAACAUUGCAUAUGAGUCACAAGAAAGGAAAUUACGGGUGCAUAGCAGCUCUUAUUUUACAUACUACUACUCAUACUGAUCAAAGUCACUCAGUUGGGAUGGGUGGGAGUAGGAGGUUUGUGGGGUGGCUUGUGCGGAGGAGUUGGCAGCUUCUUUCCAGGACCUGGUUGCUUCUCUGCUGGAGUUGAAGGAGGCUUAAUCUUCCGAGGUGGCUUGUAUGAGUCUUCAGCAUUCUCAGCUGGAGGGUGACCAGGGUUGUGACCAUAAUGUGGUGGCUUCUCUCCCUUAGGUGGUUUGCCAACUGGGGUUGGUGGCUUGUAUGAGUCUUCAGCAUUCUCAGCAGGAGGGUGACCAGGGUUGUGACCAUAAUGUGGUGGCUUCUCUCCCUUAGGUGGUUUGCCAACUGGGGUUGGUGGCUUGUGUUCUGGGAGUGGCUUCUCCCCCUUGGGAGGUUUUUCCAAUGGGGUUGGUUUGUGUUCAGGAGGUGGCUUCUCCACUGGAGGCUUGUGUUCAGGAGGUGGCUUCUCCACCGGAGGCUUGUGUUCAGGUGGUGGCUUCUCCACCGGAGGCUUAUGCUCUGGUGGUGGCUUCUCGAAUGGGGGAUGCUUAGGAUAAUCAGCAAGUGAGGGGGCGGUGAGAACCACCAGGCCAAGCAACACCACUAGCAAAUAUGUAGGAGACAUCUUUGGGUUUGGGCUCAGAUGGUGCAAAACUAGGAGAAUUGGCUAGCCUUUUAUAGCGGAUCGUACCCAAUAAUGAAAUGACACGUGUCAUUAUGACCCAUGUGUAAUGGGGUCGAUUUGGGUCCUACAGUGUUGAAAACUUCGACAUCCACUUUUGGCCUUUUGCUUUCUCUACAGCCGCCUUGCUUUUUCCCUCUUUCCUUUUGUUUUCCUCCUGCCCCAUUCUAUCAACUAAACACAAUUAUGUAGUUGUUUAAUUCUUAAAUGAGAUAUUAUCCGUCAAUCGUAUUAUAUUUUAUCAAGAGAGAACGGAGUGCAAUGUGGCUGUAAUUUUAUCGUUUAGUUUUAUCUCUUGGACCACUGCAUUUUUGUUAAGAGGUGCAAUAAUACACGUCUUUAUCUGCCAUUCAAUAUUUACAGUAAAGAGAGGGCACAAAACUCUUCACUUCGCACCAUAAUUAUUUUGUUUUCUGGACACCCCGGGGCCCUUUGGUUGGUUUGGGGGUCAGAAAGUGAACAUCAUAGGGGGUUUUUCCCUUAUGUGCAUUUGUAUCUGAUGGCUUUAACUCGCCUUGUUACUACAAAGAAACUGUCACAGAUAGGAACUUAUUCCAGGCUGAGUAUCUCCUCAUAGACCCUAUAAAAGAAGACAAGUCAUAAUGAACAUCUAACCUUUGUUCAAUUUGAUUCAAUGCCCCCAUUGUGUCCAUCUCACAAAUCUGAAUUAUUAUAUCCAUUGAAUACAUAAAUUAAUGAAGAAAAUAUGAAACCCAAGAUACAUCUCUGCACAACCUCAACCCUGGUUGCUAUGUUUCCCUUCUAUUCACAUGAUUUGAUGCUAAUUGCCAAACUUGCAACAAGCCCUGAGUUUGACACCUAGUAUCGAUGGGCGAAUUUAAAGUCUCCUCCAAACAUAUAUUCCACAGCUUGAAGCUCACAGAAGAUGUUACAGGCAGGGAAAAACCUUCAGAGUUCGCUACCAAAGAUAAUUAUUAAGGAGAUAUCACAAAGAGAAUUCCAAGGGGUCUGAAUCAAAGACAAAUUGGUCGUUCGUGGGGGUUCUUACUUUCUUUUGGGUAUAACUCACUGAGGGCACUGUCUUUGUUAUUUGCAUUUCACAUUUAGAGUUCUGUUCUGGAAACAUAUAAAAGGAGCAUCAUUUUGUUCUUGGGUAACCCAUAGUCGUGAGUGGGUCCAUUUGCAUGCUACUUAGUUGAAAAGUUGGACCAUUUGCUCCGACGCCUACCUCCCGGAUUCCAUGCUCGGAUAAAACAAGAAUAAAAAAAAUAUUUAUAAUUUACAAAUGGGGGAAAGAAAAAAAUGUCAACAACAAACCAGGAAAAAAGAGUAGUAAAAUUCAUGUCACAUGCUAGUGAGAGAAGGGGUUGUUACACUCACUCGAAGUUCUUUCCAAAAUAUCGCAUGGUAUUUUAUUUUAUGUGUCAGCGCAGUUGUGAAUGGAACGUGCAAAAGUCCAAAUUGGCGUUUUUCCUUUUCCCGUGUAGGAUGGCGACCUUUAAUAAAUAUUUAAAACAAAAAACGAAAAAAAGGAGGGAAAAGGGAUCAGAAAAGAUAAAACAAUGUGUACAAGAGCUCAAUUAGUUUGCAAAUUACUGUUUGGAUUUUGAUAGUAUUUUAUUUGUCCAUCUAUAUUUGAUGGAAAAGAGAAUUUAAGAUAUUUCUGAAACAAAAGCAUUAGUGUAAAACUAAAUUAAGGUAUAAUUAAGUUAGUUCAAUGCAUUAAUUUAAGAAACUUGAUCUAUCCAAAGUACAAAAUUAGAUGAAAUCCAUUUCAAUGGUUAAAAUGAUCAAAAUCAAACUUUUUCUAAGUAUUUUUUAAAAGCAUCAAUAUUAAAAGACAAUUUUAUAUUUAGUCGGAGUUUGGACAAAACCAAAAAGCACACAAAAUCCAAGCGACCAUCUCUAGCUUGGAUAGUCACUUGAUCCCACCUAGAGAUGUGCAUGAGUAAAAGGAUUUGAAAAUGGAAAUUGACUAAAUAUUUAGUUGAUCAAUUAAAUUUGCAAUGUCAUAUGCAAUCCUAAUAGCUAGUCAUCUAAUCAAUUAGGUAGUCAAUCAAGUGUUUGUAAUGACUAUUUUGUACAAAAAACCACAUGUAUAGUUAAAUAUAAUGCAUUUCAUUUAUAAAUCUUCUAAUUCUUGAAUAACGAUCCUAUCAUCCUUUGAAAAUUUUUAUUACACCUUUUUUACUUUUGUUCUAAAACUUACAUAUCACCCUUAAUUGUACCAUGAGAACCUAGCUAUUUUUUUUUUUUUUGUAAUUCAUCAAAGUUAGCUUUUGUAUUCAUUGUUGUAUUAUUUUUAGUAUAACUUAGAAAGCUAGUGUUUUCAAGUGAGUAAAAUUAACUUGUAAAUAUUGUAAAGAUUCAUUGAUAUGUAUCUUAAACUAAGUGUACAAAUUAAAACAUUUGCUAGUAGAUUUUCUCAAAAUUUAGAAUAGAGCUUGAGGCUAUUGAAAUAGGUGGGGUUACACCAAACCACAUCACAUCGUUGUUUGCACCUUUUUUCACUCUCUUUUACUUAGUUUCUCUAUAUUUGUUGUCUAGUAAUAUCCUAUAGGCUUGAUGGGUUAGGGAGCAUCCCUUUGUGAAAAAAUUUCAUUCAAUUCUUAGUUGUAUUACGCAUAUAUAAAAUGCCUCAUUGUUUUAAUGGUAUUCAGUCGUGGCAUCACAGAUAUGGGCAUCUAAAUUUUAAAAGUUUGAAACUUUUGUAAAGCAUGUUGAUAAAAUCCAUGAGAGUUGUGUACUUGGGAAGCAACAUCGAGGUGACUUUAUUUUUUUUUCCUUUUAUAAUGCCACACCUAAGUCCGGUUUCUAAAUGCUAAAGUGAAAGGGUAGGUAUGGACCAUUGAAAUGUGAUCACAACUUUUGGCCUUUUCCUUUCUCUGCAGCCAUGUUGUCUCUUUUUUCUUUUGCAUGAUUUUCUUACCAAAACAGAAUCAUAGACUUGUUUAGUCUCUAAGCUACUAUAUUAUAUCUCGGUGGACUUUUAAGAGUGCAACCGACAUAGAGCACAUGCAAGUGGGCAUAUGGGACAUGAAAUUUCUUCUUACAAAGAUUGCAUGAUUUUUAUAUUAGAGUUGUUCACGUGCAAUGUAUUUAGCUUGUUUUGCAGUUAAAUUAAUUGGAUAAGUAAACAUUGGCAUUUCUAAAUCGACUGUGAAGUGCUUCAUGUACGUGUAAAGUAUUAGAAAUUUCUUUCUUGGCAACUUGUUUUUUCCUUGCCAUCUACUGGUAGGUUUGACUAAAAUUAUAUUCCCUGUCAUGCUAAUUAAUUUUCAUGUGCAUGCUCAAAAGAAGAGUAUGACCUUAGUGCACCAAAAUCACUUUGAUUAAUUUGUGAUAGGUUUUUUUGCAUCAUUUAGAUAAUGUUUAGUUCUAAGAAAAAUUUAUAUAAAAAUGGUUUAUUUAUCUUACAUAUAUAUAUAUAUAUAUAUAUUUUUUUUUUUUUCAUUUUUUUUUCUUCUAUUUUAUUUAUUUAUUUUAUUUUCCUUAUGUUUUCCUCACAUUUUCCGGAACUAAACAUAGUCUUACGAAAUCAACAAUUGCCUUCAACUGAGUAGAUUCUGUUGUUUUAGCAAUGUUAGGCUGCUAACUUGUGGUGGUACGAACCAAAUGACCCAUGUUAAUCUUGGCUUGGUUUGAUUUGGCUCUAUCUCAGAGAGCUAAAGGAUCACGUCAACUCUGGUUUCUACUAUUCAGGUCCAUUCCCAGAUGAACUGGUUCAAAUUUGAGAAAAUGGUAACAGACCUUUAGUGAUGUUGGUUUGGAGCCAGUUGCCAAACCCGCCCUGAGCUUUACCACUAAUGUCAAGGGAGAAAGCCAUUUGAACAAAAACAAUAGCUUCAAGAGACUGAAUCGUGGAUGAAAUCUGAUCCACAUUUCUUCUCAUUUUGGGAAAAAAUGAGAACUUAACUACAAAGAUUCUACUGCCUCAUUCAUAGUGCUUUUCCUGAUCCAAGGUUGGUUCGUUUCCCAAAUUGUGAGGUGCACGUGCCACUCUCACGCUCAGGAGUGUAUCCACGUGGUGGACAUCAGAUGGUGGCUUAAUAUCUGGUGUCGGUGGCUUUACUUUACUAGGAGAGUAGUGUGUCUUCAUCUCAUUCACUGCCGGAGGGUGGCGUAAGCAGUGACGCUAAGGUGGGGCACAGUCAAUAUCAUUUGCAUUUGACCAUUAUAGUUUUCUCCCGGCUUGAAAGUAACCUUAUCGUGAUAAAGGAUUACUAGCACUAGUUCAGAUGACCGUCAUGUUAAUUCGGACCAUGUUUGUGUCACAUUAUCAGCAACCAUGUGUUUAUGGUUCAUGCUAUCUGCAACUAAACUUGAUAUAUAACCAGGUGAACUUCAAUCAAAAUUCUGGAAGUACUCUUGUGAUAGAUGGUGCCUGUCUGCAGAGUCCAUCAAUUGAAAAAUGGAGUGAGUGUAUCUAUAAGAGGGAAGGCUUGGCAAAUGUUCAGUUUUCUGGGAAUUCAACAAGGAUCUAAAAUAGAUUGUUUUCUUUGCCGACUUCAAUGGUUGAAAUUUGAGAAGAUUGUGUCCACAUAUCACAACUAUUACUGGUCCUUCUGUUGCAAUUUAUCCUGUAAGGCUCUAACAUGUCUUCCAAUUCCCACUUCCCUGUUACUCCAGGAAAGCUAUUUCUGUCAUUGUGAAGAAGAAAAGAGAAUGUACAUAUCGAUGCUUUUAAGUGACUGGAGCAUUCAUAUCAGGUGGUCUGCAGCCAUAUAUGCCACUUUGUGAAGGUUGGAACAGUCAAUCACUAGGCUAUAUAUUGGUGUGGCCCAGCCACUUCAAUCAAGGACAAGUCUUCAUACUUAAAGUCAAAUUCUGCCUUUAGUCUCAUUAUAAAUUGCUGUUUAAAUAUUAAGCAAACUUUUGUUUAAUGCGAUUAAGACAGUACUAACUCAAUACUUGUUCUAUUUUUGGAUGCAAAUGCUUGAUGGUUUCAUCAUUGGAUGGGAUAAAGGUGCAUUCAUGAUUAUGAAUACUUGUAGUUAUAUUUUCAUUCUCUUUUUUCUCAAUGAGACUUGUUGGCACAAUGUUGCUGUUCAGAAACCUACCUCUCCAUGGAAAAUAAGUUGCGAUUGAUAGUACUGGAUAUGUUCAAGAAAGCUAAAUAUAGAUAGCACAAAAUAUUAUCGAUAUAAAUAGCAUUAACAGCGUACGUAUGUCUCAAUGCUCAUCAGCUAUAAGCAUGGGACAAACACUUACUAUGAGCAACUUACGUCAAAAUUCCAGAAUAGGACAUAGAAGUGACAGAUCUAUAUAUAUAGAACACUGCAUAUGAGUCACAAGAAAGGAAAUUACGGGUGCAUAGCAGCUCUUAUUUUACAUACUACUACUCAUACUGAUCAAAGUCACUCAGUUGGGAUGGGUGGGAGUAGGAGGUUUGUGGGGUGGCUUGUGCGGAGGAGUUGGCAGCUUCUUUCCAGGACCUGGUUGCUUCUCUGCUGGAGUUGAAGGAGGCUUAAUCUUCCGAGGUGGCUUGUAUGAGUCUUCAGCAUUCUCAGCUGGAGGGUGACCAGGGUUGUGACCAUAAUGUGGUGGCUUCUCUCCCUUAGGUGGUUUGCCAACUGGGGUUGGUGGCUUGUAUGAGUCUUCAGCAUUCUCAGCAGGAGGGUGACCAGGGUUGUGACCAUAAUGUGGUGGCUUCUCUCCCUUAGGUGGUUUGCCAACUGGGGUUGGUGGCUUGUGUUCUGGGAGUGGCUUCUCCCCCUUGGGAGGUUUUUCCAAUGGGGUUGGUUUGUGUUCAGGAGGUGGCUUCUCCACUGGAGGCUUGUGUUCAGGAGGUGGCUUCUCCACCGGUGGCUUGUGUUCAGGAGGUGGCUUCUCCACCGGAGGCUUAUGCUCUGGUGGUGGCUUCUCCACCGGAGGCUUAUGCUCUGGUGGUGGCUUCUUGAAUGGGGGAUGCUGAGGGUAAUCAGCAAGUGAGGGGGCGGUGAGAACCACCAGGCCAAGCAACACCACUAGCAAAUAUGUAGGAGACAUCUUUGGGUUUGGGCUCAGAUGGUGCAAAACUAGGAGAAUUGGCUAGCCUUUUAUAGCGGAUCGUACUCAAUAAUGAAAUGACACGUGUCAUUAUGACCCAUGUGUAAUGGGGUCGAUUUGGGUCCUACAGUGUUGAAAACUUCGACAUCCAGUUUUGGCCUUUUGCUUUCUCUACAGCCGCCUUGCUUUUUCCCUCUUUCCUUUUGUUUUCCUCCUGCCCCAUUCUAUCAACUAAACACAAUUAUGUAGUUGUUUAAUUCUUAAAUGAGAUAUUAUCGGUCAAUCGUAUUAUAUUUUAUCAAGAGAGAACGGAGUGCAAUGCAGCUGUAAUUUUAUCGUUUACUUUUAUCUCUUGGACCACUGCAUUUUUGUUAAGAGGUGCAAUAAUACACGUCUUUAUCUGCCAUUCAAUGUUUACAGUAAAGAGAGGGCACAAAACUCUUCACUGCUCUGCAUGUGUCCCAAAAAUGCGAUUGGACAAAUUAUGAUUUGCAUGCUAAAAAGAGGCAAAUGAGGUUAAUUCGCACCAUAAUUAUUUGGUUUUCUGGACACCAUAAAAAGAUGUUAUACAGGCAGGGAAAAACCUUCAGAGUUAGCUACCAAAGAUAAUUAUCAAGCAGAUAUCACCAAGAGAAUUCCAUAGAGUCUGAAUCAAAGACAGAUUGCUCGCUCGUGGGGGUUCUUACUUUCUUUUGGGUAUAACUCACUGAGGUCACUGUCUUUUUUAUUUGCAUUUCACAGUUAGAGUUCUGCUCUGGAAGGUUUGUUCUGGAAACAUAUAAAAGGAGCAUCAUUUUGUUCUUGGGUAACCCAUAGUCGUGAGUGGGUCCAUUUGCAUGCUACUUAGUUGAAAAGUUGGACAAUUUGCUCCGACGCCUACCUCCUGGAUUCCAUGCUCGGUAAAACAAGAAUAAAAAAAAAUAUAUAAUUUACAAAUGGGGGAAAGAAAAAAUGUCGGAAAAAAUAGUAAAAUUCAUGUCACAUGCUAGUGAGAGAAGGGGUUGUUACACUCACUCGAAGUUCUUUUCAAAAUAUCGAAUGGUAUUUUACUUUAUGUGUCAGCGCAGUUGUGAAUGGAACGUGCAAAAGUCCAAAUUGGCGUUUUUAUUUUUCCCAUGUAGGAUGGUGACCUUUAAUAAAUAUUUAAAACAAAAGACGAAAAAAAAAAGGAGGGAAAAGGGAUCACAAAAGAUAAAAUAAUGUUUACAAAAGCUCAAUUAGUUUGCAAAUUACUGUUUGGAUUUUGAUAGUAUUUUAUUUGUCGUUCUAUAUUUGAUGUAAAAGAGAAUUUAAGAUAUUUCCGAAGCAAAAGCAUUAGUUUGCUCUGUGAUGUCCCACAUCGAAUAGGGGAGAAAGUUUCUGGCGCUAUAUAUGUAGAGGCUCCUCUUAACCAAGUAGAUGCGUUUUAAAACCAUGAGGGCCCCCUUAGGUCCAAAGCGGACAAUAUCUACAUGAUUGGGUGUAAGUCAUUACAAAUGGUAUCAGAGCCGAUCCCCGACCCCGGUGUGGGGGUUUGUUUGGCCCUGUAAGGGGUGUUUGUCUGUUUGACCCCACAAUCCCAUGGGACACAACGAGGACGUUGUGUCUGCAUGGGGGGGCGUUUGUGAUGUCCCACAUCGGAUAGGGGAGAAAGUUCCUAGUGCUAUAUAUGUAGAUGUUUCUCUUAACCAAGUAGAUGCAUUUUAAAAUUGUGAGGGCCUCUUUGGGCCCAAAGCGGACAAUAUCUACAUGGUUGAGUGUAAGUCAUUACAUGCUCCAUGUCAAUUUCAGCAUUUCUCAUAUGUUUCACACAUACACAGAAGAGCAUCGUUUUUUAAAGCAUGCAUUUAUGUUGGAUUAAUUUGGAUUUUGUGGGAACUGGGGCAAGGAUCACAUGGAAGAGAGGUUGACUUUUUUCAGUACUUCAAUGGUUGAAAUAUGUGAAGGCUUGAUUGAUACUAAAGCUUGAAAUUGCGACUCUGUCAUUUGUAAAAAAAUAUGACAGCUUCCAUGCUCUCGUUUGGUUGCAUUGUCCGGUCGAGAGGUGCAAAAAGCAUUCUCUCUCUUCUAAUAGUCUUUUCGUUUAAAUCAAGGGAUUUGCCUUCCCGGUCGAGGUCCAAUAGAGGGUAACGGUCACCUACUAAACAUUAAAUGCUCCAACAACUAGUGAACUGAUCGACCCCAGCUCGACUAGUUGAGGUUACUUUUUGGUUUUCUUGUCUCCCGAGGUUAGAAACCUAUAAAUAGAGAGCUUCACUUCAUUUAUGAGUAAGAGAACACCUAAAUUUAUUUGUUUACCUACUUGUUUUUGCCAUAAAAGCUCUCAUUUCUUUUCUUGGUGUAUUAAAUCUCCAUUUGCAUAUCCUUUAGUGCACCUUUGUGAUUCAUUCUAGCCUUGAGUUGUAUUUAAGCCUUUGUUGAGCUAGGUUGAGAGUUUCAUACUUGUUUAUUGAGUGUUAAAGCCUUCAAGUGAGUUAAAACUUGAAGAGAUUGUGUAAGAGCCCAUUGGAGUCGGAAUCCAAGUGUAAAGGUGAUUAAAAGCUUGGUUGAAGCUUCAAGUUAGUGGAACUCUCACUCGGUUAUGAGCUUGAGAAGAGUGGACAUAGACAAGGCAGUGUCGAACCACUAUAAAAUCUGAGUUUGAUUUCUCUAACCUUAUCUCUUUAUAUUUGCUUCUCUUGUGCUUAAAUUUUUUGUGUUUAAAAAGAAUUUUUAAAAACUCAAUUCACCCCCUUCUUGGGAGUUUUUCUCUUUUAAGAUCAGCUUUUAUUUUCUCAAUUGGUAUCAGAACUAUGCCUCUUGUUUAAGACUUAAUCGUCUAAGAGGAAAUGGCUAAUCCAUCAAGUUCAUCUCACAUUGAAAGUUUUGCAACCAAUAGACUUCUUUUUUUUUUUUUGCGGGAACUGAUUAUCCCUAUUGGAAAACUAAAAUGACUUGGUUUUUACAAUCAAUUGAUUUAGAUGUAUGAGAUGCCAUUGAAGAUGACCUAACUUUUCCUUCAAAACUAGUUGAUGGAGUCAUGGUUCCAAAACCUAAGCAAGAAUGGGAUGAGCGUGAUUGAAGAAAUUUUCAAUUAAAUGCUAAAGUCGUUUAUACUUUGCAAUGCUCUAUGGACAGAAAUGAAUAUAAUAGAAUAUGUCAAUGCAAAUCGGUUAAAGAAAUUUGGAGAUUGCUUGAAAUAACUCAUAAAGGAACAAAUCAAGUUAAAGAGUCAAAAAUCAAUUUACUUGUUCAUAGAUAUGAAUUGUUUUUUAUGAAAGAUAAUGAAACUAUUGUUAAGAUGAUCACUAGGUUCACCAACAUUGUUAAUGGUCUUAAAGCCUUGGGAAAGACCUACAAGGAAUCCGAAAACGUGAUGAAGAUCUUGAGGUCACUUCCAUCAAAGUGGCAUACCAAGGUCACCGCAAUUUAAGAAGCAAAAGACUUGAUCAAGCUACCUUUGGAGGAGUUCAUAGGGUCAUUGAUGACAUAUGAAAUCAAUUUGGCAAAGAAGUAACAAAAAGGUGAAGACAAAAAGAAGAAGAACAUAACUCUCAAAGCUACAACUAAGGAAGAAGAAGUUGAAGAAGAAAAACAAAUUGAAGAAGAUGAAGAUUUAGCCCUCAUCACAAGAAAGUUCAACAAAUUCAUGAGGGGUGAAAGGUUUAGAAGAAGAAGGUUCACUUCUAGAAGAGACUUUUCUAAAAAGGAAUCUUCAUCUAAUGGUGACAAAAAGAGAUGGGAAGAGAAAAGAGACUUGGUGUGUUUCAAGUGCAAGAAACCGGGACACAUUAAAUAUGAUUGUCCUCUCUACAAAAGUGAAGUCAAGAGGAAAAAGAAUAAGGCAAUGAUGGCCACUUAGAGUGAAAGUGAAGAUGAAUCAUCCGAAGAAGAAAAUGAGAAAGAAGUGGCAAACAUGUGUUUCAUGGCAAUAGAUGAACUUGAUGAGGUAAAAUCUAACCUUAGUGAUUAAGAUAUACAUGAUGCAUUUGAAGAAUUGUAUGAGGAUUUUUAAAAACUUAGUUUGAAAAAUAUUUCUCUUAAAAAGAAAGUUCAACAACUUGACAAAGAACUUAGAGAAGUAAAAGAAAAAUUUUCAAAUGUUAAAGUUUCUAAAACUCAUCUUGAAAAAGAAAAUGAGAUUCUAAGAAAGAAAAAUGAAUAGUUGAACUCCUCUCUUUCAAUCUUUUCUUCUAGACAAAAAUCUUUUGAAAUGAUUCUAACUAGCUAAAAAUGUGUUUUUGACAAACAAGGGUUAAGAUUUAAAUCUUCAAAAAAUCAAAAGUAUUUUAAAAACUAUUUUGUAAAGGAAUCCACAAGUGCAAGUCCUUCCACUACUUGCAACUUUUGUGGAAGAGAAUGGCACAUUAGUAGUACGCCCUUUAAGAAAUGGUUCUCAAAAGAAUUUAAAUGCAAAAACUAAAAAAGAUUUGGAUUGAGAAAUCCAAGGUCACUAACCCUCAAGGACCCAAAAAGAUAUAGGUACCUAAAUCAACUUGAGUUUUAUGUUGUAAGGUUCAAAGAAUGAUAAGUGGUUCUUAGAUAAUGGUUGCUCAAGACACAUGACCGGAGAUGAAUCCAAGUUUGCUUUUCUUAAAAAGAAAAAUGGAGGAUAUGUUACCUUUGGAGACAAUGCAAAAGAAAGGAUGAUUGGUCAAGGCAACAUUGGUAAUGGCACAUCCUCUCUCAUUGAAAGUGUUUUAUUAGUAGAUGGUUUCAAACAUAACCUUUUAAGCAUUAGUCAAUUUUGCGACAAAGGUUUUUAAGUGAUUUUUUAAGCAUCUCAUUGCAUCAUCAAGGAUAUUCAAAAUGAUAAAACCAUUUUCAUGGGCCAUAGAUGUGAUAAUGUUUAUGCUAUAAAUAUUUCAAAAUAUGAUGGCCAUGAUAGAUGUUUUUCAAGCAUGCAUGAUCAAAGUUGGUUGUGCCAUAGGAGAUUGAGACAUGCUAACAUAGACCUCAUUUCCCAACUCAACAAAGAUGAACUUGUUAGAGGCCUUCCCAAAAUAAUUUUUUAAAAAGAUAAAGUUUGUGAAGCUUGUCAAGUGGGAAAGUAAAUCAAAAACUCUUUUAAAAACAAAAACUUCAUUUCCACAUCUAGGCCACUUGAGUUGUUGCAUAUGGAUUUAUUUGGUCCCUCUAGGACACCAAGUCUUAGAGGAAAUUCUUAUGCAUAUGCUAUUGUGGACGACUUCUCUAGAUACACAUGAGUCUUGUUUUUUAGUCAAAAGAAUAAAGUUUUUUAUGAGUUUUCAAAGUUUUGCAAUAAGAUUCAAAAUGAAAAAGGUUUUUCAAUUACUUAUAUAAGAAGUGAUCAUGGGAGAGAAUUCGAAAAUAUUGAUUUUGAAGAGUAUUGCAAUGAGCAUGGAAUUGACCACAAUUUUUUGGCUCUUAGAACUCCUCAACAAAAUGGGGUAGUUGAAAGGAAAAAUAGAACUCUUCAAAAAAUGACAAGAACCAUACUAAAUGAAAACAACUUACCAAAAUAUUUUUAGGCCAAAACGGUUAACACUUCUUGUUAUGUUUUAAAUAGAGUAUUAUUGAGGCUCAUACUUAAGAAAACUCCCUAUGAGCUUUGGAAAAACAAAAAACCCAACAUUAGUUAUUCCAAAGUCUUUGGAUGCAAUAUUUUAUAAUAAACACCAAAGACAAUCUUGGAAAAUUUGAUGCAAAAUUGGAUGUUGGAAUUUUCCUUGGUUACUCAACUUCAAGUAAAGCUUUUCGAGUUUUAACAAAAGAACCAUGGUUGUAGAGGAGUCCAUCCAUGUUAUUUUUUAUGAAUCUCCAAGAAAGAGAGAGGAUUGAUGAUGAUUUAGGUUUGAAGACCUCUAUAGGAAGAUUGCAAAUCGAAGAUAGAAGACAACAAGAAGAAAAUGGAGAGAAUCCAAAGAAAGAAGGAUCACCAUUGGCACUACCCCCUCAUCAACAAGCGCAAGGUGAAUCAAGUCAAGAGCUUCCUAAAGAAUGGAAGUUUGUCAUCAAUCACCCACAAGAUCAAAUUAUAGGCAAUCCAUCUAGUGGGGUAAGAACUAGAUCCUCUCUUAGAAAUAUUUGCAAUAAUCUAGCUUUUAUCUCUCAAAUUGAGCCUAAAAAUAUAAAUGAUGUUUUAGAUGAUGAAAAUUGGAUAAUUGCAAUGCAAGAAGAGUUAAAUCCAUUUGAAAGAAGUGGAGUAUGGGAAUUAGUACCAAGACCUUCAAAUCAAAGUGUUAUUGGAACUAGAUGGAUCUUUAGAAAUAAAAUGGAUGAAAAUAGCAUAAUUGUUAGAAAUAAAGCAAGAUUGGUAGCCCAAGGUUUUAAUCAAGAAGAAAUGAUAGAUUAUGAAGAAACCUUUGCCCCCGUAGCUAGGUUGGAAGCCAUUAGGAUGCUACUUGCCUUUGCAUGUUUUAAAGACUUUGUUUUAUAUCAAAUGGAUGUGAAAAGUGCUUUUUUAAAUGGUUUUAUAAAUGAAGAAGUAUAUGUUGAACAACCACCCGGUUUUCAAAGUUUCAACUUUCCUAACCAUGUUUUUAAACUUAAAAAGACACUUUAUGGUUUGAAACAAGCACCUAGAUCAUGGUAUGAAAAAUUGAGUAAAUUUCUUUUGAAAAAAAUGUUUUAAAAUGGGAAAAAUUGACACAACUCUUUUUAUAAAAACCAAAGAAAAUGAUAUGCUCUUAGUUCAAAUAUAUAUUGAUGAUAUCAUUUUUGGUGCUACUAAUGUCUCUCUUUAUGAAGAAUUUUCUAAGUGCAUGCAUAGUGAGUUUGAAAUGAGCAUGAUAGGAGAACUCAACUUCUUCCUUGGACUUCAAAUCAAGCAACUAAAGGAAUGAACCUUCAUCAAUCAAGCAAAGUAUAUAAGAGAUCUUCUCAAAAGGUUCAACAUGGAAGAAGCCAAAACAAUGAAGACUCUAAUGAGCUCAUCCAUUAAGCUUGAUAAGGAUGAGAAAGGUAAAUCCAUUGACUCUAUUAUGUAUAGAGGCAUGAUAGGUUCUUUGCUCUAUUUGACCACUAGUAGACCUUACAUUAUGUAUAGUGUGUGUUUGUGUACUAGAUUUCAAUCUUGUCUUAAAAAAUCUCACUUAAGUGUCGUGAAAAGAAUCCUCAAAUAUUUGAAAGGGACAAUGGACAUAGGCUUAUGGUAUCCUAAGAGUGAUAACUUUGAAUUAAUUGGUUUUUUGGAUGCUGAUUUUGUCAGUUGUAGGGUUGAAAAAUAAAACACUAGUGGCACUUUUCAUUUCUUAAGACACUUACUUGUCUCAUGGCAUAAUAAGAAGCAAAAUUUGGUAGCUUUGUCAACAGCAGAAGCUAAAUACAUAGCAACUGGUUUAUGUUGUGCACAAAUCCUUUGGAUGAAAUAAACACUUAGUGAUUUUGAUUUAUCUUUUGAGCAUAUUCCUAUUAAAUGUGAUAAUAGUAGUGCCAUAAGUAUAUCAAAAAAUCUCGUGCAACACUCUAGGACUAAGCAUAUAGAGAUUAGACAUAAUUUUCUUAGAUAUCAUACACAAAAGGAUGAUAUAACACUUGAAUUUGUAAGCAUAAAAGACCAACUUGCCGAUAUCUUUACAAAACCUCUAAGAACAUUUUGUUGAUAUUAGAGGACAAUUAGGAGUGAUUUCUUUAUGAUCUAAUGUGAUGAAUUCUUGAUGAAUAUACUUUUUGAUUGCAUGAAUUUCAUGUCAUAUAUGCAUCAUAUAGAAAUAUACUUAGAUAAUGGUCAAAUUUCGACCAAAAAUCAAAAUUCCCAUGGCAUUAGGCAUAAAAAUUUUGGAAUUUCAACUGAAAAUGGUAGGAGGAGGAUCACAAAAUGAGAAAGUAUGCAAAAAUUGAAAAAUCAAAACGUUGACCAAGCGGUCAAUCGGACUAGACCGAUCGACUAGUUUGUCGAGAUUUAGGAUUUUUAAGAGACUCCAACGCUUCAAUUUUUGCACCGUUCUCCUCUAUUUCUUCACGGUUUCUCUGAUUUUGUCUUUUAGAGACUAAUUUGAGUGCGUUUUGGAUCAAUUGAAGCAUUUUGGAUUGGAUUUUAGGAAGAUUGAAAGUUAAGGUUUCGGAUUUGGGUCGCCUUCUCUUCCUCUCGCGUGUCACAAUCAGCUUUAGCAUUGUUCUCUUUCCAUUUUCACACACCUAGGGUUUCAGUUGUGAGCAUCUCUCUCUCUUUACCAACCACUACUCCCUUGCUUCUUCCAUAUGGCUCCUAGGCGAGAGUCCGCUACUUCUAGGGCACAAGGCAAGCACCCAACUGAGUCGUCUCAGUCAAAGGCACGUCGAAAAGUGAGAUUUGACAUUGCCUUGUUCAGUUCCAUGGAGGACUACCAACUAUACAAGCAACACUUUGCUUAGAGACGAGUAGUUCCCAAGAGAAAUAUUAAUUUUCCUCAACUUCAGCAUUUCGAAUUUAAGGGUCUAUUUACUAGGAUGGUUGGUUGUCUAUUGUCACAAUUUCGGAGCCGGUUUUCCUGACCUUAGUGCGAGUUUUUUACUCGAGGGCGACUUAUGGCAUGGGUGGCAUGAUCAUUUCUACUGUUGGAGGAGUUGAGAUCUGUCUGGACCCAGAGAGCAUCUGCCAUAUUUUCGAUAUUGCUCUGGUUGGACUCAAAGUAUACAAGUCCAAAAUGUGGCCCAUUGUGCCAGGAUUUGAGCUUAGAGAGGUCAUUCAGAGGAUUUGUGAACUUCCAGACGCCCAGGAGAUGGGCAAACCAUUGCCACACAGUUUGACGGUCAUCAACAGGGUGCUACACCAUAUAUUGUGCUCUAUCUUUCUACCACGAAGUGGACAUUGAGAUGAGGUCUCUUAUUAUGAGGCAUUCCUUAUUGACUCCAUUCUAACGGAGAGACGAAUUCAUCUACUAUGUCAUCAUUCACUAAGCCUCCUCACAGUGACAUACCACCUCAUCAGGCACCUCUUGCUCCUGACCAUGCUCCAUUGAUGGAUUUAUUUACUCAUAUUAGCUCUCUAGGCACUCGCAUGAAGGAGUUUGUUGUAGUUAGUGAUACAUGGUUCUACUCCAUAGAGGAUCGCAUGGAUCAGUAUCAGACUGGCUUCACGUCACAGUUUGAGUAUCUCCAAUAGAGGAUUGAGCAUAUUGAGGAUCACUUGAGCAUGAGAAGAUGAUGGCUUUUCUAUGCUCUGUGUUUCCACCUCCACCUCGUCAACCUUGAUUUCUUAGAGACCCAUUGUUUUCAUUUUGUAAUGUUGCCAAAAGGGGGAGAUAUUUAGGAUCUAGGACUCUAUAGGAGACUUACAUGCAUAUCAUUUUCAUAUCAUUGUUUGGAUCGUACAUAUUGGAUAGUGAUACUUUUUACUUAUAUAUGAUAUGCCUAUAUGUUUCAUGUCUUACAUUGUUUCUUAUUGCAAAUUAUCUCUAACAUGUCUUGAUUAUCUUUUUUUUAACUUCAUAAAUUUUGAUUGUUAACCCAUGAUUGGUUUGAGGGGAAGAUUCUUCUUCUCCUAGAUAACCAAGGUUUGUCAUCAUAAAAAAAUUGGAGAUUGUUAGCCCAAGGGUUCUCCUAAUCAUGUUUUGAUGAUAACAAACCAUGCUUAAGUUACUAAUUGGUUUGAAUUAUAAAGAAUUUCAAGUGUUAAUUUGAAAAUUCAUCAAAGAACCUAAUGGAUGCAAGAUCAAGAUUUUUGGAAGACCUUUAAUCAUAAGAAACAUAUGUAAGAUGAAUGCAUGGGUGCACUUAAGAUUUGCAUAUCAUUUCAUGCAUAUUUGGAAAACACGGUUUAUGCUUUAAAGUUACAUUUCCAUCAAAAUUUGAGAUCCAUCAAAUGAACCUUAGGAAAAAUGUUUUAAAAUUGGCAUAUAAUUUUACCUAAAGACCUUGCCUAAGUGUUAGAAGCAAAAGGACAAAAAAAAUAUAGGUUUUCUGGUCAAAAAUGGUGAACCAGUCAAGGCAUUGUCUAAAUCAGCUCAAUCGGCCAAGGUACCGGUCGAUCGGUUUCCCUUUCCCUGUCGAGAUCUAGUCAAGAGGUACAAAAAUCACAAUCUCUGUCUCUUUCUCUCUUUGUCUAUCUUCCAGUAGUCUUUCCUUCCCGGUCGAGGGAUUUGCCUUCCCGAUUGAGGUCCGAUUGAGAGUAAUAGUCACUUGCCAAAUAUUAAAUGCUCCAACAGUUAGUGAACUGGUCGACCCCCACCUUGCCCAGUUGAGGUUACUUUUUGGUUUUCUUGGCUCCCGAUGUUAGAAACCUAUAAAUAGAGAGUUCCACUUCAUUUAUGAGCAAGAGAACACUUGCAUUUAUUUGUUUACCUACUUGUUCUUGCCUUAAAAGCUCUCAUUUCUUUUCUUGGUGCAUUAAAUCUCCAUUUUGAUAUCCUUUAGUGCACCUUUGUGAUUCAUCUUAGCCUUGAGUUGUAUUUGAGCCCUUUUUUUAGCUAGGUUGAGAGUUUCAUACUUGUUAAUUGAGUGUUAAAGCCUUCAAGUGAGUUGAAACUUGUAGAGAUUAUGUGAGAGUCGAUUGGAGCCGAAAUCCAAGUGUAAAGGUGAUUAGAAGCUUGGUUGAAGCUUCAAGUUAGUGGAAUCCUCACUCAAUUAGGAGCUUGAGGAGAGUGGACGUAGCCAAGGAAGUGUCGAACCACUAUAAAAUUUGAGUUUGAUUUCUCUAACAUUGUCUCUUUAUAUUUGUUUAUCUUGUGCUUAAAUUUAUUGUGUUUAAAAAGAAUUUUUAAAUACCCAAUUCACCCCCCUCUUGGGUGUUUUUCUCUUUUAAAAUUAGCCUUUAUUUUCUCACAAACUAUUGUAGUAUAGUGGUUUUUAGGUGUCAUCCAUUAGGAUGAAUUGUUCUCGGUAAUUAAGGCGUGAAUGAGAGGAGAAUUAAUGAUUGUGAUUAAGUAAAAUUGAUUUGAAAAUUCAUGGUGAAAAAUCAAUUUAACAAUGGUUUCUAAUUGAGAAAAACAAUGAAAUGUGAAAUAAAAUAAAAUUAAUAGGAAAUGAAAUUCUCGAAGUUAGAAUUUUCUAAAAAACAAAUUCCAUGGUGAAUGGAUGUUGAGAUCUAAUUUUCAUCAAGUUAGAUUGAAAACCGAAAUUUUCAUAUAAACUGAUUUUUUAUUUAGUUUUAGGUCUAGAUUUAAUUUCCCUUAAAAUUAGGUUAUUUAAUCCAAGAAAUCAAUUCAAAUCAUAUAUUCAAUUCAUCUUAAAUUAUCUUCCAAUUAUUCACACAAUGCAACUAUUCAAUCUCAUCAAAUCUAGCUUUUAAGAAUUUAAUGAAUCUACCUAGUUUGCAUUGUAAUAGUCAUCCAUGACAAUUUGAAGAGAAAAAUAAUUCAAUUAAUCAAUCACUUGGAUCAAAUUACCUUUGCAAUUAAAGUUCAUUUCUCUAAUUCACCACAGAUUUUGUCUCUAGAUCCUCCUUUCUCAAAGAAAAAUGAGAUUUAGCCACACAUGAUUGGAGAUUUGGUCUCAUAAGGCAUGUUUAGCUAGUGAUAAAAUGAGAGAAAAUAAAGAAAAAUAGAGAAUUCGAUUAAGAAAGAAAAUCUAAAAAAUUCUACAAUUAGAAAUGUCCAAAAAGCUUUUUCAUGAGAAAAUCAAGUUUCUAUUUAUAGGCCAAGGUCAAGUGGACACUUGACAUCAUCUAAGAGGUCUUCCGGAAGCUUCUUCAUCAAGAAAUCUGGAGUUUAAUAAUAAAAUGGUCAUUUCACAAGAGCUCAAACAAUUUCGCAUGAUUAUGUGAAAUAAAAAAUGCAACAACAGCAAUUUACAUCUUCUUGGAGCAUUUCGCAUGACUGUGUGAAAUUUUCACAUGAUCAUGUGGAAUCGACUUGACAACUCUCAUUUAGCCUACAACAUAAUUCCACCUUUUGGUCCAUUUUUCAUAGUCAUGCGAAAUGGAAAUAUUUGAUUUUUAAGUUUUCUUUUGUCAUUUCUUUCAUUUCCUUCUCUUGAUUCCACUUCAACUACCUCCGAAUCCUGGUCCAAACCAAUUGCAUUACUUCUUUCAUUAUGCAUUUGGAUCAUCAUCAACAUUAUUUGUUCUCUUCAAUUUGAUUCAUCUCUUUUGUCACCAAUUUAUCAAAAUCAUACCUUGAAAUGACUCCAAAACUUCAUAAAACUUGUUAGUAACUCUUGCAAGGGCAACAACAUAUUAAUUAAGUGUUUUAGGCAUAGUUACUACUCAAAAGAUGCGAAACUCAUGAUAAUUAUUAUAUAAAAUAUGCUCUUUUUGAGUAGUAAUCAACUUUCUUGCAUAAGCAGACCUUUUAGGGUGGAGUACUAAAGACCAAUAUGCUUGUCCUUGUUGUAAUAAAGAAACUUGCUCUUAUUGAUUGCACCAUGGGAGAAAAUUUUGCUACAUGAGUUAUCAUCAAUUUCUUCCCACCAAUCAUAGAUUUAGACGUGACAAGAGGCCUCUUAAUGGCAAGGAGGAACUGACACUCACACUUAUACAAUUAUCGGGCAUUGAUGUGUUGCAACAAUUAGAAUAACUUACACCAAUUAUGUUGGGGAAGUCACAAAAGGCAAACAUGAAAACUAAAAGGAAAAAAGAAAAAUGUUACAUAUCACCACAACUGGAAAGAAAAAAGUAUUUACUUUCAUUUGCCAUAUUGGAAAGCACUUAUUUUACAUCAUAAUAAUUUAGACAUAAUGCAUAUUGAGAAAAAUGUGUGACAAUAUAAUUGAGACAUUGUUCAGUAUUGACGAAGAAACAAGGACAACCUAAAUAGUCAUCUCGAUUUACAAGCUCUAACUAUUAGAAAUGAGAUUCACCCAAUAGAAAGCAGGACCAAAUUUAUUUUGCUUGCAACAUGCUACUCACUCACCCCAAAUGAGAUUAAGGAAUUUUGCAAGUUUUUGAAAUCAAUAAAGGUCCCCAAUGGCUAUUCUUUCAAUAUCUCUCGUUAUGUGCAACUCAAUGAAAGGAAGAUAUAUGAGCUCAAAUUGUAUGAUUGUCAUGUCCUAAUGCAACAACUUCUCUCACUUGUAGUUCGUGGAGUUCUACAUAAGAAUGUUUGUGGAGUUAUCAUAGAAUUGCGUAAUUUUUUCAAGCAAUUGUGCUCAAAGGUGUUAGAAACAAAUCACUUACACCAACUUGAGAACAAUAUUAUUGUCAUACUAUGUAAAAUGGAGCAAAUAUUUCUUCCAUCAUUCUUUGAUAUUAUGGUGCAUUUACUUGUGCAUCUAGUAAGGCAAAGGUUGCAAGACUUGUGCAAUAUUGUUGGAUGUACCUAAUUGAACGAUAUUGUUAUAAUUUCAUAUGAAUCAUUUAAUUUUAUUUUAUAUUAUGUUCAGUUCAUUAACAUGUACAUUGGUCUACAUAUGGAUGAUGAUAGGUACCUAAGCACUUUAAAGUCAUAUGUGCGUAAUAGAACUUUUCUAGAAGGUUCUAUUGUAGAAAGGUACCUUGCAAAAGAAUGUACAACAUUUUAUUCUAGGUACUUGAAUGAUGUGGAAAUAAAGUAUAAUCACAAUGAUAGAAACUUUGUUGGUUUCAACACUAGAGGAGAUGAAAGGGGUUAUCUUUAAACAUAUUGGACAUGCAUUGGGAAAGCCCAUAUUUCAUUAACUUAGUUCAAAAGAGUGGUCACAAGCACAUUUAUAUGUGUUGACAAAUUGCGAAGAUGUCAUACCAUUCAUUGAGUAAAAAAUUUAUUUGAAUUUUAAUUAAAGCUCUAGUUUAUAUCCUUAAUCAAUGUUUUUUAAAUUCACAAGGAGCACAAGCAAACCAUCAAGGCUAGACCACAUAUACGUGUUUGAGACGUAGAUUUAAUUCAUAACAAGGAAUUUAUCAAGUGGUUUGAAAGACAUGUAAGUAUAUUCCUUAUUAUAAGGGAUUUAUUUCACAUUAUGUUUAUAUUGAAUCCAAACCUAUUAUUGAAUUGUAGGUUGAACAAUUACAUAAUGAAGGUCAUAUAUCUGAACACCUUCUCACAUUAUCAUGUGUUCCAAAUUCAUUAGUUACAUGCUUCAAAUGAUAUAUUGUCAAUGGAUUUAGAUCCCACAUUAAAGAACGUGAUAAAAAAGUUUUUAAAAAAAGACUCAGAAUAAUGGAAUUGUUGUAGUUGCAAAAACGUCAAGCUUUACAAGUGCAUGUGAUAUGAGUCCAAUUAUUAGUGAUGCUCUCUACUAUGGUGUUCUAACUAAAGUUGUUGAGUUACAUUAUCUUGGUGAAAAUAAGGUUGUUUUAUUCGAGUUUGAUUGGUGGGAUGUUACAAAUAUUGGAAAAUUGAUAAAAGAUGAUGAGUACAAUUACACAUUUGUUAACUUUGCAUGAAUUCUAACCACGAACGAACGAUUUGUACUUGCAUCUCCAGCAAAGUAAGUGUUCUAUGUGAAGAAUGCGAAUGAAUCAGAUUGGCAUACUAUCAUGGAGAUGCAACCUCAAGACCUCUAUAAGAUGAACGGGAUAGGAUCCAAUGGUGAUUUUGAACCAUUUCAACAAAGUGAACUACAUGAUCACUAAUAUAUCUCAGAUUUAGUUGAUGAAGAUAUAAUCAAGUGGAACAAAAGUGAUGUUUUAGGACUAAUCAUCCUAAAAAAUAUUGUAGUUUCUUAAAAAAAAAAUGAAAAUGAAGAAGAUAAUUGAACCUUUGUCAUACUUUAAAAAGCAACUAUGCAUUGUUCAUUUUGUAUGUUUUGGUUUUCUUCAUUUAAUUUCCUGAUUUUUGUGAUUCAAUGUCAUAUUAUUGAUCUUGAAAUAUUUUUCUAAUUUUUCAUUCUACGAUGGUUUCAACAAGGAUGACAUCAAGUCAAAAAAGGAAAUGUGGUCCCACACACAAUAUUGCAUUACAGGGAUUAAGGUCAGGGAAGAAGGUAAAAGUUGCAUUUAAUGAGUACAAUCAAUUGGUUAAACAGAAAAAUGGAAAACACUUAUCGAGCUACAUAGGGACACUUGUAUCUAACCAACACAAUGUACCUCUCCAAGCUAGUGAUUGGAAAAAUGUUCCAAAUGAUGCAAAAGAGAAAGUAUGGCCUUUGUUUUGGUAUGUUGUAUUUCUCACUAUAUGAUGUCAUUUCACUGUUAUUCUAUUUUGUGACUAACGUUUGAAUCAUAUGUAAGAAAAAUUUGAAGUAGAUAAAGACUGAAAAGAUUACAUGUUGGGUAUAGCCUCAAAUAAAUAUAGAAGCUAUAAAAAUAUGAUGAAUGCAAAAUACUAUGACCCUUGGCAUAAGGAUGCAUGAGGAGAGGUUAAUACAUAAAUCACCAUUUGUCUCUGAUGUUGAUUGGAAGUGGCUUGUCUCUGAUGCAUAAACCAAAUCCCCCACUGAAUGUUUGAUAUUUGAUAGCAGGAAAAACACACCCGCAGCUAUACACCUCCAUCAUUCAGAUAAUUAUAGUGGGGGAGAUGAUUCAUGGUUGCCCUUAUACCCUUUAUUUGCACCAUCUAUUGAGAUUCUUUAUCAUGGCCAGGUUUUACUGCAGCAAUAAGAUAUGGUGGCAACAAUUUUAUCUAUAGGUGCGGUUCCAGACCGCCUCCAUAGGUGCGGUUCCUGACUGCCUCCAUAGGUGCCUCUUCUUGUAAUGUUUGUUCUGGGAAUUACACUUGAAAGCCUUAUCGUGAUAAGGGAUUACAAACACUAGUUCAGAGGACAGCCAUGUUAAACUUCCACUAUGUUUGUGUCACAUUAUCAGCAGCCUAGUGUUUAUUGGUCAUGCUAUCUGCAACUAAUAUAACCCGGUGAACUUCAAUCUAAAUUCUGAAAGUACUCAUGUGACAGAUGGUGCCUUUCAGCAGAUAUCAUCAAUUUAAAAGUAGUGUGUGUGCCUAUAGGUGGGAAGGCCUUGGCAAAUGUUCAGUAUUCCGGUAAUUCAAGAAGGAUAUAUCUAAAAUAGAUUUUCUUCUUGCCCAUUUCAAUAGUUAAAAUUUGAGAAGAUUGUGUCCACAUCACACAAAUAUUAUUGGUCCUUCUGUUGCAAUUUACCUCUGAACAUGUCUUCCAAUUCCCACGGUCCUGUUACUCCAGGAAAACUAUUUCGGUCAUAUUGAAAAAAAAAAUAUUAAAGAAGGUACACAUGCUUUUAAGUGGACUGGGGCAUUCAUAUCAGGUGGUCUGUAUCCACAUAUGCCACUUCGUGAAAGGUGGAACAGCCUAAUCACUAGGCUAUUUAGUGUGGCCCAGCCACGUUAAUCAAGCACAAGUCUUCAUACUUAAAGUCAAAUGGUGUCUUUAGUCUCAUUACACAUCGCUAUUUGAAGAUUAACUCAUCACUAGUGUAAUGCGAUUAAGACAGUCCUAACUCAAUAUUUGUUCUAGUUUUGGAUGCAAAUGCUUGCUGGUUUCAUCAUUGGAUGGGAUAAAGGUGCAAUCAGGACUAUGAAUACGUGCAGUAAUACUUCAUUCUCUUUUUUCUCAAUGAGACUUCUUGGCACAAUUUUGCUGCUCAGCAACCUACCUUUCCAUGGAAAAUCAGUUGUGACUGAUAGUAAUGGAUAUAUUCUAGAAAGCUAAACAUAGAUAGCAUUCAAUAUUAUCGAUAUAACAUUAACAGCGUAUGUCUCAAUGCUCAUCAGCUACAAGCAAUGGACAAACACUUUGAGUAACUCACAGCAGUCAAAAUUCCUAAACAGGACAGACGUGACAGAUCUAUAUAUAGAACACUGCAUAUGAGUCACAGGAAAAGAUAAUACGGGUACAUAGAAGCUCUUAUUUUACAUAUUACUCAUACUGAUCAAAGUCGCUCAGUUGGGAUGGAUGGGAGAAGGAGGUUUGAGGGGUGGCUUGUGCGGGGAAGUUGGCAGCUUCUUUCCGGGAGCUGGUUGCUUCUUUGCUGGAGUUGAAGGAGGCUUAAUCUUCCGAGGUGGCUUGUAUGAGUCUUCAGCAUUCUCAGCAGGAGGGUGACCAGGGUUGUGACCAUAAUGUGGUGGCUUCUCUCCCUUAGGUGGUUUGCCAACUGGGGUUGGUGGCUUGUUUUCUGGGAGUGGCUUCUCUCCCUUGGGUGGUUUGCCAACUGGGGUUGGUGGCUUGUGUUCUGGGAGUGGCUUCUCCCCCUUGGGAGGUUUUUCGAAUGGGGUGGGUUUGUGUCCUGGUGGUGGCUUCUCUCCCUUGGGAGGUUUACCAAUUGGGGUCGGUGGCUUGUGUUCUGGGAGGGGCUUCUCUCCCUGGGGAGGUUUAGUGGGUGGCUUGUGUUCUGGAGGUGGCUUCUCCACCGGAGGCUUAUGCUCUGGUGGUGGCUUCUCGAAGGGGGGAUGCUCAGGGUAAUCACCAAGUGAGGGGGUGGUGAGAACCACCAUGCCAAGCAACAACACUAGCAAGUAUGUAGUAGACAUCUUUGGGUUUGGACUCAGACAGUGCAAAACUACGAGAAAUCGCUAGCCCUUUAUAGCGGCUCGGACCUAAUACUGACAUAAUAUAAAAUAAAUAUUAUAUUUUAUCAAGAGAGAACAGAGUGUAAUUUUAUCAUUAAUACCGAUCGAGGCCAAAGAAAGAAGACCCAUAAUCCAUUUCCCACAAGCAUACACAAUGCAGCUGUAAUUUUAUCAUUUACUUUUAUCCCUUGGACCACUGCAUUUUUGUUGAGAGACACAAUAACACAUUUUUAUCUGUCAUUCAACAUUUACAGUAAAGAGAGGGCACAAAACGCAAUUAGAUAAAUUAUGUUUUGCCUGCUAAAAAGAGGCAAAUAACUUUAUUUGCAACAUAAUUAUUUUGGUUUCUAGUGACCCCGGGGCCUUUCGGUUGGUUUGGGAUCGGAAAAUGAACAUCAUAGGGGGGGUUGUGCCCUUAUGGGCAUAUAUAUCUGAUAGCUUCAACUGGCCUUGUUCCUAGAAAGAAAUUGCCAAAGAUAUAAACUUAUUCCAGGCUGAAAGUAGAUGAGAGUCAUAAUGAACAUCAACCUUUGUUCAGUUUGAUUCAAUGCCCCCAUAGUGUUCAUUUCACAGAUCUGAAUGAUUAUAUCCGUUGAAUACAUAAAUUAAUGAAGACAAAUAUGAAACCCAAGAUACAUCUCUGCAUAACAACCCCAACCCUGGUUGCUAUGUUUCCCUUCUUCUAUUCACAUGAGGAUACUGGUUAUAAUUGUCAAACUUGCAACAAGCCCUUUGACACCUAACGUCAAUGGACGAAUUAAAAGUCUCCUUCAAACGUCUAUUUCACAGCAUGAAGCUUAUAAAGGAUGCUGACAACCUUCAGAGUUAGCGACAAAAGAUAAUUAUCAAGGAGAGAUAGUUCCAUGAGAAUUCCAAGGAGUCUGAAUCAAAGACAAAUUGCUCACUCAAGGGUUCUUAUUUUCUUUUAGGUACAAAUCUCUUGAGUGUUGUUAAAGAAACACGUCACUGUCAUUUUGAUUUGCAUUUAACAUUUCACUUUUGUUCUGGAAGGUUUGUUCCGGAAACAUAUCAAAUGAGCAUCAUUUUCUUCUUCGGUGACACAUGGUCGCGAGUACGUGGGUCCAUUUUCAUGCCACUUAGUUGAAAAGUUGGAAAGAAAAAACAUGCCAACAAGAAGAUAGUGAGAGAAGGGGCACUUCAAGCCUUUAACAUGAACAAACAGUAAAUAAAAGAUGUUUCUCCACUCAUAAAAGUGUGUUAGAUAGCAAUAUAACGAAUCACAUCCAAAAUCUUUACUAGGCUCAAACAUAAAGAAGACUCAUUUUUAAGAAAAGAUAAAAAUGGCAUUGUCUGAUAGUAUCCAAUACACGAGAUGGCACUUAAUUUGUACAAGAUCUGUCAAUGCUGACGCACAUUUUCUGAUUAAAAAAAAACUGAUCAGUCAAAAGCAAUGAAGAGAAGUGAUGACAAUGAAUGAUGCUUCCAAUAUUUUCACCCCUUAUAGUGUUCUUCAUGAUUCAGAUAUAUAAUUGGAAAUAGAACAACCCUAUGCCAUACAUUCGUCUAAGUAUGGUGUCUAAUUUUUUGUGUCAGCGGUUGCGAAUGGAGCGUGCAAAAGUCCAAAUUGGCGUCUCUCCAUUUCCACAUAGGAAGGUGACCUUUAUUGACAAAUACCCAAUAUUUGUAGACAUUCCUUAAAUAUCAUAACUUCUUGUUGAUUUGAAAAUCAUUUUUCAACUACCAUGUUUUAAUAAAUAUUUUUUAAAAUGUAUUUUUAUCAAAGUCCACCAUGAUGGAUAAUAUUCACCAUGCAAUAAUUAAUAAAGUACAAACUAAGCGAAAUGAAAAGCAUUUUCUUUGCUUUGAGUUGAUUUUGGUUGCAUUGAGUUGAUUUUGGUUUCAUGGUUUUUUCAACUCUUAUUUUGAUUGGAAGAUGUCAAGAAAAGAAAACAUAAAGAAAAAUUAAAAGGGAAAAAAGAAGAAAAAUAAAAAAAAAUAGAUUUAAAAGUUAAUAAAUUAUUUUUUAUAUUUAUUUUAAUUCAUUUCACUUAUUUUUCUUUUACUAUAUAAAAUUUAAAUAAUUUAAAUUUUAUAAUUAAUUUAAUUACAUUUCAUUUUCUUCUAUAUUUAAAUAUUGGAAAAAUAUUUUACUUAAUAUUUUUUUCUUUAAUUUCUUUGGCAUUUUGGGAACCAAACUUAGCCUUUAAAAUAAAAAACAAAAAAAAAAUGAAAAUAAGGAGGGAAAAGUGAGAAAAGAUAAAAACAAUAUGUAAAGGAUUUGAAAAGUAUUAGUUUGUAAUUACUAUUUGGAUUUCAAUAGUAUUUUAUUUGUCUUUCUAUAUUUCAUGUAAGAGAGAAUUUAAGAUAUUCCCCAAGGCAAAGCAUUAGUUACCUGCAAUCAGUGGUGAUAAGGCUCCAAGCCAAUUUUGGGCCCCAUAUCUUAAGACAGUACAAUUUCCAUUUCAACAUUUCUGAUUUCUCAGAUGUUUCACAUACCACAGAAGAACAUUGUUUGUGAAAAUAUGCAUUUAUGUUGGAUUUUGUAUGCUGUGGGGACUGGGGCAAGGAUCAUAUGGAAGAGUGGUUGACUUUUUCUGUACUUUAACGGUUGAAAUAGGAUAAGCACGGGCAUUUGUGAGGCUUAAUUGAUUUUGAAGCCUGAAAUUGCGUUUCUGUCAUUUUGUCAAAAAAAUGGCAGAUUCCAUACUCAUAUGUUUGGCCUGUGGCCAUGUACAGAUGCCAUUUAGUGACCAGUUUGUAACUGUCAAUCGUUGCGUUUUGACUCUGCCUCAACAACAUCUGCCAUUGACGGGUUUUCAUACUUGCAAAUCAAAUAGUCUUUCGUCCCAUCAGGAAUUUCGGUUUAAAUAUUAUUAAGCAUACGUUUGGCUGACAAUCAUUAUCCAGUUCAUGAUUUGGUUUCUUACCCUUAAUCAAUGGUUUCUAAGUGAAUAUAUGUAGAAGGAAAUCCGAAGUGUAGACAGUAGUAUCGAUAACUCUCAAUAUUCUCUAUAUAAUAGAAUAAACAGCGUCAUAGUGAUCGUCGCCUACAAGCAAGGUACAAAUACCAAAACGAGUGACUCACAUAGACAUCUCCCAACAAGAUGUAGUAGUGACUGACACAUGGACACAAUUAACUCGUAGAAAAGGAUAAGACCAUUGCACAGCAGCUCUUAUUUUACAUACUACUUAUGCUAACCAAAGUCAAUUAGUUGGGAUGGGUGGGAGAUGGAGGUUUGUGCGGUGGCUUGUGGGGCGGAGUUGAUGGCUUCUUUCCAGGAGCUUCUGGCUUUUUCAUCGGAGCUGAAGGAGGCUCAAUCUUAUGAGGCGGCUUGUAUGAGUCUUCUUUACUCUCGACAGGAGGGUGGCCAGGGUUGUGAUCAUAAUGUGGUGGCUUCUCUCCCUUAGGUGGCUUGCCAACUGGGGUUGGUGGCUUGUGUUCAGGAAGUGGUUUCUCUCCCAUGGGAGGUUUAGCAAUUGGGGUUGGUGGCUUGUGUUCUGGGAGUGGCUUCUCUCCCUUGGGAGGUUUAGUAGGUGACUUGUGUUCUGGAGGUGGCUUCUCCACCGGAGGCUUGUGCUCCGGUGGUGGCUUCUUGGUUGGAGGGGGCUUGGGGUAAUCAGCAAGAGAUGGGGUGGUGAGAACCACCAGUCCAAGGAACAACACUAGCAAGUAUGUGGGAGACAUUUUUGAGUUUGGGCUGAUCAGAUGAUGCAAAACUAAAGCAUUACGUGACCUUUUAUAGCAUGUAGCUCCCAAUACCCACUAAGUAUUGUGGGGUCCAUUUGUGCCCUACGGGGUUGAAAACUUAGACAAUUGGGCAAGGACCCACCUGACUAUGGAGGACUAGUGAGGUGUGAUCAUAGCUUUAGGAUUUUUCUUCCUCUGCAGCCGUCGUGCCGUUGGCAUGAUUUUCUUAAUCUUAAAUAAAGGCAUAGUUAUAGAGUUGUUUAAUCUCUAAAUGGGAUUUUAUAUAUAUCUUCAGAUAGCCAUUAAUAUAUUUGAUGAAGAAAGAAAGACAAGUGCAUACAACAUGUAUACGACUAGCUUUCAUGGAGUUCAUUUAUGAUCAGUUUUCCUGUACAUGUAAACCAGGAUCAUAUAUAUGUUUCUGUUCCACAACUAUUUUGGAAUCUUGUUUAUCAGUUUUUAUCAUUAUAAUGUCACAUAGGCUGCCAACUUGGGCGCUAAAAGAACCAGUUGGGCUAGUUCGUUUCAGAAUUUCAAUGUGGAUUCAGGAAUUGUUUUGUAAGAUAUGCGAAAUAGUAGAGGGAUGAAUAGUGUUUCAUUAAUAAAAGUGUCCUGUAAAUUAGAAGGUGUCAUAGAAACUAUAAUCAAUAAAUAACUUUUUUUCCCCACGGGUGGUGUUUCUUGUGGGGAUCAGUGACUGGUUUAGGUUCACCCAAAAUGAGUUCAGACUAAAAUUGGUUUGAGUCAAUGCCGUGUCUCUUUUUUCCAGAAAUCAACUAUUUUAUGCAUUGAAUAAAUCAUACAAAGAAAAUAUGAACGCCCGCAAAACCUAAACCCUGGUUGCUAACUUUCUAUGUUUCAGUUCUAUUCACGCAAGAAUAUUAGUUUAAGUUUGGGAAAAAUGGCAACUUACCUAGUGAUUACUUGGUUUUGGUUUGCGACUAUUUACGCAACCAACCAUGAGUUUGACUUUAACGUCAUGGGUUGAAGCCUCCUACAGGAAGGGAGAAAGCUCCACAGCUAGCUCCAAAAGAGAAUUAUCACAUUGAUAGCUCCAGAGAUUCCCAAGGGGACUGAAUCAAAGACAAGUUCCUCACUUUUUCUUCUUUUGAGGCCAAAUAUGAACCAAGGAUCACACAACCUCAUUCAACUUCAUAAGUUUGAUUUCAUGCAGUUGAACACUGGGUGAAGGCCAUGACAAGAAUUGAUUCAAAAAUUCUAUCACUCUUUUAAGUAAUGGAAGAUUAUUAUCUCUGAUUGGCAUCACAACAGCACAUGCUCCUAGAUCUUUCUAGACACUCCAUGCAAUGAAAGCACAAUGGAUCUUGUAACGAUAGAAACUAAGCCAUGCUACAGUACUAGAUGAUGAGGUAAAACUAGUAGACACGGGUGGCAGCCUAUAUGGGAGGGACACAAGUCUAAUUGAUUUGCAUUUCAGCAUUAUAGAUAGGUAUGUUUUGGAAGAUUUGUUCUGGAAAUACCGCACCAAGUAGGAUUCUUUUUCUCUUUAGUGGGUCCACUUGCAUGCCAAUUAACGAGUUGAAAAGUAUGAGCACCUACCUCGUGCUCGUGGAACCGAAGGUCAGUGAAGUGGGGCUCCUUUUGGCCUCGUGUAAACUUGAUUCAGAAGUGAAGUUAAUAGUCUUCCAUUCAGAUGGAUACAUGGGAAUUUUUCUCUUUUAUUUAUUUAUUUAUUUUUUUUUUGUGUGUGUAUGUCAAAGGAUAAUGAAUGAAGCGCGUUAGCUUGUUUUCUGACUGGAACCGCAGAUGUCCAAAUUGGAGUUCCUUCAUUUCUUACUUAGGAUUGUUACAUGUAUAAACAAGGUAUAAGAAAUAUGCCAACGUGUCUUGAGGAGUUAUUGAUUAGAAAUAACAAGUCACCCGACUGUAGAGUUCCAAGAUUUGAAUCUUCAGACCCUAUAGCAGCCUCUGGGGUACGUGGCAUCCUAUAGCAUAUUAAUGAAGGCUUUUUCGAUUUAGACUUCACAAUACCAAUUAAUAUGUAUGCACAAAAUGGAGAUGACCCCAAAAAAAACAGAAUCGCCAUAGUUUAUGAGGUUAAGGUGAUUCUCCACUUAAUAUCUACAUUAGCUAAUUAUGUAAAUCAAAUGAACUUCUAUUUUUCCUUUUUUUUUUUGGUUUAUGUCAAAUAGUAGCCCAUAAUUAACCCAACCAUUAGCCUGUUUGAAUUGAUUUCACAUGCACAAUGUUGUAGUAGUUCAUAUUUUGAAUUUUAUUUUUACAAAGGUAGUUAAGGAAAAUGAAGUAUAAUAAUUAUAAAAGCAGACUAUAUACACUACAAUAAUUGUUAGAAUGGUAUCUCAAAUUCUAAUUUAAAAUAUUAUUUUUUGUAAAAGAAAUAUUAUAUAGAAUAUUUCCUAAUUUUAUAAAUGAUUAUAAUUAGAUCUUUAUAAAAUAAGGAAAGUUGGUAAGAAUAUCUUUAUAAAUAUUUUAGGUCAUGAGAGAAAGAAAUGGGAUAAAAAUGUGAUGAAGAGGUGAAAUAAGAGAGUUGAUUAGGAUAUAGAUGUGAAGAAGAAAGGGAUUCAAUAUAUAUAUAUCUUUCAAUUACCACAUUAAAACCCUGUGAACCUUUUAUAUGGUUUACUUUAUUUUUAUAUUCCUCCUUUAAUAUAUUUACAUUAAUGCUUCCAUUGGCACAACAAUAACGAAUUACAAAUACAAGCAACAAGUCCCAUGUUUUAUUACCAAAAGCAGGUAAAAUCCACCUAAUAUAUUACAAUAUAUUCAUCCAAUAUUUUAGACCAAUUCUUCACCAUAAAUAUCAUAAUGUGGCUUUUGUUCUUUCUUAAAUUUAAAUUGAAUUGUCUUAUAUCAAUUUGUUUGUGAUUUUUUCAUUAACUUCACUUUCAUUUGGUUAUCUUUGGUUUUUGAAAAGUAUUAAGGAAUUAAUUAACAAAAUAAUGUUAAGAAAAAUAAUUUUCUCUCUUUUGAUUUUGAUUUUGUAGUAGAAAAAUAUAAUUAAAAUUAUUUAAAAAGUAUGUAAUUUUAAAUUAUUUAAUAUUUAGAUAAAAAAAAUAAGUCUAAUGAGUUUAAAAUAACAUAUAAAAAUAAUUUAUUUAUUUUAAAUUUAUUUUUUAUUUUCCAUUAUGUUCUCUUUCUCUUUUACUUUUUCAUAUUUUUUCUUACGAAGAAUCAAACACAACCUCAUAUUAUAUGUCAAGUGUUUGUCUAUAUUUGAGCAAUGUUAGAUACGGCCAUGGAUUCAUCAAACUAAACUGAUUUUAAUAGAUACUUCACAAAUUGAUUUAUACACUAAAUCAUUGGAUAGCAAUGAUGCAUUGGAAUUAAACGUAGGAUGAAGCUCGAAGAACACUGUUUGUGUAACAACAUAUUUAUGAAAUUAUGCAAAGGAUGAGCUUCGGGGUAGUAGUACAAGGUCAUUAAUGGAGAGCCGUGUUAAACCUUGAUUGUGAUUGGAUUCCGUUAUCAGCAACAGCAACCUUGUUUGUAACCUUGAAAGUCAUUCUGUCCACAUCGAAACUCCAAUUUGACGUUUGUAAUUACCAUUCCUGGAGUGUUCCUUGAUUGAAAUUUAAAUAAUAAUUGCGGCCCACAAGGAAUAUUUUCGAUUCUGUGGGAAUUUGACAAGGUUUGUUAGAGAAGACUGGUGACAUGUUGACUUCAAUGGUUCAAAUAGGAGACGUAUGUGGAUUUGGGGGGUUUAAUUGAAACUGAGUCCCUAUGGCUUUUUAAUAUUUGCAUUGAGCAGUCUCCAUGUGACUUCCUAAUUCCCACCAACCCUCCUGUCCAUGCUGUGAAACUAAAUUGUAAUUUAUCAGCCUUUGUCAAUGGUUUCUAAAUUAAAGAUAUAGACCAUGCAUGUACUUUAAUAAAAGCAAAUCUAAAGUGUAGAUAGCAGCAAUGGUGACACCCAAUAUUCUCCAUAAAAUAGAAUUAGAAUAAGCAGUGUUACAUUGUUCAUGAUCACCUACAAGCAUACAAGAACUUCCAUGAAUAACUCAUAGCAAUUGCCAACAGGGCGUCGUAGAGACUCAUACAUAGAACACUAUCCACCCAGAGGAAAGGACAAGACCAGUGCGCUGCAGCUCUUAUUUUUCACAUGUAUACCACCACUCGUAAUAACCAAAUUCACUCAGUUGGGAUAGGUGGGAGAUGGUGGUUUGUGGGGUGGCUUGUGGGGAGGAGUUGGAGGAGGCUUUAUUUUCUGAGGCGGCUUGUAUGAGUGUGCAGGAGGAUGCCCGGGAGUGUGACCAUAAUGUGGUGGCUUCUCUCCCGUAGGUGGUUUGCCAAAUGGGCUUGGUGGCUUCUCUCCCUUAGGAGGUUUACCAAUUGGGGUUGGUGGCUUGUGUUCUGGGAGUGGUUUCUCUCCCUUGGUAGGUUUGCCAAUUGGGGUUGGCGGCUUAUGUUCUGGGAGUGGCUUCUCUCCCUUGGGAGGUUUGCUAAUUGGGGUUGGCGGCUUAUGUUCUGGGGGCGGCUUCUCUCCCUUGGGAGGUUUGCCAAUUGGAGUUGGCGGCUUAUGUUCUGGGAGUGGCUUUUCUCCCUUGGGAGGCUUGCCAAUUGGGGUUGGCGGCUUAUGUUCUGGGGGUGGCUUCUCUCCUUUAGGAGGUUUGCCAAUUGGAGUCGGCGGCUUAUGUUCUGGAAGUGGCUUUUUUCCCUUGGGAGGUUUGCCAAUUGGGGUUGGCGGCUUAUGUUCUGGGGGUGGCUUCUCUCCCUUGGGAGGUUUGCCAAUUGGAGUCGGCGGCUUAUGUUCUGGGAGUGGCUUCUCUCCCUUGGGAGGUUUUGUUGGUGGCUUGUGUUCUGGAGAUGGCUUCUCCCCUGGAGGCUUGUGCUCCGGAGGUGGCUUCUGAAAUGGCGGGGGCUUGGGGUAAUGAGCAAGAGAUGGAGUACUG